CCCAAAUGUCUACUUUCUCAUUUAUAGGUUUCCUCCUAAUCAAAUCCCCACAUCUAGGACAGGAAAAGGAAGAAACUGGGAGUCAACAUUUUUUCAACCAAAAGCACUAACUUACCAAAAAACAUAGUUUUCCAUUCAACCUCGGGAGCUGUAUGUGCAGGUGUACUGUACUUUCUGAUAUUGUCUUCUUCAAUGCCCAUUUCUUCAGGCUUCUUAAAGUGCUUAUGAUUGGUGGAGGUGCUUCCAAAAUUACACAACUUCCAUAAUCCAUUAGGGCCCAAUAGAAGAUUCUCAGCAUUUAUAUAAGAACUUUAGGGUUUAUACCAAUGAUCAUGUUACAGUAUAAAUCAUAGUGAACUGGUGGAAUUUGAUCAUUUAGCCAACCUCAUCAAAAAACUGUUUCACAGUUGAGGGGAUUGUUAACCUUCCCAUGGGCCAAGCAGCAAUUUCUGAAACUGAUCCUGAAAUCAAAAAUCCCACACAAGUAGAUAUUUAACAGAAGAGGAUCCGAAUCUCUUCAAUUGAUUAAUGUAUAAAUGAAAUAAUAAAAAAUUUUAGAGAUAAUUAUAGGGAGAUGAACCUUAUACCUCUGAGUUUCUUAGUCUUCUUGAACAGAGCAAUGAGCAUCAAGUGUUGAGCACCCAGGAAUCUCCCUUCCUCUACAGGGAAAAUCUGAACAAUCUAUCUUUCUUCAUAUUCCACUUCCUUGCAAAAGUCAAAACAUGAAGAAAAUAUCAUCAAAAUUGAGACAAAAAUAAGUGCAUCAACUGUCUCAAGAAGAGAUUUAUGCCUAUUGCUUACCUUUUGCAGAAGUCCACUUGGUUAGAGCACAUUUUACAUGGACGCCCAAUCACUGCAAGCUGCUGAACCAAAGGAGGUUCAAACAUCUAAAAAAUUUGACUAACUCAAGUAUCAUAAAAAUGCUUCACAUGAAUUCCAAAUGAUCUCAUAUCUAAAAAACAUUGGCAUAAAAUUAUUGUUGUUUACCUUACAUGUUUCUUCCAUGGUCAUAAUUGAAACUUUGUUUAUCAUAACAAAUCUUCUAUGCUCAUCCUGAUUACUUACAAUGAACACUGAAAUGAAAAGAAAAAAAAAACACAAAAAAUGACGAUUAGUUUGGUUUGAUAAAUUUAGCACACACAAUUCCCUUUUUCUUGUAUGAAAAAGGAAAGAGUAAAAAAAAAAAUGAAUUUAAUAAUUUUUUAAAACUAGCAAUUAUAAAACUAGUUUGGUUCUCAGAAAAUUUAUGGGAAAGCAGGGAAAAAAAAGUGUAAACUUUUUCUCUUGUUUGAUUGUUUAUGGGAAAAUUGAGGGAAAAACAAAUAUUUAUGAGGAAUCUAUUUAACACUUUUGAGGAACAAAAAAUGUUUUAGAUGUUGUCAAAUCGAUAAUUUAAAUGUAUUUAAUUCCAAUUAAAUAAGUUUAAUCAAACACAUGAAAUGAAAUUGUGAAUAAAAUUAUUUAAAAGCAUUGAAAUUCAUGUCAUUAAAGUUGUCCAUAAAAUUUGGUAUAUUAAAGCAAGAAAAAAACAAAGCAAUUUGAAUGACUUGCUAAUAAAGCAGCUAACUAGAAUAUGCCCUAGAGUUGUUCUAUGUAUAUAAGAAAUAAACAGAGAACACAAUAAAUAAAUAAAAAACCAGAAAAUAAAAUACAAACAAACGAAAAUAAACAGCGUUGUUCAAUGGUUAUAAAUGGUUAUUUUUGCAAACCACCAAAUCAAAACAGAGCAUGAAAACGUGUUCAAUAUUUGUUUCAGGCUUGAAGCAUCAAGAAAAAGAAAAUCUUAAAUCAAAUAAAUAGGACUAGCGAAUGAAUUGGAACUUGAAAGAAAAGUUCAAGUGCAAAAGAAUUACCUGACUCUAUAUUGGCGGAGUGGCACUUUGAUUAAUAUAGCACACCAUUGAUCAUUAUUUUUGGAAUGUGAGCUAUAUAACGCCAUUCUUCCCCUUUCUCAAAUUGACACCGUUUUUCCAGUAGAGGACACCCGUAGAUCCUCAGAAAAGAGAGGGAGUCUGAAAGUCUCUCUUUUGUCAAGUAUUUGAGCUUACGACAGAUCAUGAUCUCCAAUGUUUUAAGAGAGGUGAGGUGUUGAAGACCCACUUUUUUCAAGGAUUGGAGCAUUGGGCACUCAUGGAUCCACAAACUUUCAAGAGAGGUGAGGUGUUGAAGACCCGCUUCUGUCAAUGAUUGGAGCCUCGAGCAUUGACAAAUUACUAAUCGUUUUAGAGAGAUAAGGUGUUGAAGAACCGAUCCUGUCGAGAACUGGAGCUUUGGGCAGAAGUAGAUCCUUAAUUCUAAAAGAGAGGUGAGUUGUUGAAGACCCCCGCUGUCAAGAGACUUGAGAUUUGGAAGAUUCCAGAUUUGAAGAGAAGUCAGAGAAGAGGGCAGCAAACACUCUUUGGGAAAUAAUUCAAUGUCUUCACAUCCACCUUUGAUUAUGAAAUGAGUAAGAGAGGUCAGCCUUUGCAAACCCCACUCCACCUGGGGCGUGAGUUGGUUGCACUUCUUAAUUUCAAGUUCACGUAGGUUGGAAGGCAAACCCUCUCUCUGAAACAACAAUUCUGGACAAUCAUAUAAAUUCAAGUACUGUACAGAUGACUGUCUGUGUGCCAAUGACCUGAGCUUGGAGCACCUAUGAAUCGAACAAGACUUCAAGUUGAGAGCGCGUAAUUCGAUAGAUUCAAGAUCAGAGCAACCUCUUAGACGCAGGGAACAUAAAGAUGUGGGAUCACCCUCUGAAACCAAAAUCGAGAGCUUCUCAAGCCCAUUAAGACCAUUGAUUUCGAAAUCAGUCAACUUGGGGAAGAUGCCUAAUGAGAAGGAUAACGACAGAGAAUCAUCGAUAACACCACGUUCGAUGAUUAGACGUUCAAGGACUGGGAGAUGGCAUCUGAACAACUCAGGUACGAGAAACGCUAAUUUCGAGCAGUUAUAGAUUAACAGUGAUUUCAGUGUAGUGGGUAAACCAACUUUGUGCAGGGAUCUAGAAAAAAUACAAUCACAGAUUUUCAGAUCAUGAAUGUUGGUUUGCGAGAUUUCCUCCUCUAGCAGAGACUCCACAUAAUCACAUUUUCUAAUUGACAGCUGGUGUGGUGCCAUUGGAAGUUGACUCCACUGAGACACAUCUAAAAUUUCAAUUUCUGAAGUUUGAAGAGGUGUGAAGUCACAACCUGGCAUUUGCAACCGCAGUUUACCAAAAUCCACCAUCCUCAACUGACGAAUUGCAGGAACUGUGAGUGAAGCCAUAAGCAGCUGCGGACAUCCAUCAAUUUGAAGUUCCACCAAUGAAAGAAGCUGUUCUGGUAAUUUCCCAGUGAGUUUGGGACACUUUCGUAUAAAAAGCUUUUGGAGACGAGGGAAUUCUCCACAACAUAACCAUUUCUCCCAGUUCUUCAUAUCCUCAAAUGAUAGUGUUUCUAGGAAUUGAAAGGAAGCAUUCUCAUAUAACUCAUCACCCACACACUCUACUCCAUUCAUCCUUGAGAUUUGCAGAUAUUUAAGCUGGGUUAGCUGUCCAAGUGGUGGCAAUGUUGAGCAAUUGCCACAACCCCGAAGCUCAAGGGACACGAGAUUCAACACUGAAGGAUCUCCAAGCCAAUUUGGAAAUCCUUCACCAGGAUAGUUUGUGAUGGAGAGUUGUUUUAAAUUUGGAUGAGGUUGUAACUUGUUGAGUAUAUCAUGCGUUGUUGCACCACUUUGUGUAACACCACUGGUACCCCAACCAAAGAUUAACUCAUAAAGAUAACUUUUAUCCUUCAUAUUAGCCCUUAAUGCAUCAUUAACACUCACCACAUUCUCCAUGUUUGAAAUACAAAGUUUUCCUCGAAUCUCUGACAGCUCCCCCAAUUCUCCAAUUCUUAAUCCAUCGUUUUGGCCCACAAUAAAUUGAGUCAACCUUUGUAAACUUUUUAAUCGACCAAUUCCAUGACUUGACAUUUCUCUCAAUGAACCACAUCCAUCAAUAUCAAGAUAGCGCAAAUUAAUCAAUUUUCCCAUCUUUGAAGGCAAUUCAUCAAGUUUUGAACAAUUUCUCAGCAUCAUCGUUUGUAAAUUGCAUAAACAACAUGCUGAUUUAGGUAAUUUUUUAAUCCUCGUGGAAGACAAAUCCAAGUAACGCAAAUGUUUUAAAUUACCUAUCGAUUUAGGCAAAUCAGUUAUUGUAUAUGCACAUAAUGAUAACACGCGUAAACACCACAUUUUUGGUAAUAUAUCUUGCAAAACUCUUUUACUCAACUUAUACAAAGGAAGAUCAACCCAUGGCUUCACUCUUAAGAAUGUCCGAAGAGAUUUAGCUUUAGGGACAGCCUCAAAAUUCUUAAAUGCAACAAGCCUGGUAUCAUCACUAUUAAAGUACAAAAAGUGGCGAGCCUUCUCAGAUACUUCUGGUGGUAACUUAUCAUCAUCUUCCACUCGAGCACAAAAAUCUCCAGACACGUAUUGAGCCAAUUCAUGUAUUAGAUCAUGCAUUACAAAGCAUGAUCCUUCUAUUCCAAUAGAUUUUUGAAAGAAAGACUUGGCAAGAAGCUCAUCAAAAUAUGACUCACCGAUCUCUUCCAUUCUCCUUCCUUUGUUUUGUUGUGCAUGUAAAAGACCUUCUGCCAUCCAUAAUAAAAUCAGCUCCUCUUUGUUGAAUUGGUGGUCCUGGGGAAAAAUAGAACAAUAAGCAAAACAAUGCUUCAGAGGUAAAGAAAGAUGAUGGUAGCUUAAUAUCAAAGACGGAAGAAUUUCGGAGCCACGCUGCGGAUGCCAUAUUUCACUUCUCAACACAUCGUCCCAUUCCCUUUUUUCGUCCUUAGAAUACAAGAGACAGCCGAGUGCUUUCACAGCCAAAGGCAAUCCUUGGCACUUGUCCACAAUCUGUCUGCCUAUGCGUUGAAGCUCAAGGUAUGCGUUGGGGUCUCUAUCUUCAAAUGCAUGCUUUUUAAACAGGGACCAACUAUCUUCAGAGCUUAAUUCCCCAAGAUGAUGAGUAGGGACUGCUCGCAUGGUUGUUGCAACAGAUUGAUCACGACUGGUCACGACAAUCUUGCUUCCCUCUGCUGCGAGGAGUGGAGUUCGUAGAAUAUUCCAAACUUCACGAUCACUAAGCUCCAUAUAACCUUCAUCACGAGGCUUCAAAUUCCAGACGUCAUCAAGAACAAGCAGAAAUUUCUUGUUACGAAGUUGCUCUGUGAGUUGAAGCUGAAGCAAAUUUAGGUUGUCAGCGGAAGUAGGUGGAGAACCAAUUUCCUCAAGAAUUGUUUUGGUGAGUUUGAUAAGGAAAAACUCAGUGGAAACACAGACCCAUGCUUGCAAGUCGAAGUGUUUCUUCACUUCCUCAUUUUUAUAGAGACGCCGAGCAAGCGUGGUCUUGCCGCUGCCGCCCAUGCCCACUAUGGACAUCACCCCCAUUUUGUCGCCUGUUGUAUUGUCAGAACGCAACCACUCCACCAUCUCCUUCUGAAUUCCAUCCCUGCCGACAAAAAUGGAGUCAUGCUCCAAAGAAGUGGUUAUUGGUGAUCUUGGUCUUGGUGACCGUUUCUCGCCCCCACCUUCUGCCAGCCCCAACCCAACUUUUUCUAGUGCGAUUUUUUCCAGUUGAACAAUCAUGCCCCUGACCCUGGACUCCAUGCUUUUGAUAGCAAAUGGGGCCUUCACAGAAGCAGAGAACUUCUUCCAUUUCCACGCCUUAAGAGUUCCGUCGGUAACGAUCUCGUCCAGCAGGUCUUCCGCACCAUACACAGCAUCCUUGACAGGGACGAGCCACUCUUUGACAUUUGGGUUCGAAAAUUGCUUCACCUCCGCAUCAUCGAGCACAUUGUGAACAACCACGAGUUUCCUCUUCAACUCGUUGAGGAGUUCAUCGCUAAGGCUCCGUCGCCGAAUGAAGUUUAUGAGCUCUGGAGAAGCCAACCUUUCGAAUAGAACUUGAAGCGAAGUUGAGAGGAGGGCGUCCGCCAUAUCUGUGUCGACUGUUGCUUUGCAAUAGGAAUUCAGAGGAUUGGUUUCUGUUACCGCGAUACCACCAAACUGCAAAAGACUGGGUUUGGAUUACCACACUGCAGAAUGCUUGAAGGAAUCAUUAUUGGUGGUGGACCCAGCUGCCAGAUAUUGGUGGUGGACCCAGCUACACUGCAGAAUGCUUGAAGUUAUUGGUGGUGACCCAGCUGCCAAUAUUUGUCAAACACCAUAGUGGUGAGAAAAAGAACAGGAAAAGCGAGUGGGAGGUAGAUGCGCUUUCCCCAAGGAAAGCAGAAUCAACAACAGCAUUCGGUAUUUUUCUUUUUCAUCUACGCAUUUCUUCUUUCUUUCUUCUAGUAUUAUUAUUAGUAGACAUAUACACACAAAUAUUUGUUUAUAACAUUUUCAUUCUUAAUAUUAUAAAAUUUAUUAUUAAUAAUAUUUAUACUAAUAUUAUUUUUUAAUAAUUAUAUUAGUAUCAGGAUUUUAUAAUUAGUAUCCUUACUUUUAUUGCUUAUAAUAAUAAUUAUUAUUAUUAUAUUAUGUUAUUAUUAAAAUUUAUUAGUAUUUUCACAUAAACAAUGAUAUAUGCAUAAGACAUAUUAAAAUUUUGAAUAUUAUGGUUAUUAUUAUUUAAUAAUAAUAUUAUUAUUUGAUUCAAAAAAAGUUUAUAAUAUAAUAAUAACAAAAAUAAUUUUUUUAAUAAAAUAAAUUAUAAAAAUAUAAUAAUUUUAUUAUUUAUAAAAUACAUUUAUUUUAAUGCAAUUAAAAAAAUUAAAAUAAUUUUAAAAAAUUUAAAAAUUUUCAAAAAAAAGUUAAAUGGGACGGGAUUAGGAUGGGAUCGAUCCAUCCCAAUGUCGUCCCGUUGUCAUCCCUAACUCAUCUUGUGAUAAUUAAGGCCAUUUUUUAUCAUUGUUUUUUUAAAAUGGUCUUUUAUCCUUAAUAUAUAUAUAUAUAAUAAUUAGAAAUAAAACAUAAUUUUUGUUUUUAAAAAUAAAAAAUAAGGCAUUUUUAGAUCAUAUCCUUUUAGUUACUUUUAUUUGUUUUUAAAAAGUAAUUAUAUAAAUAUAAAAAAUAAAAUAAUUUAAAUAAAAUUUAUUUUUAAAAUAUAGAAAAUUAGUUAAUAACACUUUAUCUUCUCAAGCUCUUGUUUUAUAAAAUAUCAUAAAAUAAUUUUCAAAAACUUUUUUUUUUCACAAUUUUGACAAACAAAACGUGUUGCAAUAAUGCACUUAAAUUCAAUGAACCUAAAAGCCAAAUGUGCAGUGUUGACUUUUCAACAGAGAGUUCACACAUGCCCAUUUUUUUAAUUAAAGCACUAUUGAUAUAAAAUAUAUAUUUAAAUAAAAAUUAGACUUUUAAAAAAAUUAAAAUAUAUUUUUAAAAUUAAAAUAUAUUUUUAAAAUGUUAAAAAAAUAUUUACAAUAUUUCCUUAAAAAAAACAUCUUCCAAAAACAUUUCUUUAAAAAAUACUUCCACCGAUAACAAUUUAGACACACUUGUGAUUUAAUAGUUAAAUAUUCUUUCCAACAGGAAUUCAACUAUCAGUUUGUAUUACCACGAUACCACCAAACUGCAAAAGACUAAUUUUGGAUUACCAAAAUGCAGAAGAGCUGAAGGAAUCAUUGAUGGUGGACGACCCAGAUGUCCACAUUAUUUGUCAGACACCAUAAUUGAGUGAUGAGGAAAUGAAAGAAAAGAAAAUAAAAAACAAAAAAGGUGAUGCCAAACAUGGUCUUAUAAGGUGGGUGGAGCGAAAGCAACAAAGGAAACUAGCAGGAUUUUUCAUUGCUAUUCCAUACCUUAAAGGACAAAUUUUGAAUUACCAAAAUACAAAAGACUUGAAGGAAUCAUUGAUGGUGGUGGACCAGAUGUCCACAUUAUUUGCCAAACACCAUAAUUGAGUGAUGACAAAACAAAAGAAAAAGCAAAAAAGGUGAUGCCAACAUGGUCUUGUAAGGUGGGUGGAGCAAAAGCAACAAAACAAACUAGUAGGAUUUUUUUAUUGCUAUUCCAUAUCUCAAAUGACUAAUUUUGAAUUACCAAAAUAUAGAAGACAUGAAGGAAUCAUUGAUGGUGGUGGACCAAGAUGUUCACAUUAUUUGCCAAACACCAUAAUUGAGUGAUGAGAAAAUGAAAAACAAAAAAGGUGAUGACAAACAUGGUCUUGUAAGGUGGGUGGAGCGAAAGCAACAAAGUAAACUAGCAAGACUUUUCGUUGCUAUUCCAUACUUCAAAGGAUUGAUUUUGAAUCAUCAAAAUACAGAAUACUUGAUGGAAUCAUUGAUGGUGGUGGACCCCGAUGUCCAUAUUAUUUGCCAAACACCAUAAUUGAGUGAUGAGAAAAUGAAAAAAAAAAAAAAGUUAAGAAAAAACAAAGAAGUGAUGCCAAACAUGGUGUCGUGAGGUGGGUGGAGCAAAAACAACAAAACAAACUAGUAGGAUUUUUUGUUGUUAUUCCAUACUGAGAAAAUAAAGGGCUAUUCUAAAUAGAUAAAAACACCCAAGAGAGGAGGUGAAUAGAAGUUAAAAAAUUUCUUUUUAAACACAAUAAAAUUAAGCAUAAGAAGUACAAAUAUAAAGAAGUAAGGUUAUAGAAAGUAAACUCAAAUUUAUAGUGGUUCGACACUUCCUUACUUACAUCCACUCUCCUCAAGCUCCUAAUCGAGUGAGGGUUCCACUUAUACUUGAAGUUUCAACCAAACUUCUAAUCACUUUUUACACUUGGAUUCCAUCUCCAAUGGACUCUUACACAAUCUUUUCAAGUCUUUACUCACUUGAAGGUUUUAACACUCAAUUAACAAGUUUGAAUCUCUCAACCUAGCUCAACAAUGACUCAAAUACAACUCAAGGCUAGGAUGAAUCACUAAGGUGCACUAAAGAAUAUGCAAAUGAAAAUUUAAUGCACUAAUAAAAUAAUGAGAGCUUUUAUGGCAAUAAUAAGUAGGUAAACAAAUAAAUGCAAGUGUUCUCUUACUCAUAAAUGAGGUAGAGCUCUCAAUUUAUAGGUUUCUAACCUCAGGAGCUAAAAAGCCAAAAAACAGUCUCAACUGGUUGAACUGGGGGUUGACUGGUUCAUUAGCCGUUGGAACAUUAAAUGCUUGGCAGGUGACCGUUACCCUCGACCAAACCUUAACUGAGAAGGCAAAUCCAUCAACCAGGAAAGAAAGGCUACUAGAAGAGAGAGAAUGUUUUUCACAUCUCUCAACCGGACCUUGACAUAGAAAGAGUAAUCGGUAGACCGAUACCUUAGCUGAUUGAGCCGAUUGGCCAGUGCCUCGACUAGUUCACCAUUUUUAGUCUGAAAACCUAUCUUUUUCUGGUCUUUUUGCUUCUAGCACUUAGGUAAGGACUUUAGAUAAAAUAAUAUGUCAAUUUUGAAAUGUUUUGCCUAAGGUUCAUUUGAUAGAACUCGGAUUUUGAUGGAAAUGUAACUUUAAUGCAUAAACCGAGUUUUAAAGAUGUAUGAAAUGAUAUGAAUACCCUAAGUACACUCAUGCAUUCAUCUUACGUAUGUUUCCUAUGAUUAAAAGGUCGUUCAAAAGUCUUGAUCUUGCAUUCAUUAGGUCCUUUAAUGAAUUUCCAAAUUAACACCUGAAAUUCUUUAUAAUUCAAAUCAAUUAGUAACUUAACCAUGAUUUGUUAUAAUCAAAACAUGAUUAGGAGAAUCAUUGGGCUAACACAUACCUCAAAGGACUAAUUUUGAAUUACCAAAAUAUAGAAGACUUGAAGGAAUCACUAAUCUUUUUAUAAUUUAGAAAAAUAAGUAAAACGAGUUUGAAGAAAUGUAUAAAAAUAAUUUAUUAAAUUUAAAUUUAUUUCUUAUUUUCCUUCAUUUUUUCUUUUUUUCUACUUUUUCUUUCUAUUUUCUUUCCUUCUCGUUUUCCCUCAAAUUUUCCAAGAGCCAAAUAUAGCUUAAAGGUUUAGAAUCUUAUGCACAAGACUUUCAAUUUUUUUUACAAUAUUAUUUUAUUAGUUAAGAAUUAAAAUUUAAUGUACCAUAUCUAACACUAACAAAAAAAUUUAUAACAACCAAUCUUAUCUUUUAAGAAUAUAUUGUUUAAAUGAGAUUAAAAAUUAAAAAUAAAUUUUAAUUCAUUUAACAACUAAAUUAAAAUGAAAUUUAUAUAUAUAUAUCAUAAAUUUAUACAAUUUUGAAUCAUUUUAUAUGGAGGAUUGAGAAUGGAGAGAUUGAAGAAUUGUUUGGUGACGAGGAGAUUGAUCGAAGAUUUUAUAGUCUUAAGGUUCUAUGGGAUGAAAUUUUUUGUAAAGAGUUUAAAUUUUUGUAAAAAAUAAAAUUAGUUUUAUGUUAUUUGAUUUCAUGGAAAUACAAAGUUUUAAUUCAAAGAUUAUGUUUUAAAAAUAUUAUUUUUAAAAUAUAUUUAGUAAAGAUUUAUAAAAAUUUAAAAUUAAAAUUAGUUAAUCUAUCAACUAAAUUAAAAUAAGAUUUAUAUAUUAUUUUUAUAGAUUUACAUGUGUAAAAUCUUUAAAAUGCCUCAACUUAAAAUAUCCUUACAAAAUUUCAUUAAUCUACUAGCAAUCUGCAUAUUGUCUCUACAUAGAGUCAAUUUGCAUUAGGAUGAAUACCAUCAUAAUAAUAAUUACGCUCCACAUAUGAUGUAUCUUAACAUCCACUUGGAGGUUAAAAAAUAAUUAAAGUAAGGGAAACUAAUAUAUUUAAAAUUUAAAAAUCAUUAUGAAGAUUUGGACAAUAAUUCAAGUAGGCAUCUUUGAAAUUUGGCUUCCAAAUCCCUUUGUCAAUAUACACCACCCUAUGACAAUUAAAUAAAUUAAAAGAAGGAAAAAAAAUGUUAAAGGAAUGACAAAACAUAGGGAACAAUUAUAUUUAAGGAGUGGAUGGAGUUGAUAAUGACUAAAGGGUACAAAUCUUGCAUAAUUGAACUAAAAAGGUAGAAAAGGUUUGUAGAUUGUUGUGGAAGAUAUAAACCCACUUUGUGAGUCAAAAAUGCUCAAAAUACCCUUAAGGGUGUUUUUUAAAAAAGGACAAUUAAGUACUCAUGAUAAUUAAUAUAUUAAGAUUUCAAGAAAAAUUAAUAAUAAAUAAAAUCUUUUUCUAAAUCUAUUUAACAAUCAUAUAGUUUUUAUUUUAUUUUAUUUUUUCAAGUGGCAACUAUUAUCUUAAUUUAUUUUUCAUUUUAAGGUUCAAUUAUUAUUAUUCUUUAUUUUGAAAUUUAAUUAAAUGAAACUGUAUAAGACAUGUUUAUAUUAAUUAGCUAAAAAGGAUAGAUUUUUUAGCAAUAUGAUUAAAAUAAAUAAAAACAAGGAAUUUGAUUUUCUUUAUAAAAUAGAUUAGGAAAAGUAUAUUUCGAUACAUUCGUAUGAAAAAAAAAUUCAUAAAAUAGGAACUCAAGUUUAUAAAAUACAAAUUUUAAGCAUUCAUCUAAAAAUAAUUAUCAUUUCAUGCAUUUUUUUUGUCAAAUAUAUUAUAUUUGAUAAUUUAGGUAUUAUAUUUUAAUAAUAUAAGUAGUACCUUUGACCCCCAUAAAACUUGAAUUAUUUUAAAUAGUUUCUAUUAUAUAAUUAUUUAACCAUUUGAUAUAAAUAUUAAAUAAUAAAAAAUAUAUCAUUUUUUAAAGAAUUUUAAUUAUAUUUGACUUUCUUUUGUAUUUUCUAUGGUGUAAUUCACAUAUGAGAAAAUCAUUUUCUUUAACAUUUUUUUUUCUUUCCUUAAUAAUUUUCGAGAACCAAACAAGGCUUGUAGGUUUGAAUUAUAGGGUAUAGAUGCCAAAAAUACCAGAAUGAGUUUGGGUUUUCAUGCUAAAUGUCUUUAUUAUUAUUUGGUAGCACUUUUCCAAAAUUGUUCCAUUCCCAAAACCACUUAAUUUGCUUAAAUAUUUUUACCUCACGAUAUCAUAACAUUAUAAUGGAAUAGAUUUUGUUGGUGUUCAAAUCAUGUCAACUCAAUUUCCAAACCAUUCGGAUUGUCAUUUGGUGAAAAAUAGAAAGAAAUUUUACUUUAUUGAAAAGCAUUUCAUUUUGAUUUGAAUAUGCUGCAAUGAAAUAGUUACUAAACCAUGGGGUAGCAGAAGAAGUAAUCGAGAAAAUGAAGAAGGAUGUUCAAGAAUUCUUUAUGCUGCCAUUGGAGAAGUUUUCAAGAUUUCUCCUGAGUAGAAAACUUAAUGGUAAGAGUACAAUAAGUCAUAUGAAAUUGGAGAACUGAAAGAGCAUAAGAACCAUGUUUUAUUAAAAGACCUGUGAAAGUUUAAUCAGUCAUGGAACUACUAAGAGGGGAUGAAUUAACAGUUUUCUUAAAUUUUGUCCAAAGUUAUGAAUUUUUAUUUUUUAUAAUUUUUUUUUACUUAAAUUGAAACUUAUUAAUCAAGGUAAGAUUUCAGCCACAUCGAGAAACAAUUUACGUGAAAAGGGACUGAUAAAAUCUUGAGUUUACAGAUGUAAAAACCAUAAGGCCAAAGACUGUAGAACUCCAACCCACUGAAUCAAGAAUAGAAACACAAAUUUAUCUACCAACCUACACUAAUCUCAUAUCUACAAUGCAACACCAUCGUACUCUUAAGUGACUUGAAAGGAUGUGAAUAUUUCUCACAAACUUCAUAAUGAAAUUCAAAUUAGCUCUGAGAGUUUUGGGUUAGGCACAAAGAGUAAUAAUGCAUAGCUUUUGUGUGUGAGUUUUUAAGUGAACUUAAGACUCAAUUUAAAGCAUGUAUUUUACUAAAAAUAAAAAAAUAAAUUUAAGAAACUUCAAGAAUUUUGGAAAGAUAAAUUUUAAAAAAAAUUCAAAGAGAGUCAGAAAAUGUUUCCUUUUUAAAUUCUCAAUUUAAUUUAUUUUCAAAUUUAUUAAGAGUUUAAGAAAUAUUUUCUUUUUAAAUUAUCAAUUUAAAACUCUCUUUUAAAUUAAUUUUAUUAUUAAUUUUCAUGCAAGUCUACUCUAUACAUUUUACAUCGUUAUUCUCAAUUAACUCAACAAUAUUAGAGUGUAACAUCCCCAAUUGAUUUUGCACCAACCUUAAGUCUUCAAAGACAAUGAUUGAGGCAUUUCUUCUCCUAUUUUCUCCGAUGUAGAAAAAAAACUUGAAUAAGGUUAAAGCUGGUCUAUAGCAAAAAGUCUUAAUUUGAGUUAGCCUCUUUUUUUUUUUCCAAAUGAUAUGCAGGUCCAUCUAGCCUUCAACUCAAAUUUUUUAUUCAAAAAUCACAUGUGGAUAUGUGAACAAGUAAAAGUUGAGUUUUACCUAACAAAUCAUUUUGAAAAUUAGGAAAUUUAAAAGGUAUUAGUUUGUUAAACUCACCACCCCUGUCUAUUCUACAAAACAAGAAGAUUAGCAAAGAAAAAGUAUUCAUAUUUGUACUACAAAAUAAAAAGAUUAGCAAAGAGAGAAAUUGUACCCAUGAGUGCAGAGUUUUGGGUUAAAACAACCCUUUUGAUGGGAAAAAUAUUAAAUUUAACCACUUUGUCAAACUAAUGUGUAAAAUGAUCCUUUUAUUAUCACAUAGGAGUCAUAUCACUAAUAUAUAUAUAUAUAUAUAUAUAUAUAUUUAAUUUAAGUUGAAGCCUCAAUUGCCAAUUAAGGCUUCAAUUAUCAAUUAUGACUUUAUUUUUAACCCGAAACCUUACUUGCCAAUUGAGGUUUCAACUAAAAAAAGAAACCUCAAUCGUCAACUAAGACUUAAUUUUUUAAUUGAAGCCUCAAUUGACAAUUGCGGUUUUAUUUUAAAACUGAAAUCUCAAUUGUCAAUUGAGGCUUUACUUUUGUGGAAGGAUUAUGUGACACUCACGUUACUAGAAAAAAGCCAUACUGAAUAUAAGUUUCAAAAGUGGCUUAAAAGGUAUAAAUUUUAUGAUCAAAGAUGCCAUUUUGACCCAAAAUCCCAUGGGUGCAUGAGACUCUAGUUAAUCAUAGAUUUCAUAGAUAAAAAUCAGAGUUAGGAUGAUUCAACCCCUAAGCGUCAAGAAUUCUUUAACAUAAUGUUAGAACAUUUUCCAAUUUAAAUUCGAGAGUUGACUUUAUUUGAAUGUGCUUUUGAUUUUUUUUUUUAAAUAAGCUUCAGUGUUUUUUUUAAAAAGAAAUAAAAAUAAAUAAAAAUAGGAGCUUCUAUAUAGAAAGUAAAAAUUUUAUCCAACAAAUAUAAGGCUCACCUUAUAUCCUUAUAAAAUAAAAAAUUUUAAAUUUUUUAAUACCUCAAAAUUUUUAAUCAAUAUUUAAAUAUCAUUAUAUUUUCAAUAUGAUUCCUUUAAAAGUUAAAAUUACUUAUAUUUUUUAUUUUCAAAAAAAAAAUAUAUAUAUAUAAGUAAUUUUAUGUUUUUUAAUUAUUAAGAUGGAUGAAAUAAUCCCAAAUUUGCAAAAAUAACUUCUUCUAUGUUUGAAUUUGAAAAAUAACUCAUUUCCAACAUAAAUACUCUUCAAUAUUUGGAUUAUUUUAAUAUAAAUUUUAGAAGAAAGUGUUAUUUUGACAGGAAAACAUGAAAGACAUUUUUGUUAAAAAUUGAUCUUUUUUUAAGGCUAAAAUAUAUAUAGGUUUAUAUUUACAAAUUUGAGACUAUUUCGUCCUCUUAAUCAAAUAACUUAAAAAAGAAAAGAGUUAAUUCCACAAGUGGGUUUAAAAUACUCACAAAAUUGCAAUAUAUAUAUAUAUAUAUAUAUAUAUAUAUAUAUAUAUAUAUAUAUAUAUAUAUAUAUAUAUGAAAUUACAAAUUUACCCUCGUGUGUUGAGCACAUGACACUUCCAUUCAUUAAAGCUAACAUUGUUAAAUAACAAAUGUACAUUGCAACUAUUUAAGAAGUAUGAAGGGCACAUUGCUUGAUUUUAGUACAUGGUGAGAAACUUGUUGAACAAGUUAUGUGUAAAGUUUUAUGGUUCAUGUAUGAUAGAAAAUACAGAUCUACUACAACACUGGAUUUGCAAUUUGGGUUAAUAUUUAAAGAAAAGACCAUAGGACAAAAAGAAUUAAACUUUUGGUGGAAAACAAUAAAGAAAGGACUACAUGGAAAAAGGGAAGAGAUCAUUAUAAAGGAAGAUUAUUGAAUAGAAAUAAUUCCAAGAACCUAAGGCAAGACAUAGAGUAUCACUACUACUAUCACAAAAAGGGGUAUAUCAUAAAAUUUAUGAAAUUUUGAAAAAGACCUAAAAAAUGAAGAAAAAAAAAAACAAAUCAAAGAAGCCUACAAGUGUAACUAGUGUUCUUAAAGUUGCGAAAUGAAGGUAAUAAAUCAAAAGUAGAUUUGUUAAUAGUUUUUAAAAUGCUUGAAUUAGGAAUUGUCUACUUGUACCAUACAAGCCCUUGUAGAGACUGGUUUGACAUGUAAAUUGUUUGUAAAAUCAUUUUAAUGGGCAAUAAUGCACCAAGUUGCUCCACGAGAAGGGGAGGGGUUUGUGAAACCAUCACUUGUCAUGACAUACAUCGUCGGGUAAUCACGGAUGAGGGCAUCCACGGGAGGCCAAUGUCUACCCUCGCUCCACACCCCUCUAGUACAAGGCUCUAGGAGGGAGAGAGGCAACAAGUGUGUGACACCAAGGUAAAUAUGCUUGACCUUAUGGCUUUGGGAGCAACUUGCAUUGAAAGACUUGAUGAUUCACAAGAUUCUACAAUUCAUACAAAGUAUUGCAUUUUGCGACGUUCUUCAUCAAUAAGAGAGCCUAGAUAUCCAUUGUCAAGAAUUCUUUAUGUAUGAAAACAAAGGCGCCUAACCGACAUGCCCAAGAUCAAGGCAACUGGAGCGUGUUGCUUCGCCCAAGUUACUUAGCGCGUUUUGUGCCAAAGUUUGUUGUUCGCUCAAGAGGGCUUUUGUGAAUCUUUGUAAUAAAGGGAUAAUACAGAGUGGGCCGUAAUUUAGCAUCUUACACGCUUAGUUUCUUCCAUUGGUGGCAUAUAUUAUUUUGUCUGUCAUUGGUGAUUAUUUAAUAAAACUAUGAGAGUAUUUCAUGAAAUAUAAAUAAGAGGUUUUUAGGAUAUUUAAUCGAUGGUAAACAAAAGUUGAAAACUAAGUAGGGAGGAAGAUAAAAUAUUUUAGAUUUGAUAGUGGACUUGAGCAUUAGAACAAGAAGUUCACAAAGUAUUGCGAGAAUUCUUAUAUUACUUAACAUCACAUGUAAAGAAAUUACAAAGCAAAAUGGAGUGGUUGAAAAGAUGAAUAGAACACCAUUGGAAUGACUAGGUGGCUAAGAUUAACCAUUGGGUUACUUAAGAAUUUAAGGGCUAAAGCUAUCAACAUAACUUAUCAUGUAAUUACUUAGUUGUCAAGUUUUACAAUUAUUUUCAAUAUUCCAAAAGAAGUGUCAAGUAAAUCAAUUGACUUUUCAUCUAUUGAAAUAUUUGAUUGUUGCACUUAUAUUCAUAUAUAGGUGAAAAAAAAAUUCAAUCCAAAAUAAAAAAGGUAUAUAUUCCUUGGGUUUGAAAAAAGGAUUGAUUAAAGACUAUAGACUUUGGGAUCCAACAAUUAAAGAAAAAAAAGUGGUGAGCAGAGAUGAAUUCAAUGAAAAACAUAUGUUAAAGAAAGAUCAAGGACAAAUGAAAUUGGUAUUGAAAAAAAAUUCAACUACAUGACCAAUCAUCGAGAUGAAAUUUGAGAAAAAUGUCAUUAAAUAUGAAAUCCCUCCUAAUUGAUGUCCCUAUUAGAACUUUAUAUGGGCAUCUUUCUCUAUUGCUCUAAAGAAUCAUCGAAUUGGGUAAGGACAUCAAUUUUAAGAUUUUAAUUUUUUUUCAUUAUUUAUUGGAAUAGGAGAUCUUUAAAUUUUUUUGGGGCUCAAUUAGGAAGGAUGAUAGUUAUCAAUGUGUUGGUGCUAUGUCAAAUGAGAAUCCAAUGCACAUGUUGACUAAAGUUGUUCUUAAGGAUAAGUUCAAGCAUUGGUUGAAUGUCAUUAAUUUUUCAUUUUGUAGAACAUGGAAGGUCAAUUUUAUCGAAGAGCCAGGUCAAUCAACUUCUAUUAGGACUUCCAUUGAUUCUUGAUUUGACUAGAGGGACUCCUAGCAGUAAAUUUGUAUGAAGGGGCCCUACGGAGAUGCAAGAGCUGCCAAUCGGAUCGACCAAUAAAUGAUAGGCCCAUGCAGAGAUGUCCCUGAAAUAGGGGAUUGGUUGAUUGGAAAGCUUAGGCAGAGUAUAAAGGAGAACAAUUUAGCAUUUUGGGAAAAGCACAUAUGAAGAUGUUUACAAGUUUGGAAAUUUGAGUUAAAGAAGAGAUGGUCUAAAAAUGUUUCAAAUUUCAAUUUUAUGUUUUUCUAAGUUUGAUAUAUCCUAUUUGGAUAUUUGGGAAGUCUUCUCUUGUUACAUAAGGUAGUCCUAUGAUGAGAUUUGUUAUGAAAAUAGGUUCUUCCUCGUGUGAAAUAUUCCUAUGAAAUUAAGAAGGAAUAUAGGAAGAGUUUUUAUUGAAAUUAUGAAUCUUUUUUUUAUGUAAUUAGAACUAAAAUAUGAGAGUUUUAGAAUUGUAAUUACACCUUUGAAUAUAAAUAAUUGAUAAUAGUGAAUUAAUUUACCUUCUCCCUCUAGAUGUAGGUAAAUGCUAAAUUAUGUUAAAUCUUGUAUUCUCAUAUGAUUUUUUUUUUCAUUUAUUUUUCAUUUUCUUGCCCAUUUCUAACUUGCUACUACAUAAUAACAGGUGGUAUCAGGCUUUUUGUGUUUGCACAACAAAUGGUCUCAGUUUUUCCAGCACCACAAAAAUGAUAUUUUACUUAAUUGCUCCUCAGUGGAAAAGUUGGAAAGAAAAAUUAAAUCAUCGACUACACCUUUUUUUUUUUUUCCAAAACUUUUCUUGUCUUUGUGCAAGAAAAUUAGUAUAUUUUCUCUUUAGUAUUUGUUUCUCAUUUAUAUAUAUAUAUAUAUAUAUAUUCAAAUGGAACCUUAAUCAUCUUUUAUAUGAAGUAUAAAAGAAUUAGAAAAUAUUCAAAUUUUAAAUGAUUUUUAUUAUACUUUGUCCACUUCCUAUUUCAUAUAUCAAAUUACAAUAGAAUUUAAAAUUCUUUUAUAAGUUUUUUCUCCCUUUGCUACCACAUAAACGCAAAGACAGUAUGUGAGUUAAAUACCUUAAAAGAAAAAGAAAUUAAAAUGUGAUACAAAACAAAAGUAACCUCUUUAAAUUCAAGGAAACAAAACACUAAACUUUUUCAUGUAUUUUAUUCCAUUUAUAAAUGCAACAUGACAAAAAUAGACAAAAAUAUAAAUGGAAACCCUUUGGGUCCUUUAUUUUAUAUUUUAUCAACUUCAACCAAUUCUAUUUCUAUAGCACAACCGAUAUUAUAAAGUUCAAUGAGUAUAUAAUAUAUAAAGAUACUAAUCAAUACGAAUUAUUCUUUCUUUCAAAUGGCUACUUGUAUUAAAAAUUAAAUGUAAUUCCUCCUAAACAAUAAAAUAUGUUGACACGAUUUCAAUGAAUAUACAGUACAUAAAGAUAUGACCAAUUAGUACGAAUUAUUCUUUCUUUUAAAUAGCUACUUAUACUAAAAUAUAAGUAAACAUAAUUCCUCCUAGAUAAUAAAAUAUGUUGACACAAGGAGGAAUAUAUUUACUAAUUAUAUCAUUUGCAAUAGCCUCAAUCUCGUGACGUUCUUCGAACCAACCAUAGACUUUAUUGAGAUAGGUUAACCAAGGGAGCUUCCACUCUCAUAACUCGUAUAUGAAAAUUUCAUCUUGUACAACUCAAAUAGAAACCCAUAAAUACCAGUUGAAACCAAAAUGUAAUAAAUAAAUAAAAACAUAUUUCAAUGGAUCCAAUUAGUAUUUUUCUGAUCUCGGAUAAACAAACAAAUUUUUCUUCAUUUUGUUUUUUUUUCCAUUAAUCUUUGUAAGUAAAUUAUAUUUUAAUUUAACAAAGCACUAAACUUUACUUUAAUUUUCAUGCAGGAUCAACUAGCUUAUCAUAAUAAAAUUUAUCAAUAUAGCUGAGCAGAGAUUUGAUGUAAUAAUACCAUACAAAAUUCAAGUAAAAUUAAAUUAAUCAAAUAGGACACUACGGUCAUAUUUGGAUACAUAUUCUAUUUUUUAUUUUUAAAAUUAAAAUUUUGAUAUAAAAUAUGACAACCCUUUGUAUAAAAAAUAAAAAUUUAUCCUAUAAUCUUAAAACUACUUUUCAAUAUUAAAAAAAAAUGAGGACGUGUCCUAAAAUUUUAAACAAAUUUAAAAAUAUUUUUAAAUACCAAGAUAUCCACUUUUUUCUUUUUUAAUAAAAAUUCCUAUAUUUGAUAUAAAACUCUAUUUUAAAAAAUGAAAAAUAAAAAAUGUAUCCAAACAUAAGCAAAAUUGUUAGAUUUCAUUGUGAGAUUUCUUAGAUUCUACAAUUCAUAGUGAAAUGAAGACGAGAGAUAACUGACUGAAUUAUGAAAAAAAAAAUUAACAUUGAUGAGAUUCAAAAAUGCUAGUUAAUGAAAGAGUUUCUCCGCCAGGAUGACUAAGAAAAAUGCUGAAAAAUGUGUCAUGCCCAAAGCAAUGUUACAAUGAAGAAUAGAAUGAGAGCUAACCCGAAACAAAAUCCGACAAUCGCCAUGAAAGCCUGGAUGCAGAGGAAAUGUAACUAGAGACAUGUAAGGAAUCAUUAAGCAAGUGAGAACAAUAUCAAAAUCUCAUGUACGACUUACUUACCUUUCCCUGAGAUUCAAACUUGAAUUUUACUGUAAACCAUGACAAUCCUCUAUCUACAAUAGGUGCAAGUGCAAGGGCCCUGCAUGAGAAGCACCUCUACAAAAAUCACAGAAAACCCAAAGGAAAAAAAAAAAAAAAGAGUAAAUAAAUAGAAACUAGUCUAUCAGAAACCAGGAGGCUGCAACAAAUAAUCUCCAAAUGUCAGAUUUAAUAUUUAUUUACAAAUGCCACUAAAAGGCCUUUUCAUCAGAGAAAUCUAGAAUAAAAAAGGAUAAGGAGCCAUUUGGAUUACAGAGGUCAAAGAUUGGGUUGGAUGGGAGCAAGUUUAACCUCCUCAGUGAAAAUGAAAAUGCAAGGCCCAUCAUCAACGCUAGGUUCAAAAAUUGACACCAUUUCUUGAAGACUUUCUUUUUUCAUUCUUCAAUUGUCAUUUUGAUUCAAAGAAGCAGCAGCAUGAUAGACUAAACAAUCAUCAUAAACCCAGUUGCAAGUUAUAAGGAUAAGAAAGAAAAUGAACAGAAAACAUAUAUGAGAGAACUGAUAGGCCAAAAAAAUCAUUGUUGAAGGAAUCGAGCAUAAAUCUCUGAACAAAAUUUAGCUGAAAUUCACUGAUUUUGGGUUAUUUUGUGAUAAGAGCAUUGCAAUAUCCCAAUAAACUGUUACGCUAACUAAAGAUUUAAAACAGAAUUUAGCUGCUUACCCUCCAGCUCUGACAAGUUUAGUGACCUGGCUGCCUGCCCACACCAUAGCCAUGAUUUUGACAAAUCUGCCAAUUGGAUUCCAUGUCAAGAUAUUUUGAAAAACUUGUGCAAAAAGAAACUUUUUGGAAUAAGUUUUUACCUUUCAACUGCCGCCAAAUAACCCAUCCUUCCUGGUGCUGGAGCAAUAUAAAACCUAGAAGCAGCAUAGUGAAUUCAGAGUUAUACUGGUUAUUUGAAAUCUACUCUGAACACCUAUGAUAGAGACUGCAGGAUGUGGUAAAACACUAAGGCAUAUUUCAAACUACAUUAUAAGGUAUUUGAUUAGAAAAUUAAAUAAAUAAAUAAAUAAAUAAAAUAACAUAACAUAAAAUACAAAAAAGAAAAAAAAAAUUAACAAACUGAAUUUGUCCAUAUGCAACAAUAUGCAAUUGUUAGCCAUGAAUCCCAGUUAUGUCGGUUUCCAGUAUUAAUAAUUAAGCAUGAUGUUUAUGAACUAGACCAGCAUUCUAAUAACUCUAGAUUGAAGGGCAUGGAUGUCACAUUUGUAUUCCAUCAUGUGCAACUAACAUCACAUUGAAAUAAUAUCCACUAAAGCAAGUUAAGACCCAGUAUAUCAGAUUAAAUUUUUUCUACCAUGAACAUAAGCUUGAUAAAAAUGAAGAUGGAAAUGCAAUACUUCUUUAUAUGACAUAAUGAAGGGAACCAAAUACAAGGACUCCCCAUUCCAGAUGCAGAAAGCCAAGUUACAACCUUUGCCAAAUAAAGAGAUCCACCAUAAGUUCAUUUUUAGACAUGCUAUAGUUGAAUAUGCCAUCAGUAAGUGAUCAAAAGCCAAUUCAGAUGGGAAUAACAGCCACAAUGUUGGGAAGGUCAAUAACAAAAGCAUUGACUUGAAUGUUGGCAGUGUCAUUUACACUGGCCAUAAGAACCAGAGGUAAUGCAUACAGUUGGUAAGGUGGGGAGGAGGAGAUGAGAAAUUGAAAAGUCUUGAAUUUAUUUGUUUCAUGCAAUUCCGUUUUCCAAUACUCUAUACGAUAAUAUACAUUGUACAGCACAAGAAUAGGGUUGUUUUAAAAUUUUGAACAAAUAAAAAUUUCAUAUCAAUAUCUAAUAUUUAAUAAAAAAGAAUGAAACAAGAGUAAGUACAUUCUCUUCUCCUUAACAUGGUAUUAAAGCAGUCUCCAAACUCUUAACUCCUAGUUGCAUACUUGAUUUGCACUGGAAGUUGCAGUUUGCUCAUUUUGUUAUUCAAGUAAGUUACUUCAAUCUAUCAUAGUUUAAAUGACUUGGGACGGUAGUUGUCAUGGGCACGAAUUUUCCCACAAAUUUUUCGCAUUCACACAGCGCUUAGAAGCCCUCUAAGCCAACAUACUCAAACCCACAUGAGAUUGCAAUCAAGAAAAACCUCACAAAGACACACAAGGCUAUGGAGCUCAAUCCCUAACUUGUAUUUUAUUUCUUCUCUAAAUAACAAUACCAGACAUAGCUUAACAAGACUUCCACAAUCUCUUUGGUGAGUUCAUGCUCUCUCUCAAGCUAUGUAUAUUCUCUAUGAUCUCCAGAUUGCACGAUAAUUCAAAGGGCACUCCAGUCCUCCUUUUAUAGGUGUGACACCAACCACUCCCUAUUUGAUAAGGAGCAACGAAUCCUAGUUCUACUCAAACUACAAUUAAAAUAAGAAUCUAAACUCCUAUUCAAACUCAAAUUACAAUAACAAUUUGAAUUCAACUCUGAACUUUCAAAUGUCUUCGGCCCAUUCCUCUUUCAUUUGAAACUCCUUGUAUCAGGCCACAUAUCAGCCCUUCAAUUCCCUGGUUUGUGGUGCAAUAUAUCUUCCUUAAGCUUGUCCCAAUGCCAAGACAUCUUUGUUGUGUUCUGCCUGAAGUCUACCCACUCUUGUGCCUUGAGUCAGUCCAUUCAUGCAUUUGAAUCAGCUGAUGCAUCCGAUCAGCUUGCUAUAGCGUCUCUAGGCAGCCUACUACAUGUGUCUCUAUGCAACUAGUGUGCAUGCCAAGCCCUCUCUUAGCCUACAGAUCUAGCAAUUUUCCUUGGUGCCAAUCUUUCCUUUGGCUGUAGCCCCUUGUUGUUCCUUGAGCGUGUCAGUCAUGCUCAUAUGUGUUCCCGCAUCUGGAUCACGUCCAUGCUGAGGCAACCUGCCCAAGUUUGCUCUGCCUAGCUGUUGUUAUGGCAUCAUGCCAUGCCCAAGCCCUCUUCUUGGUGCAGCAACGAGUCAUGGCAUUGCACCCAUGACUCCUCAUCUCUAUGCACAAGGCAUUGUGCCCUUGUGCCACGCCACCUCAUUGCACAAGGCAUUUCCCCCUCAUGCUACCGUUGGGAAGGGAAGACUGCAUAGCACCCCAUGUCGUUGCAACCUUGAGUUGCACACCAUCACAUGUCAUGGAGCCCAUAUAUGGUUGCUAGCAAGGCUUGCCCAUGUGCCUUGCUCAUGUUUGAGGACUUGCACCAAAGCCCCUAAGUGUGGCCAUGCCCAUGCCACCUCGUCUCCCUUGAGUCACCCCCACCCUCACCCCCCUUAAAAGAGCAUUUUAAGCCCUUUUAAUUAAUUCAAGAAAAUCUAGAAAAUUUUGCUUCCACUUGGAGUCUCCCUUUUGAAGGUUCCUAUAAAUCUUUUAUCUCUAAGCGAAUUAACCAAGUCACUUAAUUGUUUUGCAACAUUCCUUCCCUUCCCAUAGUGUAUUUCAAGAUCUCUUAAUGAACAAGACAAUUGGUGGAGGGCAUGAAGUAAGUGGAAUUUAUCACCAUAUUGGCCCACCUUUUACUCCAAUUGCUCUACGUACUUCCAUUUCUUCUAUGUAGUGGCACACCUUUCACUACGCAUCUUUAGCAUAUGGGACUUCUAGUUAUAUUGGACUCCAAGUUAAAGCACCAAGUUUGUGAGUCAAGCAAAUAGCAUCACCAUAGUGUUGUUCUAGUCCUUUUUGUUCUAUAAUCAAUAAGAGGAGUACUAGUCCUUUUCAUCUUGUUCAUUUAGACAUUUACAGUUUAUGUAGUGUUGUUCCUAAUGUUGAACUAAACUUUUUUAUUGCUAUUUUAUUAAUUAGAUCAAUGAAAAUGGUAUGAGCAUAAAGAGGCUGAAUAAUAGGUACUAAUCUCUUAAAAAAAACUAUCUUGUAGAAACAUCAUCAGGUGACUAUGCACAAGUAAAUGGUCUGACAAGGCGUGAGAAAAACAUUCAUUUUUGUGCAACAACCAAGUAUUUGCAUCUUAAUCAACCAAAGAAUAAAUGGCUGAAGACAAUAAAUGACUGAACAAAAAGAAAAUCAUAAGUUUUAGGCCAGACACUUUUUUCAUCAAUUAUAUACAACAACAAUAAAUCAAAUAGUCCUAAAUUUCAAAAGAAUAAUGCUCAGCAGCUAUGCAUACUCACAAGUCACAAAUACCUCAUCCUUGACUAAUUUACAUGAAUGAAUUAUUUACUUACCAUACCAAGAGAAACGUUGUAAGAUAGUAUGCAGUAUUCAGGAGUCCAUAGGAUAAUAUUCCAGAAAUUCCAUAUCUCUUCAGUUUCUUUAGAAGACUGAAAGGUUAAGCAAGAAUGAGCUCUCAAUGUAAGUAGACAUGCAUUUCAGCAUACAAAGGGCAAAAGGAUUGAGGUAUCACUUCUUACAGAUUGUUUGCAUGAAAUUCAGUAGUAGAAGAGAAAUUAAAAUGAUUGGGACAAGAUCACUCAUCCAAACAAUAGUUUAUUUACAGAGAAAAGGUCUAAAGCAUAAUCAUGCAGUAGACAAAAUGAAUCUUUUGUGUCAUGUUCCAAUAAUGUUAACAAACUACAUUAAAUUCAUAAGGUUACAUAGAAAAAGAAAGAAAAGACAUUGUUGCAAUAGUUUGGUUGUUACACUGCUAGCACCCAGACUACGACCAAAUCCUUGCAUUGAAAUUGAAUUUCAAACUCCCAAUGUGAAAAAGGAAGAUACAAAAAAGAAAAGAAAAACAGGAGGAAAAAAAAAAAAACAGAGGGAAAGAAAAGAAACAUGGGAUUUCCAUGUAUAAUACAUACAUAUUAUAUCUAUAGAUAAAUGCAUGUAUGUGCAUAUGUCAUAGAGGCUGGUCAGACACAUUUCAAGAAGUUUCACAACUUGCUUUGGAAUGACAAACACGUGGAUCAAUAAAUGGCUUGUCUCCAUUAUUGAGAAAUUGCAGGUAAAUUUCAUCCACUACAGGCAUGGGGUGGCUGGACAAAGUUAUGCCAUUUGGUGGGAUGUAGUGGACUUAAGACAGAAAAUUCUCAAUCAUUCUUCUGUCCCUUGUGCAGUGUUGAAGCUGACAAUAUUAUUGAGCAUACAAGGAAUGUGAUGUAAAACAUCAUUGAGGACCAUGAGCUGCGAAGGCAGGGAGAAAUUAAGUUAUGAUUAAGUUUUGGUGAGGGAUUUUCAGAUGCAGAUCAUAUGGCAAAUUAACUUCAGAGAAUUGCAUGUUUUUAUUCAUUUCCAUACACAUUGAAUAAUCAUAUUUAAAAUCCCUCAUUCACUUGUUUCGCUUCCAUUAGUGCUCCUUCCACAUGCCUAUUAGCAGCAUAGACCUCAUGAUAGUUUGGUAAAGGUAAGACAAUAAAAUUGAAAAAUACAGCUAAAGCCUAAAAUAUUGGCUCAUAAAGAGAGAAACCAUCCAAGUUCUAUCUUAAAUGACUCUACAAGUUCUAAACAGGGAGACAAGGACUUCAACCUGGUCCAUCAAUGCAUAUAAAUGGGUAAUCAUUCCAACAACCAUUACGUUAGAAGUACACUAAAAGAAAAUUAUUAAACAAUGUUGUUUCCAAAAAUUCCAUGUUAAAGAAUAGAAGAACAUACUGCUAUAAAUGAAAUUCAUUCAAAACAGUUCAAACAGUAAAGUUAAGAAUUGUGACUGCAUAUUUUUUUUUAAAAGAAACAAGAAUUGUGACUGCAUAUCACCACACUUGUUUUAUUUAUAAUCCACACAAUGUAUUCUUCCCUAGCAUGUUAUCCCAUUAAGUAACCUCCAGAUAAAAUUCCCUUUCUGACUCUGUCAAUCAGCCAAAAAAUUUGAUGUAAAAUGUAAAAUACAUGGGUACACAAAAACAACUAUAUAAACUGCCAUCCCAUCAUUAAUAAAUCAUUUGUCUAUAACAUAGACUAAUAGCACUGUAAGGCAAGUAGGAAGUACUCUUUUGAUGUGUGCAGUUCUCCUUCACCAUUUUCGCCCUUUGCACUGGAGUCUAUAAAAAUAUGUAUAAGUAGAUUUUUAGAAAUAUCAAGUUUAUCAAAUGUAAAAUAUGGUAUCACAGAAAGCUACACCAUUUUUCUAGUUAUCAUUUGAAAGAUAUUGAUACCUUCAUGGUUGGCAGAGUAGUCAUGACCAUUUGACAUGCCAGAAGCCUAACCUACAACAAAGGCAAUGUUGAAAAAGCAAUAUUCAAAAUUCAAUGAAAAAAACAGAAGACAAACAAAUGAACAAAUAGCAAAUCAUCACACUCAAUUGUUUUCCAAAAAUGAAAAACCAAAUGAAAGGAACAAGGAAUAUAUUGAGAAAAAAACCUAUGAUCAAUGGAUAUGCAGUUGCAUUCUAGCACAUAUAUAGGAUCAAACAAGUAACUAAUCUAGACAUAGCUGCAGCAAAUUUGUGUAUCUCUGAAUGCGUGUCUGCUUUUUGUGGGGGGAUAUUUAUUAUGACAUGUUCUUAGUGCAGACAAACCAUCUGCAUUUACUUGAGGAUUAGGUAAACAUACUUUCCAUUUAAAAUGAGGCCUUGAACAUCAAGCCCCGGUGAGUUUUCAAAUAAGGAAAACAUAAUAGCUUUACAAUGAGUCCCAUAGCAAGAAGGCAUGCAAUUCCAUUCAUCAGCAUACCAGAAUAUAGAAUAGUGUGGACAUGUGGACACAUGCCAGAAUUAGCAUUGGACACACUAACAUGCCAGUCAUACAUAGAAAGACUUUCCAAAGAUAUUAAAGUAAAACACUGGUAGUAAGCAAAUUAGACCCAGAAAAACAUGCAAGUAUAGGCCAAGAUCAAAUCUUAAUUUUAAUUUCCAGAAAAAAAAUAAAAAAUUAUAUCAACCAAUAGAAAUGGUAUCAUCAGCAAUUAACACCAAAACACACCAACAUAUCGGAAUGCAUAUCACGUGUACCAAUCUCCAAUCAGCAUUACACCUGUACAAGUUAGCCUGUAGCAGGUCAUAAUAGGUUCAGACUAUAAAACCUUCCAAAUCUUCCUUUGCAGGGCUUAGAAACUAUUUUCUAAGUAAUUUGCAAUUUUAAAAGCCUGUGACAAAAUUUUGGAUGAAGAGCUUAAACUAUAUACUCACAAACCCACUCCAAAAUUUCCUUAAGGUAAUACACAUUUUUUGAAGUCCUUUCCAAUGUCUUCUCUUAUUUGAGUUAGAAAAGCCAAUGUUUUUAUGAAUUGACUACUACGGCUGUUGAGGUUUGAGGUGUAUAACUAAUUUCUUAAUAUAUCAUAAUUUACAUCAGUCAUUAGAAAUUAAGGUUCCAUCCUUUUACACUAAGAAAAUCCUGAGAGCAAUUAAAAAAUACCUUCUUUAAUAUUAUUAAAUUUAAGUUUCCUUUAGGUCUUUGAGUCUAAUAGAAAUUAGUAUAAAAGGAAUUUUAAUUUUCUUACACUAAGAAAAUAAAAAUAAUAGGCAAAAUAAUUUUCAAAUUUUGGAACUUUAUAGGUAAUGCUUAUUAAAAUAAAGCAACAAAGUUUGUCAUUUGCCAAUGAAUGAACCAAUUGUGGAAAACUAUGCAAAAAAUUUUAUUAGCAUGGAAUUUUUUUUUUCUGCCAAUAUAUAGAAUUCAAUUUCAAACCUGCCCCUCCCAACCCACCACUUGCUACUUGAGGCAAGCUUAGAGGCAGAAAACUAUUUACAAUUCUACGUAUGGAUAAAAAUUAUUUCUUAGAUUUUAUGCCAAUUCCAUAUUUAUAGGUAUCAAUUUAUUAUUCUACUGUUGUCAGAAGCUUCAAUUUUGGGCGUCCUCAUGGCUAUGCCACCCUUAAAUGAGAACAACUUUGGUCUUCUGUUUUUCUUUUUGAGCUCUUCAAAUUUUUGCAAGUUACUUCUAUCCAGGUUCUAGGAAACACCCAUUUUUUUAAAUCUCCAAUAAUUUAGGGUUCUGUGGCUGAGGGAAUAGACUUAUUUUUGGUUGAAGCACAUAAAAUUCUUGGCUAUUUUUUUAUUUUUUAUUUUGCCAUCAGGUCCUUUUAGGUUGAUUUUUCUACUUAUUUUUCACCCACCAAUUAACAUUGCCCUAACUCUGUUAUCUAUCCGAACAAAUGUUUAUGAACUAGCAAAUCAUACUAAAAUUUCUUACUAGUUGACAUGUGCAUCAUCUCAGCAUGUCAUUCCAACACCAAACUACAACCAUAAUCUCACUAACAUCCUAACUGCCUCAAUGAGUAUGGAUUACAGAAAUGCAAUUAAAAUAUACUUCCCUAUUUAAUUUCAUAAUUUUUAUAAUAAUAUUUCAGCAAUAUUUCCACAUAGUAGCUUAUGUGAGAAAUCCCCAUUUCCGUAUAAAAUCGAAAAACCCUAUAGCUUGCGCAUGUAAAUAGAAAAAAAAAAAAAAAAGACAGAUUUUGCAGAAUUGGGAGAGCAGACUCACACCAGCAUGGCCAUUGAUUGAGCAGAAACGCAGAUGACGAUGAUGGUGGUGGAAUUGGGAGAAAUUGUUGAGUUUGUGGAAUGUGGGAACCCUAGGAAUGCUGGGAUUGAAACCCUGGAUUGAAACAAGAGGAUUGUGAGAGAGAAUUGGAAAUUGAAGAAUCAAACACAAAAAAUAAAUCCAAGAAAUAAAAAAGAAGCGUAAAAAUGAAAUAGAGAAGAGUGUGUAUGACGCACCUGAUGAUGUGAAAGCAGCUUCAGCUGGUGAAGGCAAACUUUCGACGGGAGAGACAUGAGCAUACCGGCCUCCGACAACAAUCCCUCCAAAAUAUUCUUUCUAUACCAUUUAUUAUUAUUAUUAUUAUUAUUAUUAUUAUUUUCAGGUUAUUUGAAGUGCAAUGUCUAGCUAUACCAUUUAUUAUUAUUAUUAUUAUUUUAUUGCUAUUAUUAUUUUCAGGUUAUUGAAGUGUAAUGUCCACCAUACCUUAUAUGCCAUCCAUGAUGAAGGCCUUAGAACUCUCCAUGGAGCCUAAAUCUCGGGAUGCUAAUCACCCUAUAAUAACCAGCAUAGAGUAUAUUCAAAGUAUCAUUAAUGACAAAUUUCGAACUUAGGACCAUAUGUCAUUUACUGAGACCACACUUCUUAAUGUUCAUCCUUAGCGACACACUCAUAUGUACCAAAUCAUCCGAUAACCUGUUUUUCCUAUUUUCUCAUUUUUACAAAAAAAAAGAAAAAAUAAGAAUAACUUCUAUUUUUAAAAUUUUAAUUUUUUUUAUAAGUAAAUUUUUGUUCUCAUUAGGACCUGUGGAACCUCCCACAAGUCCUCCCGAAUCAUUUACCACUUGAGUCAUGCCUUAAUGGCUUGUUUUUUUAAAAAAUAAUAACAACUUUUAUAUAAAAAAAAAUACUUAUAAAAAAUAUAUACAUGUCAUUAAAAGUUUAAAGAAAUUUAAAUUUGAUAAUAAUUUUUUAAAUAAUUUAAUGUGUUAAUUGUUCUUAAAAACCGUAAAUAACCUAAAAAAGAACAGUAUGUUUGUAAAUUGACCAAAUUGUUAUAUGGUUUUAAAUAGUCACCUUAACAAUGUUACAAGUGAGUUGAUUAAUUUAUGGUAGAGAAGAAUUACAAUAGAAUUCAAUUAGUUAUCGCAUUUGAAGUCUUUGAUUAUUUGUUGAAUAAUAUUUGCAGCCAAUUAGCUAGGGUUGGCUAACCCAAGCCAAACCUAGUUACCAAUAUGUCCAACCUAUGCUAAACUCGAUUCAAAGUAAGGUUGGUAGUUACUAAACUCAUUAACAACUAAAGUUUCUAUGGAUUCCCACGAGUUUUCAUGGAUUAUCAAAUAAACCACAUAUAAUGGAAUCUCCUAAUAUAUAAAAGACAUAUUUCAAAUUAUAAAUUAAACCAUAUUAUAAAAUAAAAUUUUAAAAGCUAAGUAUAUAUCAAAGUCAUAAAUUAUAUUACUAUUCACUAAUUUUAAUGGUAACAUGAAACACAAGUGUGAAUAUUUAAAAAUAUUUUAGUAAUUAAACAAAAAUGAUAGACUUAUAGUGUAAUGUAAUAAAACUAGCAAAAGUUAUAGUUAUUUCAUUAUCCCUUUUAUAAAUUUCAUAUUUUAAAUAAACUAAUAAAUAAUAUAAUAGUAAUGAAUUUGCUUAGUCUUCAUCAUGUAGAACCAAUUUGAAGAAUUUUUUUUUAACAGGACUGAUUAAUGACUUAAUUAAGGGUAGGUUACAGCUAAAAUAUUUAGUAGGACUGAUUAGUGACUUAAUUAAGGGUAAACUACAGCUAAAAUUUUCCUAGUAGUCUUCCACUAUGGCAAAUUGUGGGAACUAGUAGUGGCCUGUCCAACCUAUAGAGGAAACAAAUAGGUGAGUGAGUUAUUGAAUAUGUGGCUGAGAGUGACCAACCAUUGAGGCUCACAUGAAGUUGUAGUGGCUGAAAGGAAGGGAUAAGAGACCAAAAACAUGCUCAGAGAGAUUCUUGUUAGGAUCAAAUUGGGGGCAUAGAUAUAUCUCUUUGGUAAGAGUUCCCAUAAUUUAGGUAUUAAUGAAAUAGGUAUAAAAUAAUUAUAUAUCUUGAUAUGAUCAUGUUGUUAAUGAUGAUCUAAUGAGUUGAAAUAUUAUGUUUUCAACUGUGUAUAUCUAAUAAAUACAUCAAGUGCUUAAACUUUAAUAUAGAAAUGGUCCACAAUGGCUUGUAUGACUCAUCGUCUUAUAAACAUAUUAUUUAGAUUAGGCUAAAGUGGUCAAAGUAAGAAGAAAAAUUGAUACUUGAUUUGAAGUAUGAAGAAUUCUUCUUAGACUUUGUGUGUAGUGUUGUUAGCUUAUUGUUGUGUUAAAGUCUAUUUUGAUGUAUUUUGGAAAGAAUGACCAACUAGAACCACAAUAAGAUGUUGCAAAACUUAUUUAAACAAGGGCUUGUGAGCAAGAUUUUUUUUUUUCCCUUUCAUGUACAAAUAGUAUGAUGAAUGAAAAUUUGAUUCUCGAUUGUAAUUAGUGUUUUCUUUAAGUUUUAAAUCAUGCAAUGAAUACUUAAAAUUAGCUUACGAUGUCAAAGAAUGUAAGUAAACAAGGUUUUACAUGUUGGAUAUAUAAUAAAUUCAAAACCUUUACCUUCCACAUUGAAUGAUUACAUUUUUUCUUUAAGUGCCCUUUAAUCAUUCUCAUUUUGUUUAAUCAUUUUCUAUAAUGUCUCGAGCAUAGUAGAUUUCUAUAAAUUUACAUGAGCAUUCCUUAACUCUUCUUGAGUGAUCCUAAACUUAGCAUUGAAACAAUCAUAAUUUAGGCGAAGAUGCUUAUACGUCUUCAUAAUCAUCCUUGGUUGCUAGCCAUUUUUCCUUAAUUACUUUAGGAUGUUUAGUGAAGAUGAUUACAAAUAUUAACUAGUUCACUCAAACAUUUUUGUAUGAGUGUAGAACAAUUUUGCAUUCUUUCCACAUCACUUAUGCAUCUUCGUUCCAAGAAAUAAGAUAUAGAACUCUUAUGUUUUGCCUACACCACUUGGUUCUCCAACCCAUUGUGCUUAUGCAUCCUUUUUAUAUCACAUAUGCGACUUGCUUCUCAUUAAGAUAUUUCACUUACAUGUUCUUGUAUAUGCAUAAUUUAGGAAAAAAUAUUUAAAAAUAGAAAAAUAGAUUUUAAUACAUAUAUUUGGAACAAUUAAACUCAAACUAUGCAAGUGACCUUGUCUACUAUGUAGGUGACUUUGUUUACUACAUAGGCAAAGUAUAUGACAGUGAUAGUCAAGGAAGCUAUGUGGUUGCAUGGUUUAGUGGAGAAUUUAAGAGUAAAGCAAGAUCACAUUGUGAUUUAUUAUGAUAAUGGGAGUGCCCUAAAUUUAUUUAAGAAUAAAAUUCAUCACUCAUUGGUAAGGCAUAUUGAUGUCUAAUUUCAUUUUAUUUAAGAGAUUCUAGAAGAAAGUCAUACCUUAUUUUAGAAAAUUACUGAUGUUAAUGAGGUAGGUCAUAUUUAAAUGUGAUCCAUGUUGAAAGGAUCAAUGUACCUUUAGGUGUGUAGUAGCAAAAUCUUUAAAGAUUGUUUGGUUAGCUUCAUUUAAAUUACUUAGUUAAAUAUUACAUAGUCAAUUAUAUGUUUGACUUUUUGAACUAGAACAUUUAGAUUUUGGUUGUUGUAGUUGUUAUAAUUACUAUUUAGGUUUUUAAAAAGGUAUAAAUUUAUAAUUUUAGUUGGUUUUAUUAGUUUCAUUUAAAAUUCCCAAGAAACUUCAGUGAAGGAAAACAGAGCAAGAGAGUUUUUGAGAAUUGCUUAUAAUUCUUGUAUAUUAUUUUGAUAUCUUUAGUGCAUUCAUCUUAUCAUUACCAUAGAUGAAGGCAUAUUGUCAAACCAUAUAAAUUGUUUAUCUCUUUGUCUAUAUUGAGCUGCCAAGAUCAGUUCCUUGUAAUCCAAUGGCUUAUUUUGAUUCCACGAUGCUACAAUGUAUUGAAUUAAGCAUAGGGAUUAACAAUUCCAAUCAUAAACAAUAAGAGAUCCUCCCCAACAGCAUAAAAAACUUGAGAGACCCGAGGCUCGCAUCUCAGAAUAUGCUCUUGAACUAACACUAAAGAUGCCUAGAUUCACCACCACCCUUUCCACCCCAAUGUUGUUAGAAGUAGAAUCUAAUCAAAUGAAGAGUUCCUGAUAGUUGCGAGUUCUUAUGAUUUUUUUCCAUCAUUUUCUGACUUUUUUUUCAUCCAUUACGUACGUCCUUCUGAGUGGAGUUCUCCUUUCAUGGUAUCAGAAAAUCAUACUCAAUGAAUUCGUUAUAACCAGACCAUAACCAGAACCUCCAUGGCGUGUUUUUCCUGUGUUUUUUCUGAAAAUAUAGCUACAUUUAUACAUAUUUUUAAGAAUAUUAAAGGCAUUAUCAAAGGAAGAAACCGAGAAAACUGAUUGUAUAGAAAUCUAUAAUUGUGCUUACUUUCAGUCCUAGUCACAAAGUUUCAACCAGAUAAAUCAUGUCGAGAGAUGCCCAGCAAGUGGUGGUGGUCCAGGAUGCAUCCAGAGAUGUUAGUUCAAGAGCAAUCCUUAGGAUUCUCCAUGACUUAACACUUAAGCCUGGAGAUGACCUUACACUCCUCGGAGUUCUUCACCAGGUUAAUAAUCCUUGUACGCUUUCUUUCAUGGGAGGUAGGAAAAUACGUAAAAAUUCAUGCCUUUUUUUUCUUUUGAGUACAGAAGAAAAAUCCAAGAAGAAAGAAAUAUUAAACAUAGCACCAGGAAAAUGAUAUAUACCAAAAGGGAAAUUGUGCAGGUUUAUAGAUUGAUGAAUGAUGUGUCAGAUUUCCCAAUACAACUAUUUUAUUCUAAGGUAUACUUUGAUAAUAGAGACAACUAUUUUAUGAUCAAAUGAAAAAAUGAGGUAUAACAAUUAACCCAAGACAAAUCCUUAAGUGAUACUUUAGUUUUUUAUGAAAUAAAUGUUCUUUUUAUAUUAGUAUAAAAGAUUAUUUUUUCUUAGUUUCAUUUAGGGAAAAUUUUGAUUUUUUAAAGUUUUAAAGUUGGUUAAUGUAAAAUUUGUUUUUUAUCUUUUAGAUUUUCUUUUCCAUAUUUACAAAAAUAGAUAAUUAAAUAAACUUAGAUAAAAAUAGAAUUUUCAUGUUCACUUGUUUGCCUUAUGAAUUUAUUUUACUAUUAAAAUAGGUGCUUCUUAUUAUUUAAUUUUAAAAGUGAAGAUGCAUGUUUUAAUAAAUUCUAAGAGAGGACAAUGUUUAAAAUAAAAAAUUGAAAUAUCGUGGAAAUUAAUAUUUUAUUUUAAAUACAGACAAUUUCCAUGUAAUUUUGUUUGUAUAUUAUCACUACAAAUCAACGAUGACUCCAAAUAGCCAUUGGCCUUAAGAGAUGUCAAGCUCACAACAAAAAUAAUGUUCUAAGUUCUCUAAAAAUAUUUUAAUUAAACACAAAGGUAGUCCAUCAUCUAAUCAACAUUUGCAUAUACAAAACCAUUUUAGCAAAAGUUACAUCAUCCGUUAGUAUAAGCAAACAUGAAUAAGUAUUUCCUAAUUAAGAAAAAUAUUAAUUCAAAUAUUUUAAAUUGGCCAACAAAUUAGGAUAUUGAAAUAAUGGUCUCUAUAUCAAAUGAGUUAUAAGAAAAGGUAACAUUAUCUUUCAUCUAAAUUUCUAUGCUUUCACAAUCUUCAAAAUUAAUAAAACAAUAAGUUAUCUUUCAUUUGAUGCCAUUGGCUAUAUUGUAUUUUCUCGUGACAAAGUGAUGAUUAUCUUUUUUUUUUUUUUAUGCACUUGAUUGAUUUGGUUUCCACCAAUGUGACUUUAGUGAUUUAUCCUUCGCCGGUUGUUAGGAUAAUGGUAGUGGUUAAUAUGAUGUCGUCAAUAGAAUAACUACCUACUCUAGGUAGUAUGUUGGAUAUGAUGUUAUAAACCUACUUAUAGAUUAAUAUAGUUCAACAAAUACUAAUUUGAGAGAGAGAGAGAUAGGUCUAUGGUGAGUUGUAGUGAAAGGGAAGGAUUAAGGCUAGGGUUUGUGUGGGUAUGAAAAAGAUAAAAACAUUUUUAUUUUCAUAUCCAUUUUUGGAUUUUAAAAAAUAAAAAUAAAUAGGUGGAUAUAGAAAGAGUUCAAGUGGUUCGUUUGCAAUUUCCCUUCAUAAAACAUCACAGUUGUCAAUGAGAUCUAUGCACUAAGUAAUUUUAACAACCUUUGUUUGUGAAUUGCUUGUUACUGCAUUAAGUUUUGGUAUUCUCCUCCAUGUAGGUGAAACAUAUCAUGUUUAUGUAGAAUCAUUAAUAUAGUGUUUAACAGCUUCCAUGAAAAAGAAAGCGUGAGAGCUUGGGGAUAUACUUCCCAACUUAGAGGACAUCUCAAUAGCAAUGAAUAGAUUUUCAUAUAAAUGGUUAAAUAGUAUAUAAAAUAAUCGAAGAUGUCUUGUUUUAGUUUACCUCCUAGGUAGAUAGCCUAGUUACUUCAAGUAGUUUUGGCAACACCAUUUACUAUCAUCUUCAACGAGUAUAUAUCCUUCAAGGCAAGGCCUCACUUUCUUAGCUCAACAAAAAGUUUAUUAUGAUAAGUUAUCUUGAUAACUAAUGACUAAUCUUGGUGUAUAUAUAUAUAGUUAAGAGGGAUGUGAAUCAAUGAGAAAUAGUUUCCACUUUGUGCUAAUGAUAGGUUUGAGUCAAGGUUCAAAUUUUCAUCCAUGGAAGUAUGAAUGUUGAUCAAUAUGAAAUUCUGGUCCAUCUUGUGAUAACAAAUAGUUUAUCAUAUGUAACUCAAAAUUAUUCUUUCUAUACAUUCAUCUUGUGCACCCACCUUUCUGUUUCUUUAUUGUACGUAUCACUUUCUCUUAUUCCAUAAGGAGAAGCCACUAGACUUGAGAAAUCAAUUAGAGAAUGAUACAAUUCCAACAAGAUCGAGUAUGAAACAUUUCUUAUCAAUCUUUUCAUAGUGACUCAUAGCUUGUAGUAAAUUAAUGGGCUAUUUGUUUUUUAACUUGAGUUUUGAAGCAAGUUGUUUUAAGAUUUAAGAUAAAAGUAAAAAAGAAAUUUACUUUUUCUAUUAACACAAAAUUAUCUUAGAAAAUAUGAUACGUUAAAAAAUAACCAUUUUAAAAAUGACAAAUCUUAUAGAAAAAAAUAAUAUAAAAAAAUAACACUUAACACUAUUAAAUAGUAUUUAGUUUUGAGUUAUAUUAAGGUAUAUAUAUAUAUAGACACACACCACCUAAGGUGAUGUUUUACUUGUUUGUUUGUUUUUUCUAAAAUCUAAAUAGAUUUGAAUUUGGAUUGAAUUUAAAUAGAGCAAAAUGUCAUAAGUGUUUAGACUCUUUGUGCUUUAUUGUAUUUGAAAUAUGUUAAGUGUUAAAUUGUUUAUUUUUACUUAUGUCAAAAUACUAUAAGUAUUAAAUUUAUUUAUUUCACUUGUUAAAAAUGUCUACAAAAUUAAUUAUAGUAUUUGUUAUUAUUUUAGUUUUAAAAAUUUACAAUUUUUAAAAUAUAUAGUAAUUUAAAUAUUUCCAAAAUAUCAAAAUUAUUACGAUAAUAAACAUUUUAUAAUAAUUAAUAUUGUAAUUAUUUAAGCAUAAUUGGAUAAUAACAAGGAUUUCCUAUUAUGCUUGGUUACUAAAAAAAUAUUUUAAAAAAUUUCUAAUUUGACACUUAUUUCUAUAUGGUGUGUCUUCAUAUUUAAAUUUAAAUAUUUUCCAAAAUAUCAAAAUUUAUUACUAUAAUAAAAAUUUUACAAUAACUAAUAUUGUAAUUAGUUAAGAAUAAUUAUAUAAUAAUGAGACUUUCUAAUUAUGCUUGAUUACUAAGAAAAUAUUAAACAAAACUUCUAAGUUAACAAUUAUUUCUAUCUGGUGUAUCUUUGGAUUUAUGGAUUUGUAAUUGAAAAAUGUGUUUUAUUAUUGAGAUUAAUUCAUUAAUUUUUAUAUUUUAGAUUUUCAACAUUAAAUCCUAACAUUUUAUUUUUCAAAAUUAAUUAUUAUUGCUUAUUCUAAUAAUGUGGACCCCGCAUUUCGGCUCAUGCACUUCCACUCGAUGGCGAGCUCGAUUUUUAUUUGAAAAACGAUUUUAUUUAUUAGAAAAUGACUUGGAGUCACCACUUAUUUUUGUUUUAUUUUUAAAGGGUAAACAAAAUACGAAAGAAAACCCUAAGUGUGACUCCUUAUUUUGGAAAAGAUAAUCCACGAAAAACCGGAUCGGGCUCGGGGGUCAGGUUACUUAUCGGGAAGGUAUGGUAAAGACCGUAGCACCCCUCUAAGUCCCUAAAGUCGGGUCUCUACUAAUAAAAUGAAGCUAACGUGGCAAUUGAUGAGGGAAUCAAUGAAUACUUAGUGUAAUCAUGCACAAGUGAGAAUUAAAACAUACAUAUAGAAAGACCAGAAUGGGAGUAGAUGCGUACCUGGGUGAUGAGCCACAAUGCGCUAUCAAGAAAUGGGAUUAGUGCAUAGUAAUGAACAUAAAAUGUGUCAAUCUUAUCACCAAACAAGAGAAAGAACCACCAAUAGCACGCAUGACAUUUCGUUCAAAUUCAUUUUUAUUUUAAAGAAAAUUUAUUUGAUGUUGGGCCCCCACCAUAGCCCAUCUACUUUUGAGUGAAUCGAUUUCGUAAAUUCCAUCAUCAAGAAUUACGAAAAAUAAAUUCACACUUAUUUUGAAACAUUUUGAAAAUCAUGGAAAAUUCAAAAGUGGCUCGCCGGAAAGGAAAUGGUGGCCAAAUUUCAUUGAAAAUGGGAUUUUUAGGUCCUAAAAAUAAACUAAGGAUGAAAACUUAAAAAAAAUGUCAAAAUUAUUUGAAGAAUUUAAAAUUUGAGAAACCAUUUGAAAACUGGAAUAUGAUGGAUUAUUUUAAAAUCAAGGAUGAUGAAAUGAAAAGAGGUGGUACGUGGUCACCAAGACUACAUGUCAAAAGUGACCAUGCAACUCAUGCAAGAGUAGGUCUACGGGUAAGAGUACUGGAAUUGGGUAUAAGAUAACCAAUAGGAAUGGGGUAAAUUAAGAGACCCCAGCGGCAAGCAACUUCAUGAGGCCUUCCUUUGUUGAUGUGUACCAGAACCAACCUUCUUUUUGCCUUUUACAAACUUCUGUAAAGAUCCACCUCUACAAUUCUGAGCUUUUAUGCAUGAUUCAAAGAUAGCAUGAUGUUGUGCUUGGAUGUUCUCUUGGCUAUUACUGCCUUUUCUCCUUGUUGACCGAGAAUUAGUACCAUCAGGCAUCAAGUUAUGCAUUUCUUCCCUCAUCCAAACAAACAAGUUUUCUCUUGCAACUUUAAGAUCCUCUAAUAAGGACUCCAUGAAGAUUUUAAAAUCAUCCAAUGUUGCAGGAUCACAUGCAUUGCUCUUACUCUUCUUCUUAUUAACUUUCUUGAAAGAAUCCCUCUUCGUCUCUUUACUAUAUAAAUUAUUCCUCUUGCUUGAUCCAAUCUGCAUUUUGUUAGCUUUCCCAAUUUUGAAUUGAUCCCCUGAACUACGAUCAGACUUACCUUCUUGUUGAGAUCUAGGAGUACCACUGGUUUCAUCAUUUUCAGGCGAAAUAAGAGAGGAAACCAGUUUGUGCUUCUUGAGAACUGGCUCACCACUGGAACUCGAUUUGGAAUUAUCACUUGAAGAAUCAACGUCACUGUCUCUCCUCCUGAACUCCCACCUCUGCUGAAAUUUCAGGUCUUCACUCAUGUUAGUACUUGGGGAUAUAAUCACAACUGUAUAACUAUGUGCUCAAUCCUCGGGAGAGUCCGACCAUAAACGACUAGACCCACUUAUCAUCAAAGUUUCAACUGCUUGUUUGGAGAAUGAAAUCAGUUUGAUGGAAGGAUUUCCACUGCAACUGCACCUUGAACUCGUUUGAAAGAUUGUACCAGUGAUUCUAGCAGCACCCCUCCUCACAAAUCAAAUUUUGUGAAGAGACACCAUGAUUAAACCGCUCCAUCAUUCUCUUUCAUACACCCAGCACAAGAGCAUCCUCUGUGGAUGAAGCCCAACCAUUGCUCUGCAUCCACUUGGAACAAUCUUCUUAGCCCCAGAUGGGAGCUUGAUCCUGCUGGUGCCAUUAUCAGGGUUGUGGCUGACGACAAUAGCUCACUUGCCGGAUGCCCUGGCGAAGACACCUCGAUCACCAACGUGAUCUUCAACGUUACAGACCUCGGCACCUUCGGGAGUAGAGCGCAGGGGCAGAACGUUAUCGGCAAUGAGGGUGGCUUUCUUACUGCAGCAAACGAACUGGCCCGUGUAUAUGCUCUCAGCCACCACGAUAGGUUCAUCAUGACUGCAACUCCUACUAAACCAUAUCCCUGUCUCAGCAUCAAUAACCAGCUAGGUACUGCAUGUAUCACCAACACCACUAUCGAGGUCCAGGCUAUCACAAGUUCUGUUGCUAGGCAGAGCAGCAGGAAGUUGGUUAUCAAAGACAUGGUAAAUUUUAUCACCACCUAGGCGCACGCCAUCGAGAUGCUCUUUGUAUGUCUGAUCGAAGACACAAGAAAUUUCCAUGAUCAUGUAUAACUUUCUUCCAUUCUUCUUCAGUUGCACCAGUACCAAAUCCAUAUCAGCCAAGGACCCUUCACGCACAAGUAGCCACAGAUCUGUCAGAGAUGCACUUGAUACAAUUUUGCGAGCAACUGUAUGAUGAUUCUGCUUUUGGCCUGGAGGUGGAACUAAACCUUCCACUAAUCUAUAUUUUUCUCAAUAAUAUAUAUCCUCUAACCUUGACAAAAUAAUAACUUAAAUCCCAGUGUUGACUCCUUGCUUCUCGCCACUUAAGCUAACAAUGAUUAUGCCUUGUCACCAGAUGACUUCAAGAGCUAGGUUGUCCAAAAUCCUGUUAAGAAAUUAGUCCACACCAACUGAUAACAAGCUGAUGUGGCCCUCGAAGACAUUGAUUGAACCUAGUCCAUGUUGUAGUCACUUUUUGAAUUUCAUGAUCAAGAAAAUGAAGAGGAAGCCAUUUAGAUGCAUGGUUGAAAAUGGUCAACUGUUAUGCCCCCAUCAUCAUCACCUCUAGUAUUAUGAACACAAACCAGUUGCAACCGCCAUUCACAGACUCCCAUCACAGUUCAUGGGCCUGAAAUGAAUCUCCAACUAAUGGUGUAAGCAACAAGCUGAAUGUUGUUAAAAAUAUGAGAAAUGGGUGGAGAGUUGUGCGUUAAGAAGCAGAGAAUGGAAUAAGGGAAUAUACCCCUUCCCUCAAAGGCACAGAGAUGGAAUCAAGUAAUUGAAGCCGAAGGAAAGCCUUUCGGGUAGCCAAGAAAGCUUGAUUUACAUAUUCUGCAUUACUUUCAGCAACAUUGGCAAUCACAUCCCUGUCUGAGAGGCCAACUGGUUGUCCUUUGUGGUGAGUUCAGUGUCAUUUUAAACUUCUCCAUUGUAUCAAGGGAUAGCCAGCACAAGAAAGAAAUGAUACAAUGAAGCAGACAUGAGGCAUCUUUAGAAAUCCUCUGUGGAUGACAUUUUAAAGGCUCUGUGAUAUUCUGAAGCAUUGCUACUCAACUAUGACCUCCAUCCCUGAUAUAAAACACUAAACCAACCUCAAUCUACUUAACAUGCAUCUCGGGUACUCCAUAGAGAUUAAGCAUCUGUAAUCAUAGCUUCCGCUCCUUGAAUUUGCGUUCUCAGAUGGAGAUGCACCAAUCAAAGCAAACCACAGACAAACACCAAAAACAGAGACGUAUAGAGAAGAAAAUUGAUAAAACAAAACAGGGAUAGGUGAAAUGAGAGUUUGUUAAGCAAAACCUGGUCCCAUAAAUUAUCAACAGGCUUACCAGUUAGUGGGAGGGGAAAUGGGUUUAAGGAGAAAUGAUAGGAGAGAUACAUUCAGACAUCACGCAAUAAAACUGGACAAGAUUCAUACUAUUUCUCUCAACUAAAACCCAUAAACAAUAGAUGGAUAUAUAGUCAUAGCAAAUCCAGUGGAUGCUCAGAGAUCAACAAAAGUAGCCAUAUGAUAUCCACACACAAAUAGCUAAAUAACACCCACUAAUGAACAAAAGAGAAUGAAUAGCAAGAGAAAAAAAUAGAGAUGGAUAAGAAACAUACCUGGAAAUACCCCUCUCCAGUAAAAUCAGCUGAACUGCUAGUCCAUUGCUCUCUCCCCCUUCCUCUGGUUCCCCUCAAGUUAAAACAAUACCCUUCUCAAAUAUCUCCGACCAAAAAACCUUCUCCAAAAACUUCCCUUUCUCCUCUGCCAACCCCCCUCCAAAAAGCAUCUCCCUCUUCUCUACAACUGGCAGAUACGCUCCUCCCAUAACAGAAACGUUCUUCUCUAAACGUCCCUUUGGGAUCUCUUAUCAAACCUCUAAUGACUCUCAAGACUAGGUCACCGAUAUGUAGUGGUAUGGGCUUGACCCGCUUUUUGAAAGCGCGGGCCAUCUUCCUCUAUUAUGCACGAACAUGGUCUGUUGCUCUCAAUCUCAUCUCAUAUAGGAGAUUGAGCUGAUCAAAUCGAGCCUGAGCCCAAUCCGCCUCGGGAAUCUGCUACUUUAGUGCUACUCUCAAUGAACUCAUCUCGAUCUCAACUGGUAGCACUGUCUCCAUACCGUAUACCAAUGAAUAAGGUGUGGCUCCUGUAGAGGUGCGAAAAGAAGUCCGAUAUGCCCACAAUGCGAAAGGGAGCUUCUCUGACCAAUCCCGAGAAGUCUCAACCAUCCUCCGCAAUAUCCUCUUAAUAUUCUUAUUCGCAGCCUCUACUGCCUCAUUCGUCUACGACCUAUACGCAAACGACCUAUGAUGUCGGAUGUCGUAUCUCUGUACUAAGGUAUCAACCUCUGCUCUGAAAUGUACCCCUCUAUCUGAAAUCAACUCAUGAGGGACUCCAUAGCGACAGAUAAUGUGUGAUCUGAUGAAACUAGCAACUCCAGCUGAUGUCAAUCUCUCAUAUGAGGCGGCCUCCACCCACUUGGUGAAGUAAUCGAUGGCGACCAGGAUGAACUCAUGACCACUGGAAGAUUUCGGUGAAAUCUUUUCGAUGAUGUUAAUACCCCAUAUAGAAAAUGGCCAUGGUGAAGUCAAUGCGUGCAACUCAGAGGACGGCACGUGAAUGAGAUCUCCAUGUAUUUGACUCUUGGGACAUCUCUGAACAAACUGACAACAAUCUGUCUCCAUGGUCAACCAAAAAUAGCCAAUCCUCAUGAUUUUACGGGCCAACAUAUGCCCUCCCAUAUGUGGUCCGCAGACUCCCGCAUGAACCUCUCACAUCACUCUAUCGACAGAAGCGUAGUCCAAGCAUAAUAACAGCAUCCCAUCAGGUGAUCGUCUGUAUAGUGUCUUGCCACAAAUCACGAAUCAUGCAGCCAACUGUCUCAAUGUUCUCUUAUCCUUGGCCGUGGCGGCCUUAAGAUAUAUGCCAAGUCUCAAAAAGUGAUAUAUGUCAUGAUACCAUGGCAAACCAUCGUCUAUCUCCGUAUCAUCGAUCAGAAAACAAUAUGUAGGAGCAAAUCUGGACUUAAUCAGUAAAUGACGAAUAGUGGCAUCAGCAGGAAUGUCAAUCAUGGAAGUUAGAGUAGCUAAGGCAUCAGAAAACUAGUUAUGCGCUCUAAGCAGAUGUGUGUAUCUCAAAUCAUCAAAUCUCCCAACCAGUAGCUCCAAAUAUGGCGGUAAGGCCUAAGUUUCACAUCUCUAGUCUUCCACUCGCCCUGAAUCUGUCUCAAAACCAGAUUGAAGUCGCCAAACACCUCUAUCUAUCUAAUCCCGAGCUCAAGGGCCGUCUCUAAUCCCAAGAUACAGACCUCAUACUCAACAAUGUUGUUUGUGGCCGGAUGUCGAUCCAAGAAUGCCAAACAAAUAGAUCGGGGAAUGUGAUCACCAUGAGGGGAUAUCAACAAGACGCCUAUCCCGUAUCCAGAAUGGUUGGCUGCACCAUCAAAGUACAUGUGUCAACCUGAUAAACUAGUCACAACAGCGACAUCCUCGCCUGGGAAGUCAUCAUCAAUGGCUCUACCAUUGGAAACUAGUAAUGAGGCUAAGUGAUCUACAACAAUGCUCCCUCUUAUGGACUUCUGAGUGACAUAAUGGAUGUCAAACUCGGUCAGAAGUACCAGCCAUCUCAUGAGACGACCGAUCAAAGCGGGUCUGUCAAAAAAAUAUCUCAGAAGAUCUAGAUGGGAUAUCAAGUGCACUGAAUACUCGGUCAUGUAAUGUCUUAGUCGGUGAGUGGCCCAAACCAAUGCCAAACAGUAGCGCUCAAUCAUGACAUUCCUUGCCUCAUAGUCUAGCAUCCUCUUACUCAAAUAAUAAAUGGCUUAGUCAUUGCCUGAAUCAUCAAGCUGAGCUAACAUGCACCACAAUGCUACAUCUGAAAUUGACAGAUAUAGGAGUAAGGGACAACCUGGUGUAGGAGGCGCCAAGACUGGAGGUGACAACAAGUACUUUCUGAUCCUCUCAAAUGCACGCUGACACUGAUCAUCCCAAACAGUAGGUUGACUCUUCCUCAAGAGUCGGAAAAUGGGCUCAUAGAUGUCUGUCAAUCUGAUGAUGAAUCUACUGAUAUACUGAAGUCUACCCAAGAAGCCCCUGACCUCUCUCUCUGUCCUCGAUGCAGGCAUGUCAAGGAUGGCUCUGAUCUUAUCCGAGUCUACCUCUAUGCCUCUCUCUCUGACCAUAUACCCCAAGAGUUUCCCAGAAGUCACUCCGAAAGUGCACUUCUUGGGAUUCAGUCUCAAUUUGAACCGUCGGAUCCUCUCAAAGAACCUCUCUAGAGUUGCUAGGUGAUUUGGUCUGUCUUGGGAUUUCACUAUCAUGUUGUCUACAUAAACCUUGACAUCCCGAUGCAUCAUGUCAUGGAAGAGGGUGGUCGUCGUUCUCUAAUGGGUGGUUCCUGCAUUCUUCAAUCCGAAUGGCAUGACUCUAUAGCAAUAAGUACCCUACUCGGUAAUGAAGGACGUCUUCUCCAUGUCCUUUGGAGCCAUCAAGAUCUUAUUGUACCAAGAAAAUCCGUCCAUAAAGGACAACAUCGAAUGACCUGUCAUACUAUCAACCAACAUAUCGAUGUGUGGGAGAGGAAAAUCAUCCUUAGGACUGGCCUUGUUGAGAUCUCGGAAAUCAACACAAACUCUCACCUUGUCGUCCUUUUUGGGAACAAGGACUACAUUGGCCAGCCACUCCGGAUACUCGACCACUGACAAAAAUCCUACACUGAGUUGCUUCUGGAUCUCCUCCUUCACUUGCAAGCUCCAACGAGGGUGCAAUCAUCUCAACUUCUACUUAACCGGUCUAGCAUGGGGCAGAAGUGGCAAACGAUGUUGGACGAUAGAUGGAUCAAGGCCUGGCAUGUCCUCAUAGGACCAUGCGAAAACGUCCAAGUAUGCUCUGAGCAACUGGAUGAGGUUGUCCCUCUCAUCAUCAGAUAAAUCUGAUCUGAUCCUCAACUCCCUAGGCUGAUAUAUUGUGCCGAAAUCAACAAUCUCCAUGUCCUCUAUAGCAGGUGAAACUCUCUGAUCAAAGGGAUCCGAAUCGGAAAUAGAAGAUGAGUCAUCAUCUGAGUCGUGUUGUGCAAUCUCAUCAUCAAUAUCAAAAAUCUGUGAUGUGGGUGAAGAUGGUGCAGAUAAAACAAUAUCGUAAAAGAGAGGCAAAUUUUAAAAAAUGCUCAAAUCCAUAGAUGAAAAGUCAGAAACAUAGUCAUGAUGGGAGACAAAUCCCGAUAAAACAUCAAAUGAAAGAGGUGAGUCUACAAAGUCGAACAUUCCCUCAACUAGGCCAAUAGGGCCAUCAAGAAAAUCAUCAACAGCUAUAAUGUCCUCAGUAAUCUCCGAAGUAGGGGCAGUCUGGAUCUCCUCAGCGAUCUCAAUGAAAGACACCCCGAAGAGAUCAAAUGGUGAAGUGAGCUCAGGCUGGACUAUCUCCUCAAUCUGGCUCAAGCUCAAUGCAAGCAUCUCAUCGACGUACUCGUCACAUGGCAUAGCUCCGUCUACUAUGUCGCUAAUCUCAACAAAUGUCUUGUGAUCAUCGAUCUCAUCCAAUAAGCAAAGCGUCAUAAGGCUCGUGCGAUCUGGAGAGGCAGGAGCGAUCAACGCAGAAGUCGAAGGAUCAAGGGCUCCGUUACUCAAUUGUAACUGCUGGACGAGGCGCUGAAGCUCGGCCUCCUUGGUGGUGUUGAAUCCUCUGAUGAUCCCAUCAGAUGGUGCAUGUGACUCCGAUGCCCUCACAAAGUAAUCUGCCAGGCUCAUGGUGUAUGGGCGAACAGGAUAAUAAAAGAGCGUAUGAGUCAGUCGAGCCCUCACCCUCUCCUUGCUCAAUCGCGCCAUAUAACGAUAAUCGGCCUCAGUGGGGAUGAACCUGAGUCCGAAUGGUACGUCGUGAUCAGGGAUGGCUAUGAACUCACUAGGCCCAUGCUGACACUACCCUAACCCUAUGCCGGGAAAAUAAGGCAUACUCUGCAUCAUAUCGAGCACCACCGUGCUACUAUGCUGGUCAAAGGACAUGGCUACGAAAUCUCGGUAGAAAUCUUCUAUCUCCACGGUUUGUACCUCAUCAAAGGUGAAUCCAGUCAGAAAAAGAUCGUCAUCAGUGUGACUAAUCUCAAGCACAGGCUUGGCAAAAAUGAACAUAUCUCCCACAGACUGCACCACGACGACCUGGCCAUCGUGAAUAAACUUCACCUUUUGAUGAAGGGAAGAAUGAAUGGCCCCAGCUCUGUGGAUUCACGGUCGGCCCAGAAACAGGUUAAAGGAUGUAGGAAUCCUCAAAACCUGAAACACGGUGACAAAAGUGGCCAGAUCAAUUAGUAGUUCAAUCUCUAGUGUGCCCAUGACCUCCCUUCGAGUACUGUCAUACGCGCGAACGGUCUAAGUGGAGGGACAGAAAUCAGAUGGUGCAUAGCCGAGGGCAGUGAUGGUGGCCAGAGGACAAACGUUCAGGGUCGAGCCAUUGUCCAGAAGGACAGAUGGGACUCGACGGCCUGAACAACCAACAGAUAUAUAGAGUAGACGCGUGUGGUCUGAGCCCUCUGGUGGCAAGUCAUCAUCGGAGAAUACAAUGCAUGUGGCUCUACCGACCGUCAUCAUAUGAAUCAAUCCCUCAUGGGAGGUGGUAGUCUUAACUCUAAUCUGGCUCAGGGCUCAAAUCAGAGCAUCAUGGUGAGUGGUCAAGGAUGCCAACAAACUCCAGAUGGAAAUACGAGCCUGAGUGCUCUAUAGCUGCCUCAAAAUCUCGGCGUCCUCUACUCUGACCUCAUCGGGAACAGAUGUACCCUCAACUGGCUUAGCUGCUGCGCGAGGUGGCUAUCGCAACACUCUACCUCCUCAAAGAAUAUACUAAACAUCCAAAGUUUGAGAAUCAUCAACAUGCGGAGCUUGAACCUCCUCAACAUUCGAGAUCAAGAUGAAUGGCGUCUGGACGCUGUAAUAUGGAAAAAUCAAUGGCUCAACAGUGGUAGUCUGUACUAAUGCCACCUGGGGAACUAAUCCGAAUGAAAUGGGCAUCUGAGGCCCCAAAGUCGCUCCGUCCAUCUCAUAAAUCCCAUUUGACAUGAUAGGCUCUGGCUCAAUGUCAUCACAGCUCAACAUAUGGAUAUAGUCAUCAUGAUCAAAGAACUCCAGGAAAUGUAUGCUAUCGACCGGUGGGGGGACCACAUGUGUAGUGUGGGCAAGUAAUGGGUUUGUGGUUACACUCGGCUGACCCAAGUGCACCAAACCCUGGUCGAUCAGAUCCUGGAUGGCAUGCCUCAAAGUGGUGCAGCGAUCGGUCUCGUGUCCAGGCCCUUGAUGGUAUGCACAGUGCAAAUCCAUCCUGAAUUAAGGUGGAAUCGGCUGAGGUGGCAGCCUGGGAGUGAGAACGGUCAAUAACCCGGCCUCUGUAAGCUUCCGAAGAGCCUAGCUCAAUGGCAUGCUUAAUUGCGAGAACUACCUCUGUGUCCUCAAAGCAGAUGGAGCAAAAGUCUGCUGAGCUUUGGGUUGAGGAUAAGGCGUUGUGGGUCUCGCAGUGAAUUGAGCAGCAUAGCAUGGCUGUCCUAUGGCCGUGUAGGAAAUUGGGGGUCUCUCAAUGUCCUGGGUGGCAUAAUAAGGCAAAGCCAAAGUCUGUGGCAUGUAGACUGAUCAUAAGUCGGGUGAGGCGCUCGUGGCCUAUACUGCUGAGGUGGAUAUGAAGAAUGAGCCUCAGGAAGCUAUGGGAUCGGCUGAUGGCGCCUGGGAGGUCUCUAACUGGAAGAACUAAUGGCGCUCACGUCAACUGAUCUUUGUCCUCCAAAGGGCUUCUUCCCCUUAACAUCACUAGGGGAAGAAUCUGUCCACAAUCCUCUAGAGAUGUCGUCCUCGACAUCGUAUAAAGUCAAAACCAAUGAACCAAAAUCUGUGAAUGGUACCCUAACCACGUGUCUGGCGAUCCUGGGCUGUAAACUCCUCAAGACCAUCUAUAUCUGAUCUCUCUCUGAAGGUCUAUCAAUGAUCUCGACAAUCUUCCCACGCCAGCGGGAAAUGAAUGAAGAAACUAACUCAUCUAUUAUCUACCUCAGAGCCUCGAGCUUUCUCCUCGAUACAUCCACGACAGUGUUAAAUGAAAACUGUCGUAAGAACUCCUGGGCCAAGUCGUCCCAUGUUCGGCGUCGUGAGGACUUCAAGGAUGCAAACCAACGUUGGGCCGUCCCACUCAGAGAUAGUGGAAAUAAAGUGAUCAUCUGAGACUCAUCCAAUCCAUGAGCCCUCAUCACUGUGCUAUAGAGUCUGAGGUGGAUGCGUGGACAACUAAUGAUCGUAUAUCUCUUGAUGUCUGGCAUCCUAAACUUAGCCGGCAAACUGGCUAUCGGCAUACCCUCGAAAUCAUCCCAAACAAUUGAUCUAUCUGACACUCUCAUCUGCCUCAUACGCUGUUUAAGACAGUCCAUACGUGCAUGAGCAUCAUCAACGACAGUGGUCUGGACAACAGCGGGUGGAACAAUCUCAGAAUGUCCAUGUAAUAUAUAGGGUGAGGCCUGAGGCACUGAAGGAACGGGUGGUGGUGGUGGAUGUGGAUGUGAGUCAUACGACGUCUCAUCCUGAACUGUUGGUGGUCUACUUUGCUGACCACUGAUCUCCUGCCUGAGGCUAGCCAAAGCCUCCUGGAUAGAAGCCAUGGUAGCCGUAAACUGAUCCAUUGUAACAACCUGCUGAUCCAUACUCGGUCUCUCUGAAUACCGGACUAAUCUCCCCUCUACUCUGACCCAAGAAGGCGUAUCCAGACUGUGAACGAAGAUCCGAUCCUGAUCGAUUCUUCUCCUACUCCUCUCCUCAAGUCUCUCAAAACCAGCAUCCAAAAGCACCUCCUUCGACCUCUCCUAUCUUCACUCCCCUCAAAAGCACCAGAAGUCUCUCAAAAAUCUCUUUUGCCCCUUGCCAAAAAGCCCCCUCCUCUCCAAAAUAUCUCCCCACAAAACGCCCCCUACGCUUGCCAGAAUAUCCUCUCUCUCAUCCGAUCCUCCUAACAGACUGCGGCCUCUCUAGAAUGUUCUUUCCACGUGUUCAACUCUCAUUUGCUCCUCGAUUCCACUACCUAAUUCUCUGUCCACCAACCACGAGGUGAUACGUGGCUCCUUGAGAGCCUUCCACCUGGCAAAAUGAGUUGCAGAAAAUGCAUGAAAGUGAGGCCCCAAAAUGAGGGUCUACAAAUAGGUUUUUAGAUGAGUGUGAAUUGUGUUUUGGAAUUCUAACUAAAAAAAAUUCAUUAGAAUUGAUGAUAGUUUAUUUUAGUCUUGUUCUACUAUAAGAGGUUGAAUUAUAAAAAUUUGUAGUACAUACAUUUCUAAUAAAAAUGUUUAUGAUUUAAGUAUUGUUAAUUUUAUUAUUAAAUGAGGAAUCUACAAAAAUUUAUGAAAUUUAAUUUUGUUGAGAAUUUGAUGAAUUAUGAAGCAGAAACAGUAGCUAAAUGUGGUAGAAUUUUGAUUCAAGUUUUGGAAUUUAUGAAUUUAUUUAGAUUAAUUUGUUACCCAAAUUAAGUUACUUUUAUGUUGUUGGGCUUCUUUUAAUAAAAAAAAAAAAUCAUUAAAAUUUAUAUCUAAAUUUUAUCAAGAAUCAAGAGGAAAAAUGGACAAAAACAAAGCAUAUUUCAAUCAUUUCAUUUUUUUUUCUUGAUGACAACUUUGUUAAUUUAUAAUAUAUUCAUUUUUCUUCCAAAUUACACAAAAUUGAAAUAGUUUAAUUCUUUCUUCAGAUAAAAGUUAUCUAAAGUCAUAAAAAAAAAUGAAAUUGAUUUUAUUUUAUGUGAGGAAUUAGGUCUAAAUAUCAUAACACAGUUAGAGAUCAAAAAAAUAUAAAGAGAAAAAAAAUGACUUUUUCUAUUAAUAUAAAAGUUAAAAUUAAUUCAUUUUUUCCUUAAGUAUAUAUAUAUAUAUAUAUAUAUAUAUAUAUAUAUAUAUAUAUAUAUAUAUAUAUUUUAAAAAAAAAAGUAAUAAGCUGAAAAAUAAAUAGUUCUAAAAUGUAUUCAGUCUUGAAGCAACUUACUUUAACAUUUGAGUAAAAAAACUAAAUAAAAAAUAAAAAUAGAAAAAAUCAAGCCCUAAAGCAUUGGAUGAGCCAAUGAUCGGAUACUUGAUUUUAACUAAGCAGUUACUUGUCAAUAAUUGUGUUCAUGUUCAUCUCUGCCAAGUACCUUAAAAUGAAAAGGAACAAGUUCAUAUAAAAUCCAAUUUGUCUUUCUCACCCAACACAAUUGCAACCAUCCACCACCAAUUCAAUAUCUCGAAAAACCUUCAAUGUCUCUAAUAGAACCAAAAUCAUGUUAUAUUUGGGAACAUUAAAAUCUUGAUGUAAUGCAACAUUUCAAAAGAAUUUUUCACUUUGAUCUAUGCUCAUAUCAACAUUUCUCUUUGAUAUAGGCAUUUUUCAAAAGAAUUCACCUAUCUUUUCUUGCUAAAGCCUUAAAUUUCUCUCUUCUCUCCAUAACAAACCUUGAGCAUGCAACUUACUAAAUAGACAUUACAUAGGAUUCAAAAUUAAUUUUCAACAAUUCUCAAGUAUAGUGCCUAUUGCAUAAGCAAAUAUACUUUUAAAGAUAUUGUUGAUAGCCUUCUCUAUGCUAAUAGCACUUUUAAUGCUUGGGUUGAUCUUUAUGAUUGAUUCCACCAAAGCAAUGCCCCACGAAUCUUCCAAAUCGAGAAGCACAUAGUUGUUCUUGAGCAAAGAUCUAUGGAUGUCAACACAUACUACACUAAGCUCAAGGUCCUCUAGGAUGAGCUCAAAAAUUAUCAACCCAUUCUUGUCUAUCACUAUGGAGGCACAAAGUCUUGGUUAGACACCAACAAUAGGAGUACAUCAUGCAAUUUCUUAUGGGUUUGAUUGAGUCAAAUGCUUAAACUUGAACACAGAUCUUAAUGAUGUCUUUGCACUAGUUGUCCAAGAAGAAUGCCAAUGUACUAUUAAUCAAGGCUCUUUUUUUCCUAUCGAUUCUCUUAUGCCCAACAUUUCAAAUUCCUCUGCUUUUGUUACAACAACAAAUUUUUCUCGAAAUUCAACUUUAAAACCCAAGUGUGAGUGACCCUAAUAUUCCCACUGUGGCUUGCAAGAACAUAUUGUAAAUAAAUGCUAUCAUCCUGGCUAUAAGUCAAAAUCAAAGAAACCUGAAGUAAAAAAUUCAAGCCACCUAGGCCAAUGCAACUAUUAAUGAGACUAUUAACUCUGGUUCACCCCUUGGAUCUCUUACUUUAGCUCAGUGUCAUCAAUUGUUUGCAUUCUUGAGCUCUCAACUUCAUAACAACUUUCUUGUUAUGCUAGAAUCUCAAUAGCUAGAACCCUUUGUUUCCCAGUUCAAUGGUAUACUAUCUUUUUCUUCUGUCUCAUAAUUUUCCAAUUUCUUUUUCCACCUGGAUUUUGGACAUAGAAGUCGCACAUCAUGUUUGUUGUUCAUUAAGCACAUUUACACAAUCUACUCCAGCACAAAAUUCUUUUGUAACUUUGCCUAAUGGUCAAUCUGUUGUUAUUAAUCGUAUUGGUUAUGUGUUUUUGUCUCCUGAUCUCAUCCUUAAUAAUGUCAUGUUUGUUUCUAAUUUCCAUUUCAAUCUCCUCUUUAUCUGUUCGCUCACUCAAAGUUAUAAAUCUUCUAUUAAUUUUAUGGUUGAUUCUUGUACUAUUCAAGGCCAUACACGGACCAAAAUGAUUGGGAUGAGUAGAAGACAUGGUAGCCUAUACUUCUUAAAUAUAGUCAAUUUUCAUUCCACUACACCACAAAUUUUCAGUCCUUGUAAUAAUGUUUCGUUGUCUCAAAAUGAAAUUUGGUUUUACCAUUUAGGUCAUCCUUCUUAUGUAACAUUACAAACAUUCAAAAAUGAAAUAGAAGUUAAACCAAAUUCUGGUGAUUCAAGUCAUUGUUUAGUUUUCCAUUUAGUCAAAAGAUGCAAAUUACAUUUUAUUUCUCACAAUUAUUUGUCUGUUUUGCCUUUUCAACUCAUACAUUGUGAUGUUUAAGGUCUCCUUCACACAUUUACCAUUGAAGGUUAUAGAUAUUUUUUUUACUAUUGUUAAUGAUUGUACUCAUUUUAUUUGGGUGUAUCUUUUGCGUGCUGAGCCUGAUGUUACUGAAGUUAUUCCUAUUUUUUUUUCUCAUUGAUUCAAACUCAAUUUGGAACACAAAUAAAAUUUGUUCACUCAGAUAAUCCUCCUGAAUUGGCAUUUUUUGACUUCUUUCAUGCAAAAUGAGUCAUCUCAUUUCAUUCUUGUGUUGAUUAGCCUCAACAAAAUUCAAUAGCAGAAAGAAAGCAUCAACAUAUCUUAAAUGUUGUAUGGUCUUUAUGUUUCCAAUCACAUAUUCCAUUGGUUUAUUGGGGGGAUUGCAUUCUUAUUAUUGUACACUUAAGAAAUAAAACUGCAUUCCCACUUUUGUCCAAUAAAACAACCUUUGAACUUCUUUGGAAAAAGAAGCUUGCAUAUUCACAUCUUUGUAAUUUUGGUUGCCUAUGUUAUGCAUCUACUUUAGAUCGUCAUAGGACAAAUUUCUCACCUCAUGUCAUUCCUUUUGUCUUUCUUAGGUACCCAUCUGGUUAUAAAGAAUACAAAUUAUUGAAUCUAGUCACUAAUUCUGUGUUUAUCUCCCAUAAUGUGGUAUUUCAUGAGUCUAUAUUUUCUUUCAAAACUAUUCAAACUUAUUCUCCUCUUCCAAAUAUUUUCUCUGAUACUGUUUUACUAUUUCCUUCUUUUUCUUCCAUUCUUGAAUCUACAUCUUUGCCAAUAUCAACAAUUCCUACUGUUUUCAUACCUUCUACGUCUCAUUGUCAUCCUAAUCGUGUUCGUAGGCCUCCUUUUUAUCUAGCAUAUUACUACUGCUAUUCUUGUUCCCACAGCACAUCUUCUACCUCACAUCCUCUCACACAUGUCCUUGAUUACACAAAAUUGUCAAAUUCAUAAAAAUAAAAAAAUGAAUAAAAGUUUGUGUUAUUUCCUAUAAUUUUGAACCCACCACAUACUUCAAGGCUGCUACUAUUCUAGAUUGGCAAGAUGCAAUGUCUGCUGAGUUAGGAGCUCUUGAACAAAAUGACACUUGGUCUUUAACUACUUUGCCACAAGGAAAACAUGCUAUUAGGUGCAAAUGGGUGUACAAAAAUAAGUAUAGAGUUGAUGGAACUAUUGAACAAUACAAAGCUCACCUUGUAGCUAAAGGCUGCACACAACAAGAGGGCAUAGACUAUCUAGGUACCUUCUCUCAUGUUUUCAAAUUGGUUACUGUUAAGGUUUUGCUUGCUUUGGCUACCAUUAAUGGUUGGAGCCUUCCUUAGAUGGAUGUCAAUAAUGUGUUCUUACAUGGUGAUCUUUUUAAGGAAGUUUAUAUGACUCUCCUAGUUAUCACCUGAAGGAAAAUCAUUAUCCUCACACUCUGUUUACAAAAUUCAAAAGUCUUUAUAUGGCUUGAAACAAGCAUACGACAAUGGUUUUCCAAACUCUCCAAUUUCUUACUUGUUGAAGGUUUUUAAACAUUCUAAUGCAAAUCACUCUCUUUUUGUCAAAGUUGUCAGUACUCACUUCAUUGCUCUGUUAGUUUAUAUGGAUGACAUUGUCAUUGUUAGUAAUAGUGAUGAGCGAGUUGAGAAAUUAAAAGUUCUAUUUAGGAAAGCUUAAAUACUUCUAAGGCCUUGAGGUGGUGAGGUCUAAUAAGGAAAUUUCCCUUAGUUAGCACCAUUAUGCCUUACAAUUACUAUCAGAUAUAGGCUAUGUUGGUUGUAAAUCAAGGAAAACACUUAUAAAUCCAAAUGUGAAGCUCACACAAGACAAAGGUGAUCUAUUAAAAGAUCUUUUAUUUUACAGAAGAAUGAUAGGCAAAUUGCUUUAUCUAACCGUAGCAAAUCCAGAUUUAUCAUUUUCAGUACAUAAAUUCAAUCAAUUUCUUGCAAAGCCCAGAGUUCUUCAUAUGUGGGCAAUACAACAUGUGCUUCAGUACUUGAAAGCAUGGUUUGAAAUAUUGGUAAACACGGAUAUAUCGAUACUUGGAUUUUAUGAAUAUGUUGGAAAUAUUGGUAAAAUAUCGGUAAAUAUUGGUAAAAUAUCGGUGGAUAUUUUGGCAAAAAUAUUGGUGAAACAAAAAUUAUUCAAAAUUCAUGGAAAUGUUUGGAAAACUCUAAAAAAAAUGAUAAAAUAAGCAAGAAUACAUAUGUUAAAGUUAUUGUAAGUGGAAUUGACAUAAAUAUGGUCAAUGAGAAAAAUAUGGAGGGAUAUAUCAAACUUAAUAAUUUAUUAUUUAUCUUAUCAAAUUAAUUUUAAUUUAUAAAAUAUUAGAACUUCAUUAUUUUUUUUAUUUUAGUAAUGUUUUGAAUACAUUUAUAUUUUUAAUAUUUGUAAAAUAAAAACAUUCAAAAUUAAAUAAAAUUAAAAGGAUAAACAUAAAAAAAGUGAACUGAUAGCAAUUUUUAAAAAUAAGAUUAAUGAGAUAAAUGAUGAUACAUUUAAUAUUAAAACUAUAAUUUAUUUAAUUCAAAUACAUUCAACAAUGUAAAAUAAAUUAUGAUGCAUAUAUAAUUUUUUUGAUAUUUAUAUUUUUUUUAUAUAAUUGUCAUAUAAAUGAUAUAAAAAAUAAAAUAAAAUAAAAGACUUGUUAAGAAAAUUAUAAUGAUGGUUUUAUACUUUUAUUAAAUAAUUAAAUAAAAUUUUAAAUAAAAUAAUUAGAAUUAAUUUAUUUAUUCUUUUAAUGAUGAAUUUUACCAUAUUUAUUGUGAACAUAUAUUUACAAAUGUGGACUUGGCCCAAUAGUAGUCAGGCUUCACCCAAGCCUUUUGGCCUAGGUUUGAAUCCCCUUGGAUGCAAUAGAAAAAAAUUUGAAGGAAUUUACCCGAAUAUCGACAUCUUUUCGAUGAAGUUGAUUGACUUUCGGUGUACAAUAUCAUGUCGACUCUCCCUGAUAUUUUGACGAUCAACUUUUAGUGUGGAAUAUUGUGUUAGCUCUCCCUGAUAAGCAAAAUAUCGACAAUAUUUCAUCAAAAUUUUGCAACAUUUUAGUGUGGAAUAUCAUGUCGACUCUCCCCAAUAUUUCAACAAUCGACUUUCAGUGUGGAAUAUCGUGUUAGCUCUCCCUGAUAAGCAAAAUAUCGACAAUAUUUCGCCAAAAUUUUGCAACAUUUCAAACCAUGCUUGAAAGUUAUGCAGGACAAGGUUUUUUUUUUUUUUUUUUCAUUAAUAGAGUUGAAAAGGUUUGUUGAUUCAAAUUGGGCAACUUGUGUGGUCUGUUAAUGAGUUUUGCUUUUUUUUAUUUAUUUAUUGUUGAUUCCUUAAUUUCCCAGAAAUAAAAAAGGCAGCAUACAGUUUCAAGAUCUUUUGUUGAAGUUGAGGACAAAUUUAUGGCAAAUGCAACAUGUGAAUUGAUGUGGUUACUUUCUUUAUUUAGAGAUUUGCAUGUAUCUCGUCCUAAGCCUGCCUUGCUAUUUUGCAACAAUCAAGCAACUCUUUAUAUUGUAGCUAAUCCAAUUUUUCACAAGCACACUAAGCACAUUAAGAUCGAUUAUCACUUGGUUAGAAAGAAACUGCAAAAUGGAAGCUUGAAGACACUACAUAUUUCAUCUAAACAUCAAGUGAGAGACUUGUUGACCAAACCUUUUUCUUCACCUCAAUUUCUUUUUCUUCUUAGUAAAAUCGAAAUUCACAAUAUUCAUUCUCCAUUUUGAGGGGGAGUAUUAGAAUAUUUGGGUAUCUUGCAGUAUGGUUACAAGUUAAGUAAAGAAUUGUUAGUUUGUUAAAUAAUUGUUAGCUUUUUUUUUUUUUUUUUUUUUGCAACUAGAUGUGUCUAUUCAAUAACUUCAUAUGGUUAUAGUUAAUUAAAGAAUCCUUUACGUAUUAACUGUUAAAAUAAUUUGUUUCCAACUUUCCUAUUAAAUUUUCUUCUGCUCAAGAUUUCAAAAAUUAUAGUUCAAGAAAGCUCUUUCGAUUUCUAUGUUGCACUGUAUCUUCUUAUAUGUUAGUACAAAUCAUACUCCUCUUUUUACCUCUUCAAUGAAUCCUUUUAGGAGUAAGACCACCAAGUGAGCACCCUUAUAUUGAUCCACAAGCUUUUUAUUACAUAUUUUUUGUUUGUGCACACCACCUCAAAUUUAAGUGGCCCAUAAAUUUUAUACUUUGGAUACCUUACCAUCCAAUCAUAAGCAUAAACUAAAUUUGAAAGGAUAAGAUUAGUUUAUUUUAGAGAAAUUGAGCUCCAAGUCCCCUAGCCAAACAUGAAGUUUUGAAGCAUGAAAUUUUUGUGAUGGGACAUAAUUGCAAUCCUUAUUAAAUUGAUCAAUUGUGUUAUGCCAAGAAUGCAAAUUAUGCAUGGCAAAGUGGUUAGAAAGUGUACAAAUGCACCAUCUUUUUACUUGUUUGUUUACUCAAAUUUCUCGGUCAAUUUUUUUUUUUCAUUCUUAUCCCUCUUGAUUGAGGCAAACAUGUUUUGGCUAGUGCUCUCAAAUUCCUUAAAUAUAUUCUUUUCAAUAUUGUAAACAUUUGGCUUGGUCAUUGUUAUAGUUAUCAAUUGUGUCAACUUUUACUUUCUCUCAUCCCCAAUUACAUAUGCACUUUGUAGCUUUAAUUUUUUUUUAGUGAUUAAUCUUAGUUUUUAUCUAAUUGUUUGCCUUAUAGUCUUUGACAUAACUAUAAGUGUAACAUGUACCUCUCACAAACCAAAAGACAUCACUUGUCUUCUUUAAUUUAAACAUUUUUGCAUCUGUGUAAGAUCUGAAACUAGAAUUUCACAACAUCGCGUAGUCAUUUUCUCUAGUUGUUUCUCAAAGCUCUCUUCAAGAUUUAGUUCAUGUUCAAUUACCAACUUUGAGUUUUCACUUUUUUUUUUUCCCAUGAGUCAUGAGGAAAUGAAUUUCAACUGUGUUUCAUCUAUCCAUCUCUCUUAAAUUGUUUUAUUCGAUAGUUACCAAUUGUAGAAUUGUUUUUAUAUAUUCUUUUCAUAGAUAUUGUUAAUAAAUUAUGCUAAAUGAGUAGCUUCCUGAUGUGGUGAGAGCUAAUUUUGUUAUUGCUAGGAUAAUAUCUUUUUAACUUUCUUAACUUUUUCCGAAUUAUAAACCACUCAUGCUUUGACCAAUCUCCAUGUGUUUUUCAUUUGUUUGGAUUUAUGGGCUUUUGAUUCUAUUUGGUGAAUAGAUAAUAAGGAAUUAAGGAUCUGAGAUUGACAUUACUUUAAGGAUGUUUGAAGAUGACAUAGUGAAGCAUAGAAUAUUUUUUUGGGUUGUAUCUCCUCAUUUCCCAUACUUAUGGUGGACAUUGAUGAGUUGGAUUAUUUGAAUGAAAUGAGCUUUGGAAAAAUACUAGUAAUUACAUGAAUUGUUGCAAUAUAUUUGAGUGAAAAUAUUAUGUUAGUGUCUCUCCAUGUCACUAAUUCAAACCUGUUACUUUCCAUUGUAAGUGGUAGAAAUAUAUUUUUUAUUUUCUAGAAAACAUUACUCUAACUUGUGAAAAAGGUUCUUAUGCCUCCAUAUUAAAUGUUAUAUGAUGGAAAAAAAACUUGAAUCUCUCUGUUUCCUCAGUCUGGAUCAGGUUAGGAAUAUGCAUAACUAUCCUAGGCUUUUUCUAAAUUCUAUGCACAACAAAAAAAUUAAUUUUUUUUAUACUUUAUAAGGAUCUAGAAAGUGCUAACGAAAACUAUACCUCAAAUUCGGAUGCUCCCGAGUCUUCCGCUCGAUGACUCAAACCUUGAUCUUGGCACACUUCUAAUGGGGAGGAAAUGAGGGUGGAGGCUAUAGUUUUCUCUCUCUCUGGAUGGUGGACGAUAAAAGCUAUGGAACCCCUAACCUCUAGGGGGUAUUUAUAGGGUUCCUAAGUGGGCUUAAGUGACUUGAGCCCAUACAGGCUUGGGUCACUUAAUCUAACCCAAAAUGAGUUCUAACUGAUUAAUUAACCCAAUAAGGCUUACUAAUUAAUCAAUUAGCCCAAUCAAGAGACCUUGUUCACUUACCCCUAUACAACCUUGCGUAAUUAUCAAAAUGCCCUUAUGCACAGAAGUGAACUUAGAGUCAAUUCAACCCUCAUAACCCAUGCCAACAAGGUAUAUGAGUUCAAAGUGGGGACCAUUGGGACCCAUAGAAAUACUGACUCCCUCAAAAUCAAAUUCUAAAGUUGAUUCAAUAUCACACUAUAGAGAAUCAACUAAACUCCAAUAUCUUAUGUAAAUAACAACGAGACACUAAGUGAUCGGGUCUGUGACUUGCUAUCCAUUGUGUUCAGUCUCCCCAUGAACUAAUGUCCGUAGUUUAAUAAGGUGAAAGCUAUUAGUCUUUCAAGACUACCUCUACCUUCUAUUUUGUGUUCAAUUGACAUAUCUUAGCUCUCAAAGAGCCUAUGUCAAGUUCCAUUUAAUGAACUACAUGACCAUAGUUUCCAUGAACACACCUCCUUAAGAUCACCCAAGGGGACACACUAUCUCAAUCCUAAGAGAUAUCAUAGUGCCUCUAUUGAAAAUACCUAUUACUACCAGCUUCUAUCAACAAUGACCCAAUCCAUACGGAAUAUAUGAUCAGCUUACGAUUUCACCUGUAGGUCAAAGUCAUUGCCAACUUUAGCACAAGCUUAAUAUUCUCUCAAGGUUGAGAGACAACACAAUGAAACAGCUUGGUGAGGUCAUGACUCAAUAAUAGCCUUAAGUCAUGACUCACCAUAAGUCUUGUCCAAUGUGUAACCAUACAUACUAGUGCACUCACCAUGGGAAACCCAUCCUGAUAACCAAGACCAGUGAUCCCUCCAAUUAGGAGGUGGUGCACUACAACCUUUAAUGGGUUGCCUAGACCCAUGAACCAAUUGUAAACAAGUCAUCUAUUUGCAAGGAACCCAUGACUUAGAUCUUCUGUGCAACUCCUAAUGCACCUAAGUCACGUACAAUACAAAAAAUGCAGACAAGAAUGCUCAUAAAGUAUAAUAUAUGGAAUAAGAAUAGAUAAAAGUGAAACUGGAACAUCAUUAAAUAAAUAAUGAAUUCCAAAUUUAUUACAUCAUGUCAUGAUUUUAAGUGCUUUAUCCUAACAUUAUAUAUUUGAGAUAAACAUGAUAUAAUGAGAUUUAUGUUUCUUUGUUAUAAUAUUUCAAUAAGUAAUUGUGUUUUAAUUUUAAUAAACUAUGCAUGCAUGAAACAAUUCAAGUAUCAUUAGCAUCAUUGGUAUCAUUGUGAGACAAAAGUUUCUCUUAUUACAUACUAAAGAGAUUUAAGUUAUCAAAAAGUGAAAACGGUUUUAUCUAGGCUAGUUUCAAGUUGACAACUUUUAAAUUGUUUAUCAUGUGAUAAAGAACUUUUCCCUACAAAUGAUACUUGAAUUGUAUAAUUAGACAGUGUAGGAAAACAUAAUAUCUAUGAAGUUAACUGUUUAUUCUUAAUUCAAUUUUUAGAAAUUUUGGUAGUCUUUCCUCUUAUUCUCUGGGUGCAUAUUUGGAUAAAGUUGCAUAGUAUGCCUUGUCCAUUUUACAUACUUAGAGAACUAUAAGGAAAUUCUACUAAAACUUCUUUAAAAUGAAAUUGACCACAUUGGUCAUUGACACAUAGAGAUUAUGUAUUUCUAUAUGGGAUAGGAACUACUACCGAAUUUAGGAUGUUGGAGAUGUUAGAAUGCAUAAAACAUGCAUCAAAAUUUGACAUACUCAAAUGAUUUUCUUUAUUUAGUAAAUUAGUAUAGAUAAUGUUUGAUGCAAAGGUCAUGGACAAACCCAAUAUAAUAAUAUUAAUAUGCACUAGUUUUAUUGAGGUUAUACAUCCCUUUUAAUGCAAGUAUUCAUGGUCAACAACAUUUAUAACUUAUUAGUCACUACUACAAAUAAGAUAUACCAUGACCUUGUUUUUUCCUUGGCACUUUUAAAAAUGUUAAUAAUUAGCGUGAUAUUUCAAAAGUGUAGAUCUAUGUUCAUAGAUCAAAAUGGUUAGAACAAUGCUUACUUUUUUUCUUUUAAAUUUGGCAUCUUAAAGAAAUGUUGAACUACACUUUCUUGAUUAUUAUUUGAACAAAAAAAAAAGGUUGUUAAACGAAUAGCAUAGAAAAUGUUGCUAUUUUCUUCAAUUUGAAGUUUGAUCACUAUUGAAAGUUUGUUCUUAAAAAAUGGAUCAUUUGUGGAUUUCAAAGGAUAGAGGACUAAAGGAGUAUGGGGAUGGGGUAGAACAUUUUUAUCACAUUUGCAAUAUAAAAUUCUGCAUAUAAAAACUCCAUUAAAUGUCCAUGCUUGUAGAGUGGUAAUAUGAUAUUUCAUACUCCUCAAAGAUUUCCUCAAAGAUUUCCUCAAAAUAUUAGAGAGCAUAUGUUUUUCUAUAGAAUUAAUCAGAAUUACCAUAUAUGUUAUUGGCAUGGGGAAGCAACUCCAAGUGAACCACCAACUAGAAGGGUAGAACAUUAUAAUAUGGUUCAAUUUAAUGAUGUAGAUAGUACAAUAGAAAUGGUUGAAGUUGUACAAGUUGAAUGUCAAAAUGACCUAAAAUUGCUUGAAAGAUUACUUCAAAUUGUUGAAAAACCUUUUAUAUCCUAGUUGUAGAAAAUUCACACAAUUGUUUGCAUUGGUUAAAUUAUACAACUUGAAAACACACUAUGAGUGGUCUGAUAAAAGCUUUUCAGAGCUUUUAAAAAUGCUUAGAUAUAUGUUGCCUCUAAAUAAUGAGUUACCCUUGUCUAUGUAUGAGACAAAAAUGGCAUUGAAUACAUUAGGAAUGGAAUAAGAAAAAAUACACGCAUGCCCCAUGAUUGUAUACUUUACAGGAAUAAGUUGAAAGAUGCAUUUCAUGUCCUAUCUAUGGAACUUCAAGGUGAAAGGUAGAUAAUAUAGGAACUAAAAAAAUGACAGGAACUCCUGGGAAAGUAAUGUGGUAUUUUCCUCCAAUUCCAAGAUUUAGAAGAAGGUUUCAAUCAUAAAAAAUCGUAAAAGACCUCAUAUGGCAUACCUAAGGAAGAGAUUUAGAUGACAAAAUGUGUUAUCCAGCUGACUCUCUAUCAUAGCUAAUUGAUCAUAAAUGGCCCAACUUUGUUUCAAAACCUAGAAACUUGAGACUUCCCAUUUUAGCAGAUGGUAUAAAAUCCUCACAAUUCAUUGAUUAGCAAAUAUAGUUGUUUGUCCUAAAGAGCUCGAAGCAGCAACUAUGGACAAUGUUUUUUUUAUCAUAAAGAGUAAGUUAUGGGCAACACUAUGGCUGUAAAUAGAGGUAAAACCUUUAACUUGUUUUUAGUUUGAUUUUUCUUUUCUUUCAUAAUGGAAAUAGAAAAUCAUCUAAACAAAUAGGACCUUAAUAAUUUUUUUUUUCUACAAUUUAUUUUUGAAUAAAAUAAUUUAAAAGAUUCCAUUCUUAUAUUUGUUAGACUUUUUUUUAAUGAAGAAAAAAAUAGUCUCCCUUUUAGCAUAUAUAUUAUAUAUGAUUAACAAUGGGUAUAAUAAAAUUUAUUUAAUAAAUAAUUGAUGUGACAUUCUAAAUUGAAAGUCAUAAAUUAGCUCAUUAGUUUGAUGUUGGCCCUAAAACUACAAGACUUGAUUACAUACUUAGAUUUUAUUCUUGAAAUUUAAGAGAUAAUUGAUGUGACAUCUUGAAUUGAAAGUCAUAAAUUAGCUUAUUAGUUUUAUGUUGGCACUAAAACUACAAAACCCAAUUACAUAAAUUUUGUUCUUGAGAAAUGUCAUUAUGGUUCAUAGUAAGGCUUAGUUUGGUGUGUUAGACCAUGCAUGCAUGAUAUCUCUUCACAUUCUCUUGUUUUUUGACAAACAUGCUACCAUACUUAAGGUGUUUGUCAAGGCUCAUCUUGGACUACUCAAAACUUUGGGGUCCUUUCUUUGAGUUCACAAGCUUCUUUCCCCUAGUGUCAACCCCAACUCCCAAAAUCCACUCCUUAGUAGUGCACUGACGAAAUCUACAAAUGCACUAUAAAGUGAGAAUGGCAUCAUGAAAAUGUAUUAAUGCAUCGUAGAUGUGGGAACUUAAAAAUAUAUAUAUAUAUAUAUAUAUAUAUCUAGAGUUUAGACUUGUUUCUAUUAAUUAGAAAUUACUAAGCAAUGAAUCUUGCUAGUGUGGAAAGUACCAAUAGAUUGACCAAGGAAGGUAUAUGUAAAAAAGAUUGACAUUGUCAAUUGGAAAAAUUCCUUUACAAACGUCAACCCUAUCUUCCUAACCAUCAUGGAUGUUGAGAAGUAGAUAUCGAUGACUAUGAUGAGGAUCACAAAGGAUUAUCAUACCAAGGAGUUAGACAUUUGUUGGGUUAUCAACAAUUUUAAUGAGGGUGGUAUUAACUAUUUGGUUGUUGAUAGUGUAUUGCGUAGUUCCACCAAGCCAAUCUGCUCCUGCAUUGAGAUCAAUCUCGAUGAAAAGGUAGCAUAUAUUUUUCAUUUCCUAAUUCUAUCAAUUGCUUCAUGGUGCCUUUGUCUAAUAAGCUUAACAGGUUCUUCUACAUUUUCACCAUUUAAUUCUCUAACGUUCAUCAUGAUAGGGUUGAAAUUUCAUCAUCAAAUCAAAACAUAUCCUCCUAUAAGAGGCCUUUGAAUUCUGAAAUAAUCAAUUCACUUUAUUCUCAUAUUGGCAAAGACAAGCUUACACUAUUGGAAAGACUACCCCUAACCUUUGCCCUCCCAAAUAGCAAAGAUGAGAGAGAACCUUUCACAAAAUCACAAGAAUUAUUCAAGUUUGGAAUUCAUAGGCAUUGUUAUUGAAUUUCAUUUGUAUAAAAUUGGUGUGUUGUGUUUAUUUUGUUGGUAUUAAAAUUGAAUUUUUUUUAAUUGCAAAUUGAUGAUUUUUUUUCUCUCUCACAUUUAUACCCAUUAGAGUUUCUUAUUAGGGUUUGUGUUUGAAAUUUGGAGAAAGUAUGGUGCAAUUGUUCAUCGGUGUGGUGUACCAUUUUGUUUGUUGUAUCUAAUAUUUGGGUAUUUGAUUUAAUUUUAUUGUUGUUGAAAUUGAAAGUUGAAAUCCAAGUUAAUUGUUUAACUAGCUAUUUGUAGUUGACUUGUUUUGCACCAAUCUUGAUUACCCAUUUCAUGGGAAUAAUCGAUUCCAAUUUUCCUUCAUGGUUACUAAAAAUAUAUUGUAGGUGAAGGACUAUUAUGGAGUAUAUUAAUUCACAAGAAAAAUGUUCCUUUAGUUAGUAAAAACUUCAUUCAUGUGGUCAUUUAUGAGCAUCAUAAUAAUCCAUAUUAAAAAUAUUUAAAAACAUUAAUGCACUAAAACAUUGAUUUCAUCAACAAAAAUACACUCAUUCUUUUGACUUAUAGCAUUCAAAGAUGUUUAAAAAUAUAUAUGUACAAUAAAACAUCAUCGAAUUUAUUAACAAUUAAACUUUUAACCCCAAAACAAUCCGUUACUUUAGUAGAUAAGACACUAUUGGAAUAACAUUAUUUUUAGCUCAAGUUAGAAGUUAAAAUGAUAAGGUUAAAAGAACAAAACCAACAAAAAAAAAAAGUUAUUUUUUGUCAAACUUGACACUAGUACAAUUUAAAUAAUGUAGCUCAAUGCCCUAUUGAAUUGAGUCAUAUAACUAGACUCCCUAAUUAUAUAUUAUGAUACACACACAACCUUUGGUCUAGUAUACAUGAUUAAAUUAAAUGCCAACCUAGUUUGCAAAGCUAAACUGGAAUCCCAAAUCUAGUUCAUUAUAAAUACUCUUCAACCAACUUGCUACAACAUUCAAAUAAGACAAUGACAAUGAUAGAAAACCAAAAAAAUACCUAAUAUAUCAUUGAAAACUCCUUCCUAAAGGAGGUAAAAAAAAUCAUGAAGUAACUUUCUUCUAUUAAUAAAAAUGGGAAUACAAUGAUCUAUAUAGUGUUUUAACUCGAAACUGAUGGUAUUACAAAUAUUAAAGAAGAAAUUUAAAACACACACACACACACACACAACAAGCAUGUUGUCAAGCUUAUAAGAGUUGGAGAAAUUUCUCCAUAUAAAUCUUCAAAACAUGAUGGAGAGUAACCUUGACAUUUAAGUCAAUAAUAUACAAGGAAAGACAACCCAAAAAGAUACAACUUUGAGAACAAACUCUCCUUUUUGCUUUUUUACAUAACCUUUUUUUUUUUUUUUUCCUUUUUGAAAACUUCUCUCCUUUCCUCUAAUUGUUACACCAUACAACAAUCCUAAAAAAACAGAGUUUAAAGGCUUGUUUGAUAACUGUUUUUAAAAAUAAUUUUGAAAAAUAGUUUUUGAAAAUUAUUCUCUAAUGUUUAAUUUGUAGAACAAAAGUUUGUUUGGAAACCCAAAAUAUUUUUAACAUGUUUUUAAUGUUGUUAAAUAUGUUUUAAAAAUAAUUUUUAUGUUUAGUAUUUUAUUUUUAAUCAUUUUAUAUGUUUAUAUAAUUAUUUUUUAAGGCAAACCUUAAAAAAUAAGUGAAAAUAACAUAAAACACUUAAAAGAUAUUAUCUGAAAACACCUUAUUUUAUUGUAACAGAAAAUAAAAAGCGGUUUUUGGUUGUCAAACAUGUUUUCUUAAUUUUUUAUUUUGAAGAAUAGAAAUUUGUUCUUGAAAAUAUCUAGUUAUCACAUUAGUUAUUGCCCAUUUUAUGAUUUUAAUUAUUGCUUAAAAACUAGUUUUUCAGCUAAAAAAGAAGGUCCACUACUUAUGGGUCAAACCUUCAACUUUCAAACCCGAACACAAAGUUAUAGUCAAGACUAAUAUUCACAUAUUAGUAUUAAUAUAGUUCAUUAAAUAUGAAUUUCUAUUGAAGCCAAAAUCGAGUUUUUAGGGGAAGUAACAUUCACUUUCAAUUAAGCAAUUUUUAACUCAUAAGUUAGUACUUGUAACAAAAUUUCUUAAUAGAGACUUUAAUUGAGUUUUAAGAAGAAUUUUUUGUUUGUUAAAAACCAAUUCAAACAAAAUCUAAAACUAAUAUUAUUAUCUAAAAGACAUAAUGAACAACAUAAACCAUAAACCAAAGUGGUAGUGACAACCAAUAUGUAGCGUCAAUGAAUAAUUGAAAAUAACCUCAUUUUCUAAUGACCUCGAACCUAGAAGCUCUAAAAUUCUUGCCUAAUUCCUUGUGAUGACUUUGGUUCAACCUUAAUGGCGAGGGCAAAAUUCUAAAUAAUUUUUGUCACAACUCAUAAAUUUAGAAGAAAAAAAUGAGAAUAAAUGGAAUCCCUAAUGAGAAAUUGUUAUUUUUCCCCUUUAUGACAAAAAUAGUAACCUACUAGUAUUAUUAAAUAACAUGGAAAUUAUUAUUUCAACUUUAAUACCAUGUAUGACAUAACUUUAACAACCUUAAUUUAUAAGAUUAUUUAAUUUAAAAGGAUAAAACAAUUACAUAUUCAUAAGAAUCGCUUCUAUUUUUUAAAAACAAUAAAUUCCAUUUUUUGGACAAAAAUACCCUCCAUUGUUUUUAUCAACAUUUCACAAUCAAACACUUAUUGGAAAAAAAAAAGUAUAAGGGUAGCUAUAUUAAAAUGAGGUUAUAAUUAUAAUACUCAAUAAGUGGAGAUUUUUUUUCCAAAUAUUGGGAUCAUCUUCUCCAUUUGACACAAAUAUUUAUAAUUUAUAUUAUAAUUACUCUUAUAGUAAGAGAGAAAGAGUAAUUUCACAUGAAAUGGACCCAUAAACAUAGAUUUAUUAUGAGGCAUGAUACUAUAAUAAUAAUAGGAAAUAAGACGAGACGUGAUACCAUAAUAAUAGAAAAUAAGAUAAGUAAUUCAAUACUUAAUGAAGGUCUGAAAUAAUUAUGUUUCUCAUUAAAUGAUAUUAAAGACGAAAAAAAACUUAUUAAUUUUUAUUUUAAGUAUUAAGAUUAUUUAAUAAAAUUAACUUAAAAUUUAUUUUAAAUUAUCAAAUUGAUAUAUUUAUUUUCAUAGAUUAUAACUAAGGUAAAUGAAAUCAAGUAAUAAUGGAUGUCAUGUAGUGAAAGAGAUCCUAGAGGCAACGGGACAAAUUGUGGUAAAAAAUGUCAAAUAAAAAUACGAACUUAAGAACAAAUUAAUUGUUUGUACUUAUUACUUAAAGUUGUUAUUUAUUUUAUAUUAUUAAAUUAUUUUACUAAAUAUGCUUAAUUUAUUUAAUGACUUAAAUUAAUUUAUUAGUCACUUUAGGCUAUUAAAUCGGGUUUACCAAUCAUAUCGAAUACAUUUGGCUAGUAGGCCAAGACUCAAGAAUAUUGCUAUCAUAUGUUUUAUGUAUUAAGGUGCCAAGAAUAAUUCACCACAAAAUAUAUGAUGAGUUGAUAAGUAUAGGAUACAAUCUAAAAUAUGCACUUGAUUUCAUCAUCUAAAUAAAUGCUCUCGGCAAAUGGAUCAUCCUAGCUGAUACCAGAGCACAAGCCGCCAUGGACAGGAGGCAACGGAGAAACCCUUCUGCUUCUUCUUCUGCCUUUUCAUCUCCAGCUUCAUCCUCAUCGCGUUUCCGCUCAGAGAAAUUCUCCUCGAAUCCCCCAAAAACUAGUAACUCCCUGGAGGAUGCUCACCAAUUGAAAAGCAAAUGUGGGAAGCCACAAAGACCAAAGCAAGAGGAGGAAGGAGAGCAAGAUCCGAACAAUCUUCUCUCCUUAGUUGGAACUUGCCCAUUCAUGUGCCCUGGUAAAAAUGCGUGCUUAUUUUUCCAUUUUUUUAAAAUUCUAUUUUCCUGUUAUUCUGUGUUUGGUUUCCGAGAAAUUGGAGGAAAACAGUAGAAAAGAGAAGUGAAUCUGGAGUUUCUGUGUCAUUUUUGUGGCUUUUACAUAAAUUUUACAAAUAAAAUUGAUAUUUCUCCCCCUUUAUUAGAUACCAAUCUGCAGAAGAUGUAGGAAUCCCAAAAAAAAAUUCGCUUUUGCCUUUACUUCCCCCAAAUCUUUCAUAAUGGAAAAUGGACUUACCACCUCUUUUAUCACUUUUCCUUUACCAUGUCAGGUUUACAUGUAAUCAAACACUGUAUUUGGAGUAGGGCACUUAUUCUAAUGUCAAAUGGUGUUGAAAACUUGAAUUACUGGAUCUUAAGACUCCAGAAGAAAUUUGAUUGUUUAUGAUUAUUGCUCCAUGAGAAGGGAAAGGGAUUUCUUUUGUUUUUGCUCACAUAUAUGGCCAAAUUGAUUUAUCUCCUUCUCAUACGAACAAAAUAAGGACAUUUCUUGUCUUGCUGCCUUUUAUGCCACCGGUUCCACAUGCUGAUGUGACAACCCUUUUGCUAUUCUGUACAAAUGGUAGGAAAAUUCUGGUAAGACUGGUGGCCAGCCUAUCAUGUUCAGGGAAUAAAUUCAUUGUAUAUCUGGAAUUCACUCUAUAUCAGCAUAGGGUGUUGAUACUGAUUAUAAAUGACAAAUUCAAUUUAUUAUCCUUACAUUAGGGAGUGCUAAAAGGAUGCAAAUUGUUCAUGUUAUACCCAAAGACAUACAAGUGAUGCUAGAGAUUUUCACAAUGUGGAUAAUCAUAGAGUAGAGAUGAACACUAUGGAGUCUUUUGGCAUGUGUUCAUUCCAUGUACGGGAACAUGCAUUGGAAGAUUAUGUUUCCUCCUCCCUUCCCCUCCCCAAAGUUAAUACUAUGUUGUCAUGGCAAGAACUUUGGUGACAUGCUUCUGAGUGGAAUAGCCUCCUAGAAGUCCAUUUAUGUGGCAGUUGGCAAGUUCUUCCGGUCAAUGAGAACUUUGUGACUGUCUGAUUGUUGUACUAAUCAUCAUCAGAUUUUUUUUUAAGUUCAAGUUGUAAAUAGCCUUUCACAGUUGAAGGUAGCGAUGAAGAGGCCUGUUGACAUAAUUAUUUCUUCUGCUUGAAUGGAUUAAAAUCAGAUACCACACCUUCAGCCUAGAAAACUAUGGACUUUCCUAUGUACCUGCAAUUGGCUGAAUACUGGUGUGGCACUGACUAAAGGCUCUCUGAUGCUGUUAUUAAUUUCCUGAGCAAAUUAGAGAAAACAGAGAGGUCAUAAUGUGAAUCAGUUACCUCUUGAGUAGGGAUGAAGGCUUUUUAUAACUUUUUACUUUCUGGUUAGGCCUUGGAAGCACUUCUGUGAACCAUGAUUUUGUACUGUAAAAUUAGAUGGGAUGGAUAGGUCACCUUAACUCUACUUUUGGAAGUGAUUGGGGAGCGCAUGACUGUAUGAAUAUUGAUGUGUUCUCCCCAUACAGAGCCCAACUUCUUUUUGAACUAGGAAGCAUGAAGGGUGGGUGGAUGUGGGCUGAGGAAGGAAGAUUUGACUUGUGUGCCGCAGGCCUGCGGUACCAAUUUGUUCCAGAACUUGAUAAGGCCCAUAAACUGGUAGGCAAGUUUCAUUAUUUGGUCACCACUGAAUUUUGGCAGUAUGGCCACAAGGAAGGUAGGAAGGAGAGGGAGAAGAGAAAACCCCAAUUGCCAAUUGCAAGCUUCCGGUUGGCACAGUGCUCAUUGCUGACAUUUUCAUUUGAUUUUGACCUUGCAACAGAUACAGCUUAACAUGAUGGACCAGUUUUUCACAAUCUUGUGAUUCAUUACCCAACUUCUAGUAACAGUUUCUCAGCAGAUGACUCACCUAUGACAGGCUGAUGAUGUCUGCACACAACUUGAAAGGUAUUCAUGCCAAGGUGUGAAAGGUAAUAUUGUGACACCAUUUUGCCUAUUCCAGAAAAUGUAACAAAUGUAUGGCUGGUUCUUGACCUAAAAAUGCUGGCAUUGGUCACCAAGUGCUAGGGUGAUUCUUGACAAAAAAUGUUCGUAUUGUUCAGAACAAUGAUUUACAACUUCAGAUUGGCCAUCCAGUUAACGAUGAUAAUCACUUGUUUUACAAAGUUCAGUGUCAUAAAAGCAAAAUAAUUUUGUCAACAAAUAUGCGGAUAACUUUAUCAUAAUUACUACUUAUGGAAGUUAAGGAUAAGUUGGGUAAUGUGAGAAAGUUUUGGUCAGAGGAUAUGAGGAUAAAUUUGUUGCAAUUGCUAAGCUUCACCUCCUAGGACUACUAGGAGAAACGUAUGAGCAAUAGAACAAAUUUACAGUCCAUCCCCAUUAGCUGCAUGGAGAGGUUGGGCUUAUUGCUGCUAUGGUGGAGGUCACCUUCUUGUAGACUUUGAAAUCUGCGAAUGAAGAGGCAGAUUUCUUAGAGGAAUUGGUAGGACUCCAAGCCCCCCAAAUGACAGGGGGGUGGGGAGGAUGGGGGUGGUGGGGGGCCAUUUCUAAUUUCAUGUCUUCUCAAUGUGGAUUUGAGGUUUAACGAGAUUUUUGGGAAAUCAUUAAGGUUAAAAGUAAUUGAAAGAGUGUGUCUGUGGAGAGCAAGAGGGGGAAAUGUUUGGUUCCCAACUGGGGUUGCUUCAUCUGACCGUUAAUCUCACAGCAAACACCGACGGAGCGUUGUUGUUGGAGGCUUCCAGGUUCUCUGAUCAAUUCUCUUGUUCUUUGUUUUCUUUGGGGAAGCGGGAAACCUCUCUUUCUUCUAUUCCUUCUGGGCGGGAUGGGGAAGGUGUUGCCAUUGCCAGGGUUUCCGAUCAGGGCAGUGGUUUAGAAGCCGUAGGGGGAGCUGUUAUGGGCCCGUUAAGGAUGAUAUUGGCGGAUGGGAGGGAGGCCGAGGUCUCAAAUUUGGCGGGUAGGGAGUUUGGGACUUUCGAGGAGGCGUCAGAGGGGGUUUCGAAAAGGGUCUCCCAAGAGGAUGAAGAAGAGAGGGACAAAGAGGGGGAACUGUGUUGGCAUUCUAGUAGCUUGGCUAAGUUCAGCCGCUAUCUUGGAAUGCCGAUGGAGGGCUUCGAAGGGGAAAUUUUGUUUUUGCUUAAAAGAAUGAAAGAGAAGAAACUUCAAAAAGGAAAGUUGAAUGGCAGAAAAAGGAAAAAAUUGGAGUCAUCAAAAUUCGAAAUAGAAUUGAGAAAGUUGGAAUGGACAGUGAAUUAUCUUGGAGGAGGAGGAGGAGAGGGGGGGGAAGUACGAGCAGGUCUAAAUGAAGCUCCGACUGCUCACUUGGAAUGUAAGAGUGACCAAUAAUUGUGAUAAGAGGAAGGUGAUCAAAGCGUUGAUAAAGAAGAAUAGGGUGGAUCUGGUUUGCCUAUAGGAAACCAAGAUUUAGGAAAUGUCAAUGGGCAUUAUCCGUAGCUAAGGAGUGGGAAGAUUCCUUGAAUGGGGAGCUGUAGAUUCAAGGGCACAGCUGGAGGUAUAGUGGUGUUUUGGGAUAACAGGGUGUUGGAUUUGGUUGACCUUCAAAAAGGAUUGUUCUCUAUUUCUUGCACUUUUAAGAGUUGCGAGGACGGUUUCAUAUGGACGUUUACAAGGGUUUAUGGCCCAACAUUGAGGAGGAAUAGGGAGAGUUUUUGGGAGGAGUUGGGGGCCAUUAAGGGGCUUUGGAAUGGGCCGUGGUGUGUUGUAGGGGAUUUUAAUGCCAUUCUAAGUCCGGAAGAGCGCAACAGAGGAGGGAGCUUGAAUUCAAACAUGAGAAGGUUCUCAGAAGUUAUAGAAGAUCCAGAGUUAAAGGAUCUGCCUAUGGUUGGGGGUCCUUUUACUUGGAUUGGAGGGGUGAAUAACCAGUCUUUUUCAAGGCUGGAUCGUUUUUUGGUUAAUGAGGGGUGGGACAGUCAUUUUGGUGAUGCGAGGCAGUUUGUUCUACCAAGACCUGUGUCCGAUCACUUUCCGGUUCUUCUGGACGGAGGGGGCCUGAGAAGAGGCCCUUCCCCAUUUAGAUUUGAGAAUAUGUGGCUGAAACUGGAAGGUGUUAAGGACCUUUUGAAGCAUUGGUGGGAGGAAGGUAGCUUCAGUGGAUCCCCAAGUUUUAUCUUGGCCGAAAAACUAAAAUUUAUGAAGGCUAAGCUGAAGAAGUGGAACAGAAACACAUUUGGUAGGGUUGAAUAUAGAAAGAAUUUGGCUUUGGAGCAGGUGGAGUUUUGGGAUACCAAGGAGAAAAUUAGCAGACUGUUGUUGGAAGAGCUGGAAGCUAGAAAAGAAGCGAGGGAAGAUUAUAAAAAAUGGGUCUUACUUGAAGAAAUCACGUGGAGGCAAAAAUCUAGGGAAGUGUGGCUGAAAGAAGGGGAUAGAAAUACCGGUUUUUUCCACAAGAUGGCCAAUGCUCACAGGAGGAGGAAUAAUGUGGACAGAAUUAAGAUUAAUGGAGCCUAGCUUACAUAGGAGAAUGGAAUUAGGGAAGGGAUUGCCAAUGCUUUUAGGUUGUUGUUGUCCAAUCCGGGGGAAUGGCGCCCUUCUAUUUUCGAGCUGCAGUUUGAGACUUUGGAGCCUUUGGACGCUAGUGCCUUGGAGAUUCAUUUUUCGGAAGAGGAGGUCUUCGAUGCACUAUUGGGCUGUAAUGGGGAUAAAGCCCCGGGGCCAGAUGGAUUCUCUAUGACCUUUUGGCAAUUUGCUUGGGAUUUCGUGAAGGCUGAUGUGAUGUGUUUCUUCAAGGAGUUCAAUGAAAAUGGCAAAUUUGUUAAAAGCCUAAAUGCAACUUUUAUGGUCCUAAUCCCAAAAAAAGCAGGGGUUGAAGCCUUAGGGGAUUUUAGGCCUAUAAGCUUGGUGGGAAGCUUGUACAAGUGGCUGGCCAAGGUCUUAGCUAAUAGGCUAAAAAAGGUGGUUGGAAAGGUGGUCUCCAAGGCUCAAGGGGCGUUUGUGGAAGGUAGACAAAUCCUAGAUGCAGUGUUGAUAGCUAAUGAAGCCAUUGAUUUGGUUCUCAAGAAUAAUGAGAAUGGCAUUCUGUGCAAACUGGAUAUAGAGAAGGCGUAUGAUAACAUGGACUGGACUUUUAUUCUCACAGUUAUGCAGAAAAUGGGUUUUGGGGAAAAAUGGAUCAGGUGGAUUAAGUGGUGUAUAUCCACUGCAGGUUUCUCCGUGUUGGUCAAUGAAACCCCUACGGGUUUCUUCCAAAGCUCCAAGGGUUUGAGACAGGGUGAUCCCCUUUCCCCUUAUCUCUUUGUGAUAGUUAUGGAGGUCUUUAGUGCUUUUCUUAAAAGGGCUGUAGAGGGAGGUUUCUUAUCGGGUUGUAGGGUGAAGGGUAGGAGUGAAGAAGGGGUCCUAAUUUCCCACUUGUUGUUUGCUGAUGAUACACUGGUGUUCUGUAAACCUUCACAAGAUCAAUUGACUUAUCUCAGUUGGUUACUUAUGUGGUUUGAGGCCGUUUCGGGAUUGAGAAUAAAUUUGAAAAAAAGUGAACUCAUUCUAGUAGGGAGGGUAGAGAAUAUGGAUGAUCUUGCUUGGGAAUUUGGUUGUAGACUGGGUAGCCUUCCAACCACCUAUUUGGGGAUGCCCUUGGGUGCUCUUUUUAAGUCAGUUACAGUUUGGGAUGGUGUGGAAGAGCGCUUCUGAAGAAGGUUAGCCAUGUGGAAGAGACAAUAUUUAUCCAAGGGAGGAGGGCGACUCUUAUUCGAAGCAUGUUAUCGAAUUUACCCAUCUAUCUCAUGUCAUUGUUGUGCUUACCAAGCUCAAUUAGACGGAGAUUAGAGAAAAUCCAAAGGGACUUCCUUUGGGGUGCAAUUUGGAGCGAAAGCCUCAUUUAGUAAGAUGGGAGUUGGUGUGUUUAAGUAAGAAGAAAGGAGGUUUGGGGGUCAAAUGCCUUUCCAUUCUCAACAAGGCUCUUCUUGCUAAAUGGAAUUGGCGUUUUGCAAAUGAGAGAGAAGCUUUGUGGAAUCAAGUGAUUAGGGGGAAGUAUGGAGAAGAUAGAGGGGGUUGGUGCUCUCGGGAAGUGAGAGAGGCUCAUGGUAUGGGGUUGUGGAAAGGAAUAAGGAUGGAUUGAGAGUUGGUGAGCGAUAGGAUGGUUUUCAUUGUUAGUAAUGGGAGGAGGGUGAGAUUUUGAAGGGAUAGAUGGUGCGGGGAUUCUCCUUUGUGUAUGUCUUUUUCUUCUCUUUUUGAUUUGACUGUUGAAAAGAAAGCGUGGGUGGCAGAUUUUGGGACCCUUUGGCUAAGGGGGGUUUGGGGGGGGGGGGGGGGGUGGGAACCCCGUUUUUUAAAACUUUUCAAGAUUUGGGGGGAGAGGGAGGGGAAAAAUUUUUUGCGAAGGUUUCUGGUUAAAAAAUUUUUUGGGNNNNNNNNNNNNNNNNNNNNNNNNNNNNNNNNNNNNNNNNNNNNNNNNNNNNNNNNNNNNNNNNNNNNNNNNNNNNNNNNNNNNNNNNNNNNNNNNNNNNAAAAAAAGGGUGGGGGGGCAAUUUUUGGGCCCUUUUGGUUAAGGGGGUUUGGGGGGGGGGGGGGGGGUUGGAACCCCUGUUUUUAAGAGCUUUCAAUGAUUGGGAGGUAGAGGAGGCGGAAAGAUUUUUGCAGAGGCUUCAUGGUAAGAGAGUUAUUGAGGAUGUGGAGGAUAUGGUGUCUUGGACUGAAACUAAGAGUGGUAAAUUCUCGGUCAAGUCUCUUUAUGUUGCCCUUGAAGCGGGUUGUUCAUCUCUGUUUCCUUUAAGCUAUAUUUGGAAUGUGAAUGUGCAGCCCAAGAUUAGUUUCUUUACAUGGGAGGCUACGUGGGGCAAAGCCUUAACCUUGGAUAUGGUCCAGAAAAGAGGACGGGCAUUGGCAAAUAGAUGCUUUAUGUGUCUUGAGAAAGAGGAGACCAUAAACCAUCUGCUCCUUCAUUGUUCAAGAACAAGGGUGUUAUGGGAUCUACUUUUUACUUUAUUUGGGGUGUCUUGGGUAUUGCCUUCUUCAGUUAGAGAGACCCUUCUAAGCUGGAAUGGUUUUUUCGUGGGCAAAAAAUGCAAAAAGGCGUGGAGAGUUGCUCCUCUUUACAUUUUCUGGACGGUUUGGAAGGCGAGGAAUAGAUUGGCUUUCAAGGAUGAUAUGUUGUCAAUUUAGCAACUGAAACACUCUUUUAUCCUUUCUUUUUGGUCCGAGAUUAAGUUGUUUAUAGAUGAUUGCCCUCUAACUAUAGCUAAUUUUAUUGAUUGGUUGGGCUCUAAGUAGGAUUGGGUUGUUGGGCUAUCUUUGUUUUUUAGCCUUGUUGGAGGCGGGUGUAUAGGUAUUGUAUACCUUGAGUCACUUUUUUAGCGUUUCUUUUAUAUAUGAAAUCUUAUUUACUUAUCAAAAAAAAAAAAAAUGUAAUCGAAGACUUUCACAUUAAUGAGGUAAUGAAUAACCACUGAUACUUCUUCACCCCAAAGUUCCUUCACAAAAAUUUGGUAAGUGAAGAACCAUUUCUGAGUUGUGAAGCACCAAUUCCACCUUCAUUAUCUUGAUCUUUAGAAAGAGGGAUCCAACUUGAUUUGGGAUUUUAUACCUGUCAACCCAGUCACUAAUUUUUAGGAGAAUACUUCCAAUUUACCCUUGGGUUGCUUUAGAAAGUUUCUUAAUAGUGCCAUCUCUCUAGCUUAAGGGGCUUUUGUUAAUGGAAGGCAAAUACUAGAUGUGGUUAUCAUUAGUAAUGAAAUCCUAGACAAAUACUAGAUGUGGUUGUCAUUAGUAAUGAAAUCCUAGAUGAAAAAUUCUGUUCUAAGGACGAAGGGAUGGUUUUUAAAAUAGGUUUUGAGGAAGUUUAUGAUCACAUAGAUUGGGGUUUCAUGUAUGAUACAUACUUUGAAUAGGGAAGGCCUUGAACCUGGAUGGCACAAAGGGACUGGAUAUUUUGAGGUUGUUUUUCAAACUGCAGGCUCUUUAAUGGUGUUAUUGAAGCUGAGUGUUUAGCACUCGAGGAAGAUUCGGAUAUGGUUGUUUGCCUGGAUGUAAUGAACCUCCAUAUUGAAGGGGAUUCCUUUGUUAUUGUCUCAAAACCUUCUUUGAAGGCAAAGGUCCUUAGUGGAUUGCUCAUCAGAUGGGGUGGCUUCAUAAUCAUGCUAGAGACAUUGCUUGUUCUUCUCUAUUGAGGCCCAGAUCAGCUAGCCAGGUGCAUGGCUAUAUUUUUCUUAUAGGGAUGCUAAUAUCUGAAAAUUUUUAUUGAGAACACUUACUGCUCUUUGAUUGGUUUGAGGCAUGGAGUGGCUUUUCUGUUCUCUUCUUGCCAUACAUGCAUAUCAUCCCUCUUUUUUAUCUUGUUUAACUCAAUAAAUUCUCAUUUGUUAUAAGGAAAAAAAGAGAUAUUAUGUUACAUGAUGGAAGGACUUUAUUCUGUUAUGGAAUAGGCAAAACCUAGAUCUAUUGGCUAGAGCUAUACAGUAGGUUGUUGGGCUGUUCAGCAUUGUCUUUUUUUUGGAUAGGUUUGGCCAAUGCCCCUUGAUGUUACUUUUUGGUAAUGUAAUUUUCUUUGAUUUUUCUUGAAAAUUCCUCAUUUUUCAAGCUUGCUUGUAUAUCUUUCCUUCUUCCAUUAAUGAUUGUUUGAUUCCUUACUAAAAUAAAUAACAAAUUAUGAUGCAAAAGGAUUACGUUUAUGGAAAAUUUUGAGAUUUUCACCAUAUUAGAGUCUCUGAAGUUGGUACUUGUCUUGACACAGAUAAUAGGAAUCAUUUUCCCCCCAAACUACAUAAGACAUGUCUGCUACUUGGUAAUGUUCCAUUGGCAGUUAUAAACUCUCCUGUCAAAAGUGAAUCUGUUGUAGCAUUCCAAAUGGUGUAGUGUCGUACAUAGAUUGGUAAUUGAGGACUUUAUUAUGGAUUUUGUCCUGUUGUGGUUGUGCCAACAAGUUCUAUCCUGUUCUUUGUCUUGCUGAUUUGGGUGGUUGUGCAUCAUGUUCCUACAGCUGUAUAAUUAUGCUUCAGGAGCAUAGUUAUUCUGGUUUUACCAUCCAGAUGAUGGUAUUAAAGUAUUUGUAUUCUAGAUUGCGCAACUCCUUAUAUGGGAUAUUUUUGCACCAAAUGCUUAGUGAUCAAGAGAACUCUCAUAUUAAACACAGUCAUCUUCUAUUAAACUAAAUUCCUUAAGUAUGCAGUCUCACAACUACAUCAUACCAUUCUUUUCCUUUUUUAUUCCUUUCUUGCUAUUACAGGUUGGUUGCCACUAAUAUAGUAGAAAGCAAAUUACACGACCCUGCUUCCAUAAGACCUUUCUUAUUCCAUAGGUUGAAAUAGAAAAAACACUCGAUGGGACUAAUGUUUCUCUUUGCAACCAAGCAAAUUAAAAUGUUUUGAAACCCAUGCUGCCAUGAUCUUAGCUAAUUUGCAUUUUAUAUCUCUACCCCUUUCUAUUUACCAUAAUGAUGCAUGCAUCUAGUCAAAUUGUGUAUUUCUUAUGCUUAUAUUUAUUUCCUGAUGAGUUUAUUCUGACUCUUUGAUCAGGAUUUCUGCAAUCACAUUGCUUGCUAUUGAAUUUUCAAUGGCUUAAUAUGAAUUAUUAAUAAAGAUGUUGUUUAAUUAUUUCAGCAGCUUAUACUUGGUAAUUUCUUUUAACAACUCUUAUCUCUGAUGUUCAUUUGUAAUAUAUAGCUGGAGAAAGGGCCCAACGUGAACGCCUUCGGGACUUGGCUGUGUUUGAGAGGUUACAUGGAAAUCCUGGGAAAACAUCUCCAAGCCUUGCUGUCAAAAAGGUAAACCCUACAUCUCAUUCCUCUAUACCGCAUCUUAGCUUCUCAUCUUGCAUCGGACAAUGAUACUCUUAUUGAAUCAUCUUUACCAUAUCAGCCAUCAACAUGUGCACUUAUUGAGCGCUAAUUCAGGCACUGAUACUUGUGCUUUUGUUUUGUUUUGUUUUAUCUUGUCUUGUUUUGUUUUGGAGGUGAUUGUGUUGGAUGACCUAUAUCUGUGUUAGACACCAAAGCCUAUCUUAAUGCUACUGUAAAGUAAGACUAUGCUAAUAAGCUAUUGAUCUGUUACAGGGUUUAUGCCAAACUGAUUUUUUAGUUUCUCUAGUAGAAAACUUGUUUUUUCCCCUGUUAUAUCGGUGCUAUUGUUGGAUUUGUGUUUGUUGUUGAUCAAGCAUUUGCUGAAACCUUUUUUUUUUUCCUUUGCUUCUUGAUGUGCAAAGCAUUAUUGUUUGAAUUUUAAUGAUCCCAUUUGAUUCACUAUUCAAUAUUUUUAUUUGAUAUUACAUCUAUCUCAUUUGUUUUCUUUUCUUAGUUUGUUUGUUUGUUUUUUUUUUUUUUUUUUUUUUGAAUUUGUGACAUUUGAAUUUGAUGGAGCCACCAUUAAUUUAUUUUUCCUUAUUAUUGUGGGGUGUGCUUUAUUUUGUUCAAUUGUUGUUGCACUAUUAUUGUCAUGUAACUUUUCUUUUUUGUUUUGUUUCUAUUGUUCCUAUGAGCAUUAAAUGCUUCUAAAAUGUAUGGAACAGGCUAAACCUUUCUAUAGUUUUUUUAAAAAAAAAACUCAUUUAUUAUCUAUUUUCUUGUGCUCAAAAAAUUAUAUUUUUUUAGUAAAAUUGAAAAUUUAGGGAGCGCUUAGGCCUCAGCGGCUCAACCCCUUGAGGGUUUAGGCCUGUCAUAGCAAGAUGUAAACCCCCUUGCCUCUUAUGCUUUUACCUUAUGAAACUAUACCAAGAAACAAACACCACAACUCCCUGCUGCCAUCAAAGGAUACUUCAAAGUUUGCUUCAAAUCAAUCUUAAGGCCAAUUAUCAUAGGCUUGUCAUCAUGUCACUAAAAUUGGUAUUGUAACCAAAGUCCUAUUGCGAAAUCUUCAAGUUGCAGCUCCUCCUUUUCUGUUGGCUCUUGUAUUGUUAGGUGGCCGCAACCUGUUGCUUUUCUUAUGCUUUAUGAACUACUCCAGUUAAAAUAAUGCUUCAAGUAGAUGCUUUCUGGAUCUUGAUUCUAGCAAGAGGCUUAUAUUGCAAAUUUUUUUGUGGAGUCCUAGAUAGGUUAACUAGGAAGACAAUAGCUUGCUUAAGAGGAUUGCCACCUCUCCUUUUGGGUUUGUAAAAAUUUUGGUUCUCCCUUGACCUUGGGAGUCCUAUGGUUUCAAUUUUGGAUGUGCUCUAGGUUGUAGCCUGUGUUAUGCUUUCUAAAUGGUAAUCUUCUUCUUGUUUUAGCUGGGAUGCUUUUGUUUAUUUUGCUCGUUUGUUUUCUUUGUUUCUUUAUUGUGGCUGUAGGAUCACCAAUCAACUUUUUAUUCUCUGCAAAAACUGUUUAUGUUUCAUAACGAAAAAGGAAAAAACAAAGGCAAGUUAGCCUAGAAUAGGUUUUAUCUUGUUUCUUCUUUUACCAUUAGUGUGGAUUCAAACUCAGGAAGAGGCCUUCAAACAAGUGGCAUUUGUGUUUUUUAAACAUAUAUCUUUAUUCAAUCAUUGUUAAGUGUUUGUUGUCUUGUCUGUUCUUUUGGUUGUUUUUGUCUUUGUCAAAGUGUAUAAUUAUAAUAUCCCACAUUGUAUAGAGGAAAAAGUUUCUAACGCUAUAUAUGUAUGAACUUUUUUUAAUCUUGUUGAUUCGUUUUUAAGCCGCGAGGGUCGUUUAGGCUCAAAGCAAAUAAUAUCCACACAACUGGGAGUAGGUUGUUACAAAUGGUAUCAAAGUCAAUCCUCGACCUUGGUAGGAGAGUUUGCUUGGCCUAAAAUGGGUGUCCGUUUAUUUGACCUUACAAUCCUAUGGGACACAAUAAGGACGUUGUGUCUGCAUGAGAGGGUGAUUGUAAUAUCCUACAUUACAUAGGGGAAAAAGUUCCUAACGUUAUAUAUCAUAGUUUUAAAAGGCUCAAGGCGCACCAAGGCGCAAAGUAGUCCUGGAGCCUGAGGCGCAAGGCGCAUCUAAGGCGCGGGCUUUAGUGAAGUGAGGCGCACCCUAAUUUACAUAUAUAUUUUUAUAUAAUAUAAUCAAAUUUAACAAUCAUUUAUUUGUCCUAAACACAUAAAUCAUCAAAUAUCAUCCAAAACUUCAAUUUAAUAAACAAAAAACAUAAAAAUAAAGAACUCCAAGCAUAAAAACAAAUCCAAAUCCAUAUUGCUAAUUGCCUAAUACAUAUCCAAAUCCAAAGUUUCCAAACCUAAAGGUCCAAAACAUGAAAUUUGUCCACAAUUCAAAAACAUCAUUAAAAAACACUUAAAUCACAAAUUUGUCCACAACAAGCAAUCAUCACUCCUCCUCUAAAUCAACAAAAUCAUCAUCAUCAUCAUUUCCAUCACCACAUUUGUAGCCUUCCCCAUCUUCUUCAUCUGCUGAAUUAACCAUGUCUCCAUCUUCAUCUUCAUCUAUUAGUGAAUAAGAAGGCAAAGUUCUAGAACUUGAAGCUAUCCCCCUUGUUGGUGGUAUUAUGCUUGAGCUUGCUCUAGCUCUAGCUCUAGUAUCAAACCUGGCCUCCUCAUCUCCAGCAGCUCUAGCAACAUCACCCCAUGUCAAAUUGUCAUCAUCAAAUACAAAAUCAUCUUGUGCACCUCCAUGAGAAUCCUCAUCUUCCAUUCUCCCUAUCAACCAUUCAUUGCUAUCAUCUAUAUCUUUCAAGGAAAUUGGGUCAAUGGUGUUACGUUCAUUGUAUCUUCUCUUCAAGGCUCGAUUAUACUUGAUGUACACCAAAUCAUUCAAGCGUUGAUGAUCUAACCUAUUUCUCCUCUUGCUAUGAAUCUGCAAAAAUUCAUAAGCUCAUAAAUAUAUUUUAAAAUUUUAACUUUUAAGUUACAUUCAAGACUCUAUUAGACUAUUACUUGUAAUUAUUUUGGAUUUGGUCACUCACAUUCUCAAAGAUGCUCCAAUUCCGUUCACAACCCGAUGCACUGCAUGUUAAGUUGAGGACUUUCAUUGCAAACUUUUGCAAAUUUGGAGCUGAAGCUCCAUAUGCAGCCCACCAUUCAGCUGUAGUAUAGAUAUUAACAAUUUAGUGAAACAAUUCACCUAUUUUAGCAAAAAUACAAUCUAAUCAUUUAAAUAAACAAAACUAAAUAACUAACCUGGUGCUCUAGUCUUUCUUGUCCUAACAGCUAACUCAUUCCCGAAUAGUCCUUGGGCAUUUGUGAACAAACUCACUUCGGCCACAACUUUUUCUUGCUUAGCAGGGUCUCUUGUUAGCCUUAAGAUGCAUUUAUACAAAUCACUCAUAAUCUCGGCAUCAUGCUCUAUUUCUGGCUUAUCAUAGAAGAAUUCCGGGUUCAAAAAGUACCCUGCUGCAUGCAAAGGCCGAUGAAGCUGAAUCUCCCACCUCUUAUCAAUGAUGUUGAAGAUUUCUUUGUACUUCUCUUCAUUUCCAUUAAAACUUCUCACAAUUGCAUCCUUAGCUCUAUUCAUGGCCUCAUAGAUGUAUCCCAUAGGAGCUUUUUUUUCACCAUCAACCAAACGAAGCACACGAACUAGGGGACCCGAAACCUUUAAGCAAAACACAAUAGUGUUCCAAAAUGAAGGCAUUAGAACUAUGUUGGCUAUAGUUUUCCCCUUCUACUCUUUUGCCCAUUUACUAUCUAACCAAUCUGAGCUUGUAAACAUCUUCCUCAAAUUGUUUUUUUGUUCAUGCAAUCGCGAUAAUGUGAUGAAAGCAGUUGCAAACCGAGUCUUAGCAGGCCUAAGCAAUUCCCUUUGUCCAGUAAACCGCCUCAUCAUGUUGAGUAGCCCUGAGCGAUUAUAAAUAUACCGAUUUAGUGAUAUAGCCCUCUCCAAUGUCCUCUUGAUGUUUGGUAGCUUUCCAAUAUCUUCCAACAUCAAGUCAAGGCAAUGUGCAGCACAUGGUGUCCACUACAAAUGUGGACGCUUUAAUUCUAACAACCUCCCUAUAUGAAAUUGUAGAUAAUAAAUUUACAUAAGUUCUCAAGAUAAAUAAUUCAAAUUUUAAAAGUAAAUAAAAAUUCAAGAAAUAGUAUUUAUUACUUGCUAUCACAUAACUUGAGUGAUUAUCUGUUAUAACUUGAAUAACAUUCUCUUCACCAACUUGCUCUACCCAUUUGUCAAGUAAUUCAAACAUCUUUUCUCCCGUCUUAAUCAUUGAAGAAGCAUCAAUGGAUUGCAUGAACAUGGUUCCCUUUGAACAAUUAACCAAAAAGUUCACCAAAGUUCUCUCUUUCCUAUCGGUCCAUCCAUCCGACAUAAUUGAACAUCCAUUUUUCCCCCAUUCCACCAUAUGAUCUUUCAUCAAAUCUUUUGUGAGAGCCAAUUCUUUCUUAAGGUUAGUAACUCUUACCUCAUGAAAAGUUGGUCCCUUCAUACCCACACCAUAUUGGCCAAUAGUCUCAAUCAUUGGUUGGAAACUCGGAUAUGUGACUGCAUUAAAUGGAAUAGCAGCCUCAUACAUCCAUCUUGUGAUAAGCGUGCAAGCUCUUUCUCUUGCUUCCUUUUUGUAGGCAUCAUUGAUGGUAGUUUGAUUCAUCUUUCCACUCCUUUGAUUUUGAACAACCAUCUCUGCAUUAGGAGUGAAAAAAUGAUCCAUAGGACCUUUUUGUCUUGGUUUUUUUGAAGAAAACGUCCUACCACUACUUCCUCCUCGGUUACUACCUCCACUAGAAAUGUUGGUGACAUUCGUUCUACUAUUAAUCUCCUCACCAAUAUCUUCAUCUUCCAAACCAAACAAAUCUUCAUUAACAUAUUCGCUCCCCAUAUUCAUUUGCUCUUUUUGAUUUUUCUUGGAACUCAUAUACUCUUCCAUUUCUUCUCUAACAUGUUCCGGACAUUUUCUAAACUUUUUAGCAUUUCUAUAUCCACCAACAAGAUGUUGUUUGUGUCUAUAGAUGCCUCCUUUGGUUACUUUCUCACAAAAAAUGCAUAUGAUGGUGUUCAAAUCUUUUUCAUUAACCAAACGACCAUAUUUCCACCCCGGAUCUCUUCUUCCACUUGCACUAGAGUCCACUUGAGUUUCACUCUCAUUAUCCAUCUUGCAAACAAAUUAUCUAUACUCCACAAUAAAAUAAUUAUAAUUAAAUUAAGAAAAAAAAUUGAAAAAAAAAUGCAUAUCACAUUAUCAAAUAUCACAUUAACAACAAAUAUGCAUGAGUGCUUUUUAUUUAUUUAUUUUUAUUUUGUAAAAUUUUCAUGUCAAAAACUCAAAAUAUAAUAUUUAUUUUUAAAAAAAAAAAAUUACCAAUGAGAGUUAUGAGGUAAGAAUGGAAAAAAAUGCAGAAAAGUGAAGAAAAAAGAAAAAUACCGAGGUUCGGAAGGUACGUGACUAUUUCCCCUAUUUUUCUUCUUCUUUUUCUUCUUCUUCUUCACUUCUCCAGCACAGAAGAGGCUAAGGCAAAAAAUGGCAGUGGUCUCGGGUUGAGAAAGACCAGAAAAGGGGGCUGGAUGGAAGGAACAAGUCAAAACGGCGUCGUUUUGGUCCCUGUUCACUUAAAUGAACAGGCUCCAAAACGACGUCGUUUUGGGCCCAAAAAAAAAAAAAAAAAAAAAGCUAGGGCUGCGGGGCGUCUCUGCAACCCGACUGGAGGAGGAAGAAGAAGAAGAAGAAGAACAAGGAGAAGGAGAAGGAGGAGUGCGUACCUGGUCGGACCGUCGGAGGCGACUCGGGCGAUCGCCUCGCGCCUUGCUGGAGGCGAGCGCCUUGCGCGCCUAAGCGGCGCCUUCGUGAAGGGGCGUCGCCUCUCUUCAGGCGAGGCGCCGAGGGUGGCGUCGGGCCGCCCCGAGCCUAGGCGCGCCUUUCAGAACUAUGUUAUAUAUAUAUAUAUAUAUAUAUAUAUAUAUAUAUAUAUAUAUAUAUAUAUAUAUAUAUACUCCUCUUAACCUUGUACACGUAUUUUAAAGUCAUGAAGACCACUUGAGCAUAGGAUGGAUAAUAUCUAUACGGUUGGAUGCAGGUUGUUACAAUAAUUACUUUUGAUUUUCCUUUCAUAUGUUUAAUUGCAUAACAUUAUUAUAGCAAAAUAUUAAUCUAUCAUAAUGCAACGUCUUGUAAAGCUUAUGUUGGGUGUCAUGAUUUGAUCUCUUGUCAUUUUUAUUAUUCUGAUUCAACAUCAUCUUAGCUUAUAAUCAUUUAUACACUUGAUGCAUGAGAAAUGAAGAUGCUAUAAAUUGUAGGAUCUUUUUCUCCAAUUUGUUCCUUGAUAUUUUAUAAUGCCAUGAAAUGUCUAUAUUUUGAUGCAGAAAGCCGUUCACACUCCAUCUCUCUCACUAGUUUUGCAGAACCAUUGCCACUAAGCACAUGCAGGCGUCAGAUGUGCGGCCACUUCCAGUGUUGGAAGAGACUUUGAACUACCUAUUAAACCUGUUGGAUGCCACAGAACAUCCUUUUGAAGUGGUUCAUGAUUUCGUCUUUGAUAGGACAAGAUCAAUAAGACAAGAUCUUAGCAUGCAGAAUAUCAUUAAUGAUCAAACAAUUCAUAUGUUUGAAGAAAUGGUAUGAAUUUCUUGAAACAUAAUCUCAAUUACCUUUUUUUCUGAGCAUUCAUCUCCUCAACAUACAAUAAGUUAGCCAACCCAUUGCUAAACACUCUCCUAGUUGGAGAAAAUAAUCAAAGUAUACAAGAGAUAAAAUGUUGAAUAAUUGAGUCAUUAUCCUCUCUUUUUGCUUUAUUGAAUAAGAUAAUUUAUUCGAUGGAGUCCAAAUGAGGUGAAACUGUGAUCACACAACUUGAAGCCUACUUUACAAUGGAUAAAUGAAUGGUCUGAUUUUGAAUCUUUCUUGGCACAUUAGUUAUUAUCCAAUCCAUUCUAAUUAAAUUAUCCACUAUUAAGUGUCUAUUUCCAGUCACCCUCUAAGUUAUGAAAGACCCAUAGAACCAAAGCAACUCACACCACCUGUGAUAGGAAUUGGUGCUCUCUUCCAUAAUGUCAAGUUUUCCAGUACACUUGCUGACUUUGUAGAAUAUGCCUACAAAAAGGGCUGCCACCUCCUAAUUCCCAAUCAUAGAAGUUUCUUAACCAUAUUUCAAAAGUUGUAUUUCCUGUUCCCUCUCUUAAAGUUUUUUAAACCUAUAUAUCUUUAUCCUAGUAAUUCGGAAAAAUGAGGAAAUUAUUUAACAAGAACUCCAUCAAUUUGUUCCUCAAAAUUUUAUAUAGUUUCUCUCUCUCACUUUUGAUUCAAAUUCUUGAAGCAAAGGAACAAAUUCAUGGCCAGUAACAUUUUUAGCCAAGCAAUAGAAUGCACGACAAGCAUGUAUAUGAAUGAAUUGUGUUUUUUAAUGAUAAUAGAUCAGAUAUUUUAAUCUCAUCCUAAAACCUUUGAGUUAACUAAAAGCCGCAUCUUAUGUUCUGACUUGUGGUUUGUUUCAUAAUAUAGGUGAAAUUUCAUAUUAUAUCCCACCACAAGCUUCACAGUUGUAGCAGCAAGCCAAGUUUUUCUUCAGUUCAUUACCUCAAUAUGGAGCAGCUGAAAAAGUGUCUAAUAUCUCUAUAUGCUCUAUACAAAGAAAAUCGAAAUUCAAAUUCUAUUUACAAGAAUGAACCUGAGUUCUACUCAUUUCACGUUCUUCUUCAUCUUGGCUCUAACAACCAACCAUUGGUGGAUACUUGCUUCCGUUGUUUGUUUGAGUUCAUCUUUUUCAGUAUCUCUUGCUGCCUUGUACUGGUUUCUGAAUAUGUUACUAUUUCUGUUUUGAAGGGAGAGUCACUCUCUUUGUGGUUGGGUCGUGUACCUUCUCUCAUUUUAAAGUCAAAGGAAAUGUGUUUUGCUCGGAGACUUUUAAGGUGACCGUAAAGCUAUUAUAGAUUCGACUUGCAUUUAAAUUGUUUAUAUUCAUUUUACAUUUAACUCAAUGUAGAGUGGUUCUGUUUUCCAAUCGAUUUUUUUCUCUUCUUUUAGUACCCAAUGUUAAAAAUUUUGUUUUCAUGAACUGAAAGAUCUGUCUUUUCUUGUAACAGAUUAUUUCGGAUGGGCAAUUAUAAGCGUUUCCUUUGUACUACAGCAACUGAGGCAUCUUAUUUACAGUACUACAUAAUUGAACCUUACAUCAAUGAGGUUGCUUAAAUAUGUUGAUUUUGCUAGAUUUUUCAGUUUGAAAAAUAUAUGCUUCUUUGUUCAUUUAUUGUUUUCCAAUUUCAUUUAUGAGAAUAUAUCUAAAAUCUAGACUCGAGUACUUGUGCUUUUGGGUUUUAUUUUUCUUUCAUUUUUGUUAGUAGUUGUACUUCAUUAUUCUUAAAUUUCUCACAGUUGUUUCUUUAUGUGGUUUAUUGCUCCUCACUUUCUUCAUUCAUCUGAAGUGUUCAAAUUCAAUUUGCUUGUUUCAUAAACCAGGUCUUAUUUAGAAGUUCUUCUCAAUUGCCUUUUUUAGUGCUUUUAAAGGACAUGCCUGAUUUAUAUAUAUUUUUGUUGGUUUUCUUUUGACCGUAAAAGGUUCGAGCAUUGGCAUUGUCAUGUGUAAAUUAUUGUGGCUACAAACUUCAUCCGUAUCCAAUUGCACACUUGUCCAAACUCUUGAUGAUGAAGGUAUGAUUGCAUUUACUAGCAUUAAAUUGCUAAAAUUUGUCAUCCAAAGUUCCAAUAUCUUUUGAACCUUGAAGGCUUCAUUUGCAUUUUUGUAGGAAUUAGAUGUGGAAUCAUUUUGCAAUGCUUGUGGUCUUGAGACCAGCACUGAUGAACGGGGAAAUAAGUUCUUAUCAACCAAGCAAACAAACUUCCAUUAUCCCAAGGAAGUCUUUCCAAGCUAUUGCCUUCUGGGUUUGGAACACUUUUAGAGGUAACAAUCAAUUGGAACUAGUUACUCUUUCAAACUUCUUAUUGUACAAAUAUAACCUGCAUGUGCAACCAUUUCUGAUCCCAUAAUUUCAAGAAUUUAUGACACCUUCUAGUGGUUAGUUUUUCUGGGAAUAGAGUAAAGCAAUCUAUUCACUCCCAGAAACUAUCGUCAAAGGAACAGUAGAUAACCCCGCAAGACCAAAUUUAUGUGUGUGCAUGGAGAUGCAUGUUUUCUGCAUCCCAAUCAUGCAGUGUUGUGCCAAAUGGAAUAAUAGCAGCUGAUGAUAAGUGGUAUUUCUAAAAUCUUCUAAGAGUAUUCCAUCUAUUGUAAUAUUGUUUUCUCAAAAUUGUCUUUGAGUCUUAUAUGUAAAUAUUAGACUUGACCUCUUGUAAGCUAUCAACUGAUGUUGUAACUUAACUUGAAAGGGAAAUUCUAUAAAUUUAGCCUUGGUUUGGCUGUUGGAAAGCAAAGAAAAAUUAGGUUAAUAGUGAGUUGAUUUCUUCCCUUCCCAUGGAUGUAAGCACAUUCUUGAAUCAUGUUAAUUACUUUUUGGUUUAUUUUGUUGUUUUGUUGUUUUGUUGUUUAUUGUUCAAUUGUCUCCGCAUAACAAGUGGUAUCAGAGUUGUUUCCAACACAACAGAUGAUUCCUGUGCUAACACAAAGUUUGAGGCUAAACGUAAGAUGGUAAAAGUUUCUAGAAUAUUUCCCUAUGACAACUGCCAAUAAAGGAUGUACUUAACAGAAAGUUCAUAAGGUGUUACAUGGCAAGUUGAACAAAACCAAUAGCUAGAGAUAUCUGAAAUAUUUGGGGCCACUGAUCCAACAAUAGCAGAGAAUAACACAAGAAGAGACCCUCUAAUCACCAUUUUUUCUUUGAUUCUUCUCUACAAAGCAUCAUCUUCUUUAUACAAAAAGACAACCCAUUGCUGAGCCCACAUUAUUCUCUACAUAUCCCAAAAAAGCCCUCUAAAUUUUAGGGCAUGGUGCUCUUUUUAGGGGUAUUUUGGUACUAAAUUUGUGGUAGUCUCUCAAAUACCUAAACUACCCUCCAGAUUUUAAGGCAUGGCCCACUCUUUGAGGUGGUAUUUUGGGUACUAAUUUUUGUUAGGAGAGGUUUUGGUGUGGAAACUGGAGGGCUUUACACACGUUGCAUGUAUUUUCUUUUGCAUGCAUUACACAUAGAUUGGAGUUUAUGCAGUUACUCACUUUUUGUUCGUCCAACAAUACUAUAGUGCCACGUCACCAUAUGAUGGGCUCUUUAGUCUUUUCAAACCCAAAAAAAAACACUAAAAAAAAAAAAAACUAAUACUAAAAGGAUUGCUAACUAGCUAUGUGAAGAUGAACCUCUAUAGCUAGCUUCUUAGAGGGACCAUAAUCGCUUAGGCCAGGGAAGUUUGAGGUGAUAAUAUGUCUGUGAUGCCCUUAGAUGUUUUAGGCACAUGUGCGUUACAUUAAUGUAUUCAAUGAGUCUAUAACCUUGAUUGACAGGUCCGAGUAAUCUUUGAAAUUUCAUUGUGGUGGGAAGGUUCCAUGUGAACAACACUUGCACAUGGGUUAGUUAAUCUUAAGAGACGGGGGAAGCUCAUCUAACAGCACACAAUGUGCGAGCUUUGAAAGGCAAUCGGGUUAACAUUUCUGAAUUGGGACAUGACAGCGGACAACAACAUUAGGUAGUCCAAAGAUGUCGUCAUAUUAAUUGUUAUCAAUAUUUUUAUUUAUUCAAUAGAGAUUGAGGAUUAAAAAAAUACCACAAAAAUUAGAAAAAACAAAAUUAAUUACAUGGCUUACAUUUCAAAUAUUUAAUAAAAUAUUGUAUGAAAGUUGAAUAUCAUACACUAUUAAAUGGUUGGAUUCUCUUCUUUAAUUUUUUUAAUUGUCUCAUCCUAUUAAAUUACUCAUCUAAUAUUAAUUUAUUUUAAAGGUGAAAUUAAUUAUAUUGUAAAAAACUUUUAACUGACCAGAGUUUGUGCACAACAUCUAAUAUAUACUUAAAUAUAAUCCUCCAACUAAGAAAUGAAAUCAAAACUUAAAAAUCAUUUAUAUAUAUAGAUAUAUGUUAUCAAGUUUAGGUAGUGAAGCAAUUAAUGUGGAUAUAAAAUUAAUGCCAAAACUUUUGAUUGUUCCUUCACAUUCUCCACAACCAAACAAAGGAUAUAAGAAAAAUAAAGAAAGAAAUUUAGGGUAGUUUGAUUUUUGUUCUCAUCUUGUUGUGAAGUUAAUAGAGGAAUGCUUGGGUUGGUGCUCAAUAGUUAAGUGACAGCAGGGUAUAAUGAUUCUUCCAAUCGUGUAAAUAUUAUUUGUUUUAAUUUCAAUGGAUCAUCGUCACUUUAAAUUGCAUCCACAUGGUUAAGAGCAACUCAUAUGUAUAUAAUAUCAUGAAUUUCUUCUUAUUCGAUACGGAAUAUCAAAUUAGGUAUCUUUCAAUUUUAGGUAUUGUGUAAGUGUUUCAACUCAAAUGACUUGGCUUAAUGUAUACUCAAAGCCUUGACAAAGGAGCGUAUAUGUAAUAAAGUGAAAAUUAAACCUUGUCGCCCUUCUAUCUCUAGUACUCCAUUAUCCCUUAAACAUGUGCAAAAAAAGAUAUACACCUUUGAUACAUUAAUUAAAAUAAACGAUAGAAAAAGAGAUUUUAUAUAUCCAUGUACAUAAUUUGAUUAGAUUUGUUAUAUAUGAGAGAGAGAGAAAAAAAAAAAAACUGUUUAGAUUAAGGAUCUCAUUAAUUAAUACCUAGAAAAUAUAAAAGAAUAAAAAAAGAUUAGAAGGUGUGAAUCAGAAGAUAAGACUACAUUUUUUAAUUAGAUUCAUCGAAAGAUGGCAUAUUGUAUGAACAUUUUUACUCUACAUAUAAAAACUUAUAUUAUGGUUGAGAUGUAUUAAUUUGUCAUAUUUUUGGACAUUUAAAGUAAUGAGUAAUUACACUAAAUUAAAUUAUUGACCUUAUUAAUCAAUACCUCAAAAGUAUAAAAUAGUAAUAAAUGAAUAAGACAAACUUCAUCGAAAUAUUUUUAUGGGCACAUUACGUAAAUAUUCUUAUUUAAUAAAAGUUUAUAUGUCAUUAAAUGAAUAGAGAAUUUUAACAUUAAUUGCAGUGCUAAGUAGAGGAGAUCUCAUAUUUAAGCUGUUGAUUAAGGCUUAUUACUUAAUAAUUUAAGUUGACUUUAAGUUAGAUUAUAUUUAAGUUAUUUACGUAAAAUUUAUUAUUUAUUAUUUAAUAUUUACUUUAAGUAUUAAAGUUAUUUGAUAAAGUUAAUUUAAAAAUCAUUUUAAAUUAUCAAAUUGUCAUAUUUACCUUCAUUAAUUUGAUAACUAGAUGCAGAUAAAUGAAACAAAAAAAAAAUUGAGAUUAAGAAUAAGUUAAUUAAUUUGAUUUAACACUUAAAAGUAACUUUAAGAUAUAAUAUUAAGUUAUUUUAUCAAAUAUAUUUAAUCUAUUUAAUAAUUAAAUUAAGUUAUUAAGUUAAUGAAUGAUUACCAAACACCUUAUAAGACCCAAAAAAUCGAAUGAGUUUUAAUAGUUUCCAGGAUGGGCAUGACUAGGUGGUGGUUCAAUGCUGAUUAAUCAUAAUUCAAUCAAGGCAAAAUAUGUAACAAAUACAUGUCAAACUGCACCAUCCAAAUGGGCGCCAAGAACGUUACAUUUGACAAAUGCCAUUAAACCUCGACAGCUACCAAUUACUUGAAGCUCAUUAACUUCAUCUUAAUUUGAUCCAAAUUGCAGAAACAUGUGAAACUCCAUGAAUCUAUGGUGCUAUGGUGGCCUACAUUCAUAUAACUGGGGACACUUUGGUUUACACUACAAUGACCCCAAACAGGGUUUGUAGAGACUUUAUCAAGAUCACUAGCUUCAAAAGACUAAGGAAAGAAAGAUGUUCUCAAAACUUGGAGUCAAAUUGCAGAUAAAGACCUAAAACUCCCACUUAACGUGUUUGAGGAAUUGUUGUUUCAUGGGGAUAAGCUGUUUGGUUUGUACAUGUCUCCUUGGUGAUACUUAGAGUUCGGCGAAGUAUACGUAUCCUUUGUGAUCUGGUUUGUAUAUGGGCAGAUGAAUGUUGAUGCCAGGUUCAUAUAUGUUUCUGAUAUAUAUCACCCUGGAAGGAUCUAGAUCAAGGGGAUGAGUUUCAAAAGCUUGAGUAGGUUUAAGAUGUUCCGAGAAUUGGUGAGCAUGAUAUAUAUCAAUAUGAUAUUGCAGAAGACAACAGAGCUUCUGAAAUUAAUAUGUCAGGUUCAAUAGUGGGAAAUCUUAUCAGCUGUCACUUACUGUAAUCGUAUGCUCUCAAUAUUCAUUUGUUGAAGAAGAAAAAAAAAAUUGCUUUCACACUAUUCAAUUACAAGAGAAUGUUCAAUUAUAGAAGAAAAUAAUAUUCGCUAGUCUCUUUCAACUUAAUCAACAUGCAGAGAAAAGCAGUGAAUAAUAACUUACAUACAUUGUCUCUCUACCCCUACUUGUUACUCAUCAGCCAAGCUUAUGGUAAUAUAAGCUUGGGUUCAUCUCUCUAUGCCACUGAUGAAAACUCCACAUGGGCUUUGCCUUUCUGGUGAUUUUGCAUUUGGAUUCCGACCCUCUCCAAGUGAAGAGGACCUAUUCCUUCUUGCUAUCUGGACUGCAAAUGGAAGUUAACUGGUGCCAAGAGGAUCAAAAGUUUGGGCUUACCACCAAUGGACAGCUUGUUCUCUAGAGGCUAAGAUAUAUGGAAGACAAAGACUGGUAAUGUGAGCAGCGAACCAGUGCAUGGUGCCAUGCUUGGAGAUGGAAAUUGUAUACCAGUAUAUGGGAGAGCUUCAAGCACCCAACUAAUACCAUAUUGCCAAUCCAGGGAUUGGUGUUGGAGCCUACUGUGCAGUUGCUAUUUUUGAGGACCUGAGGUUUGCAAAUGGAACUGGAAGCUGUUGGAGGAAAAGACUACCUCUUUCAAAUGGGAGGUUGGAUCAAACUGCUGUUUCCAGAAGUGCUCUAAUCAAGAUAUUGAAGUCCAGUGAACUAACUUCAGGCAGAUGCAAGCAAAAUAAAGCAAUUCUAAUACUCUCAGUCCUCUUAGGCCCCUCUGCGUUCUUCUUCUUCGUUUCUCUAGCUGCAAUUUCACUAGUUUUCUACUGCUUGAACCUCAAAAAUCUGCAGCUUUAUCACAGAAUCCUGAGUACAAGCGAUGGUAGAAGCCUUUGGCACUGUCUAUAAAGGGAUAUUACCAUCAGGUUCUGGAAAUUCUGUUGCUGAAAAGUUGGAGAAGGUGGUGGGAGAAGAUGAGAAAGAAUUCAAAGCAGAAGUGAAUGUGAUGGGCCAAACUCACCAUAAGAAUCAAGGACACUUGCUGCGUUACUGUUGUGAGGGUGAACACUGACUACUGGUGUUUUUUUUUUAUGCACAAUGGCUCUUUAUCAAGCUUCCUUUCUGGAGGCGCCCGAAAGCCCUCAGAACACAACUCUUGGAUGAUUCUUUUACAGCCAAAGUUGCAAACUUGGACUGGGAAAGCUUCUGAUAAGCAACCAGACUAGAACACUCACAGGCAUCAGAGGGACUAUGGGGUAUAUUCAGACAACUCGGGCAGCCUAUGUCUCUUAUAAUAACACGUUAUGAAGCAUCAGCUCAAUGCUGGGGUUCAAUCUGCAAAGCAAGGGAUUCAUCAAUGUUUCCUUCAAACUAAAUAAUAAGGAACAGAAAUGGAUCAUUCUGCAUUUUCAGUGGUGUUUGUUAUAGCAUUUAUACAAGAACUCUAGGGGUUUCUAUGUAUAACUUCAUUCCCAUUUUGUAUAAUCCAAAUCUCUUCAAUCGAUUAAAUGUAUAAAUGAAUCCUAUUCAUUGUUUGGAGUAACAACAAAAUUCUGGAAGACUGGGAAAGUUUCAACACUGGAGAGAAAACAAAAUGACAAGACCAUAAAUUCUGGAAGAGGGCUUUGCUUUCUAACCAUUACCAUAAUUUUAGAGCUCAACCCGGAUGAGUAAAUUAUAUUUCAGAAUGUUCAGGAGAUAAUUCUAAAGUGAUGAACCUUCUACUCACAGUUUCUUGUUCUUCUUGAACAGAGCAAUGAACAUCAAUAGUUCAGCACCCAGGAAUCUCCCCUCUCCAAUUCCUCCACUGGGAAAAGUCACCUUUCCAGUUAAGAAAAUCUUCAGGAUUAAUUUGAGCAAAACAUCAGAGUAUACAUCAAGAAAGCCUUGAUCAAAAUCAAAAUACAUCAAGAGCUGCCAUUUUCUUCUAUUUCCUCUUCCUUGAAUGGAAUGCCUUUUGGACUGAGGUGAUCAAUGGUAACAGUCUAACACACUCCUUAAGCUUUGAUUGAGGUCAACGGGGAUUGGCACAUUUAAUGACUUUGAAAUCAUAGCUGUGUGAAGGGAGGCAAACAUGAAUCUCAGGAUAAUCAACAAGUCAACAACUAUCAAUCAGUAAGGAAAAGGAAAAGGAAAUACCUUUGGAUAUUUACAAAUAAAAAAUUUGAGAGAGUCCAGCUGCUCUGUACAGAAAGGCUUGAGCUUAUUCCAUGGCCAGGCUUUAGAUGGUUCUGAAUUACGGAUGAGAGGAUUGAGUUUUCUUUCAUUCUGCAAUAAGAUUAAAAACAUCAAUGAAACACUAAAAGUUUAUAUAUAGAAGCCCUUUAAAGAUGAGAAUUGGUAAGAGAGCUCACCCAUGGUCUAGUAAAACAACAUCUGUUAGAUAAGUAACCACCAUUCGAUUGUCCAGCUAAUGCAUUUAGACAGUCCAAAAUAGCUAAAGACAGUCCAAAAACUCAUUUGACUAAUAAUUUUCUAAAAGCAGUAACAUAAAACCUGGAUGAAGAAUCCACCCCUCUACCUGACACCACUUCAAUACCAAAUAAAAUGUUACGAUGACCAUUUAUAGUCUUAAGAGACAGUGGGUGUUGUUUGGGCUCAAGACCAUCAAAAUUGGCACAGAAACAAGUACAACAACUAUCUAAUAAAGAGAUUUAUGCAUGUAACAAAUGCAAAUGAAAUAUGAUACAAGAAGUUCAUAGAUUAAACAAAAAUAGAUGGCAAAAUAGAAGGAUAAGGUCACAGACAGGACAAUAUUAAAAGAAAUUAUUAUUUUUCCGACCUGAAAAUCGAGGCAUUUAGAACAGUACAAGUUUGUAAGUAGUCCAUGGAAACCAGGGAACUUAUGCAGAUGUUGUAUUCUAUUGCAUAAGGCAAACACUCAAUACUUACAAGCAUAAUCAUGCCCAGAAAGCCAUGAAUCCCUUUUUGUUUUGCUUUUUUACCUAUUCUCAUCUCUUAUUGCCAGAAGUGCCCAGGAUGAUACAACCUCACCAAAUAAGUUAGAAACCAGCCCAUUCAGCAGGUUGAGUAGCCAGCUUGCCCUCAAUCUUCUUUGAGUCAACAAACAGUUGGGCAUUAUUGCCUCCAAUGGAGGGUCUGGAAAUAUUAGAGCCGGCAGCAGGGGUGGCUGUAAAACUCUCUGUUCCAAAACCCCAAGUUUCAGGGCCAGAAGUUCCUUCUUUGGCUGGUUUGUUGUGAUGGCCAUUUCGGGUCCUACCAGACUUGCUAUUGUUGUCUGGGCACCUGCCUCAGAGAAAGCCUGCCAAAGAUUAGAGUCUGGGCCAGGGGAAACGGAUUUUCUUUGCUGGAGUUCCCAGUCUGUUGCUUCAAUCUUUUCUCUGUGCUGUUACGAGAAGAAAACCUAUCAGACACAUGAAUGGGUACAAAAAGGUAAACUUCAGGUUUUGGUUGUAUUGAAAAGCACAGGAAACUUCACAAGAGGCAAAUUAUACCCCAGACUUAUUGAAGAAAAAUGAAGUACAAUUGACUUACCCAAAUGUCUACUUCCUCAUUUAUAGAUUUCCUCCUAAACAAAUCCCCACAUCUAGGACAGGAAAAGGAAGAAGCUGGGAGUCAACAUUUUUUCAACCAAAUGUCAGCACUAACUUAUCAAAAAACAUAGUUUUCCAUUCAACCUCGGGAGCUGUACUUUCUGAUAUUGUCUUCUUAAAGUGCUUAUGAUUGGUGGAGGUGCUUCCAAAAUCACACAACUUCCAUGAUGCAUUAGGGCCCAAUAGAAGAUUCUCAGCAUUUAUAUAAGAACUUCAGGGCUUAUACGUAUGAUCAUGUUACAGUAUAAAUCAUAGUGAACUGGUGGAAUUUGAUUAUUAGCCAACCUCAUCAAAAACUGUUUCACAGUUGAGGGGAUUGUUAACCUUGCCAUGGGCCAAGCAGCAAUUUCUGGAGAAGCUGGGUGACAAAGAGUACCAUCAUUUGGACUAGUUUCAAUGGAAAUUCCUCUGUUUUUAUACAUGAUAUCUUCAGCUUCAGCUUUUCCUUUUGCUUUUGACAUGGCUGAAACUGAUCCUGAAAUAAAAAAUCCCACGCAAGUAGAUAUUUAACAGAAGAGGAUCCGAAUCUCUUCAAUUGAUUAAUGUAUAAAUGAAAUAAUCAAAAUUUUUAGAUAAUUAUAGGGAGAUGAACCUUGUACCUCUGAGUUUCUUAGUCUUCUUGAACAGAGCAAUGAGCAUCAAGUGUUGAGCACCCAGGAAUCUCCCUUCCUAUACAGGGAAAAUCUGAACAAUCUAUCUUUCUUCAUAUUCCACUUCCUUGCAAAAGUCAAAACAUGAAGAAAAUAUCAUCAAAAUUGAGACAAAAAUAAGUGCAUCAACUGUCUCAAGAAGAGAUUUAUGCCUAUUGCUUACCUUUUGCAGAAGUCCACUUGGUUAGAGCACAUUUUACAUGGACGCCCAAUCACUGCAAGCUGCUGAACCAAAGGAGAGUUCAAACAUCUAAAAAAUUUGACUAACUCAAGUAUCAUAAAAUACUUCACAUGAAUUCUAAAUGAUCUCAUAUCUAAAAAACAUUGGCAUAAAAUUAUUGUUGUUUACCUUACAUAUUUCUUCCAUGGUCAUAAUCGAAACUUUGUUUAUCAUAACAAAUCUUCUAUGCUCAUCCUGAUUACUAACAAUGAAAAUUGAAAUGAAAAGAAAAAAAAAACACAAAAAAUGAUGAUUAGUUUGGUUUGAUAAAUUUAGCACACACAAUUCCCUUUUUCUUGCCCGAAAAAGGAAAGAGUAAAAAAAAAAAAAAAAAAUUAAUAAUUUUUCAAAACUAGCAAUUAUAAAUCUAGUUUGGUUCUCAUAAAAUUUAUGGGAAAGCAGGGAAAAAAAAGUGUAAACUUUUUCUCUUGUUUGAUUGUUUAUGGGAAAAUUGAGGGAAAAACAAAUAUUUAUGAGGAAUCUAUUUAACACUUUUGAGGAACCAAAAAUGUUUUAGAUGUUGUCAAAUCGAUAAUUUAAAUGUAUUUAAUUCCAAUUAAAUGAGUUUAAUCAAACACAUGAAAUCGUGAAUAAAAUUAUUUAAAAGCAUUGAAAUUCAAGUCAUUAAAGUUGUCCAUAAAAUUUGGUAUAUUGAAGCAAGAAAAAAACAAAGCAAUUUGAAUGACUUGCUAAUAAAGCAGCUAACUAGAAUAUGCCCUAGAGUUGUUCUGUGCCUUGUAUAUAAGAAAUAAACAAAGAACACAAUAAAAAUAAAAAUAAAAACCAGAAAAUAAAAUACAAACAAACGAAAUAUCCAUGGUUCUUCGUUAUUUUUUUCUUAAUUUUUCAAUGGUUAUUUUUGCAAACCACCAAAUCAAAACAGAGCAUGAAAAUGUGUUCAAUAUUUAUUUCAGGCUUGAAGCUUCAAGAAAAAGAAAAUCUUAAAUCAAAUAAACAAGACUAGCGAAUGAAUUGGAACUUGAAAGAAAAGUUCAUGCGCAAAAGAAUUACCUGACUCUAUAUUGGCGGAGUGGCACUUUGAUUAAUAUAGCACACCAUUGAUCACUAUUUUUGGAACGUGAGCUAUAUAACGCCAUUCUUCCCCUUUCUCAAAUUGACACCGUUUUUCCAGUAAAGGACACCCAUCGAUGACCAGAAAAGAGAGAGAGUCUGGAAGUCUUUCUUUUGUCAAGUAUUUGAGCUUACGACAGUUCAUGAUCACCAAUGUUUUAAGAGAGGUGAGGUGUUGAAGACCCACUUUUGUCAAGGAUUGGAGCAUUCGGCAGUAUACGAUCUCCAAAUUUUCAAGAGAGGUGAGGUGUUGAAGACCCCCUUCUGUCAAGGAUUGGAGCAUUGGGCAGUGUUUGAUCUCCAAAUUUUCAAGAGAGGUGAGGUGUUGAAGAACCGAUCCUAUCAAGGAUUGGAGCCUUGGGCAGUAUAGGAUCCUCAAUAUUUGAAGAGAGGUGAGGUGUUGAAGAUCCGUUUCUGUCAAUGAUUGGAGCCUCAAGCAUCCAUAAAUUCCUAAUUCUUUUAGAGAGAUAAGGUGUUGAAGAACCGAUCCUGUCGGGAACUGGAGCUCUGGGCAGUUUCUGAUCUCUAAUUUUAGAAGAGAGGUGAGUUGUUGAAGACCCCUGCUGUCAAGAGACUUGAGAUCGGGAAAUGAUUCAAUUUGAAGAGAAGUCAGAGAAGAGGGCAGCAAACACUCCUUGGGAAAUAAUUCAAUGUCUUCACAUCCACCUUGGAUUCUUAAACGAGUAAGAGAGGUCAGCCUUUGCAAACCCCACUCCACCUGGGGCGUGAGUUGGUUGCACUUCUUAAUUUCAAGUAUACGUAGGUUGGAAGGCAAACCCUCUCUCUGAAACAACAAUUCUGGACAAUCACAUAAAUACAACUCCUGUACAGAUGACUGUGUGUGUGCCAACGACCUAAGGUUGAAGCACCUAUCAAUCAAACAAGACUCUAAGUUGAGAGCGUGCAAUUCGAUAGAUUCAAGAUCAGAGCAACCAAUUAGACGCAGGGAACAUAAAGAUGUGGGAUCACCCUCUGAAACCAAAAUGGAGAGCUUCUCAAGCCCCUUAAGACCAUCGAUUGUGAAAUCAGUCAACUUGGGGAAGAUGCCUAAUGAGAAGGAUAACGUGAGAGAAUCAUCGAUAACACCACCUUUGAUUUCUAGACUUUCAAGGACUGGGAGAUGGCAUCUGAACAACUCAGGUACGAGAAUCUCUAAUUUCGAGCACUCAGAGAUGAAUAGUGAUUUCAGUGUAGUGGGUAAACCAACUUUGUGCAGGGAUCUAGAAAAACUGCAAUCAUAGAUUUUCAGAUCAUGUAUGUUGGUUUGCGAGAUUUCCUCCUCUAGCAGAGACUCCGCAUUAUCACAUUCUCUAAUUGAGAGCUGGUGUGGUGCCAUUGGAAGUUGACUCCACUGAGACACAUCUAAAAUUUCAAUUUCUGAAGUUUGAAGAGCUGUGAAGUCACAACCUGCCAUUUGCAACUGCAGUUUACCGAAAUCCACCAUCCUCAACUGACGAAUUACAGGAACUGUGAGUGAAGCCAUAAGCAGUUGCGGACAUUCAUGAAUUUGAAGUUCCACCAAUGAAAGAAGCUGUUCUGGUAAUUUCCCAGUGAGUUUGGGACACCUUCGUAUAAAAAGCUUUUGGAGACGAGGGAAUUCUCCACAACAUAACCAUUUCUCCCAGUUCUGCAUAUCCUCAAAUGAUAGUGUUUCUAGGAAUUGAAAGGAAGCAUUCCCAUAGAACUCAUCACCCACACACUCUACUCCAUUCAUCCUUGAGAUUUGCAGAUAUUUAAGCUGGGUUAGCUGUCCAAGUGGUGGCAAUGUUGAGCAAUUGCCACAACCCCGAAGCUCAAGGGACACGAGAUUCAACACUGAAGGAUCUCCAAGCCAAUUUGGAAAUCCUUCACCAGGAUAGUUUGUGAUGGAGAGUUGUUUUAAAUUUGGGUGAGGUUGUAACUUGUUGAGUAUAUCAUGCGUUGUUGCACCACUUUGUGUAACACCAUUGGUACACUCGUCACCCCAAUCAAAGAUUAACUCAUCAAGAUAACUUUUAUCCUUCAUAUUAGCCCUUGAUGCAUCGUUAACACUCACUACAUUCUCCAUGUUUGAAAUAUAAAGUUUUCCUCGAAUCUCUGACAGCUCUCCCAAUUCUCCAAUUCUUAAUCCAUUGUUUUGGCCCACAAUAAAUUGAGUCAACCUUUGUAAACUUUUUAAUUGACCAAUUCCAUGACUUGACAUUUCUCUCAAUGAACCACAUCCAUGAAUAUCAAGAUAGCGCAAAUUAAUCAAUUUUCCCAUCUUUGAAGGCAAUUCAUUAAGUCUUGAACAUUUUAUUAGCAUCAUCGUUUGUAAAUUGUAUAAACAACAUACUGAUUCAGGUAAUUUUUUAAUCCUUGUAAAAGACAAAUCCAAGUGACGCAAAUGUUUCAAAUUGCCUAUUGAUAUAGGCAAAUCAGUUAUGUCAUAUGCACAUAAUGAUAACACGCGUAGACACCACAUUUUUGGUAAUAUAUCUUGCAAAACUCUUUUACUCAAAGUAUACCUAGGAUAGUCUUCCAUUGGCUUCACUCCUAAGAAUGUUCGAAGAGAUUUAGCUUUAGUCAUAGCCUCAAAAUUCUUAAAUGCUACCAAAUCGUUAUAAUCAUCACUAUUAAAGUACAAAAAGUGGUGAGCCUUCUCAGAUACUUUUGGUAAUUUAUCAUCAUCUUCCACUCGAGCACAAAAAUCUCCAGACACAUGUUGAGCCAAUUCAUGUAUUAGAUCAUGCAUUACAAAGCAUGAUCCUUUUCUUCCAAUAGAUUUUUGAAAGAAAGACUUGGCAAGAAGCUCAUCAAAAUAUGACUCACCGAUCUCUUCCAUUCUCCUUCCUUCGUUUUGUUGUGGAUGUAAAAGACCUUCUGCCAUCCAUAAUAAAAUCAGCUUCUCUUUGUAGAAUUGGUGGUCCUGGGGAAAAAUAGAACAAUAAGCAAAACAAUGCUUCAGAGGUAAAGAAAGAUGAUGGUAGCUUAAUAUCAAAGAUGGAAGAAUUUCGGAGCCACUCUGCGGAUGCCAUAUUUCACUUUUCAACACAUCGUCCCAUUCCCUUUUUUCGACCUUAGAAUACAAGAGACAGCCGAGUGCUUUCACAGCCAAAGGCAAUCCUUGGCACUUGUCCACAAUCUGUCUGCCUAUGCGUUCAAGCUCAAGGAAUGCGUUGGAGUCUCGAUCUUGAAAUGCAUGCUUUUUAAACAGGGACCAACUAUCUUCAGAGCUUAAUUUCCCAAGAUGAUGAGUAGGGACUGCUCGCAUGGUUGUUGCAACAGAUUGAUCACGACUGGUCACGACAAUCUUGCUUCCCUCUGCUGCAGCGAGGAGUGGAGUUCGUAGAAUAUUCCAACCUUCACGAUCACUAAGCUCCAUAUAACCUUCAUCACGAGGCUUCAAAUUCCAGACGUCAUCAAGAACAAGCAGAAAUUUCUUGUUACUAAGUUGCUCUUUGAGUUGAAGCUGAAGCAAAUUUAGGUUGUCAGCAGAAGUAGGUGGAGAACGAAUUUCCUCAAGAAUUGUUUUGGUGAGUUUGAUAAGGAGAAACUCAGUGGAAACACAGACCCAUGCUUGCAAGUCGAAGUGUUUCUUCACUUCCUCAUCGUUAUAGAGAAGCCGAGCAAGCGUGGUCUUGCCGCUGCCGCCCAUGCCCACCAUGGACAUCACCCCCAUUUUGUCGCCUGUUGUAUUGUCAGAAAGCAACCACUCCACCAUCUCCUUCUGAAUUUCAUCCCUGCCGACAACAAUGGAGUCAUCCUCCAAAGAAGUGGAUAUUGGUGAUCUUGGUCUUGGUGACCGUUUCUCGCCCCCACCUUCUGCCAGCCCCAACCCAACUUUUUCUAGUGCGAUUUUUUCCAGUAGAUCAAUCAUGCCCCUGACCCUGGACUCCAUGCUUUUGAUAGCAAAUGGAGUCUUCACAGAAGCAGAGAACUUGUUCCAUUUCCACGCCUUAAGAGUUCCGCCGGUUUGGGAGUCAGCAGCUUCCAUCUUGCAACGCAAAGCGUCGGUAGCGAUCUCGUCCAACAGGUCUUCCGCAUCAUACACAGCACCCGUGACAUGGACGAGCCACUCUUUGACAUUUGGGUUUGAAAAUUGCUUCACCUCCGCAUCAUCGAGCACAUUGAGAACAACCACGAGUUUCCUCUUCAACUCGUUGAGGAGUUCAUCGCUAAGGUUCCGUCGCCGAAUGAAGUUUAUGAGCUCUGGAGAAGCCAACCUUUCGAAUAGAACUUGAAGCGAAGCUGAGAGGAGGGCGUCCGCCAUAUCUGUGUCGACUGUUGCUUUGCAAUAGGAAUUUAGAGGAUUGGUUUCUGUUACCGCGAUACCACCAAACUGCAAAAGACUGGGUUUGGAUCACCACACUGCAGAAUGCUUGAAGGAAUCAUUGUUGGUGGUGGACCUAGCUGCCAGAUAUUGGUGGUGGACCCAGCUUCACUGCAGAAUGCUUGAAUACACUGCAGAAUGCUUGAAGGAAUCAUUGUUGGUGGUGGACCUAGCUGCCAGAUAUUGGUGGUGGACCCAGCUUCACUGCAGAAUGCUUGAAUACACUGCAGAAUGCUUGAAGGAAUCAUUAUUGGUGGUGGAUCCAGCUACACUGCGGAAUGCUUGAAGGAUACAUUAUUGGUGGUGGACCCAGCUGCCAAUAUUUGUCAAACACCAUAAUUGAGUGGUGAGAAAAAGAACAGGAAAAGCAAGUGGGAGGUAGAUGCGCUUUCCCCGAGGCGAACGCAAGUGGAAGCUGGAUGGCGCAUGCCCUACAACAACAACAUUCGGUAUUUUUCUUUUUCAUCGACGCAUUUCUUCUUUCUUUCUUCUAGUAUUAUUAUUAGUAGACAUAUGCACACGAAUAUUUGUUUAUAACAUUAUCAUUCAUAAUAUUAUAAAAUUUAUUAUUAAUAAUAUUUAUACUAAUAUUAUUUUUUAAUAAUUAUAUUAGUAUCAUGAUUUUAUAAUUAGUCUCCUUACUUUUAUUGUUUAUAAUAAUAAUAAUAAUUAUUAUUAUUAUUAUAUUAUAUUACGUAUUUUCACAUAAACAAUGAUAUAUGCACAAGACAUUAAAAUUUUGAAUAUUAUGGUUAUUAUUAUUUAAUAAUAAUAUUAUUAUUUGAUUCAAAAAAAGUUUAUAAUAUAAUAAUAACAAAAAUAAAUUUUUUUAAUAAAAUAAAUUAUAAAAAUAUAAUAAUUUUAUUAUUUAUAAAAUAUAUUUAUUUUAAUGUAAUUAAAAAAAUUAAAAUAAUUUUAAAAAAUUUAAAAAUUUUCAAAAAAAGUUAAAUGGAAUGGGAUUAGGAUGGGAUCGAUCCAUCCCAAUGUCAUCCCGUUGUCAUCCUAACUCACCUAAUGAUAAUUAAGGCCAUUUUUUAUCAUUGUUUUUUUAAAAUGGUCUUUUAUCCUUAAUAUAUAUAUAUAUAAUAAUUAGAAAAUAAAACAUAAUUUUUGUUUUUAAAAAUAAAAAAUAAGGCAUUUUUAGAUCAUACCCUUUUAGUUACUUUUACUUGUUUUUAAAAAAUUAUUUUAAAAAGUAAUUAUAUAAAUAUAAAAUAAUAAAAUAAUUUAAAUAAAAAUUAUUUUUAAAAUAUAGAAAAUUAGUUAAGAACACUUUAUCUUCUCAAGCUCUUGUUUUAUAAAAUAUCAUAAAAUAAUUUUCAAAAACUUUUUUUUUUUCACUAUUUUGACAACCUCAACUGGAAUAAUACACAACAAAAAUAAAUAAAUAAAAAUAAAAAGGUCCAAAGAAAGACAAACGUGUCCAGUAAUGCACUUAAAUUCAAUGAACCUAAAAGCCAAAUGUGCAGUGUUGACUUUUCAACCGAGAGUUCACACAUGCCCAUUUUUUAAAGCACUAUUAAUAUAAAAUAUAUAUUUAAAUAAAAAUUAGACUUUUAAAAAAAUUAAAAUAUAUUUUUAAAAUGUUAAAAAAAUAUUUACAAUAUUUCCUUAAAAAAAACAUCUUCCAAAAACAUUUCUUUAAAAAAUACUUCCACCGAUAACAAUUCAGACACACUUGUGAUUUAAUAGUUAAAUAUUCUUUCCAACAGGAAUUCAACUAUCGGUUUGUAUUACCACGAUACCAUCAAACUGCGAAAGACUAAUUUUGGAUUACCAAAAUGCAGAAGAGCUGAAGGAAUCAUUGAUGGUGGACGACCCAGAUGUCCACAUUAUUUGUCAGACACCAUAUUUGAGUGAUGAGGAAAUGAAAGAAAAGCAAAUAAAAAACAAAAAAGGUGAUGCCAAACAUGGUCUUAUAAGGUGGGAGGAGCGAAAGCAACAAAGGAAACUAGCAGGAUUUUUCAUUGCUAUUCCAUACCUCAAAGGACAAAUUUUGAAUUACCAAAAUACAAAAGACUUGAAGGAAUCAUUGAUGGUGGUGGACCCAGAUGUCCACAUUAUUUGCCAAACACCAUAAUGAGUGAUGAGAAAACAAAAGAAAAAGCAAAAAAGGUGAUGACAAACACGGUCUUGUAAGGUGGGUGGAGCAAAAGCAACAAAACAAACUAGUAGGAUUUUUCAUUGCUAUUCCAUAUCUCAAAGGACUAAUUUUGAAUUACCAAAAUAUAGAAGACAUAAAGGAAUCAUUGAUGGUGGUGGACCAAGAUGUUCACAUUUGCCAAACACCAUAAUUGAGUGAUGAGAAAAUGAAAAAAGAAAAGAAAAUGCCAAACAUGGUCUUGUAAGGUGGGUGGAGUGAAAGCAACAAAGUAAACUAGCAAGACUUUUCGUUGCUAUUCCAUACCUCAAAGGAUUGAUUUUGAAUUAUCAAAAUACAGAAUACUUGAAGGAAUCAUUGAUGGUGGUGGACCCCGAUGUCCACAUUAUUUGCCAAACACCAUAAUUGAGUGAUGAGAAAAUGAAAAAAAAAAAAAGUUAAGAAAAAACAAAGAAGUGAUGCCAAACAUGGUGUUGUGAGGUGGGUGGAGCAAAAACAACAAAACAAACUAGUAGGAUUUUUUGUUGUUAUUCCAUAUUGAGAAAAUAAAGGGCUACUCUAAAUAGAUAAAAACACCCAAGAAAGGAGGUGAAUAGAAGUUAAAAAAUUUCUUUUUAAACACAAUAAAAUUAAACACAAGAAGUACAAAUAUAAAGAAGUAAGGUUAUAGAAAGUAAACUCAAAUUUAUAGUGGUUCGACACUUCCUUACUUACAUCCACUCUCCUCAAGCUUCUAAUCGAGUGAGGGUUCCACUUAUACUUGAAGUUUCAACCAAACUUCUUAUCACUUUUUACACUUGGAUUCCAAUUCCAAUGAAGUCUUACACAAUCUCUUCAAGUCUUUACUCACUUGAAGGUUUUAACACUCAAUUAACAAGUUUGAAUCUCUCAACCUAGCUCAACAAUGACUCAAAUACAACUCAAGGCUAGGAUGAAUCACUAAGGUGCACUAAAGAAUAUGCAAAUGAAAAUUUAAUGCACUAAGAAAAUAAUGAGAGCUUUUAUGGCAAUAAUAAGUAGGUAAACAAAUAAAUGCAAGUGUUCUCUUACUCAUAAAUGAAGUAGAGCUCUCAAUUUAUAGGUUUCUAACCUCAGGAACUAAAAAGCCAAAAAACAGUCUCGACUGGUCGAGCUGGGGGUUGACUGGUUCACUAGUCGUUGAAACAUUAAAUGCUUGGCAUGUGACCGUUACCCUCGACCAAACCUUAAUCGAGAAGACAAAUCCAUCAACCAGGAAAGAAAGACUACUAGAAGAUAGAGAAUGUUUUUUACAUCUCUUAACUGGACCUCGACAUAGAAGGAGUAAUCGGUAGACCGGUACCCUAGCUGAUUGAGCCGGUUGGCCAGUGUCUCGACUAGUUCACCAUUUUUAGUCCGAAAACCUAUCUUUUUUUGGUCUUUUUGCUUCUAGCACUUAGGCAAGGACUUUAGAUAAAAUAAUAUGUCAAUUUUGAAAUGUUUUGCCUAAGGUUCAUUUGAUAGAACUCGGAUUUUGAUGGAAAUGUAACUUUAAUGCAUAAACCGAGUUUUAAAGAUGUAUGAAAUGAUAUGAAUAUCUUAAGUACAUUCAUGCAUUCAUCUUACGUAUGUUUCCUAUGAUUAAAAGGUCUUUCAUAAGUCUUGAUCUUGCAUUCAUUAGGUCCUUUAAUGAAUUUCCAAAUUAACACCUGAAAUUCUUUAUAAUUCAAAUCAAUUAGUAACUUAACCAUGAUUUUUUAUCAUCAAAACAUAAUUAGGAAAAUCAUUAGGCUAACACAUACCUUAAAGGACUAAUUUUGAAUUACCAAAAUAUAGAAGACUUGAAGGAAUCAUUAAUGGUGGUGGACCAAGAUGUCUACAUUAUUUGCCAGACACCAUACUUGAGUGAUGUGAAAACGAAAGAAAAGCAAAGGAAAAACAAAAAAAGGUGAUGACAAACAUGGUCUUGUGAGGUGGGUGGAGCGAAAGCAACAAAACAAACUAGCAGGAUUUUUUGUUACUAUUCCAUACCUCAAAUGAUUGAUUUUGAAUUACCAAAAUACAGAAGACCUGAAGGAAUCAUUAACGGUGGAUGACCCAGAUGUCCACAUUAUUUGUCAAACACCAUAAUUGAGUGAUGAGAAAAUGAAAGAAAAACAAAGCAAAGGAAAAAAAACGUGAUGUCAAACAUGGUCUUGUAAGGUGGAUGGAGUGAAAGCAACAAAGCAAACUAACAAAAUUUUUUGUUGCUAUUUCAUACCUCAAAUGACUGAUUUUGAAUUACCAAAAUACAAAAGACCUGAAGGAAUCAUUGAUGGUGGACAACCCAGAUGUCCACAUUAUUUGCCAGACACCAUAAUUGAGUGAUGAGAAAACAAAAGAAAAGCAAAGGAAAAGCAAAAAAGGUGAUGUCAAACAUUAUCUUAUAAGGUGGAUGGAGCGAAAGCAACAAAGAAAACUAGUAGGAUUUUUCAUUGCUAUUCCAUACCUCUAAAUCACCAUAAUAAUAAUAAUAAUAAUAAUAAUAAUAAUAAUAAUAAUAACAAUAACACCAAAUUUUAAGGUUAUUUUUUGUUAUAAAAAAAUACUAGGAAAAUAAAAAAAAAUUAAGGAAAAUGAUUUUUUUCAUAUUUGAUUUCACUAUAGAAAAUAUAAAAGAAAAUCAAAUAUAAUUAAAAUUAAUUUGAAAUUUAUAUAUUUUAAAAGUAUUUAAUCUUUUUAUAAUUUAGAAAAAUAAGUAAAACGAGUUUGAAGAAAUGUAUAAAAAUAAUUUAUUAAAUUUAAAUUUAUUUCUUAUUUUCCUUCAUUUUUUCUUUUCUUCUACUUUUUCUCUCUAUUUUCUUUCCUUCUCAUUUUCCCUCAAAUUUUCCAAGAGCCAAACAUAGCUUAAAGGUUUAGAAUCUUAUGCACAAGACUUUCAAUUUUUUUUACAAUAUUAUUUUAUUAGUUAAGAAUUAAAAUUUAAUGUACCAUAUCUAACACUAACAAAAAAAUUUAUAACAACCGGUCUUAUCUUUUAAGAAUGUAUUGUUUAAAUGAGAUUAAAAAUUAAAAAUAAAUUUUAAUUCAUUUAACAACUAAAUUAAAAUGAAAUUUAUAUAUAUCAUAAAUUUAUACAAUUUUGAAUCAUUUUAUAUGGAGGAUUGAGAAUGGAGAGAUUGAAGAAUUGUUUGGUGACGAGGAGAUUGAUUGAAGAUUUUAUAGUCUUAAGGUUCUAUGGGAUGAAUUUUUUUGUAAAGAGUUUAAAUUUUUGUAAAAAAUAAAAUUAGUUUUAUGUUAUCUUAUUUCAUGGAAAUAUAAAGUUUUAAUUCAAAGAUUAUGUUUCAAAAAUAUUAUUUUUAAAAUAUAUUUAGUAAAGAUUUAUAAAAAUUUAAAAUAAAAUUUAAUUAAUCUAUAAACUAAAUUAAAAUAAUAUUUAUAUAUUAUUUUUAUAGAUUUACAUGUAUAAAAUCUUUAAAAUGCCUCAACUUAAAAUAUCCUUACAAAAUUUCAUUAAUCUACUAGCAAUCCGCCUAUUGUCUCUAUAUAGAGUCUAUUUGCAUUAGGAUGAAUACCAUCAGAAUAAUAAUUACGUUCCACAUAUGACAUAUCUUAGCUUCCACUUGGAGGUUAAAAAUCAUUAUGAAGAUUUGGACAAUAAUUCAAGUAGGCAUCUUUGAAAUUUGACUUCCAAAUCCCUUUGUCAAUAUACACCACCCUAUGACAAUUAAAUAAAUUAGAAGGAAAAAAAAUGUUGAAGGAAUGACAUAAGAAUAAUUUAUGUAUGACUAGAUUUAAAGUUUAAUUAUAUGAGGAAUCCUUCAUUAUGAAAAUAUAAGGAACAAUUAUAUUUAAGGAGUGGAUGGGGUUGAUAAUGACUAAAGGGUACAAAUUUUGCAUAAUUGAACUAAAAAGGUAGAAAAAGUUUGUAGAUUGUUGUGGAAGAUAUAAACCCAUUUUGUGAGUCAAAAAUGCUCAAAAUACCCUUAAGAGUGUUUUAAAAAAAAGGACAAUUAAGUACUCAUGAUAAUUAAUAUAUUAAGAUUUCAAGAAAAAUUAAUAAUAAAUAAAAUCUUUUUCUAAAUCUAUUUAACAGUCAUAUAGUUUUUAUUUUGUUUUAUUUUUUCAAGUUGCAGCUAUUAUCUUAAUUUAUUUUUCAUUUUAAGGUUCAAUUAUUAUUAUUCUUUAUUUUGAUUAAUUAAAUGAAACUGUAUAAGACAUGUUUAUAUUAAUUAACUAAAAAGGAUAGAUUUUUUAGCAAUAGGAUUAAAAUAAAUAAAAACAAGGAAUUUGAUUUUCUUUAUGAAAUAGAUUGGGAAAAGUAUAUUUCGAUACAUUCGUAUGAAAAAAAAAAAUCAUAAAAUAGGAACUCAAGUUUAUAAAAUACAAAUUUUAAACAUCCAUCUAAAAAUAAUUAUCAUUUCAUGCAUUUUUUUUGGGUCAAAUAUAUUAUAUUUGACAAUUUAGGUAUUAUCUUUUAAUAAUAUAGGUACUACCUUCACCUGCAUAAAACUUGAAUUAUUUUUAGAUAGUUUAUAUUAUAUAAUUAGUUAAUCCUUUGAUAUAAAUAUUAAAUAAUUAAAAAAUAUAUCUUUUUUUUAAGAAUUUUAAUUAUAUUUGGCUUUCUUUUGUAUUUUCUAUUGUGUAAACCACAUAUAAGAAAAUCAUUUUCUUUUACAUUUUUUUUCUUUCCUUGAUAAUUUUCGAGAACCAAACAUGACUUGGAGGUUUGGAUAAUAGGGUAUAGAUGCCAGAAAUACUGGAAUGGGUUCAGGUUUUCCAUGCUAAAGGUCUUUAUUAUUAUUUGGUAGCACUUUUCCAAAAUUGUUCCAUUCCCAAAACCACUUAAUUUGCUUAAAUAUUUUUACCUCACGAUAUCAUAACAUUAUAAUGGAAUAGAUUUUGUUGGUGUUCAAAUCAUGUCAACUCAAUUUCCAAACCAUUCGGAUUGUCAUUUGGUGAAAAAUAGAAAGAAAUUUUACUUUAUUGAAAAGCAUUUCAUUUUGAUUUGAAUAUGCUGCAAUGAAAUAGUUACUAAACCAUGGGGUAGCAGAAGAAGUAAUCGAGAAAAUGAAGAAGGAUGUUCAAGAUUCUUUAUGCUGCCAUUGGAGGAGAAGAAUGCUUACACACAGCUACCAAAUAGCAUUGAAGGUUAUCACAAAGAAUUACUCAUUUUAUCAAUUUUUUAGAGUUUUCUUUUCAAUAUUUUUAUGAGUUUUGAUAAUUUUCAACAUUUUAAUCCUUACUUGAUGGCACUUUGCUCGAGUUUCCACCUUGUAUAUCAGGGCAAUCUUAGAUGAGUAUUGAUCAGAGCUCCAAAAGGUUUCAAUUUGCCUAUUAAAGUUGAUGGCCAAGAACCUUAAGAUCAAUCCUAACCAGCUCACAAAUAUAUUUGAGAAUGGAAGACAACAUGUGAGGAUGAAUUAUUUCCCCCUUGUGUGCAUGCAAGAAAGGUUGUGGGCAUUUAUAAACCUAUGAGCAAUGAGGAGUUUUCAAGACUUCGCCUGAGUAGAGGAAACUUAAUGGUAAGAGUACAAUAAGUCAUAUGAAAUUGGAGAAUUGAAAGAGCAUAAGAACCAUGUUUUAUUAGAAGACCUGUGAAAGUUUAAUCAGUCAUGGAACUACUAAGAGGGGAUGAAUUAACAGUUUUCUUAAAUUUUGUUCAAAGUUUAUGAAUUUUAUUUUUUAUAAUUUUUUUUACUUAGAUUGAAACUUAUUAAUCAAGGUAAGAUUUCAGUCACAUCGAGAAACAAACAUUUUAUGUGAAAAGCAACUGAUAAAAUCUUGAGUUUACAGAUGUAAAAACCAUAAGGCCAAAGACUGUAGAACUCCAACCCCAUUGAAUCAAGAAUAGAAACACAAAUUUAUCUACUAACCUACACUAAUCUCUUAUCUACAAUGCAACACCGUUAUAGUCUUAAGUGACUUGAAAGGAUGUGAAUCUUUCUCACAAACUUCAUAAUGAAAUUCAAAUUAGCUUUGAGAGUUUAAGAGUAAUAAUGCAUAGCUUUUGUGUGCGAGUUUUUAAGUGCUCCCCCAAAAGACAUAUUUAUACCCAAGUGAACUUAAGACUCAAUUUAAAGCAUGUAUUUUACUAUAAAAAAAAAUUAAAUACAAAUUUAAGAAACUUCAAGAAUUUUGGAAAGAUAAUUUUAAAAAAAAAUUCAAAGAGAGUCAGAAAAUGUUUCCUUUUUAAAUUCUCAAUUUAAUUUAUUUUCAAAUUUCUUAAGAGUUUAAGAAAUAUUUUCUUUUUAAAUUCUCAAUUUAAAACUCUCUUUUAAAUUAAUUUUCAAAUUUCUUAAGAGUUUAAGAAAUAUUUUCUUUUUAAAUUCUCAAUUUAAAACUCUCUUUUAAAUUAAUUUUCAUGUAAGUCUACUCUAUACAUUUUACAUCGUUAUUCUCAAUUAACUCAAAUGUAACAUCCCCGAUUGAUUUUGCACCAACCUUAAGUCUUCAAAGACAAUGAUUGAGGCAUUUCUUCUCCUAUUUUCUCCGAUGUAGAAAAAAAAAAAAAAAAACUAGAAUAAGGUUAAGGCAUUUCUUCUCCUAUUUUCUCCGAUGAAAAAAAAAAAAAAAAAAAACUAGAAUAAGGUCAAAGCUGGUUUAUAGCAAAAAGUCUUAAUUUGAGUUAGCCUUUUUUUUUUUUCAAAUGAUAUGCAGGUCCAUCAAACCUUCAACUCAAAUUUUUUAUUCAAAGAUCACAUGUGGAUAUGUGAACAAGUAAAAGUUGAGUUUUACCUAACAUAUCAUUUUGAAAAUUAGGAAAUUUAAAAGGUCUUAGAUUGUUGAACUCACCACCCUAUCUAUUCUACAAAACAAGUAGAUUAGCAAAGAAAGAAAUUGUACCCACGAGUAUAGAGUUUUGGGUUAAAACGACCCUUUUGAUGGGAAAAAUAUUAAAUUUAACCACUUUGUCAAACUUAUGUGUAAAAUGGUUCUUUUAUUACCACGUAGGAGUCAUAUCACUAAAAUAUAUACAUAUUUUUAAUUUAAGUUGAAGCCUCAAUUACCAAUUAAGGCUUCAAUUGUCAAUUACGAUUUUAUUUUUUAACCCGAAACCUUACUUGUCAAUUGAGGUUUUAACUAAAAAAUGAAACCUCAAUCACCGACUGAAACUUAAUUUUUUAAUUGAAGCCUCAAUUGAUAAUUGCGAUUUUAUUUUUGAACUGAAAUCUCAAUUGUCAGUUGAGACUUUAUUUUUGUGGAAGGAUUACGUGACACUCACGUGACUAGAAAAAAGCCAUAUUGAAUAUUAGUUUCAAAAGUGGCUUAAAAGAUAUAUAUUUAUGAUCAAAGAUGCCAUUUUGACCCAAAAUCCCAUGGGUGCAUGAGACUCUAGUUAAUCAUAGAUUUCAUAAAUAAAAAUAAGAGUUAGGAUGAUUCAACCCCAAAGCAUCAAGAAUUCUUUAACAUAAUGUUAGAACAUUUUCCAAUUUAAAUUCGAGAGUUAACUUUAUUUGAAUAUGCUUUUGAUUUUUUUUUCUUUUUUUAAAAUAAGCUUCAGUGUUUUUUUCAUAAAAAAAAAAAUAAAAAUAGGAGCUUCUAUAUAGAAAGAAAAAUUUUAUCCAACAAAUAUAAGGCUCACCUUAUAUCCUUAUAAAAAAUUUAAAAUUCAAAAUUUUUUAAUACCUCAAAAUUUUUAAUCAAUAUUUAAAAAUCAUUAUAUUUUCAAUAUGAUCCUUUAAAAGUUUAAAUUACCUAUAUUUUUUAUUUUCAAAAAUACAAAAAAAAGAAUGAUUUUUUUUUUUUGUUUUUUAAUUAUUAAGAUGAAUGAAAUAAUCGCAAAUUUGCAAAAAUAACUUCUUCCAUGUUUGAAUUUGAAAAAUAACUCAUUUCCAAUAUAAAUACUCUUCAAUAUUUGGAUUAUUUUAAUAUAAAUUUUAGAAGAAAGUGUUACUUUGACGGGAAAACAUGAAAGACAUUUUUAUUAAAAUUUGAUCUUUUUUUAAGGCUAAAAUAUAUGUAGGUUUAUAUUUACAAUUUGAGACCAUUUCGUCCUCUUAAUCAAAUAACUUAAAAAAGAAAAGAGUUAAUUCCACAAGUGGGUUUAAAAUACUCACAAAAUUGCAAAAUAUAUCUAUAUAUAUAUAUAUAUAUAUAUAUAUAUUACCCUUACUUAAUCAAUUCGUGUGUUGAGCACAUGACACUUCCGUUCAUUAAAGCUAACACCGUUAAAUAACAAAUGUACAUUGUAGCUAUUUAAGAAGUAUGAAGGGCACAUUGCUUAAUUUUAGUACAUGGUGAGAAACUUGUUGAACAAGUUAUGUGUAAAGUUUUAUGGUUCAUGUAUGAUAGGAAAUAUAGAUCUACUACAACACUGGAUUUGCAAUUUGGGUUAAUAUUUAAAGAAAAGACAAUAAGACAAAAAGAAUUAAACUUUUGGUGGAAAACAAUAAAGAAAGGACUACAUGGAAAAAGGGAAGAGAUCAUUAUAAAGGAAGAUUAUUGAAUAGAAAUAAUUCCAAGAACAUAAGGCAAGACAUAGAGUAUCACUACUACUAUCACAAAAAGGGCUAUAUCAUAAAAUUUAUGAAAUUUUGAAAAAGACCUAAAAAAUGAAGACAAAAAAAAAAAAAAAAAUCAAAGAAGCCUACAAGUGUAACUAGUGUUCUUAAAGUUAAGAAAUGAAGGUAAUAAAUCAAAAGCAGAUUUGUUAAUAGUUUUUAAAAUGCUUGAAUUACAAAUUGUCUACUUGUACCAUACGAGCCCUUGUAAAAACUGGUUUGACAUGUAAAUUGUUUGUAAAAUCAUUUUAAUGGGCAAUGAUGCACCAAGUUGCUCUAUGAGAAGCGUAGGGGUUUGCGAAACCAUCGCUUGUCGUGGCAUACAUCGUUGGGGAAUGACGGAUGAGGGCAUCCAUGGGAAGCCAAUGUCUACCCUCACUCCACACCCCUCUAGUACAAGGCUCUGGGAGGGAGAGAGGCAACAAGUGUGUGACACUAAGGUAAAUAUGCCCAACCUUAUGGCUUUGGGAGCAACGUGCGUUUAAAGACUUGAUAAUUCACAAAAUUCUACAAUUCAUACCAAGUAUUGCAUUUAACGACGUUCUUUAUCAAUGAGAGAGCCUAGAUAUCCAUUGUCAAGAAUUAUUUAUGUAUGAAAACAACAACACCUAACCGACAUGCCCAAGAUCAAGGCAACUAGAAGCUCAAGUUACUUAGUGCGUUUUGUGCCGAAGUUUGUUGUUUACUCAAGAGGGCUUUGUGAAUAUUUGUAAUAAAGGGAUAAUACAGAGUGAGCCGUAAUUUAGCAUCUUACACGCUCAGUUUCUUCCAUUGGUGGCAUAUAUUAUUUUGUUUGUCAUUGAUGAUUAUUUAAUAAAACUAUGAGAGUAUUUCAUGAAAUAUAAAUAAGAGGUUUUUGGGAUAUUUAAUCGAUGGUAAACAAAAGAUGAAAACUAAGUAGGGAGGAAGAUAAAAUAUUUUAGAUUUGAUAGUGGACUUGAGCAUUAGAACAAAAAGUUCACAAAGUAUUGUGAGAAUUCUUAUAGUACUUAACAUUUCACAUGUAUAGAAAUUACAAAGCAAAAUGGAGUGGUUGAAAAAUGAAUAGAACACCAUUGGAAUGACUAGGUGGCUAAGAUUAACCAUUCGGUUACUUAAGAAUUUAAGGGUUAAAGCUAUCAACAUAACUUAUCAUGUAAUUACUUAGUUGUCAAGUUUUACAAUUAUUUUCAAUAUUCCAAAAGAAGUGUCAAGUAAAUCAAUUGACUUUUCAUCUAUUGAAAUAUUUGAUUGUUGCACUUAUCUUCAUAUAUAGGUGAAAAAAAAAUUCAAUCCAAAAUAAAAAAAAGGUAUAUAUUCCUUGGGUUUGAAAAAAGGAUUAAUUAAAGACUGUAGAUUUGGGGAUCCAACAAUUAAAGGAAAAAAAAAAGUGGUGAGUAGAGAUGUAUUCGAUGAAAAACAUAUGUUAAAGAAAGAUCAAGGACAAAUGAAAUUGUUAUUGAAAAAAAAUUCAACUACAUGACCAAUCAUCGAGAUGAAAUUUGAGGAAAAUGUCGUUAAAUACGGAAAUGAAAUCCCUCCUAAUCGAUGUCCCUAUUGGAACUUUAUAUGGGCAUCUUUCUCUAUUGCUCUAAAGAAUCAUCGGAUUGGGUAAGGACAUCAAUUUGAAGAUUUUUAUUUUUUUUCAUUAUUUAUUGGAAUAGGAGAUCUUUAAAUUUUUUUGGGGCACAAUUAGGAGGGAUGAUAGUUAUCAAUGUCUUGGUGCUAUGUCAAAUGAGAAUCCAAUGCACAUGUUGACUAAAGUUGUUCUUAAGGAUAAGUUCAAGCAUUAGUUGAAUGUCAUUAAUUUUUCAUUUUGUAGAACAUGGAAGGUCAAUUUUAUUGAAGAGCUAGGUUAGUCAACUUCUAUUAGGACUUCUAUUGAUUCUUGAUUUGACUAGAGGGGCUCCUAGCAGUAAACUUGUAUGGAGGGGCCCUAUGGAGACGCAAGAGAUGCAAGAGCUGCCAAUCGGAUCGACCAAUAAAUGAUAGGCCCAUACAGAAAUGUCCCUAAAAUAGGGGAUUGGUUGAUUGGAAAGCUUAGGCAGAGUAUAAAGGAGAACAAUUUAGCAUUUUGGGAAAAGCACAUAUGAAGAUGUUUACAAGUUUGGAAAAUUGAGUUAAAGAAGAGAUGGUCUAAAAAUGUUUCAAAUUUCAAUUUUAUGUUUUUCUAAGUUUGAUAUAUCCUGUUUGGAUAUUUGGGAAGUCUUCUCUUGUUACAUAAGAUAGUCCUAUGAUGAGAUUUGUUAUGAAAAUAGGUUCUUCAUCGUGUGAAAUAUUCCUAUGAAAUUAAGAAGGAAUAUAGGAAGAGUUUUGAUUGAAAUUAUGAAUCUUUUUUUAUGUAAUUAGAACUAAAAUAUGAGAGUUUUAAAAUUGUAAUUACACCUUUGAAUAUAAAUAAUUGAUAAUAGUGAAUUAAUUUACCUUCUCCCUCUAGAUGUAGGUAAAUGCUAAAUUAUGUUAAAUCUUGUAUUCUCAUAUGAUUUUUUUUUUCAUUUAUUUUUCAUUUUCUUGCCCAUUUCUAACUUGCUAGUUGCUACUACAUAAUAACAGGUGGUAUCAGGCUUUUUGUGUUUGCACAACAAAUGGUCUCAGUUUUUCUAGCACCACAAAAAUGAUAUUUUACUUAAUUGCUCCUCAGUGGAAAAGUUGGAAAGAAAAAUUAAAUCAUCGACUAUACAUUUUUUUUUUUUCAAAACUUUUCUUGUCUUUGGCAAGAAAAUUAGUAUAUGAAGUAUAAAAGAAUUAGAAAAUAUUCAAAUUUUAAAUGAUUUUUAUUAUACUUUGUCCACUUCCUAUUUCAUAUAUCAAAUUACAAUAGAAUUUAAAAUUCUUUUAUAUGUUUUUUCUCCCUUUGCUACCACAUAAAUGCAAAGACAUUAUGUGAGUUAAAUACCUUAAAAGAAAAAGAAAUUAAAAUGUGAUAGAAAACAAAAGUAACCUCUUUAAAUUCAAGGAAACAAAACACUAAACUUUUUCAUGUAUCUUAUUCCAUUUAUAAAUGCAACAUGACAAAAAUAGACAAAAAUAUAAAUGGGAGCCCUUCAGGUCCUUUAUUUUAUAUUUUAUUAACUUCAACCAAUUCUAUUUCUAUAGCACAACCGAUGUUAUAAAGUUCAAUGAGUAUAUAAUAUAUAAAGAUACUAAUCAAUACGAAUUAUUCUUUCCUUCAAAUGGCUACUUGUAUUAAAAAUUAAAUGUAAUUCCUCCUAAACAAUAAAAUAUGUUGACACGAUUUCAAUGAAUAUACAGUACAUAAAGAUAUGACCAAUUAGUACGAAUUAUUCUUUCUUUUAAAUAGCUACUUGUACUAAAAUAUAAGUAAACGUAAUUCCUCCUAGAUAAUAAAAUAUGUUGACACGAGGAGGAAUAUAUUUACUAAUUAUAUCAUUUGCAAUAGCCUCAAUCUAGCGACGUUCUUCGAACCAACCAUAGACUUUAUUGAGAUAGGUUAACCAAGGGAGCUCCCACUCUCAUAACUCGUAUAUGAAAAUUUCAUCUUGUACAACUCAAAUAGAAACCCAUAAAUACUGGUUGAAACCAAAAUGUAAUAAAAAAUAAAAAAAAACAUAUUUCAAUGGAUCCAAUUAGUAUUUUUCCGAUCUCACAAACAAAUUUUUCUUCAUUUUGUUUUUUUUUCAUUAAUCUUUGUAAGUAAAUUAUAUUUUAAUUUAACAAAGCACUAAACUUUAAUUUUCAUGCAGGAUCAACUAGCUUUUCAUAAUAAAAUUUAUCAAUAUAGCUGAGCAGAGAUUUGAUGUAAUAAUACCAUACAAAAUUCAAGUAAAAUUAAAUUAAUCAAAUAGGACACUAUGGUUAUAUUUGGAUACAUAUUCUAUUUUUUAUUUUUAAAAUUAAAAUUUUGAUAUAAAAUAUGACAACCCUUUGUAUAAAAAAUAAAAAUUUAUCCUAUAAUCUUAAAACUACUUUUCAAUAUUUAAAAAAAAGAAAAAAAGAGGACGUGUCCUAAAAUUUUAAACAAAUUUAAAAAUAUUUUUAAAUACCCAAGAUAUCCACUUUUUUCUUUUUUUAAUAAAAAUUCCUAUAUUUUAAUAAAACUCUAUUUUAAAAAAUGAAAAAUAAAAAAUGUAUCCAAACAUAAGCUAAAUUGUUAGAUUUUAUUGUGAGAUUUCUUAGAUUCUACAAUUCAUAGUGAAAUGAAGAUGAGAGAUAACCGACUGAACUAUGAAAAAAAAAAAAUUAACAUUGAUGAGAUUCAAAAAUGCUAGUUAAUGAAAGAGUUUCUCCGCCAGGAUGACUAAGAAAAAUGCUGAAAUAUGUGUCAUGCCCAAAGCAAUGUUACAAUGAAGAAUAGAAUGAGAGCUAACCCGAAACAAAAUCCGACAAUCGCCAUGAAAGCCUGGAUGCAGAGGAAAUGUAACUAGAGACAUGUAAGGAAUCAUUAAGCAAGUGAGAACAAUAUCAAAAUCUCAUGUACGACUUACCUUUCCCUGAGAUUCAAACUUGAAUUUUACUGUAAACCAUGACAAUCCUCUAUCUACAAUAGGAGCAAGUGCAAGGGCCCUGCAUGAGAAGCACCUCUACAAAAAUCACAGAAAACCCAAAGGAAAAAAAAAAAGAUUAAAUAAAUAGAAACUAGUCUACCAGAAACCAGGAGGCUGCAACAAAUAAUCUCCAAAUGUCAGAUUUAAUAUUUAUUUACGAAUGCCGCUAAAAGGCCUUUUCAUCAGAGAAAUCUAAAAUAAAAAAGUAUAAGGAGCCAUUUGGAUUACAGAGGUCAAAGAUUGGGUUGGAUAGGAGCAAGUUUAACCUCUCAGUAAAAAUGAAAAUGCAAGGCCCAUCAUCAACGCUAGGUUCAAAAAUUGACACCAUUUCUUGAAGACUUUCUUUUUUCAUUCUUCAAUUGUCAUUUUGAUUCAAAGAAGCGGCAGCAUGAUAGACUAAACAAUCAUCAUAAACCCAGUUGCAAGUUAUAAGGAUAAGAAAGAAAAUGAACAAAAAACAUAUAUGAGAGAACUGAUAGGCCAAAAAAAUCAUUGUUGAAGGAAUCGAGCAUAAAUCUCUGAACAAAAUUUAGCUGAAAUUCACUGAUUUUGGGUUAUUUUGUGAUAAGAGCAUUGCAAUAUCCCAAUAAACUGUUACGCUAACUAAAGAUUUAAAACAGAAUUUAGCUGCUUACCCUCCAGCUCUGACAAGUUUAGUGACCUGGCUGCCUGCCCACACCAUAGCCAUGAUUUUGACAAAUCUGCCAAUUGGAUUCCAUAUGUCAAGAUAUUUUGAAAAACUUGUGCAAAAAGAAACUUUUUGGAAUAAGUUUUUACCUUUCAACUGCCGCCAAAUAACCCAUCCUUCCUGGUGCUGGAGCAAUAUAAAACCUAGAAGCAGCAUAGUGAAUUCAGAGUUAUACUGGUUAUUUGAAAUCUACUCUGAACACCUAUGAUAGAGACUGCAGGAUGUGGUAAAACACUAAGGCAUAUUUCAAACUACAUUAUAAGGUAUUUGAUUAGAAAAUUAAAUAAAUAAAUAAAUAAAAUAACAUAACAUAAAAUACAAAAAAGAAAAAAAAAAUUAACAAACUGAAUUUGUCCAUAUGCAACAAUAUGCAAUUGUUAGCCAUGAAUCCCAGUUAUGUCGGUUUCCAGUAUUAAUAAUUAAGCAUGAUGUUUAUGAACUAGACCAGCAUUCUAAUAACUCUAGAUUGAAGGGCAUGGAUGUCACAUUUGUAUUCCAUCAUGUGCAACUAACAUCACAUUGAAAUAAUAUCCACUAAAGCAAGUUAAGACCCAGUAUAUCAGAUUAAAAUUUUCUACCAUGAAUAUAAGCUUGAUAAAAAUGAAGAUGGAAAUGCAAUACUUCUUUAUAUGACAUAAUGAAGGGAACCAAAUACAAGGACUCCCCAUUCCAGAUGCAGAAAGCCAAGUUACAACCUUUGCCAAAUAAAGAGAUCCACCAUAAAUUCAUUUUUAGACAUGCUAUAGUUGAAUAUGCCAUCAAUAAGUGAUCAAAAGCCAAUUCAGAUGGGAAUAACAGCCACAAUGUUGGGAAGGUCAAUAACAAAAGCAUUGACUUGAAUGUUGGCAGUGUCAUUUACACUGGCCAUAAGAACCAGAGGUAAUGCAUACAGUUGGUAAGGUAGUGAGAAGGGGAUGAGAAAUUGAAAAUUCUUGAAUUUAAUUGUUUCAUGCAAUUCCGUUUUCCAAUACUCUAUACGAUAAUAUACAUUGUACAGCACAAGAAUAGGGUUGUUUUAAAAUUUUGAACAAAUAAAAAUUUCAUAUCAAUAUCUAAUAUUUAAUAAAAAAGAAUGAAACAAGAGUAAGUACAUUCUCUUCUCCUUAACAUGGUAUUAAAGCAGUCUCCAAAUUCUUAACUCCUAGUUGCAAACUUGAUUUGCACUGGAAGUUGCAGUUUGCUCAUUUUGUUAUUCAAGUAAGUUACUUCAAUCUAUCAUAGUUUAAAUGACUUGGGAUGGUAGUUGUCAUGGGCACGAAUUUUCCCACAAAUUUUUCGCAUUCACGCAGCGCUUAGAAGCCCUCUAAGCCAACAUACUCAAACCCACAUGAGAUUGCAAUCAAGAAAAAACUCACAAAGACACACAAGGCUAUGGAGCUCAAUCCCUAACUUGUAUUUUAUUUCUUCUCUAAAUAACAAUACAAGACAUAGCUUAACAAGACUUCCACAAUCUCUUUGGUGAGUUCAUGCUCUCUCUCAAGCUAUGUUUUAAGAAAGUUCCCCCUCUCAAUAUACCUCUGUAUAUUCUCUAUGAUCUCCAGAUUGCACGAUAAUUCAAAGGGCACUCCAGUCCUCCUUUUAUAGGUGUGACACCAACCACUCCCUAUUUGAUAAGGAGCAAGGAAUCCUAGUUCUACUCAAACUACAAUUAAAAUAAGAAUCUAAACUCUUAUUCAAACUCAAAUUACAAUAACAAUUUGAAUUCAACUCUGAACUUUCAAAUGUCUUCGGCCCAUUCCUCAUUCAUUUGAAACUCCUUGUAUCAGGCCACAUAUCAGCCCUUCAAUUCCCUGGUUUGUGGUGCAAUACAUCUUCCUUAAGCUUGUCCCAAUGCCAAGACAUCUUUGUUGUGUUCUGCCUGAAGUCUACCCACUCUUGUGCCUUGAGUCAGUCCAUUCAUGCAUUUGAAUCAGCUGAUGCAUCUGAUCAGCUUGCUAUAGCGUCUCUAGGCAGCCUACUACAUGUGUCUCUAUGCAACUAGUGUGCAUGCCAAGCCCUCUCUUAGCCUACAGAUCUAGCAAUUUUCCUUGGUGCCAAUCUUUCCUUUGGCUGUAACCCCUUGUUGUUCCUUGAGCGUGUCAGUCAUGCUCAUAUGUGUUCCCGCAUCUGGAUCACAUCCAUGCUGAGGCAACCUGCCCAAGUUUGCUCUGCCUAGCUGUUGUUAUGGCAUCAUGCCAUGCCCAAGCCCUCUUCUUGGUGCAGCAACGAGUCAUGGCAUUGCACCCAUGACUCCUCAUCUCUAUGCACAAGGCAUUGUGCCUUUGUGCUAAGCAUUAGGCAUCACAUCUGAGUCGGCUUCCCUUAUCUCUAUGCACAAGGCAUUGUGCCCUUGUGCCAAGCCACCUCAUUGCACAAGGCAUUUCCCCCUCAUGCUACCAUCGGGAAGGGAAGACUGCAUAGCACCCCAUGUCGUUGCAACCUUGAGUUGCACACCAUCACAUGUCAUGGAGCCCAUAUAUGGUUGCUAGCAAGGCUUGCCCAUGUGCCUUGCUCAUGUUUGAGGACUUGCACCAAAGCCCCUAAGUGUGGCCAUGCCCAUGCCACCUCGUCUCCCUUGAGUCACCCCCACCCUCACCCCCCUUAAAAGAGCAUUUUAAGCCCUUUUAAUUAAUUCAAGAAAAUCUAGAAAAUUCCGCUUCCACUUGGAGUCUCCCUUUUGAAGGUUCCUAUAAAUCUUUUAUCUCUAAGCAAAUUAACCAAGUCACUUAAUUGUUUUGCAACAUUCCUUCCCUUCCCUUAGUGUAUUUCAAGAUCUCUUAAUGAACAAGACAAUUGGUGGAGGGCAUGAAGUAAAUGGAAUUUAUCACCAUAUUGGCCCACCUCUUACUCCAAUUGCUCUACGUACUUCCAUUUCUUCUAUGUAGUGGCACACCUUUCACUUCGCAUCUUUAGCAUAUGGGACUUCUAGUUAUAUUGGACUCCAAGUUAAAGCACCAAGUUUGUGAGUCAAGCAAAUAGCAUCACCAUAGUGUUGUUCUAGUCCUUUUUGUUCUAUAAUCAAUAAGAGGAGUACUAGUCCUUUUCAUCUUGUUCAUUUAGACAUUUACAGUUUAUGUAGUGUUGUUCCUAAUGUUGAACUAAACUUUUUUAUUGCUAUUUUAUUAAUUAGAUCAAUGAAAAUGGUAUGAGCAUAAAGAGGCUGAAUAAUAGGUACUAAUCUCUUAAAAAAACCUAUCUUGUAGAAACAUCAUCAGGUGACUAUGCACAAGUAAAUGGUCUGAAAAGGCGUGAGAAAAACAUUCAUUUUUGUGCAACAACCAAGUAUUUGCAUCUUAAUCAACCAAAGAAUAAAUGGCUGAAGACAAUAAAUGACUGAACAAAAAGAAAAUCAUAAGUUUUAGGCCAGACACUUUUUUCAUCAAUUAUAUACAACAACAAUAAAUCAAAUAGUCCAAAAUUUCAAAAGAAUAAUGCUCAGCAGCUAUGCAUACUCACAAGUCACAAAUACCUCAUCCUUGACUAAUUUACAUGAAUGAAUUAUUUACUUACCAUACCAAGAGAAACGUUGUAAGAUAGUAUGCAGUAUUCAGGAGUCCAUAGGAUAAUAUUCCAGAAAUUCCAUAUCUCUUCAGUUUCUUUAGAAGACUGAAAGGUUAAGCAAGAAUGAGCUCUCAAUGUAAGUAGACAUGCAUUUCAGCGUACAAAGGGCAAAAGGAUUGAGGUAUCACUUCUUACAGAUUGUUUGCAUGAAAUUCAGUAGUAGAAGAGAAAUUAAAAUGAUUGGGACAAGAUCACUCAUCCAAACAAUAGUUUAUUUACAUAGAAAAGGUCUAAAGCAUAAUCAUGCAGUAGACAAAAUGAAUCUUUUGUGUCAUGUUCCAAUAAUGUUAACAAACUACAUUAAAUUUGUAAGGUUACAUAGAAAAAGAAAGAAAAGACAUUGUUACAAUAGUUUGGUUGUUACACUGCUAGCACCCAGACUACGACCAAAUCCUUGCAUUGAAAUUGAAUUUCAAACUCCCAAUGUGAAAAAGGAAGAUACAAAAAAGAAAAGAAAAACAGGAGGAAAAAAAAAAAAAGAGGGAAAGAAAAGAAACAUGGGAUUUCCAUGUAUAAUACAUACAUAUUAUAUCUAUAGAUAAAUGCAUGCAUGUGCAUAUGUCAUAGAGGCUGGUCAAACACAUUUCAAGAAGUUUGACAACUUGCUUUGGAAUGACAAACACGUGGAUCAAUAAAUGGCUUGUCUCCAUUAUUGAGAAAUUGCAGGUAAAUUUCAUCCACUACAGGCAUGGGGUGGCUGGACAAAGUUAUGCCAUUUGGUGGGAUGUAGUGGACUUAAGACAGAAAAUUCUCAAUCAUUCUUCUGUCCCUUGUGCAGUGUUGAAGCUGACAAUAUUAUUGAGCAUACAAGGAAUGUGAUGUAAAACAUCAUUGAGGAGCCAUGAGCUGCGAAUGCAGGGAGAAAUUAAGUUACAAUUAAGUUUUGGUGAGGGAUUUUCAGAUGCAGAUCAUAUGGCAAAUUAACUUCAGAGAAUUGCAUGUUUUUAUUCAUUUCCAUACACAUUGAAUAAUCAUAUUUAAAAUCCCUCAUUCACUUGUUUCGCUUCCAUUAGUGCUCCUUCCACAUGUGUAUUAGCAGCACAGACCUCAUGAUAGUUUUGUAAAGGUAAGACAAUAAAAUUGAAAAAUACAGCUAAAGCCUAAAAUAUUGGCUCAUAAAAAGAGAAACCAUCCAAGUUCUAUCUUAAAUGACUCUACAAGUUCUAAACAGGGAGACAAGGACUUCAACCUGGUCCAUCAAUGCAUAUAAAUGGGUAAACAUUCCAACAACCAUUACGUUAGAAGUACACUAAAAGAAAAUUAUUAAACAAUGUUGUUUCCAAAAAAAUUCCAUGUUAAAGAAUAGAAGAACAUACCGCUAUAAAUGAAAUUCAUUCAAAACAGUUCAAACAGUAAAGUUAAGAAUUGUGACUGCAUAUUUUUUUUUAAAAAGAAACAAGAAUUGUGACUGCAUAUCACCACACUUGUUUUAUUUAUAAUCCACACAAUGUAUUCUUCCCUAGCAUGUUAUCCCAUUAAGUAACCUCCAGAUAAAAUUCCCUUUCUGACUCUGUCAAUCAGUCAAAAAAUUUGAUGUAAAAUGUAAAAUACAUGGGUACACAAAAACAACUAUAUAAACUGCCAUCCCAUUAUUAAUAAAUCAGUAGGUCUAUAACAUAGACUAAUAGCAUUGUAAGGCAAGUAGGAAGUACUCUUUUGAUGUGUGCAGUUCUCCUUCACCAUUUUCGCCCUUUGCACUUGAGUCUAUAAAAAUAUGUAUAAGUAGAUUUUUAGAAAUAUCAAGUUUAUCAAAUGUAAAAUAUGGUAUCACAGAAAGCUACACCAUUUUUCUAGUUAUCAUUUGAAAGAUAUUGAUACCUUCAUGGUUGGCAGAGUAGUCAUGACCAUUUGACAUGCCAGAAGCCUAACCUACAACAAAGGCAAUGUUGAAAAAGCAAUAUUCAAAAUUCAAUGAAAAAAACAGAAGACAAACAAAUGAACAAAUAGCAAAUCAUCACACUCAAUUGUUUUCCAAAAAUGAAAAACCAAAUGAAAGGAACAAGGAAUAUAUUGAGAAAAAAACCUAUGAUCAAUGGAUAUGCAGUUGCAUUCUAGCACAUAUAGAGGAUCAAACAAGUAACUAAUCUAGACAUAGCUGCAACAAAUUUGUGUAUCUCUGAAUGCGUGUCUGCUUUUUGUGGGGGGAUAUUUAUUAUGACAUGUUCUUAGUGCAGACAAACCAUCUGCAUUUACUUGAGGAUUAGGUGAACAUACUUUCCAUUUAAAAUGAGGCCUUGAACAUCAAGCCUCGGUGAGUUUUCAAAUAAGGAAAAUGUAAUAGCUUUACAAUGAGUCCCAUAGCAAGAAGGCAUAUAAUUCCAUUCAUCAGCAUACCAGAAUAUAGAAUAGUGUGGACAUGUGGACACAUGCCAGAAUUAGCAUUGGACACACUAACAUGCCAGUCAUGCAUAGAAAGAAUUUCCAAAGAUAUUAAAGUAAAACACUGGUAGUAAGCAAAUUAGACCCUGAAAAACAUGCAAGUAUAGGCCAAGAUCAAAUCUUAAUUUUAAUUUCCAGAAAAAUAAAUAAAUUAUAUCAACCAAUAGAAAUGGUAUCACCAGCAAUUAACACCAAAGCACACCAACAUAUCGGAAUGCAUAACACGUGUACCCAUCUCCAAUCAGCAUUACACCUGUACAAGUUAGCCUGUAGCAGGUCAUAAUAGGUUCAGACUAUAAAACCUUCCAAAUCUUCCUUUGCAGGGCUUAGAAACCAUUUUCUAAGUAAUUUGCAGUUUUAAAAGCCUGUGACAAAAUUUUGGAUGAAGAGCUUGAACUAUAUACUCACAAACCCACUCCAAAAUUUCCUUAAGGUAAUACACAUUUUUUGAAGUCCUUUCCAAUGUCUUCUCUUAUUUGAGUUAGAAAAGCCAAUGUUUUUAUGAAUUGACUACUACGGCUGUUGAGGUUUGAGGUGUAUAACUAAUUUCUUAAUAUAUCAUAAUUUACAUCAGUCAUUAGAAAUUAAGGUUCCAUCCUUUUACACUAAGAAAAUCCUGAGAGCAAUUAAAAAAUACCUUCUUUUAUAUUAUUAAAUUUAAGUUUCCUUUAGGUCUUUGAGUCUAAUAGAAAUUAGUGUAAAAGGAAUUUUAAUUUUCUUACACUAAGAAAAUAAAAAUAAUAGGCAAAAUAAUUUUCACAUUUUGGAACUUUAUAGGUAAUGCUUAUUAAAAUAAAGCAACAAAGUUUGUCAUUUGCCAUUGAAUGAACCAAUUGUGGAAAACUAUGCAAAAAAUUUUAUUAGUAUGGAAUUUUUUUUUUUCUGCCAAUAUAUAGAAUUCAAUUUCAAACCUGCCCCUCCCAACCCACCACUUGCUGCUUGAGGCAAGCUUAGAGGCAGAAAAAUAUUUGCAAUUCUACGUAUGGAUAAAAAUUAUUUCUUAGAUUUUAUGCCAAUUCCAUAUUUAUAGGUAUCAAUUUAUUAUUCUACUGUUGUCAGAAGCUUCAAUUUUGGGCGUCCUCAUGGCUAUGCCACCCUUAAAUGAGAACAACUUUGGUCUUCUGUUUUUCUUUUUGAGCUCUUCAAAUUUUUGCAAGUUACUUCUAUCCAGGUUCUAGGAAACACCCAUUUUUUUAAAUCUCCAAUAAUUUAGGGUUCUGUGGCUGAGGGAAUAGACUUAUUUUUGGUUGAAGCACACAAAAUUCUUGGCUAUUUUUUUUUUUUUUUUGGCAUCAGGUCCUUUUAGGUUGAUUUUUCUACUUAUUUUUCACCCACCAAUUAACAUUGCCCUAACUCUAUUAUCUACCCGAGCAAAUGUUUAUGAACUAGCAAAUCAUACUAAAAUUUCUUACUAGUUGACAUGUGCAUCAUCUCAGCAUGUCAUUCCAACACCAAACUACAACCAUAAUCUCACUAACAUCCUAACUGCCUCAAUGAGUAUGGAUUACAGAAAUACAAUUAAAAUAUACUUCCCUAUUUAAUUUCAUAAUUUUUAUAAUAAUAUUUCGGCAAUAUUUCCACAUAGUAGCUUAUGUGGGAACCCUAGGAAUGCUGGGAUUGAAACCCUGGAUUGAAACAAGAGGAUUGUGAGAGAGAAUUGGAAAUUGAAGAAACAAACACAAAAAAUAAAUCCAAGAAAUAAAAAAGAAGCGUAAAAAUGAAAUAGAGAAGAGUGUGUAUGACGCACCUGAUGAUGUGAAAGCAGCUUCAGCUGGUGAAGGCAAACUUUCGACGGGAGAGACAUGAGCAUACCGGCCUCCGACAACAAUCCCUCCAAAAUAUUCUUUCUAUACCAUUUAUUAUUAUUAUUAUUAUUUUCAGGUUAUUUGAAGUGUAAUGUCUAGCUAUACCAUUUAUUAUUGUUAUUAUUUUCAGGUUAUUGAAGUGUAAUGUCCACCAUGAAGCCCUUAGAACUCUCCAUGGACCCUAAAUCUCGGGAUGCUAAUCACCCUAUAAUAACCAGCAUAGAGUAUAUUCAAAGUAUCAUUAAUGACAAAUUUUGAACUUAGGACCAUAUGUCAUUUACAGAGACCACACUUCUUAAUGUUCAUCCUUAGCGACAUACUCAUAUAUACCAAAUUACCCGAUAAUAUGCUUUUCCUAUUUUCUCAUUUUUAGAAAAAAAAAAAAAAAGAAUAACUUCUAUUUUUAAAAAUUUAAUUUUUUUUUAUAAGUAAAUUUUUGUUCUCAUUAGGACAUGUGGAACCUCCCACAAGUCCUCUUGAAUCCUUUACCACUUGAGUCAUGCCUUAAUGGCUUGUUUUUUUAAAAAAUAAUAACAACUUUUAUAUAAAAAAAUACUUAUAAAAAAUAUAUACAUGUCAUUAAAAGUCUAAAAAAAUAUAACUUUGUUAAUAAUUUUUAAAAUAAUUUAAUGUGUUAAUUGUUCUUAAAAACUAUAAAUAACCUAGAAAAGAAUAGUAUGUUUGACCAAAUUGUUAUAUGGUUUUAAAUAGUCACCUUAACAAUGUUACAAGUGAGUUGAUUAAUUUAUGGUAGAGAAGAAUUACAAUAGAAUUCAAUUAGUUAUCGCAUUUGAAGUCUUUGAUUAUUUGUUGAAUAAUAUUUGCAGCCAAUUAGAUAGGGUUGGCUAACCCAAGCCAAACCUACUUACUAAUAUGUCCAACCUAUGCUAAACUCGAUUCAAAGUUAGGUUGGUAGUUACUAAACUCAUUGACAACUAAAGUUUCUAUGGAUUCCCACGAGUUUUCAUGGAUUAUCAAAUAAACCACAUAUAAUGGAAUCUCCUAAUAUAUAAAAGACAUAUUUCAAAAUUAUAAAUUAAACCAUAUUAUAAAAUAAAAUUUUAACAAAGUCAUAAAUUAUAUUCCUAGUGACUAAUUUUAAUGGUAAGAUGAAACACAAGUGUGAAUAUUUAAAAAUAUUUUAAUAAUUAAACAAAAAUGAUAAACUUAUAGUGUAAUGUAAUAAAACUAGCAAAAGUUAUAGUUCUUUCAUUAUCCCUUUUAUAAAUUUCAUAUUUUAAAUAAACUAAUAAAUAAUAUAAUAGUAAUGAAUUUGCUUAGUCUUCAUCAUGUAGAACCAAUUUGAAGAAAUUUUUUUUAAUAGGACUGAUUAAUGACUUAAUUAAGGGUAGGUUACAGCUAAAAUAUUUAGUAGGACUGAUUAGUGACUUAAUUAAGGGUAAACUACAGCUAAAAUUUUCCUAGUAGUCUUCCACUAUGACAAAUUGUGGGAACUAGUAGUGGCCUGUCCAACCUAUAGAGGAAACAAAUAGGUGAGUGAGUUAUUGAAUAUGUGGCUGAGAGUGACCAACCAUUGAGGCUCACAUGAAGUUGUAGUGGCUGAGAGGAAGGGAUAAGAGACCAAAAACAUGCUCAGGGAGAUUCUUGUUAGGAUCAAAUUGGGGGCAUAGAUAUAUCUCUUUGGUAAGAGUUCCCAUAAUUUAGGUAUUAAUGAAAUAGGUAUAAAAGAAUUAUAUAUCUUGAUAUGAUCAUGUUGUUAAUGAUGAUCUAAUGAGUUGAAAUAUUAUGUUUUCAACUGUGUAUAUCUAAUAAAUACAUCAAGUGCUUAAACUUUAAUAUAGAAAUGGUCCACAAUGGCUUGUAUGACUCAUCGUCUUAUAAACAUAUUAUUUAGAUUAGGCUAAAGUGGUCAAAGUAAGAAGAAAAAUUGAUACUUGAUUUGAAGUAUAAAGAAUUCUUCUUAGACUUUGUGUGUAGUGUUGUUAGCUUAUUGUUGUGUUAAAGUCUAUUUUGAUGUAUUUUGGAAAGAAUGACCAACUAGAACCACAAUAAGAUGUUGCAAAACUUAUUUAAACAAGGGCUUGUGAGCAAGAUUUUUUUUUUUUCCUUUUCAUGUACAAAUAGUAUGAUGAAUGAAAAUUUGAUUCUCGAUUGUAAUUAGUAUUUUCUUUAAGUUUUAAAUCAUGCAAUGAAUACUUAAAAUUAGCUUACGAUGUCAAAGAAUGUAAGUAAACAAGGUUUUACAUGUUGGAUAUAUAAUAAAUUCAAAACCUUUACCUUCCACAUUGAAUGAUUACAUUUUUUCUUUAAGUGCCCUUUAAUCAUUCUCAUUUUGUUUAAUCAUUUUCUCUAAUGUCUUGAGCAUAGUAGAUUUCUAUAAAUUUACAUGAGCAUUCCUUAACUCUUCUUGAGUGAUCCUAAACUUAGCAUUGAAACAAUCAUAAUUUAGGCGAAGAUGCUUACACGUCUUCAUAAUCAUCCUUGGUUGCUAGCCAUUUUUCCUUAAUUACUUUAGGAUGUUUAGUGAAGAUGAUUACAAAUAUUAACUAGUUCACUCACACAUUUUUGUAUGAGUGUAGAACAAUUUUGCAUUCUUUCCACAUCACUUAUGCAUCUUCGUUCCAAGAAAGAAGAUAUAGAACUCUUAUCUUUUGCCUACGCCACUUGGUUCUCCAGCCCAUUAUGCUUAUGCAUCCUUUUUAUAUCACAUAUGCGACUUGCUUCUCAUUAAGAUAUUUCACUUACAUGUUCUUGUAUAUGCAUAAUUUAGGGAAAAAUAUUUUAAAAUAGCAAAAUAGAUUUUAAUACAUAUAUUUGGAACAAUUAAACUCAAACUAUGCAAGUGACCUUGUCUACUAUGUAGGUGACUUUGUUUACUACAUAGGCAAAGUAUAUGACAGUGAUAGUCAAGGAAGCUAUGUGGUUGCAUGGUUUAGUGGAGAAUUUAAGAGUAAAGCAAGAUCACAUUGUGAUUUAUUAUGAUAAUGGGAGUGCCCUAAAUUUAUUUAAGAAUAAAAUUCAUCACUCAUUGGUAAGGCAUAUUGAUGUCUAAUUUCAUUUUAUUUAAGAGAUUCUAGAAGAAAGUCAUAUCUUAUUUUAGAAAGAUUACUAAUGUUAAUGAGGUAGGUCAUAUUUAAAUGUGAUCCAUGUUGAAAGGAUCAAUGUACCUUUAGGUGUGUAGUAGCAAAAAAAUUCUAUUUGGACCUAUGUUUUUCUCUUGGAACCUCAAUUCUUUAUUUUUUUUAAAGAAAAAGUGGACAUAUCAAAUUAAGCAACAUCAGUCUUUUAUUUUUUUCAUUCUUGCUUGGUUUUUGUCUUGAAUUUAGAGUGGAGAAGAUGUAAUAAAUGAGUAAGGAAAGAGGUAGAAAAUAAAGAUAACAUUAGAACUAGGGAUUGUAAAAGAGGAAGAAGAUGAGGACAUUUUUGGCAAUGUUGCAUGUCAAUUUUCUAUUUAAUGAUUCCCCUAUAAUAGUUUUCAUAUUCAUUAACUCUCUCUAAACUAAGCAACAUAUUUCUUAAAUAUUUUAAAUUCUUAUUUAUUCUUAAACUCUUUCAUUCUCAACCGGCCUUUUCACCAUUCUCACAAACCUAAAAUUUGCUCUCAAUUUAUUUCAAUAAUGUUGACAUAAAAGUAAAUAGGUAAGUCAACAUUCAACUUUUUUUUUUUUUUACAAACCAAAAUCUAAUAUUUUUGUUUAGAAACAAAAAUUGAACAAAAAUGUAUAAACUAAGAGAAAGAAAAAGUAAAAACUAGAGACUUGUAAUUGUAUAAAUGUCAAGAUUUCAAGUUAGUAAUUUAUGUCAAUAUUUGUUUUUUUAUUUUUUUUCUUGAUUUUUAUAUACCAUUUUAAUUAAUAUUUUCAAUUUUGUGAUUGAAGUCUCAAGAAUUUAUGUUAUGCUUAUUUUAUUGUUUCCAUGUCAAAAACCAAUGUGAAAUUAGUAUGACAUGUACACUUAUUAUUUUGAAGCAUAGUGUUGAUAUCUUAUUUUGUAAAACCCAUGACGAUCAAUCAUUGUCUCUCAUGUGUCUCAUUUAUGACAUGUGAGUUUGACUAAUUAUAUAGCAUCAUGCCUCAAAGAUUAGUGUUACAUAUCCAAGACAUCUCUCUAAUAAACUUGACAUUCAUUACACUUUUCUUACCCUUAAUCUUUCAUACAUGGAUAGGUCCAUGUUCUACCUUCAUAUCUCCUAUGCCAUAGUGCUACAUUGUUUGAAAAUGAAUUUUUAUCUUCAAUAAGAUCCUAAGUCACAUGGAUGACUAUGAAGCAUGGAUGUCGCCCAUAGUGAAUGUCGAGGAGAGGGGUAGGGGUGUUUCUUACUCUAUUCUUCCUAAAGAUGGUAUCGCGUGCUUCUGAUAAUUGUUUCAUUUUUAAUCUAGAAAAUGCAUGCUUCCUAAAAACUAAUAGUUGUUAUUGGUUUAUGAUCUUUUAUACCCUCUUCUAAUAUGUCAACCUUAAAAUAAUGCCUUGAUGUUAAUAAAUCUACCUAGUUCAUGAGCAAAGCUUAAGGUUAUGAAAUGGACUUUGUGUCAUUAGUUGUAAAUCUAGUUUCCCUACCCAUUAGCAUUUCAAGAUUAGUUUGAGGGUCUUGGUUUAGUAGUUAGAUCUUAUACUUACCAAGGUCGGAUCAACACGCAUUGAUCUCAUUUUAGCUUAAAUGAGAGAGAUGACAAUUGUGUCUUCAUUAUAGGUGUCAUAUGAAGAAGUUUGUAUAUCCUUAUAGAAUAAUUAAUAUUCAAAAUACUAUUUCAGAGCAUUAUAAAAAAACUUCAUUUCUAGCCAAAUGAAAAAGAGUGAUAUUCUUGGUCUCUUUGAUCCUACUACCACCAUUUCCACCCAAUCAUCUACUCUCACUUUGCUUUGCUCUCAUUUUAAACUCUUGGCACAUUUAAAACUUUCAAGUUUUAGUUGUAAGCUUAUAGAUACUAUUUUAGAAAAAAAAUAAAAUUGCAAGUGAGAUCUAAUAUUUUGUUUUGAGAAAAGUAUUGAAAAAGCCCAAGGCUUAGAAACUUUGAUUUACCUAUGUCUAAUUAUGAACUUUCGAAUGAAGAUAACAAUGUUAUAUAAUUUAAUAGUUGAAGAGAGUUAGAAGGUUUUUUCUAAUUUUGGAGCAUGAUGUACAUUAUGAGCCUAAGUCAUGACAACUUAAGUCGCUAGGAAGAUCAGUUGCUUAACAUGCCAAUAGGGUCUUGUUUAGUGGGGGUUUGUGUGUUUGAAUCUCACCUCAUUAUUUCCAUGAUUUAUUGAGCCUCAAUGUAAGUCUAAUAUGAGGUUAGUUGUAUAGGAAAAUUUUUCUCUCCAUGUGUGGUAUGGGGUUGUAGUGAGAGAGAGUGUUAAAGAAUGGGAUUAAAUCUUAAUAGUUUAAGCUUUUAGAAAAAUCAAAAGUUCAACUUGGCAUUAGAGUCUUAUUUAUUCAAAGGUUAUUAGUUUGGACCUCAAGACAUAUUAUUUCCCUAAUUUAUUGAGCAAAAAGAAGGCUAGAUAUGAGGUUGCUGAUGAGAAGUUAAUGGAGGGUCCUGAGUCCAAGUUCUCCCCUCAUUAUUUAUCUAUCUAAUUAUUUAUGACCAUAAAGUGCUUCUCAUGGUAGGUAUGGGCUCACAUAUGGGGGGAGGAGGGGUGUUGGAGCAUUAUAUAUGUUAUGUGCCCAAAUUCUAACAACUUAGUUAAGCUUUUAGGAAAAUUUAUUAUCUAAAAUUAAUAUUGUUUUGUAAUCAAAGUAAAAUCAACCUUAGUUAUUCAACAUAAUAAAAAACAUUAGUUUCCUGAUUGAAAAUGGUAAGGACUAAGUAAACUGAUAUAAAAUAGAAUGUUAUUAUAGUUUAUGGGGUGAAGUAUUAGCACUAUAAAGUUAAGUAACUAAUUUGCUAAAAUUACUAGCUAAAACUUGAAAAGUCUUAUCAAAGUGAAAAAGAAAAUAAAAUUAAACUCUUUAUUUUACAUAAUAGCAUAUCUAUAUCCCCUUAAAUUAUGAAAUUCAUGUUGUUUUUUCAAAAAAAAAAAAGAAAGAAAGAAAGAAAGAAAAAAAAAAAACCUAGAAAUGCCUACUAAAAAAAAGUCGAUUGAUACACUCCCUAACCAUAAAAUUGAGUUGUAAAUAUAAAUUAUAGUUCAUCCAAGUCUUUAUACGACUUUAAGAAAUCAAUAGCUAGUUUCAUUUACACCAUUGGUUCGUUUUUUUUUUUUUAUUCCAUUGAAAAGAAAGCAAUAAAAAUGAAUUGAGACAAAAAUGAGAAUACAAUCCAUAAAAUAUCAAUAGAUUUGUAAACUCAUUAUAAAGUUCAUAAAUCUUUAGAUAAAAAAAGCAAUAUAAAGAGGUAAAAAAUUAGGAACUAUCAAGUUGAAAAAUAGAGUGUAUGGUAAAAAAUAAAAAAUAAAAAGAUAAAACAAACAACAUUUUAAAGUAAGGGUACAAUAGUUAUUAAAAUGAAUCACAAUAAAAGUUUUCUAAAAAUUGAAAAAAAAGAGGAAAAGUUUUUGGUAUGCUUUUAUGGUUUAGGGGGUAAAGGUUCAUAAUACUCGUCAUUUUAUCAUCUUUAUAGGAAAAAAAAUUUAGACUCAACUUUAUCACAACUCAUAUGAGUUAAAAAUUUCUUGAAUGUAUUUUCUCUCAAGUUUCUAAUGGAUACCCCUUUAUCAAAGGUGUGGACAUUGAGCUAAAUUCACCAUUAAAAUUCAUCAAGUUUCUAUUUUCCUUUUCCUAAUUCAUCAAGCUAUAUUUAUGAAAUAUCCUCAUUCUUCAUUAGUAAUAUCAUAUUGUCAAAAAAACCCUUAAUAGAUCUACACCUAUCACCAGUUAAUAGAUAAAAUAACUUAACAAUUAGUUUUAAGUUUUAAGGACUUUACAAGACAAGCUAAGAACCUCAUAUUGUUUGCACACAAUUGACAAGUUGAUUUGUUUUAAAAAGUAAAAUGCUAAAGAAAAUCCACAACACGUGUUGUUUUAAAAAUCUUUGUAUUUAUAUGACAAAAAAAAAAAAGAACCAAUAGUUUAAAUUGGAAAAGUUUAUGCAAAUUAGAUGAGGAAAAUGCAAGCCAUAAAAUAACAUUCAAACGUUAUCAUUCUCUAAGAAACAUCAAGAACAUAUUGAGAGAACCAUUACUCAACAUAAUAAAUUUGUCUUGAAAGGAAAAGAAAAUCAUCAAAGCAAUCAUAUUUGUGAUGCAUUCUGAUUUCCAUAGUGUUUCCAUAUUUACUAUUAGGAUAAAAAAAUGGAAGUUGAAAAUUAUGGCAAUUCCUUGAGACAAUGAAUUAGAGUAGUAGAAAAGGAAAAAAAAUAAAAAAUAAAGAGAAAAAUAUGGUGAGUGAAAAAUAUUUUAACCCCAUAAAUUUUUCUUUCACAUCUCUUUAAAUUUAUUAAUAUCAAUUCUUUUCUAAAUAAACAAUGAAAUUUUUGAAAUUUCUUGAAAUUUAAACAUAUUUACUAGUUGUAUCAUCUCCAGUCACCUAAAUCUCAAGAUGUUCUUCAAAUGAAUUAUAGACUUUAUUUAGAUAGGUAAACUAAGGGGACUCCCCCUCUAAGAACUGUAUAUAAGAAUUUCAUCUCAUACAACUCAAAUAGAAACACCUAAACACUAGAUGAAACGGAUAUAUAAUAGAAAAAUGUAUUUCAAUGGAUCCAAUUGGUAUUUUUCCUGUCUUAGAUAAACAAACAAAUUUUUCUUCAUUAAUCAUUGUAAGUAAAUUAUAUUUUAAUUUUAAAAAGUACUAAACUUUAUUUUAAUUUUCAUGUAGGAUCAACUAACUUAUCAUAAUUAAAAUUUGUCUCUAUGGCUGAAUAGAGCUUUGAUGUAAUAAUACUAUACAAAUUUCAAGUAACACUAAAUUAAUCAAAUAGGAAACUACAGUUACGUUUGAAUACAUAUUCUAUUUUUUAUUUUUAAAAUUAAAAUUUUGAUAUAAAAUUUUUUUUUAAAAAUAUUUUAAAAUAAUUUCAAAUACACAAGAUAUUGACUUUAUAUAUAUAAAAGUUCUUAUAUUUUAUAUAAAACUCUAUUUUAAAAAAAUAGAAAUAAAAAAAUGCAUUUAAACAUAUGCUAAAUUGUUAGAUUUCAUAGAUCCUACAAUUAAUAGUGAAAAUGAAGAUGAGAGAUAACUGACUGAACUAUGAAAAGGAAUUAAAAUUUAUGAGUUUCAAAAAUACUAGUUAAUGAAAGAGAUUUUGUGCCUGGAUGACUAAGAAAAAUGCUGAAAAAUGUGCUAUAGAGUGGCUUUUCCUUUCUCCUCUUGCUAUAUAUGCAUAUCAUCCCUCUUUUUUAUCUCGUUGAACUCAACAAAUUCUCAUUUGUUCUGAGAAAAAAAAGAGAUUAUGUUAUAUGAUGGUAGGACUUUAUUCUGUUAUGGAAUAUGCACACCCUAGAUCUAUUGGCUAGAGCUAUACAGUAGGUUGUUGGCUUGUUUAGCAUUGUCUCUUUUUUGGAUAGGUUUGGACAAUGCCUCUUGAUGUUGCUUUUUGGUAAUGUAUUUUUCUUUGAUUUUUCAUGAAAAAUUCCACAUUUUGAGAUUUUCACCAUAUUAGAGUCUUUGGAAUUGGUACUUGUCUUGACACAGUUAGUAGGAAUCAUUUUCCCCAAGCUACAUAACACAUGUCUGCUAAUUGGUAAUGUUCCAUUGGCAUUUAUAAACUCUCCUGUCAAAAGUGAAUAUGCUCUAACAUUUCAAAUAGUGUGGUGUUGUACAUAGGUUGGUAAUUGAGGAUUUUAUUAUGGAUUUUGUCCUAUUCUGGUCGUGCCAACAUGUUCUGUCUUGUUCUUUGUCUUACUGAUUUGGGUGGUUGCGCGUCAUGUUUCUACAAGCUGUAUUUUUAAGCUUCAGGAGCAAAGGUAUUUUGGUUCUACCAUUUAGAUGAUGGUACUAAAGCAUUUGUAUUAUGGAUUGCACAACCCCUUAUAUGGGAUAUCUUUGCACCAAUUGUUUGGUAAUCAAGAGAACUCUCAUAUUAAACAAAGUCAUCUUCUAUUAGUAAUAAUAAUAAUAAUAAUAAUAAUUGUGUGAUUUGGAUGCUUGUGAGUGACGAACAAUAGGGUUGUUUAGGUGUUGUUGGGUAUUGAAAAGUAUAGUAAUAAUAAUAGUAAUUUUUUUUUUAAAAAGUUUUAAUUUAGUUUAAGUAUACAAAAGAAAUAAAUUGUUAGAAUAGGAUUUGGAAGAAAUAUGAGUUUAUAAAAAAUUUGGAAAUUCAUUAAAUUAUAUUAUUAUUGUUUAAGAAGUUGAAAGUAAUAUGGGGUGGUAAUAAUAUUAUCAUACGAAAUUAAUUAGGAUCCCUAAUACUAAAUAAAAUAUCUUUAGGAUUGUCAAAUUUUUACCUUUAGAUAAUUGUGUAUGAUAUUAUAUUAGGUGGGGAGUAAAUUCAUCAAGCUAAAUACUUCAAGUUUUUGAGUGCUUCUUCAAGGUAAGGGAAAUUAAUGCAGAUUUUUAUAAAAGAAAAUAAUUUUCUUUUUAUAUUGUAUUUUGAAUUGUGUAAAAAUAUUAUUUUUAUCUUUACACAUGGAUCAAAUAUAUGUUUUGUAUGGAAAGUAUGUUUGAGCAUUUUCUUUAUUUAUGAAAAAUGAAAAAUUGAGGAGAUAUGAUGUUUUGUUUUGUAAGUUUGAAUUAAUGAAAUAAAGUGUUUGACUUUGGAUUAUAUGACCCUAGUAAACGAGUUAUAAUUGUUAACUUUUUUUGUCCUAGUCAACGAGUUAUAAUAGUUGAUAUUAUAUGGCCCUAGUCAACGGGUAAUAAUAGUUGACCUUAUGGUCAUAGUCAAUGGGUUAUAAUAGUUGACCUUAUGGUCCUAGUCAACGGGUUAUAAUAGUUGACCUUAUGACCCUAGUCAAUAGGUUAUAAUUGUUAACAUUUGGUUUUGUUCAUCUUAAAUGGAACAAAUUUGAAACUAGUUACUCAAUUGUGAAGUCCCACCUAAUUGGGCACCAUUUAUCAUACGAUAAUCAGAGUAAAGAUAUUUUGAAUGUAUUCGAUUUGGUUUUGAAGAGAAAUUGUUUUGAAAUGGAUAUGAGAAAGUUUUGUUAAAAAGUAUGAAUGUAUUAGCAUUUUGAACUCAAAAGUUUUUAUGAAAAUAAGUAUAUAUUAUAUCUCCUAUUUGCAAGCAUAAUUGAAAACGUUUGAUCCAUGAAACUGUAUUAAUGUUCCUUACUAUGCUUUGAGCUCAUCCCCUUUUGUUGAUAAUCUUUCAAGCAACCUCAGUUCGGGUGAGAAGUGACCGUUAUGAGGGAAAUUCGGCUUUAUUAGGACAUUUUUUUAAACUCUUUUUAUUUUGGAUAUUGUUUAGAUGUUAAAACUUAAUUCUUGUUUGAAUUAUUUUGAGUUUUGAGUUAUUUGGACAAUAACACUUUGGUUGAUGUAUUAGUUUUUUUUUUAAAGGUGAUACUUGGAGAUUUUAGAAUUUUGUCUUACUACUUUGAACAGAGAUUUGAUAAUUGGUAAAUUUCUAGUUAUAAUACGAAUGUUUGUGUCGCUUCCACUUUGAGCUUUUGGACUCGAGGUGUGAAAUGACCGUCAUGUCCUUGAAGUGGGUUUUGGGGCAUGACAUAGAGAGAUACCUAUAAGACUUUUUGGACUAUUGGGUUUGGAAUACUUGAAUUUAUUAUAUAAUUAUCUCGAUAGUCAGUUUCUUAAUUUGGAAAAAACGCAUAGAUUGAUGGUACUGAAUUUAUCACUUAAUUCUUUGUCAGGUCAGAUCCUAGAAAAUAUUUCCAAUCUUUGAAACCUAACGCCAUUGAACAUUUCAUAACAUUGCCUCUUUGGAAUGGUUCUAAAAGAGUGGGGCUAUUAGGAGGUUUCCAAGAGCAUUCGCAGGGAUCCAGAGCUAUUCGUGCAAUCCUUGGAUAAACAAUGUUAGAUAGCACAAGGACAUGCAAGCUUGAAAUAAAUAGAGGUAUUGUAGACCCUCAAUUUUGUCCCUUGACACUUGCAUUUUAUCCUAUGGGUGUCACAUGCACCCAUGCUUUCAUAUGAUUUCUCCAUGGCCUCCUUUUGGCCUUGAUAGGUUUCUGAGCCUUGUGUAGGUUCAUUUGCGGUCCAAUGUAGUGCGGGUGUGUAGUUCAUUUUGGAGUUCCAUCAUGGCCAAGUUCCUAGUUGUCACAUCAUGCUAUAGGGAAGGAAGUGAGGCCCCCCAAAAAUUUUAGUUCAGUUGGAAUUCAUAAGAGCGGGUUUGAAUUCAGAGCACUUGGGCUUGUUUUGAUCAUAUCUCCCUCAUCCGAACUUGGAAUUGCGCACCGUUUUUUUUUUUAUGGACUCCUUAUUCGUCAAGGAAAAUUUCAAAAUUUUUUUUCUCAACCAGCUUGACCGGUUCCCAAAGUUUGAGAUUUUUUCUCAAUCGGAUGAACCGGUUGGGAACCGGUUCAACAGGUGGCUUGGUGGCAGCCCCGUUUUAUAAAUGCUUUGCAUUGUUUCGGCCGGUUCUCCCUCAUCUGGGCUCAGAAUUGAGCACCGUUUGUUUUUUGGAUUCCUUGUUCUUUGAGGAAUCUUCUGGUAAAGUUUCAGAUUUUUUCUCAAUCUGAUGGACCAGUUGGGAACCGGUUCAACAGGUGGCUUGGUGGUAGCCCCGUUUUGUAAACGCUUUGCAUUGUUUCAGCCUGUUCUCCCUCAUCUGGGCUCAGAAUUGAGCACCGUUUGUUUUGUUGGAUUCCUUAUUCUCUGAGGAAUAUUUUUAUAAAGUUUAAGAUUUUUUAUCAAUCGGAUGAACCAGUUGGGAACCGGUUCAGCAGGUGGCUUGGUGGCAGCCCCAUUUUAUAAACGCUCUGCAUUGUUUCGGUCGGUUCUCCCUCAUCCGGGCUCGGAAUUGAGCGCCGUUUGUUUUGUUGGAUUCCUUAAUAUCUGAGGAAUCUUCUGGUAAAGUUUUAGAAUUUUUUUCUCAAUUAUUCGAGCCAGUUGGGAACCGGUUCAACCGGUUAUGCUAGGUAGCUCCAGUUUCAGCGUGUUUUAACCCCCAUUUUUGUUGUGGCUUGGGCCCUUAGACUCCAAGGCACUUGUAGGCCACCUUUAGGGUCUGAAUCCAAAUUUGGUUUGAAUUAAUGUGGGCCUACCUAUGAGUCGAGGGUAUUAUUGGCUAGGAAGGUUAGGGGGUUAUUGUGAAUGUUUGGCUUGGGUACAUUUUGAUGUUUGAUUAAAAAUGCUUGUAUCUAUUGAUUUGCCCUUGUUUGCAGCGCUUGGCUGGGGACCCGAGGUACGUACUUGACUUGUUGGGAAUUGGAUUCAUUUGCAUGCGUGGGGCUUGGAUAUGUUUGCUUGUUGUGUGUUUAUAUUGCUUGACUAACCUCUUAUGUAGCGCUUAGCUAGGGACCUCAGGUACACACCUUUUAGCUUUGAUUUGUGGAGACUAAGUGCACGCUAGAUACUGAGCAGGUUCGUGUGAUCUAUGUCAUUUGUUUAGCCUGAUUGAUCAAUUGAUUUUUGACCCAUAUGCUCCCAUGUGCCCAAUUCAUUAGUAGAGAGUAGAGACCGAGUUCCAGGCCUAAAGAGGUGCUCCCUCACAUGAGGUACCUUCCCAAUAGGUAACCUGAUCCCCGGACCCAGAAUCUAGUUUUCCCAGAUUGCUUUUUCCAUAUUGGAGUCAUUAAGGGUUUUUGUUCUUACUUGAUUUUCCCCUUUAUAAAAUAAAAAUAAAAAGUAAGUGGCGACUCCAAACAAUCCUCACCGGGAACGGAUUUUCCAAAACCCAAAAACACACUUACUUUCUUAUUCUUUUAAAAAGCGUGUCGCGUCGGCCCGUGGAUCGGGUGAGAGUCCACAAAUUGGUGACUCCACUGGGGAUCGAACCUAGGAUCUCUGGUUUCAUAAGAGAAUCAAGCUUGAACUUGAAUUGGGUAUAUUGGAGCACAUGGUUCUCUGAUCAGUAGACUCUUAGGCUACAUAGAUGACUAAUGAUCACGUACUUGAUUGGUAUCUGGCUUGCACCUUUGAUGUGUUGAUGCUUGUGUGUCCACUUGAUUGGUUUUAACAUGCUUGCUCAUUGUUGAUUGGUACUUAGUUAUGAGAUUUGGGAUUGUCAUAAAUGGUCAGAUUGUGUGUAGAUUUUAUGGUAGGCCUUGCCCUUUGCGCAUAACUGUUUGCUGCAUGGCUACACUUUUUCUUGCAUGACUGUUUGCCGCUUGUGUUUUGGGGCGCGCUUGUAUCCCCUUAUUUUCGAAUUACUAGUCUUGGUUGACUAUUCCUCAUUGAUUGCUUGAGUUGUUUGGGAGUCAUUCCCAACUGUUUGCCUUCGACCAAGAUAGGGGUUUGGGAGUAGGGUCUAGCAUAAGGGUUAUAUUGAUGUUUGGGAGCACUAUGAAGAUGAUGGAUAUCCGAGCAAUGAAGAUCUGUAUAGCCCUGAGCUGGAUUUCAUGGAUACAUGCGUGGCCAGUGUGUCGCUUUGAUUGUUGAUUGAUUGUAGGUUAGGAUCAGAAGUUGCGUAUCCCUGUGGGUACAUUCAUCUAGCUUGUAGGACUUGCCUUUUCCCAUUAUUAGCUUUUGAGCCACCUUACUUCUGAGGUAUCACCAUGUCAGAGUCCUGUUCCUACCUGUGGAGCCAUAUAUUGGAUUAGCUGUUGACAUCACAUGUCAGCUCAUUCCUUUAGAGGAUUUAGUUGUAAGAUUGCAUUACUAGAUUGAUUUAAGGAUUAAUAGUCACGGGAACUGACGUACCCCUUUCCUUUUGUAGGAUUGUUGAUCGAGACCGACUUGGGUUCUCGAGCUUGGAUCUAGAUCGGAGGUUGAUUGGUUAGAGGAUCAGAUCUACACAGUCAGUUAGAGCAGAUAUCAGAUCAUAGAGAUAUGGACCCCCAAUACGCCACUAUUGACCAGUUGACUGAGAUUACAGAUACCAUGGCAUCACUCCGGGAUGCUAUAUUGGGAUUGGGUCAGAGAAUAGAUGGGCACCAGGCCCAGCCAUUGCCGGUUCCGGGGAGCACCCCGCUUGACUCUACUGCACCUCCACCUCCACCAUUGCCAUCUAGGCCUACUAUACAGUAGGAUUAUAUAGUUCCAUCUCCGCCACCACCCCCAAUUUAGUCAGCCCCGUGGGCUAGGGCCUUUAUCUUACAUGGUCAGACUGAGACUACGCCACAUUCUGUUGUGUCACCUACACAGAUUGUUGAUGACACUCAGGCCCAUAUCGAUAGGAUUGAGCAGAGGAUCAGGUCUCUACAUGUUUUUGAUGGAUGGGUUGGGACGGAUAUGAUGACUUGCCAGUGGCAGCUUUGCUAGUUGAGUUCUGCAUGUCGGACAUUGAGAGGUACACGAGGAUAGGGUGCCCCUGUAUUCAUUUACAAUUGUAUAGCACUAUUAUGCGCUGGCAUAGAUUGGACAAGGCACAGAUGAUCAUGCUAUUCCUUCUGUCUCUAAGUGGUGCCGCUCAGCGUUGGUUUGCCUCAUUGGACCCUUCAAGGCACCGGACAUGGGCUGAUUUGGCACAGGAGUUUCUUAGACAAUAUUCUUUUAAUACUAUAGUGGAUGUAUCCCGAAGGGAGCUAGAGGCCCUCAAGCAAAGGCCAGAUGAGUCAGUUACUUCAUUCAUCUCCUGCUGGAGGGAGAAGAUAGCACAAAUUAUAGAUAGAUCCUCCGAGCGUGAUCAGAUCAGCAUGAUUAUGUGCAGUCUUCACCCUCGCUUUGCCAAGCAUCUCAUGGGCUUUCCACAGACAGACUUUGGAUCAUUGGUUCAGGUCCUCUAUGGCAUUGAAGAGGGCAUAGCUAGAGGAUUAUGGGUAGACUCUUCCCGUUCAAACUCAAAGGGGAAGAAGCCAGGGUCAGGAUCCAGGCCUUCAGAUGUUGGUACCAUUGGCACGAUAGGGCACAGGUCCCAUCGUCACCCUCCUUCUCAGAGACAGUUCUUAGACACUCUUUACCAGAUGAUACAACACGAUCAGUACAAACCAGUUGCUCCCUAUAGGCCGACAGGGCCUACUUAUCUAUAUCUGGCACCGUAGCCGAUAUAUGCUACAUAGGCUCCUUAGAGGCCACCUGUACAGUUCCAUCAGCAGUAUAGAGCACCGCCUCCACCGAGGUCGGCUAGGCAGUUUACAUAGUUAGAGAUUGGUUGAGGGGGGUUUGAUUGCUCCACUACCACCCAGACCAUCACCACAUCCUACCCCACUAGGAUUCAGGAUAGAUCUUCACUAUGCCUACCAUCAGAGAGCUGGCCAUGAUACAGACAAUUGUGCGAUGCUGAGGCACGCCAUUCAGGACUUGAUUAAUCAGGGUUUGGUUGAUUUAGGACGCCCUGCAGUGACUACAGACCCACUACCUACUCAUGACAUUAGAGCUGUAUCUUCACCCCCGGGGAACGUACAUUUGAUUGAUUUUUCAGGAGAUGAGAUAUUCAUGAUGGGGUGGGACGGAGAGGCUCCUCAACCUAUUAGUCUGUACGAGGACUCAGAUUUUAGUGGAUAUAUCCAUGGACAGUAAGCUCCCAGGCCAUUCAGAUUGAUCCCGAAUGAGAUUCCCCAACAGACAGCAGUAUCGUCGGUAUACUUACAACAUGUUCUGCCCAUGACACCCUUCAUUCUAUUCCUGGAAGAGUAUAGGCCCGUUCACAGAGAUGUUCAGAUUGUUACACGGAGUGGGAGAGUAGCUCAGCCUCUACCCUUUGAUAAGUCUUUUGUUGGCACAGAUGUUAGAGAUGAUGUUUAGAGAGAGGAUGAUGAGAUAUUGCACCAGCUGUGCACCACACAGGCUCGCAUAUCCAUUUGGAGCCUCUUGGCAUUGUCCAGCACACAUAGAGAUGCCUUGGUCAGAGCUCUUAGUUAGAUCAGAGUUGACACUGCUACUACUCCUGAUGGACUGAUUCACUUUCUGACGGUUGAUAAAGCUACAUGCAUUGUAUUUUCAGAUGAUGAUUUACCACCUAAGAGAUCAGAUCAUGUUUGACCCUUAUUCAUUGAUGUUGCUUGUUCAGGUUGUUGGGUGCCGUUUGUCCUGCUAGACAACGGCUCCGCCUUGAACAUAUGUACAUUGGUUACUGCCAUUGCUUUGGAAUUUUCACCAUCCGAUUUUGGGCCAUCUACGCAGACCUUCAAAGCAUACGAUGGGACUCAGAGGACAGUUAUGGGUACUCUCACUACACAUGUCAUGAUAGGGUCGGUCAGAUAUUCUAUACUCUUUCAGGUUUUGAGGAUCCAGACAUCCUUUAACUUACUUCUCGGCUUCCCCUAGAUUCAUGAGGCGGGUGUUAUACCAUCUUCCCUUCAUCAGAAGGUGAAGUUCAUACACGAAGGGUGCAUUAUCACGAUACAGUCAGACAGAGACGUUGUUACCUCUUCCAAGCCAGUGUUACAGAUCAGUCACAAUGAGAAUGACUUGCACUUGACCGGAUUUACUUUUGAUGAGGUUCAGGUUGUUAGUUUAGAGGAUGACAACAGAGACAUGGUACCUAUGUCUUUUGAUCAGUAUAGCGGCACUUUGGUACUCAGUAUGAUGAGAGGCAUGUCCUAUAUGCCUGGCUUGGGAUUGGGUCACCGCCAACAGGGGUCGUGCGAGUUUGCUUUCACAGUUGAUCAUGAUAUACCACAUGGAUUGGGUUACACUCCUUCUGAGGAGGAUGCAUGACACAUGGCGCGAUUGAUCCGAGAUAAGGUGAGAGCUCGCUUGUCCGAGGUUCCAUUCGAUUACCCCCUUCGCCCAUACACUUUUCAGUUGGCUGACUAUUUUGCCAAAGGAUUAGAGCAUGCACCCCACACAAAGGGAGUUGAUCGUGUUCAUGAGGUAGUUGAGAUUCAGGGUAUUCAAUAGGCCUUAGGACAAAUGUGUUUUGAGUUCUGAGACCACCGAGCCACCCAAGGCCAUGGUAGUUGCAUCCCCAUCGACAUUGGUCGUAUCCUUGACACAGCCCCAGGUGGGCCCCAUUAUGCUUUUGAUAUGUUUGGAGUUUCUAUGAUUAAUUCUGAUGGUGUGACACUUUAUGACGCUUGCACUGACACGAUGGACAUGAUCGGCACUGGCCGCAUUUUGGAUACUUCCCCACCUAGGCCCCGAUCCGCUUUUGAUGUGUUUGGGAUUUCUAUGCUUGAGUUUGAUGGUGAUGGACUUGUUGCUACUAAUAUUACUCAUGAUACUAUUUUUGUUGAGGGAGUGUUCGACUCUGUGGACCUACCUCUUUCUUUUGACACUAUGUCCGGGUUUGUCACCCGCUUUGAUGACAUUUCUGAUGGUAAUAAUGACAUGAGUAUUUUCGAGUAUUUGCCUGUGUCACAACAUUUUCCUUUGAUUGCACCACGAGCAUCCACAGCACAUGUAUGUGAUGUUGAUGAUGUGGAAGACACAGAUGACCCACUAAGUGGUCAGUCAGAGUGUGACUCUGAUUCAGAUACGGAGGAUAGGAAAGCUACACCCAUUUCUGGUAUCACUGAGUUGAUAGAUUUUGGGGCACCUAACUAGCCUAGGGAGCUUAGGAUUGGCUCUUCCCUAUCUCCCGAUGAGAGAAGUAGAUUGAUAGACCUAUUCAGGUCAUCCUUAGAUGUAUUUGCAUGGUCGUAUGAGGACAUACCGGGCCUUGACCCCACUAUAGUUCAGCAUCACCUGCCCAUUUUGCCAUAUGCUAGGCCAGUUAAGCAGAAAUUGAGAAGAGUACACCCUCGAUGGAGUUUGUAGGUGAAAGAGGAGAUUCAGAAGUAACUCAGUGUUGGAUUCUUGUCAGUGGUUGAGUAUCUUGAGUGGCUGGCUAAUGUCGUCCCUAUUCCCAAAAAGGACGACAAGGUUAGAGUUUGUGUUAACUUCCAAGAUCCGAACAAGGCCAGUCCUAAGGAUGAUUUUUUCUUCCAGCACAUCUGAUUCGUGCCCAGUCGGUGUAUCAGUUGAUUCAUGUCCAGCUAGUGCUCCUUGCUUGAGGAAGUAAUCAACAAAAUUUAUAACCUAUUACACCAUGAACUAGGGUAGCAAAGACAAAGCUACUAUAGCAUAGUGGCUCUAGGAUUGUUCACUGGGAAGGGUUUUUAAUUCAUAAAUGAUACCAAUUCAAAGCUGAAUUGGUGCCUUUUGAUUUCAAGGUUAGCUUUAAAAGAAAACAUAAUUUUUGGAUGAAAAAGGUUUGGUUUAAACUAACGGUAAAGAAAGUAAUGGAAAUUACUUAUGAAGAAAAACAUUCCUUGAAGGUUUAGGUUCACAGGGGAGGUUCCUCGUGCAAAAACAGAGCUCUGGUCAUUUGGUUCAUUUCCUCGCAUUAGAGAAUUAACAUAUAGUCAAUUCUCUAAUCGGCUCUGUACAGAUGCUUCCCUUUAAUGGGUUCAAACACUAAAUCACUCUCACUGAUGCACCUUGCAAUGGCUCAUACCUCUCACCUAGCACUUGCCAUUCAAGGUGAUCUUUAACCUUGGACUUCCCGUCAAAAGCUCGUAAGAGAUAACUAAUGGAUGUCUCCUUGGAGUCCAAAAGCUUACCAAGUGUUAGCUAUUCUAGAAAAUCCUACCUUCAAACCACCUCCCAAAGGCUCGCAAUAGAUAAACUAGUGCAUCUCAAUGGAGAUCACUUGCCUUAUCAAGUGUUGGCCUAGGUGAUUUAAAGGUGUUUUAAGUUAACUAAAAACAUAGAAAUCAUUAAUGGGUCAUACUUUCUCUUCAUUAAUGGCUGAAACCGCAAAGCUACUAAUUCUUGCACUUGGAACCUUUCCCAGCAACCUUAACUCCAAGGAACUAAAAGUCUAGCCACUCAUUCUCUGAGGAAACAUCCUUAGAGCUUGUUUGGCUAGUAAGAAAAUACAAUUAAAAUGAGAAGGUAAAGCAGAGCAAAACUUUGUAUUUUUCUUCCUUUUAAAAACUAUACAAAAGUUUUUUCGUCGUCCUUUUUUGGGAACAGGCUCCCGAGAGAUAUAUAUAUGGAAAAUUACAAAAUAUCUAUCUGAGGUUAUUCACCCUUUUUCCAAACUUAAUAACUAAGGAAUCCUAUAAUUGGUGGGUUACAAGGAGAUUUUGGGGAUUUAGACAACAAAUAUCUAAAGCAAAAUAUCUCAAAAUAUCCCAAAAUAUCGGUGGCAAAUAUUAGGACGCUUCAGGAGAACACCGCAGCACUGUGCAAAAUGGCUGCUCUUCCAUCCGGGUAGACGCUAUCAGAUGAUCCGGAUACGUCCGUCCGGAGAAGUUGAAACACUCUCCUUUUCUAUCCGACAUCAGAAUUCUGGACGUGAACAUCUGGGUGGAAGUGGUGGCAGUCGGGUACAAAUUGGCGGCAGCCGGGUGCAAAAUGGCGGCAGCCGGGUGCAAAUGGCGGCGCACAUCCAGAUACAAAUUAGCGGCAGUCGGGUGCAGAAUGGCGGCAGCCGGGUGCAAAUGGCUGCGCACAUCCGGAUACAAAUUGGCGGUAGCCGGGUGCAAAUCCUAUCUGGAUAUGUGGUCCGGAUGCUCUCCGAUGGUGUAUCCGGACGCCCUGUCCGGGUAUACUCCUUACAUAGAUUCCAAAUAACUCUCCUCAAUUUCAGAUUUGCUUUGGUGAUAAAAAAGCUAUCAAAACACCAAAACUUAACACAUUUUUUAUUAGAAUUGAUUGCAAGGUCCUUAACAUGCCAAUUGAGUUAAAAGGUGAUAACUACUACUCAAAAGUGUUUAAAAGAGUUAAUUACAAGCUAUGAAAUAGCACAUUUUGAGUAGUAAUCACUCCCCCUAACCGACAUAUUGCUAGUCCCUUAGCAAUGAAAGAGAGAAAAAAUAAAAAUAAAAAGUACUGUAAUUUACAACAUCAUGCUGAUAAAAAAAAAACAAUUUCCAAGCGGCAUGAUGAUCUAACUCUCACAUGGAAUAUUAAAGAAAUAAAACUCAAACUUCAACAAGAGUUAUCAAAAAAUUUGUCUAAUCACAAUUCUUAAAGAGAAGGCUUUAUGCAAAUUUAAGCUUUAAAAGAGUUUCCACUCCCAAAGGGUCAAACCUUACUCUUCCACAAAAAUCUAAGUGUUACUUGAUAGCUUCCGAAUAUAGUAUGUUGAACUAAUCUCUCCCCCCAACCUAACUCUUUUCCAACACUUAGUAAACUGACCAAAUUCAAUAGGCUAAGAACGCACCCUUUUAUUUCACAUUUAAGGUAUUCUUUUCUAAAUUGUCCAUGUAACGGGGGUCCAUCGAUGACUCCCAACCAAUUAAGGUUUAGGGCAUCAAGCUUUAAGGAUCUUUCAACCACUAACUCCUCGAAUUUUACCCCGGACUUUUGAGAAUGAAUUUUUAUACCCAAGCACCUACAGUAUGUUAAACUCCACCUAUUCACCCUUGUAACGAGCAUUGAGGUCGGUGACUCCCAACCAACGAAGGCUUAGGGCACCAGGUUUUAAAGAUUUUCACCAUAUACCCCUCAGACCUUGCUCGGGUUUCAAGGCAAGCAAACAUUUUUUUAUUUUUUUAUUUUUUAUUUUUUUAUUUUUUUUUCCCAAAGGCUCAUUGGCCUUUUACAAGGUGUCCUAACACUAUUAAAUGAGGGCAAAGGUACCAAGUCUAAAAUUUUCUUAAGUCAAGAGGGAAAUAGUUUUUCAUCUUAUACUCGGAACUUAUUGUGCACAGUGUGUGAAUAGCUUAAAGUGGAAGACAUAAGCUUGAAUUCAAUAGAAAUUUCAACAAUUCAUCAACUUUAAUAAGCAUAAUACAAACUCUAAGUUAAGUAAAAAGACAAAAAUUCAAUUUCUCCCAUUUCAUUUUGAAAAUUUUUCCUUAAUAACCAUGGAGAGUAGAAUAAAAACUUAAAAAUUAAGCAAAAAACAACUAAAUUACCAAAAUAGCUUAGCAUUAAUAACAAAAACUUCCUUCCUCAACUCCCCCCCCAACCAAGCUGAACAUUGUCCUCAAUGUGACAAAGCGAUUAAAAAAUAGGGAGAAAGUGGUACCUCCUGAGUGGCGUGAAGUCUGAGAUGUAUAGGAGAAACCACAUGUUUCAAAAAAACAAUAAAAGAUAUGAGUAGAGGAAUUAAAAUAAUAUAAUGCUAAGUGUGGUCACAUACAACCAAUCCCACUAUAUAACACUAAAAAGAUGGGGAUUUCAAAAAGGAAAUACAUAAAGUAAAGUAUGUAAAUGAUCAGAAAUGGGGAGGAUGAUGCUGGUAAGCUGAUGACUCAGGCAUGGGGCUCUGCAGUGGUAGGGGUGAGAUGCUCAAUAGCUGAUGGAAGACCCAGAUGGUGCUGAAGCUGACUCAGGAUGGCAGUGUGCUGAGUCUGGGUGGUCAAAAUCUGCUCCUGCUGAGAACGAAUAGCUGACAUCUCUUGAGCAAGGCUGCUCUGAGUCGCGGUCAGUGUCUGCAAUGUGUGGCAUAGGUCUCUAUACUCUGAAAUGGGUAUGGUCAUUCUAAGCUCGGUUGAAGUAGAAGGCUCUGAUGCAGCUGGAAUAACUGGCGGGGUGCUAUGGGUGGCAGGAAAAGCAGAGGGUAUAUCCUCAUGUAUGGGCUCUGUAGAUGCUCUCCUGGCAGCUGGUAUCUCAGCUGGCUGUGGGUCCUCUGACUGCUGUGGCUGUGGAAGCUCUGGAUGCUUUGUUCUAUAUGCUGUCAUAUUGGUUCACUUGUCGAGAGUGAAUACCUCUCGGCAUAUGCGUUUGCGCUCCAACUGAGGGUCUGAUGGAUACCCCAGAUGCUCCAAAAUUUGGCAUAGCAAUCUCGGGAAAAGAAGUGGAAUAGCAUCUGCUCGCAGCAGCUUCUUCCUAUGCACCUUCUCUUCAUAGUAGAGAAGGACAGCCAUAAUUAGAUGGUGAGGGCCAAAGAAAUAUCCCUCUGAUAUCCUAAACAGGGCUUCUAGCAGAACUCCUCUCCUCUGCACCCAAUGCUGAAGUGGAUAAAUGUUGUGGCGCAAGAGUGCAUCAAUGAAGAACAUGCUCGGAGGAAGUUCCUUCCUCAACAGAUAUGGAUUUGUGGAUGUUCCUCUGGACAAGAGAUGAACCAUUUCAAGCUGGGGAGGAUUAGUCCAUACUCGAUAAUCCUCUAGACGGGCUGGCUCAUAUGGAAUAUGCAGGGCCUCUGCUAUGUGGCGAGCUCCUAAAAUACAAUGACGUCCGUCAAUGGUGAAGUGAAUAAGAGUAGCAUCUCUGACCUGAUUAGUAGUCAUGGACUGAUAGAGUUCCGUUGCUACUCGGGGAUAGAAAAAAUCCCUGGGGGUCAACAAAUGCUCCAUGCGAUAUCUGUGCAGUAGAUGGAAUGAGUCUGCUAGCUCCGGCUGAAGCCUGAAGGUGGCUGUGUCAAAACACAGCUCAGAGUGAAAUGGUCGAGCUCGGCAGUCCAAAUUCCCUUCAAUGGGCAGCUGAGGCUCCACCGGAGGUUCUAAAGACGACGCCAGAGUUGGGUCUGGCGAGGGCUCUAGAGAGGGCUCCGUUAAGUCGAUUGGCUUUGCAUUUACUACCCUGGGUUUCUUUUGAGGGGGACGGCCACCUGACCUGGUCUGAUAACGCCUCGCCGGAUGACUCAACGGCAUGGGCUUGGCCGAAGGUGGGGCGGCUACUUGUCGCGGAGGCUCUAAUGUGGAGCCUUGAAUAGGCGCCUUUCGCAAGACUCUCAUGCGGCUUGACGGAAAUGAUGACUUUGCUCCUCUGGUUCGCGCCAUGGCGGACUGAAGAAAAUGGCCGGAGGUGAUGGCCGAUGGCUCGCGCGGCUUCGGGCUCAGGUGAAAGAGAAAACAGACGGUUGCUCUGAUGUUCUUCCUUUCUGAACCCUUUUGGCAGCUUAAAUGACCGAUUUUUAUAAAAAUAAAGGAAUAUCAAGGGUCGUUUUCACAGCUCAUUUCGCAACUGCGAAAUGAGGGGAACUGUGCUGCGAAAUGGCACUCGUGUGCCAAGAGGGUGCUUCACAGCUGCGAAAAUUUUCGCAGAGAGGGGCCUGAGGUUGCGAAAUGAUUUCACAAAGGCUUCUUUUAGGUUGCGAAAUCUCGCAGACCUCUGUUUUUCCCCUGUUUUACACUCUUUCUUGCUCCAAACGACUUUCCUUUAAUUUCUUUGCAAUUCCUCCUACAUGAGAUCAUUUAGAAAUACUAAGUUACAUAUAAAUACACAACUUAAGACCAAAAAUCACAAGAAUUGAUAAAGCUUGAAAUUAACAAAAUUAACAAAAACAAACAAAACAACAAAAAAAAAAAUUAUGGACUUUGGUGAAACCAAGUCCAUCUAACCCUUAUUUGAUUAGGCUUUCUGUGGCUCAAGGAGGUUGAUUUCCUCCUUUUCUGGUUUGAAUGGCUCAAUGAAUGGCUUGAGACGAUGACCAUUGACCUUGAAAAUGUCAGUGCUUUUGGAAUUUAGUAAUUCCACCACUCCAUUGGGAUACACUUGGUGAAUAAUGAAAGGGCCUAUCCACCUUGACUUGAGCUUUCCUGGAAAGACAUGGAGUCUUGAAUCAUAAAGCAAGACUCUUUGUCCUUUAUGGAAUUCUUUGUUGGAGAUUAAUUGAUCAUGCCACCUCUUCAUCCUCUGUUUUGCAACUUUGGAAUUGAUGUAAGCAUCAUUUCUUAAUUCCUCCAUCUCAUUAAGGUCUAAGCACCUCUUUGCCCCAACUCUGAUCAAGUCCAUGUUUAACUUCUUGAUUGCCCACCAAGCUUUAUAUUCAACUUCCACAGGGAGAUGGCAUGCUUUGCCAUAGACUAGGCGAUAAGGAGACAUACCAAGAAUAGUCUUGUAAGUUGUUCUGUAUGCCCAUAGUGAAUCAUGAAGCUUAAUAGACCAAUAUUUUCUGCUCGUGAUCACCACCUUCAUCAGUAUAUUCUUGAUUUCCCUGUUUGCUAGCUCCACUUGCCCGGAAGUUUGAGGAUGAUAAGGUGUAGCUACCUUAUGCUUCACUCCAUACUUGGCUAAUAGGGUUUCAAAAGAUUUGUUGCAAAAAUGAGUACCUCCAUCACUGAUUAUGGCCUUGGGCACCCCAAAUCUUGAGAAGAUGUUCUCCUUAAGAAAUUUGAGAACCACCCUGUGAUCAUUAUGUUUACAGGGGAUUGCCUCAACCCAUUUAGAAACAUAGUCUACCCCCACCAAGAUAUAAGAGUUACCAAAAGACAUUGGGAAAGGUCCUAUGAAGUCAAUACCCCAAACAUAAAAAAGAUCAACUAUUAGAAUGGGGUUCAUAGACAAUUGAUUUCUUUUUGUUAGCUUCCCAAGCCUUUGGCAUCUAUCACAGCUCCUACACAUGAUGUGGGAAUCUUUGAAAAGAAAUGGCCAAGGAAACCCUGAUUGCAACACCUUCAUGACUGUUUUCUGAGAGGCAAAGUGGCCUCCACAUGCAUUUUCAUGGCAAUGGCUGAGGAUCCCUUGUUGCUCUUCUUUAGGGACACACUUUCUUAUGAUCUGAUCUGCACAAUACUUGAAAAGGAAGGGCUCUUCCUAAUAAUAAGCAUGAAUCUUUGCAAAGAAGUGCUUCAUGUCUUGUGCAUUCCACUCACUUGGAACUUCACCAGUAACUAAAUAGUUAGCAAUAUGAGCAUACCAAGGAGCUUUCUCUAGCAACAUAAGUGAUUCCUCAGGAAAGUCAUCAUUAAUAGGUAAGACAUGGGAAUUGUGUGCUAUAGCCAACCUUGACAGGUGGUCAGCUACCACAUUCUCCACCCCUUUCUUGUCUCUGGUCUGGAGAUCGAACUCUUGUAACAAAAGAAUCCAUCUAAUCAGCCUUGCUUUUGCAUCUUGCUUCGUCAAUAAAUACUUCAAGGCUGAAUGGUCAGUGAAAACAAUGAUGAAAGACCCUACCAAAUAAGCACGAAACUUGUCUAAGGCAAACACCACAGCUAACAAUUCUUUCUUUGUAGUUGUGUAGUUCCUUUGAGCCUCGUUCAAUGUUUUGCUUGCAUAGUAGAUCACGUAGGGCUUCCCAUCUUCUCUUUGGCCAAGUACAGCUCCUAUAGCAAAGUCACUGGCAUCACACAUCACUUCAAAGGGUAGUUGCCAGUUAGGAGCCCUCACUAUUGGAGCGGUUGUUAAGAAUUGCUUCAGUUGAUCAAAGCUAUUUUGACAUCUCUCAUCCCAGACAAACUUAGCAUCCUUAGCCAAAAGCUCACAAAGAGGUUUUGAAAGAUUAGAGAAAUCUUUUAUAAAUCUCCUAUAGAACCCUGCAUGGCCAAGAAAUUGCCUUAUUUCUUUCACAGUUGUUGGGGACGACAAUUUGACAAUAAGCUCCACCUUUGCCUUAUCAACUUCAAUGCCUUUCUCGGAGAUGAUAUGGCCAAGGACAAUUCCUUGACGUACCAUAAAAUGACAUUUCUCCCAGUUGAGCACCAAGUCCUUCUCAAUGCAUCUGUUCAGAACUGCUUCCAAAUUGACUAAGCAUUCCUCAAAUGUACCUCCAUAAACGGUGAUGUCAUCCAUGAAAACCUCCAUAAUUCGCUCCACCAUAUCACUGAAGAUACUAAGCAUACAUCUUUGGAAUGUUGCAGGUGCAUUGCAUAAACCAAAAGGCAUUCUUCUGUAGGCGUAUGUUCCAAACGGACAUGUGAAAGUGGUCUUCUCCUGAUCUUCCACAUCAAUUUCAAUUUGGAAAUACCCUGAGUACUCGUCCAAGAAACAAUAAAAAGGAUGGCCUGAGACUUUCUCUAGCACCUGAUCAAUAAAUGGGAGUGGAAAAUGAUAUUUCCUUGUCACAACAUUCAACUUUCGAUAAUCAAUACACACCCUCCAACCUGAAGUGAGGCGUGUAGCAAUUUCUUCUCCUUUUUCAUUCUGAACCACAGUAAUCACUGACUUCUUUGGUACCACUUGAGUAGGACUCACCCAAGGGCUGUCAGAUAUGGGGUAAAUAAUACCUGCUUGAAGUAGCUUCAGCACUUCAGCUCACACCACCUCUUGCAAAUGAGGAUUCAAUCUUCUUUGAGGUUGACGAAUUGGUUUAGCUUCUUCCUCCAUAUAAAUGUGAUGUGUACAAACCAAAGGGCUAAUGCCUUUCAAGUCAGAUAUUUGCCAUCCUAUUACUUUCUUACACCUCUUGAGAACUUCAAGUAAAGAAAUUUCCUGAUGACUAGUAAGAGAUGAAGAUAUAACAACAGGACAUUGAUUAUUUUCUUCAAGGUAUGUAUAUUUCAGCUCCACAAGCAGAGGCUUCAAAUUGAGCUUUGGGGUCUCUUUUUCAGCAGCUUCUCAUUCCUCUUUAUUGAACAAAGGUAGAAUCUCUUCUCUCCUCCUCCAACCUUGUAGAGUAGCAAGCACAUUAGGGGGUUCAGAAAACCCUUCUUCAAGAUCCCCAAGACUUUCAUUCAGCUUGUCUUGCAUAUUCUGAUUACAGUGCUCCUCCACUAGAGUGUCGAUAAUGCAUACCUCUUCUGGAUCUUCUUCUUCUUCCGGAGUGAUUUGCUUUUUAGACAUAUGAAAAAUGUUGAGUUCAAGUGUCAUAUUGCCAAAAGUGAGUUGCAUGAGUCCAUUCCUACAAUUGAUGAUUGCAUUUGAAGUAGCAAGGAAUGGCCUUCCAAGGAUGAUAGGAACUGAAUUAGCUUCCUUUACAGUAGGAUCUGUAUCAAGAAUAACAAAAUCUACUGAAUAGUAGAAAUUAUCAACUUGAACUAAGACAUCCUCAAUUACCCCCCUUGGAAUUUUUACUCAUCUAUCUGCUAGAGAUAGGGUGAUUGAUGUUGGCUUCAACUCACCAAGUCCCAAUUGCUUAUAGACAGAGUAUGGUAGCAAAUUCACACUUGCUCCCAAGUCUAACAAAGCUUUCUCCACUACCUUUCCUCCAAUCAUGACUGAAAUGGUAGGACAUCCCGGAUCUUUGUACUUCAAAGGAGACUUGCAUUGUAUGAUUGCACUUACUUGCUCAGUCAAGAAGGCUUUCUUGUUCACAUUCAACCCUCUUUUGAUAGUACACAGGUCCUUUAGGAAUUUUGCAUAUGUUGGAACUUGCUUAAUCAUAUCCAGCAAUGGAAUGUUGACCUUCACUUGUCUCAAUACUUCAAGGAUUUCUGAUGCAUUUUUUAUCCCCUUUUUCCCAUGCAAAGCUUGAGGAAAAGGUGGAGAUAUACGUUUCUUCAUCAAUUCUUCCUUAAUAAGCUCUUUCUCCAUAUUUGCAUUCACUGUUGAAUCACGGUCCUCCUUCUCUUCACUAACAUCUUUCUGUUUUCCUUUCAUUUCCUCCCCCUUCUUUGUUUCUUCUUCUUCUUCAACAUGUGGCUUGGGUGUUGGUGGCUCAACCUUUUUACCACUCCUUAGAGUGAUCAAGGCUUUAACAUUUUUCACCUGUGACGAUUCUCCCUCAUGGAUUUCCAUUUCAUGGAUACCCUUGGGGUUUUGGUGAGGUUGAGAAGGAAAUCUACCCUUCUCUUGCACUGUGUUCAAGUUAGUGAGCCUUGAUAUUGAGUAUUGGAGAUUAUCUAUCUUUUGAGAUAGAUGAUUUUGCAUCCCAUUCAUCCUUCUCUCUACACUGUCAAUUCUUUGACUGAGUUGAGCAUUGAUGGCUUUUUGGUCUCCAACAAAAUCUUCCACAACCUUGCUUAGAUUCGCUAUUGCUUUUUCAAGACUUGAAGAUUGUUGAGAUAGUUGAGCCGGUUGAGAUGGUGGAGCCGGUUGUUGGUAUUGAGGUGCUCUUGCCUUCCAUGAGAAAUUUGGAUGAUUCCUCCAACUUGAGUUGUAAGUAUUUCCAUAUGGUGCAUUGUUAUUGGGCUUGAAUUGACCAACAACAUUUGCUUGAUCUCCAAACAUUUCCCUUACAGUUGGAAUUGUAGGGCACUCCUCCACCAAGUGUUCAUAAGACUGACAAAUAGGACACAACUUUACUUGCACUGGUGCUUCAGCAACAGCUUGCACUUCAUGCAUCUUUUUCAGUUCUAGCUCCUCCAAUCUUCUUGUCAUAGCUGCAAAUUUUGCUUUCAUAUCAUCAUCUUCAUUCAAGGUGUACAUCCCAGCCUUAGCAUUGAAAGCACUCGAUUGAGACUUCAUCUUUCCCACUUCUCCUUUGUUGGGUUCAUCCCAUCCCCUUGAAACUUCAGCCACAUAACUCAAGAAAUCCAUAGCUUCCUCAGGAUUCUUACUCAUGAAAUCCCCUUCACACAUUGUUUCAAGGAGUUGCUUCAUUGAGGAAGACAUCCCAUCAUAAAAAUAGCUCACCAACAGCCAUGUAUCAAAGCCAUGGUGAGGACAAGCAGUUAUGGCUUCUAUAUAUCUUUCCCAACACUCAUAGAAUUUCUCAUUCUCUUUAGCUGAGAAGUUUGAAAUUUGCCUUUUCAAGCCAUUUGUUCUGUGAGUAGGAAAAAAUUUCUUGAGGAAUUCAGCUUGUAAGUCAGUCCAAGUACGGAUACUCCUUAGCCUUAAAGAAUUAAGCCAGAUCUUGGCCUUAUCCUUUAAAGUAAAAGGAAAUAGCUUAAGCCUCAUCAAGUCGAUAGAAGCUCCUUCCUCUCGGAAUGUAUUACAAACAUCUUCAAAUUCUUUGAUAUGGGCAUAGGGAUUCUCACUUUCCAUUCCAUGGAAAGUUGGUAGAAGUGGCACAAUAUGAGGUCUGAUCACUAGCUGCUCUGUAGGGGGCACUAUACAUGAUGGUGCACUCAUACGAGGUGGAUGCAUUCGGUCCCUCAUUGAGAUGAAAGCAUUGGGAUUAUCCUGGUGACCAUGGUGACUAUGCUGAUCUUCAGGUGUAGCUUCCAUGAUAUUCAAGCUCAAUUCCAAUUCCUUGUUAUGAGGUUAUCAAGUUUAACAAGCCUUCUUCCACUGUCUCGUAUCUAAUUUGGCAUACACAACUAGUAUCGAUUGUAACUAAGAAAGAAAAACAAAAAUAGAGGAAAACAAAAAAAAAACUACCAAAAAGAGUUCGAUUAACUAAAACUAAAUUAAAAACUAUGCUAGUAUAUAAACGAGUAAAAGAAAAAACUAAAAGAGUUAGUAAAAUGAGAGAAAAUUCACUAAACUUGUGAUGAAAACCACAGGUACCUUGAAAUAAUAUCACUAUGAAGUUGGCACCUUCCCCGGCAACGGCGCCAUUUGAUUCGUGCCCAGUCGGUGUAUCAACUGAUUCAUGUCCAGCUGGUGCUCCUUGCUUGAGGAAGUAAUCAACAAAAUUUAUAACCUAUUACACCAUGAACUAGGGUAGCAAAGACAAAGCUACUAUAGCAUAGUGGCUCUAGGAUCGUUCACUGGGAAGGGGUUUCAAUUCAUAAAUGAUACCAAUUCAAAGCUGAAUUGGUGCCUUUUCAUUUCAAGGUUAGCUUUAAAAGAAAACAUAAUUUUUGGAUGAAAAAGGUUUGGUUUAAACUAAUGGUAAAGAAAGUAAUAGAAAUUACUUAUGAAGAAAAACAUUCCUUAAAGGUUUAGGUUCACAGGGGAGGUUCCUCGUGCAACAACAGAGCUCCGGUCAUUUGGUUCAUUUCCUCGCAUUAGAGAAUUAACAUAUAGUCAAUUCUCUAAUCGGCUCUGUACAGAUGCUUUCCUUUAAUGGGUUCAAACACUAAAUCUCUAUCACUGAUGCACCUUGCAAUGGCUCAUACCUCUCACCUAGCACUUGCCAUUCAAGGUGAUCUUUAACCUUGGACUUCCCGUCAAAAGCUCGCAAGAGAUAACUAAUGGAUGUCUCCUUGGAGUCCAAAAGCUUACCAAGUGUUGGCUAUUCUAGAAAAUCCUACCUUCAAACCACUUCCCAAAUGCUCGCAAGAGAUAAACUAGUGCAUCUCAAUGGAGAUCACUUGCCUUAUCAAACUAGUGCAGUCGGGUACAAAUUGGCGGCAGCCGGGUGCAAAAUGAUGGCAGCCGGGUGCAAAUGGCGGCAGCCGGGUGCAAAUGGCGGCGCACAUCCGAUACAAAUUGGCGGCAGCCGGGUGCAAAUCCUAUCCGGAUAUGUGGUCCGGACGCCCUCCGAUGGUGUAUCCAGACGCCCUGUCCGGGUAUACUCCUUGCAUGGAUUCCAAAUAACUUUCCUCAAUUUCAGAUUUGCUUUGGUGAUAAAAAAGCUAUCAAACACCAAAACUUAACACAUUUUUUAUUAGAAUUGAUUGCAAGGGUCCUUAACAUGCCAAUUGAGUUAAAAGGUAAUAACUACUACUCAAUAGUGUUUAAAAGAGUUAAUUACAAGCUAUGAAAUAGCACGUUUUGAGUAGUAAUCAACAUCGAUAUGCUAGUUGACAGCACUGCAGGGCAUUCGAUGUUGUCCUUCAUGGAUGGAUUUUAUGGGUAUAACCAGAUUGUAAUAGCUCUAGAGGAUAUGGAGAAGACUUCUUUCAUCACUAAGUGGGGUACUUAUUGCUACCUGCUUAUGCCAUUUAGGUUGAAGAAUGCGGAAGCCACUUAUCAGAGAGCUGCUACUACUUUAUUCCACGACAUAAUGCACAGAGACGUCGAGGUAUAUGUGGAUGACAUGAUAGUGAAAUCCCGAGACAGGGCAGAUCACUUAGCAGCACUACAGAGAUUCUUUGAGAUGAUCUGACAGUUCAGGCUAAGAUUGAAUCCCAAGAAGUGUACAUUUGGGGUGACUUUUGGGAAAUUGCUAGGACAGAUCGUCAAUGAGCGUGGUAUAGAGGUUGAUCCCGAAAAGAUCAGAGCCAUACUUGACAUGCUUGCUCCGAGGACUGAGAGAGAGAUUAAAGGCUUUCUUGGCAGACUACAGUAUAUAAGUUGUUUCAUUGCUAGAUUGACAGACAUAUGCGAGCCUAUCUUCCUUCUUCUGAGGAAGAACCAGCCUACAGUUUGGAAUGAUGAUUACUAGCGCGCUUUCCAGAAGAUUAAGGAGUGUCUCCUCUCUUCUCCAGUUUUAGUGCCUCCCACACGGGGGUGGCCUCUGCUUCUGUACUUGUCCGUUUCAGACAUGGCUUUGGGAUGCAUGUUAGCUCAGCUCGAUGAUUCAGGGAAGGAGCGAGCCAUUUAUUAUCUGAGUAAGAGGAUGCUGGAGUAUGAGUGCAAAUACAUUAUGAUUGAGGGCCUCUAUUGAGCAUUUAUUUGGGCCACCAAGAGGCUGAGGAACUACGUGACAGAGUAUUCCAUAUUAUUAGACUCACGAUUGGAUCCAUUGAGAUAUUUGUUUGAGAGGCAUGUCCUGACUGGUAGGCUCAUGAGAUGGUUGGUGCUGUUGACAGAGUUUGAUAUUUAGUAUGUUACACAGAAGUCGGUAAAAGGGAGCAUUGUUGCAGAUCAUUUGGCUUUUUUUCCCGUAUCUAACGACAAACCGAUUGACGAUGAUUUCCCUGAUGAGCAGUUUGUCUUAGUGACCAGUAUUGCAGGAUGGUGGUUAUACUUUCAUGGUGCUGCCAAUCAGUCGGGGUUUGGUAUCGGUAUCCUAUUGAUAUCACCACAAGGUGAUCACAUUCCCAUAUCAGUCCGAUCGGCAUUCUUUGAUCAUCAUCGACUGACGAAUAAUAUUGUUGAGUAUGAGCCGUGCAUUACAGGUUUGUAGACUGCGCUAGACCUUGGAGUCAGAUAGUUGGAGAUCCAUGGGGAUUCCAACUUGGUUAUUCAGCAAACUUAGGGUAUUUGAAGGACUUAGGAUGAGAAGUUAAAGCCCUAUCAUGCUUAUUUGGAUUUGUUGGUUGAUAGGUUUGAGCAGUUGAGAUAUAUACAUCUGCCUAGGGCAGAAAAGUAGUUUUCUGAUGCAUUAGCCACCUUAGCUUCUGUGAUUGAGAUUCCUGCGGGAGUGAUAGUGUGACCAUUGGUGAUUGAGACUAGGUCCGCACCAGCUUACUGUUGUUUGAUUGGGGAUAUUGAGGACCAGGAUGAGUUGCCCUGGUAUCAUGACAUUUAUCAGUUCUUGUUAUGUGGCGCUUACCUUGAGUCAGCCUCAACCAAGGAUAGGAGAGCUUUGAGGCAGCUAGCCACUAGAUUCGUGAUUUGUGGAGAGUCCUUCUAUAGACGAUCACCCGAGGGCUUAUUAUUGCUGUGUUUAGACCAUACCUCUGCAGAUAGAGUAAUGAGAGAGGUUCAUGCAGGAGUUUGUGGCCCACACAUGGGGAGACAUAUGUUGGCCCGAAAGAUUAUGAGGACAGGUUAUUUCUGGUUGACUAUGGAGGUAGAUUGUUGCCAGUUCGUUCAGAGGUGCCCAGAGUGUCAGAUGCAUGGUGAUCUCAUUCACGUGCCACCUUCGGAGUUGCAUGCACUCACAUCCCCUUGGCCAUUUUCAGUGUGGGUUAUUGAUGUUAUUGGAAAGAUCUCACCCAAGUCUUCUAGCGGGCAUGAGUAUAUCUUAGUUGCCGUUGAUUAUUUCACCAAGUGGGUGGAAGCUGCUUCUUAUGCUAGAUUGACAGCGGCCAAGGUGGCCAAAUUCAUCAGGUCACAUAUUAUCUACCGAUAUGGGGUCCCCCCGAGCUGAUUUCUGAUAGAGGGUGUAUUUCAGGGGCGAGGUGGAUAUAUUGAUUAAGGAGUAUAGCAUUUAGCAUCACAGAUCGUAUGCGUAUAGGCCGCAGACUAAUGGGGCAGUUGAGGCUGCAAAUAAAAAUAUCAAGAGGAUUUUGAGAAAUAUGGUCGAGACUUCUCGGGAUUGGUCAGAGAAGCUCUCUUUUGCAUUAUGGGUUUACCGUAUAUCUUUUCGUACUUCUACCGGGGCUAGCCUGUAUUCUUUGGUAUAUGGUAUGGAGGCGGUGCUGCCUGUUAAGAUUGAGAUGGGAUCCUUGAGAGUAGCAUUAGAGCAGCAAAUAUUUGAGACUGAAUGGGCUCAGUCCCAUUAUGACCAACUUAGUCUUCUAAAUGAGAGGAGAUUGAGGAUAGUAGAUCAUGUUCAAGCUUAUUAGAGGAAGACGACUCGUGCAUUUAGAAAGAGGGUUAAGCCUAGGAAAUUUCAGAAGGGUGACUUAGUCUUGAAAGUCCUCAGGGGAUUGAUCAGUGACCCUAGAAGCAAGUUUAGACCGACUUGGAGCGGGCCUUAUGUUAUUCGAGAUUUGACCCGAGAGGGAGCCGCCUGGCUGACGGACUUAGACGAAAAUCAGUUUAAGGAGCCAGUCAAUGUGGAUCAGUUGAAGAAGUUUUAUGCGUGAGAUCAUGGUUAGAGGAUGGGUGGCCAUCAUUUUUUAGUAGCCAUUUUUCUUGUUGCACACCCACACAUUGAUAUAUCCUAUUGCUAGCCUGUUGUGCCUCAUGUGGUUUGUUAUGGCCUAUUCAUUCACUUAGCCUUGCAUACAUUUUCUCACCUGGGUUGGGGGCCUGUCCUUUGCGCUUUACAUUUAUUGAUUGGAUCUGUGAGUAUCGUGAGCUUUCUGUCAUUGUUCAUGUGUUCUUUCUUUGGUCAUUCAUGGUUUCUUCUUUCGUCCAUUGUGCAUUUUCAUUUCAUCUGGCUUUGAGUUCUGUUUCUAUCAUCUCGACUCUAUUCGCUUCUGUUUUCUCUUAUGUGAUGAUAACACGCUCUUGUCUUGGAGCUACAGGUCAGGCCUUUCACACCCUUCAUUCCACUUGUAGUCUUUGAUCUAGGAUUCUUAGGUUGAGGUGGGACCAUUUGGGAUGAGAGUUUUGAGGUUCUUUUGGUUGGACUAUGCUAGUGUGGCAUUCAGCUAGCUUUGGUUAUUUGGCGCAAAAAAAAAAAAAAAAAGAAGUGCUUAUUUGGUAUUUGUUGUUAUACUUGGGAUUAUCAGAGAUCAUUUGGGUUUGAGAGAUUUAUUAUUCCUCUGAGAGUUGGAUGAGAGCAUUGUACAAUCCUUCUCCAUGGAUUUGGGUGACACAUUGGGAGUAAGGUUUGGGUUUCUUUGGCACUCGGUCCCCUGGAUCAUUGUUUACAUCACCUUUCCCAUCUUACAGUGACUUGCUUCAGUCUGGCGUUCUUGGGAUGAGUUGUUCAUCGUUGUCACAUAUUGCUACAUUUUUAUCCUAGCUUGUUCCUCCAUUUUCUACUACAUCCAAUCAUCAUUUGUCUUAUCCCUUUUCGCCUUCUUCUAUCCUCAUCGAAUGUCGUUUAGCUUUAUGAACGACGAGUUCUUUGGUGCACAUCACCUAUUGUUUGACAUUAUUCAUUUGGAUGUAGGUUGAGUCACCUUGCUCACUGAUUUCGUGCCCAGCUGGUGUACCUUGAUUUUGGUCCUUAGAUAGGAGUAAUCAACAAAAUUUAUAACCUAUAUCACCAUGUACUAGGAUAGCCUCAGCUAACAUAGCAUAGUGGCUCUAGGAUCGUUCACUAGGAAGGGUUUUCAACUUGCAACUGAUAAUAAUUCAUAGUUGAAUUGAUGUUUUUUUUCAUUUCAAGGUUACCUUUAAAAGAAAACAUAAACUUUGGUUUAAAAAUGAUUGGUUUUAAGCUAACUAAAAAUAGAGUAACAAAAAUGACUUAAGUGGAGCUAAUAUCCUUGCUUUCUUCUUAGGAGGACGGCUAGUUGACUUCUUUGCACGAGAAGAGCUUGCCCCGAGUGUGGUGGGUGAUCUUCUUGUCUCAUAUCGCCUCGAAUGAGAACUCAAAGGCGCGCCCUCUACUGAAGGUGGGACGACAAGUGGCUGUGAAGGCUCAAUCAUGGAGCCUUGCAUAGGGGCCACUCUUGGUGCUCUGGGAUGGCCUGAGGGAGAUGAGGUCUUGGUUCCUCGGGUUUUUGCCAUGGCUGACUCAGAGAGGUUUGAGAGAGGGUGGUCGGAGGUGCGUGCGCGGCUUGGGCUCAGAUGGAGGUCCUCUGGAAAUGGUGCUUUGGCUUGGCUCCUAUUUUGCACCAAAGGGAGGUUUUCGCAAGGCAAAUGACCGGUGUAAAGUGAAAAAAAAUGGAAUUUAAAAAGUUAAAUUAGAAGCCAAGUGACGGUUGAGAUUUUUCGUAGAGGAGCGGGCAUUUCGCAGCGGAGGCCCAUUUUCACAGCCAAGGACCAUUUUCGCAGCCCAUUUUGCAGCUGCGAAAUGAGAAAGUGGGGCUGCGAAAUGGCACUCGUGUGCCAAAGUGGGGUUUUGCAGCUGCGAAAUGGAGCUUUGGCUGCGAAAUUGAGCUUUUGAGGGCCUUGGAUGGUUUCACAGAAGGUUUCGCAGUUGCGAAAUGAAGGCUUGGGCUGCGAAAUGACACUCGUGUGCGAAAAGAAGGUUUCGCAGCUGCGAAAAUUUUGGCAGAAGAGGGCUAUGGGGCUGCGAAAUUGUUUCGCAGAGGAGGACCCAUUUCGCAGCAAACCCUUGAUUUCACAGCGAGUCCCUUUUGGCUGCGAAAUUAUUUCACAAAGGAUGGUCGUUUUCGCAGGGGGCUAUUUUGGGCUGCGAAAUUUUGCAGGCCACUGAAAUUUCUUGUUUCUGAGCUCCUUUUGGCUCCCUGAGACCUUCCUUCACCUCUUUUGCAAUUCCUCCUAAAUUAGAUCAUUCAAAAAGUCUAAGUUACAUAAAAAUAACAUAAAUUAAGACUAAGAUUAAAAUCAAAACAAUUAAUAAAGUUCUUAAAUUAACAAAAUUAAACAAAAAAUAUGGACUUUGGUGAGACCAAGUCCAUUUAACCUCUUUCUGAUUAGGAUUUCUGUGGCUCAAGGAGGUUGAUUUCCUCCUUACCUUGCUUGAAUGACUCAAUAAAUGGUUUGAGACAAUGGCCAUUGACUUUAAAGGUGUUAGUGUUGUUGGAAUUCAGUAAUUCCACCACUCCAUUGAGAUGCACUUGGUGAAUAAUGAAAGGGCCUAUCCACCUUGACUUCAGCUUCCUAGGAAAGAUAUGGAGCCUUGAUUCAUAGAGUAAGACUCUUUUUCCUUUUCGGAAUUCUUUGUUGGAGAUUAACUGAUCAUGCCACCUCUUCAUCCUCUGUUUUGAAACUUUGGAAUUGAUGUAGGCAUCAUUUCUUAAUUCCUCCAUCUCAUUAAGGUCUAAGCACUUCUUUGCCUUGGCUCUGAUCAAGUCCAUGUUAACCUUCUUGAUUGCCUACCAAGCUUUAUAUUCAACUUCUACAAGGAGAUGGCAUGUUUUGCCAUAGACUAGGCGAUAGGGAGACAUGCUAAGAAUAGUCUUGUAAGCUGUUCUAUAUGCCCAUAGUGAAUCAUGGAGCUUAAUAGACCAAUCUCUUCUGCUCGUGUUCACCAGCUUCAUCAAUAUAUUCUUGAUUUCCCUGUUUGCUAGCUCAACUUGCCCGGAAGUCUGAGGGUGAUAAGGUGUAGCUACCUUAUGCUUCACCCCAUACUUGGCUAAUAGGGUUUCAAAAGGCUUGUUGCAAAAAUGAGUACCUCCAUCACUGAUUAUGGCCUUGGGCACCCCAAAUCUUGAGAAGAUGUUCUCUUUGAGAAACUUGAGAACCACCCUAUGAUCAUUGUGUUUACAGGGGAUUGCCUCAACCCAUUUAGAAACAUAGUCCACCCCCACCAAGAUAUAAGAGUUACCAAAAGACAUUGAGAAAGGUCCCAUGAAGUCAAUGUCCCAAACAUCAAAGAGAUCAACUAUUAGAAUGGGGUUCAUAGGCAUUUGAUUUCUUCUUGUUAGCUUCCCAAGCCUUUGGCAUUUAUCACAACUCCUACACAUGGUGUGGGCAUCUUUGAAGAGUGAUGGCUAACUAAACCCUGAUUGCAACAUCUUCAUGGCUGUUUUCUGGGAGGCAAAGUGGCCUCCACAUGCACGCUCAUGGCAAUGGCCGAGGAUUCCUUGUUGCUCUUCUUCAGGGACACACUUCCUUAUUAUUUGAUCUACACAAUACUUGAAAAGGAAAGGUUCUUCCCAAUAAUAAGCAUGAAUCUUUGCAAAUAAGUGCUUUCUAUCUUGUGCUUUCCACUCUCUUGGAACUUCACCAGUAACUAGAUAGUUAGCAAUAUGAGCAUACCAAGGAGUUUUUUCUAGCAACAUAAGUGAUUCCUCAGGAAAGUCAUCAUUAAUAGGUAAGACAUGGGAAUUGUGUGCUAUAGCCAACCUUGAAAGGUGGUCAACUACCACAUUCUCCACUCCUUUCUUAUCUCUGAUUUGGAGAUCGAAUUCUUGUAGUAAGAGAAUCCAUCUAAUCAACCUUGAUUUUGCAUCUUGCUUUGUCAAUAAAUACUUCAAGGUUGAAUGGUCAGUGAAAACAAUGAUGAAGGACCCUACUAGAUAAGCAUGAAACUUGUUUAAGGCAAACACUACAGCUAACAAUUCUUUCUCUGUGGUUGUUUAGUUCCUUUGAGCUUCGUUCAAUGUCUUACUUGCAUAGUAGAUCACAUAGGGCUUUCCAUCUUCUCUUUAGCCAAGCACAACUCCUAUAGCAAAGUCACUGGCGUCACACAUCACUUCAAAGGGUAGUUGCCAGUUAGGAGCCCUCACAAUUAGAGUAGUUGUCAAGAAUUGCUUCAGUUGAUCAAAACUCCUUUGACAUCUUUCAUCCCAUAUAGACUUAGCAUCCUUAGCCAAAAGUUCACAAAGAGGCUUUGAAAGCUUAGAGAAAUCUUUUAUAAACCUCCUAUAGAACCCUGCAUGGCCAAGGAAUUGCCUUACUCCUUUUACAGUUGUUGGGAAUGACAAUUUGACACAAUAAGUUCCACCUUUGCUUUAUCAAUUUCAAUGCCUUUCUCGGAGAUGAUAUGGCCAAGGACAAUUCCUUGCUGUACCAUAAAAUGGCAUUUCUCCAAGUUGAGCACCAAGUCCUUUUCAAUGCAUCUAUUCAGAACCGCUUCCAAGUUGACUAAGCAUUCUUCAAAUGUACUUCCAUAUGUGGUGAUAUCAUCCAUGAAAACCUCCAUAAUUUGCUCCACCAUAUCACUGAAGAUACUUAGCAUACAUCGUUGGAAUGUUGCAGGUGCAUUGCAUAAACCAAAAGGCAUUCUUCUAUAGGCAUAUGUUCCAAAUGGACAUGUGAAAGUGGUUUUGUCCUGAUCUUCAAUAUCGAUUUCAAUUUGAAAAUACCCGGAGUAGCCGUCCAAUAAACAAUAGAAAGGAUGGCCACAGACUCUCUCCAACACUUGAUCAAUAAAUGGCAAUGGAAAAUGAUCCUUCCUUGUCACAGCAUUCAAUUUUCUAUAAUCAAUACACACCCUCAACCCUGAAGUGAGGCGUGUAGAAACUUUUUCUCCCUUUUCAUUUUGAACCACCGUGAUCCUUGACUUCUUUAGUACCACUUGAGUAGGACUCACCCAAGGGCUGUCGGAUAUGGGAUAGAUAAUACCUGCUUGAAGUAGCUUCAGAACCUCAGCUCGCACCACCUCUUGCAAAUGAGGAUUCAAUCUUCUUUGAGGUUGAUGAAUUGGUUUAACUUCUUCUUCCAUGUAUAUAUGAUGUGUAUAGACCAAAGGACUGAUGCCUUUCAAGUCAGAUAUUUGUCAUCCUAUUGCUUUCUUACACCUCUUGAGAACUUCAAGUAGACACAUCUCCUGAGGAGUAGUAAGAUAUGAAGAUAUAACAACAGGGCACUUUUGAUUUUCUUCUAGGUAUGUAUAUUUCAACUCCGUGGGUAGAGGCUUCAGAUUGAGUUUUGGGGUCUCUUCUUUAGCAGCUUCUUGUGCCUCUUCUUUAUUGAACAAAGGUAGAAUCUCUUCUCUUAUUCUCCAACCUUGUAGAGAAGCAAGCACAUCUGAGGGUUUAGGCAACCCUUCUUCAAGAUCCCCAAGACUUUCAUUCAACUUGUCUUGCAUUUUCUUAUUACAAUGCUCCUCCACUAGAGUGUCAAUAAUGCACACCUCUUCUGGACCUUCUUCUUCUUUCGGAGUGAUUAGCUUUUUGGACAUAUAGAAGAUAUUGAGCUCUAGUGUCAUGUUGCCAAACGUGAGUUGCAUGAGUCCAUUCCUACAAUUUAUGAUUGCAUUUGAUGUAGCAAGAAAUGACCUUCCAAGGAUGAUAGGAACAUAAUCCGUUUCCUUGACAAUUGGGUCUGUGUCAAGAACAAUAAAGUCUACUGGAUAGUAGAAAUUAUCAACUUGAACUAAGACAUCUUCAAUUACCCCCCUUGGAAUUUUCAUUGAUCUAUCUGCUAGAGAUAGAGUGAUUGAUGUUGGCUUUAAUUCACCAAGUUCCAAUUGCUUGUAGACAGAGUAUGGUAGCAAAUUCACACUUGCUCCCAAGUCUAACAAAGCUUUCUCCACUACUUUUCCUCCAAUCAUGAUUGAAAUGGUGGGACAACUCGGAUCUUUGUACUUCAAAGGAGACUUGCAUUGUAUGAUAGCACUCACUUGCUCAGUCAAGAAGGCUUUCUUAUUCACAUUCAACCCUCUUUUGAUAGUACACAAGUCCUUUAGGAAUUUUGCAUAUGUUGGAACUUGUUUAAUCAUAUCCAGCAAUGGGAUAUUGACUUUCACUUGUCUCAAUACUUCAAGAAUUUCUGAUGCAUUUCUGAUCCCUUUUUUCCCAUGCAAAGCUUGAGGAAAAGGUGGAGAUGUGUGUUUCUUCAUCACAUCUCCCUUGAUGAGUACUUUAUCCGGAUUUGCAUUCACUGUUGAAUCAUGGUCCUCCUUCACUUCACUGGUAUCUUUCUUCUUUCCUUUGAUUUCCUCCCUCUUCUCUGUUUCUUCUUCUUCUUUUUCUUCCUCUUUAACAUAUGGCUUGGGUGUUGGUAGCUCAACCUUUUUACCACUCCUUAGAGUGAUCAAGGCUUUGACAUCUCUCACCUGAGAAGAUUCUCCCUCAUGAGUUUCCACUUCAUGGAUACCUUUGGGGUUUUGGUGAGGUUGAGAAGGAAAUCUACCCUUCUCUUGCACUAUGUUCAGGUUAGUGAGCCUUGAGAUUGAAUAUUGGAGAUUAUCUAUCUUCUGAGAUAAGCCAUUUUGCAUGUCAUCCAUCCUUUUAUUCAAUGUAUUCUCUACACUGUCAAUUCUUUGACUAAGUUGAGCAUUGAUGGAUUUUUUAUCUCCAAUAAAAUUUCCCACAACCUUGCUUAGAUUCACUAUUGCUUGUUCAAGAUUUGAAGCUUGUUGAGAUGGUUGAGCUGGCUGUUGGUACUAAGGUGCUCUUGGCUUCCAGGAGAAAUUUAGAUGGUUCCUCCAAUUUGAGUUGUAAGUAUUUCCAUACAAAGCAUUGUUGUUGGGCUUGAAUUGUCCAAUGACAUUUGCUUGAUCUCUAAACAUUUCCCUAGCAGCUAGAAUUGUAGAGCACUUCUCCACCAAGUGCUCAUAAGAUUGAAAAAUAGGACAUGGCUUGACUUGCACUGGUGUUUCAGCAACAGCUUGCACUUCAUGUAUCUUCUUCAGUUCUAGCUCCUCCAAUCUUCUUGUCACAGCUGCAAACUUUGCCUUUAUAUCAACAUUUUCAUUUAAGGUGUACAUCCCAGCCUUAGCAUUAAAGGCAUUCGGUUGAGACUUCAUCUUCUCCACUUCUCCUUUGUUCGGUUCAUCCCAUCCCCUUGAUACUUCAACCACAUAACUUAAGAAAUCCAUGGCUUCCUCCAGAUUCUUACUCAUGGAAUCUCCUCUACACAUUGUCUCGAGGAGUUGCUUCAUUGAGGAAGACAUCCCAUCAUAAAAGUAACUCACCAAUAGCCAUGUAUCAAAACCAUGGUGAGGAUAAGCAUUGAUGGCUUCCAUGUAUCUUUCCCAACACUCAUAGAAUUUCUCACUCUCUUUAGCUGAGAAGUUUGAAAUUUCCCUUUUCAAGCCAUUUGUUCUGUGAGUAGGAAAAAAUUUCUCGAGGAAUUCAACUUGCAAAUUAGUCCAAGUCCGGAUACUCCUUGGCCUUAAAGAAUUAAGCAAAAUCUUGGCCUUAUCCUUUAAAUUAAAAGGAAAUAGUUUAAGCCUCAUCAAGUCGAUUGAAGCUCCUCCUUCUUGAAACGUAUUACAAACAUCUUCAAAUUCCUUGAUAUGGGCAUAGGGAUUCUCAUUUUCAAUCCCAUGGAAAGUUGGUAGAAGUGGAACAAUAUGCGGUCUAAUUACUAGCUGCUUUGUAGGGGGCACUAUACAGGAUGGUGCACUCAUACGAGGUGGAUACAUGAGGUCCCUCAUUGAUCUGAAUGCAUUGGGAUUGUCCUGGUGACCAUGGUGACUAUACUGAUCUUCAGGUGUAGCUUCCAUGAUAUUCAAACUCAAUUCCAAUUCCUUGUUAUGAGGUAUUUCAAGUUUCACAAGCCUUCCUCUACUAUCUCGUAUCCAAUUUGGCAUACACAACUAGUAUCAACUGUAAUAAAAACAAAAACAAAAGAAAACAAAAGAAAACAAAAGAAAACAAAACUACAAAAAGACUAAGAUUAAUUAAAACUAAAUUAAAAAAAAUGCUAAAAUAUGAACAAAUAAAAGAAACAAUUAAAAGAGUUACUAGAAUGAAAGAAAAAUCACCAAACUUGUGAUGAAAAUCACAAGUACUCUGAAAAGAUAAUAUCACUGUAAAGUUGGCACCUUCCCCGACAAUGGCGCCAUUUGAUUUCGUGCCCAGCUGGUAUACCUUGAUUUUGGUCCUCAGAUAAGAGUAAUCAACAAAAUUUAUAACCUAUAUCACCAUGUACUAGGAUAGCCUCAGCUAGCAUAGCAUAGUGGCUCUAGGAUCGUUCACUAGGAAGGGUUUUCAACUUACAAUUGAUAAUAAUUCAAAGUUGAAUUGAUGUUUUUUUUCAUUUCAAGGUUAGCUUCAAAAGAAAACAUAAACUUUGGUUUAAAAAGGAUUGGUUUUAAGCUAACUAAAAAUAGAGUAACGAAAAUUACUUAUAAAGAAAAGUGUUUCUUGGAGUUUUAGGAUCACUGGGAUCAGGCUCCUAAUACAAAAACAGAGUUCCGGUCACUUGAAUCUUUUCCUCGCAUUAGAGAAUUAACAUAUAGUUAUUUCUCUAACCGGUGUGGUACAGAUGCUUCCCUUUUAUGGAUUCAAACACUAAAUCCCUCUCACUGAUUCAUCUUGCAAUGGCUCGUGCCUCUCACCUAGCAUUUGUCAUUCAAGGUGAUACUUAAUCUUGGAUUUCCUUUCACAAGCUCGCAAGAGAUAACUAAUGGAUGUCUCCUUAGAGUCUAAAAGCUUACCAAGUGUUGGCUAUUCUAGAAAAUCCUACUUUCAAACCACCUCCCAAAGGCUCGCAAGAGAUAAACUAGUGCAUCUCAAUGAACGGAGAUCACUUGCCUUACCAAGUGUUGGCCCAGGUGAUUCAAAGACGUUUUAAGUUAACUAAAAACAUAGAAACCAUUAACGGGUACACUUUCUCUUCAUUAAAAGUUGAAACAACAAAACUUCCAAUUCUUGCAUUCGGCACCUUACCCAACUACCUUAACUCCAAGAGACAAAAAGUCUAGCCACUCAUUCUCUGAGGAAACAUCCUCAUUUGUCUAGUAAGCAAAAUACAAUCAAAGUGAGUAGGUAAGGCAGAGCAAAACUCUGUAUAUUACUUCCUUCAAAACUAUACAAAAGGUUGUCUUUAAGAACAAACUCCCGAGAUGUCUGUGUAAAGAAAAUUACAAACCAUAUAUAUGAGGUUAUUCACCCUUUUGUUCUUACUUAUUAACUAAGGAAUCCUAUGAUUGGUGGAUUACAAGGAGAGAAUGGGGAUUUAAACAACAAAUAUUUGAAGAAAAAAAUCUAAAAGAGUCGGUCGCAAAUAUCUGGAAGCACUCAGGUGGAUUUCGCAGGCAUGCAAGAUGGGCUGCGAAAUUUCGCAAGUUGAAAGUCUCCAUUUCGCAGCCAAAGGUUGAUUUCAACUUUUAGCUUGGUGUGAUUGGCUUCCAAUGACUAUAACUCCUUCAUUUCAGCUCCAAUUCAUGCACCGUUUGAAGCGUUAGAUUCCUGACUUCCCAAGCUUCGAAACAACAUAUAGUAUGCAUGAAAUGGACUCUAGAAAGUGCUCUAAAUGUGUCCAAAGUUGUUGUCCUCUUGAAUUCUUCAUGUUAGAUUUCUCUCUUUGCUUUCCCUCAUUGCAUUCAUGAUUUGCUUUUGGAAAAGGACUAUAGAGCUUCAAAACUUGGGUUCUUAAUGUAAAUGAGCUUUCAAUUGCUUUGCCAUGGAUUCUAUAGAACUCUCCUCAAUCUUGAAUUGCUUUGGUGAUAAAAAAGCUAUCAAAAACACCAAAACUUAACACAAAGUGAUUAGAAAUGAUUGCAGAGGUACUUAAUAUGCCAAUUGAGUUAAAAGGUAAUAACUACUAUUCAAAAGUGUUUAAAAGAGUUAAUUAUAAACUAUAAAAUAGCACUUUUUGAGUAGUAAUCACUCACAUGAUUCUAUGAUAUUUGGCAUUGCAUACAGGGGUUUGGCAUUUAGUUAUUGGGUAUUUGGGCCUUUGUGUCCCAUCAUUUCAUUCACCUGUCACCCCUGGCCUACAUUACGGUCCGAGUCGUAAGACCACCCUGAGGCCAUGAGAUCUCGUAUCUGCUUCGAUGCGGUUCAUUCGGAUAGGCUCCAUCUACUGAUUGAGUACGGGAUGUCAACAGGUCUCCAUUGCUUCAGGGAAUAUCGAGGGUCACAUAUUGCCUUUCCAUUCAGUUUGCUUGCCUCAAGUCCAUGAUCAGAGGCAAAUGAUACAGAGAGUUGGGACCGUUGAAAACGUCUUUGCUUGAUGCUUUGACAUGUUCAUACUAGGGCAUACCCUCAUCCUUGCAUACUGGCUUCGACUCUUACACAUGUACGCAGGCAGUUCGUUUCGCCUAGAGAUGUUUUGGAUAUCAGAGUUUAAGUAAGCCCCACAUUCAACUUGGUUUCUUCAUACAGCAGAGUGCUUUUGGGAGCUGACCUGAGAUCAAAUUCACGGUAUUCAUUGACCCAGCAGGAGUGUGCACACCCGGGCAUACCCCAUUCAUUGUCUUGUUCGCUAGCUCAGACAAUUGGGUCUUCAAUGAUGUAUUUCAGAGUUUUCAUUGAGAUAUUUGAGUUUCAGAGGUAAACAUUGGGGCAUACCCCUUAUCAGUUUUUUUGUGGAUAUUGGAUGUUAUGGAUUAGGGUGGAGGGUUUUUCCUCAUGGAUGGAUGUUUGUGAUAUUUCCAGCUUUUUGACUUUGAAUCUAUGUGCAGUUGUGGGUUUCUAACAUGGUUUUGAUGCCUUAGACUGGAGCAUGGCCCUUUCUUUGCACUUUUGGUCACUUUUAAGAGUUGUCAUACAGGGGCAUACCCCCCAUCUUUCUAUCUUGUUGGUGGGGUUAUUCAUUUCUUGUUUAUCGGCGUUUUCUGAUGUCACACUAAGGCACACCCCCUUUCUUUCGUCAUGAUUGACGGGUUUGACUUUUCUCUUAUUUGAUUCAUUUAUUGACAUUUUUCGGACGCCACACUAGGACAUACCCCCCUUUUUCAUGGUGCCAUUACUUUUCAUUUCCUUUCAUUUCAAUGGCUCUCUAGCAUCGUGCCCGGAUCCCCUAGUCAUUUCGGCGGCUCUCUAGCAUCGUGCUCAGAUCCCCUAGUCAUUUCGAUGGCUCUCCAAUAUUGUGCUCAGAUCCCCUAGUCUUUUGGGGGCUUACCCGCAUCAUGCCCGGAUGCCCUGGUCAUUUCGGCUGCUCUCCAGCAUCAUGCUCGGAUCCCCUAGUCAUUCGGCGGCUCUCCGGCAUCAUGCCCGGAUUUCCUAGUCAUUUCGGUGGCUCUCCGGCAUCGUGCCCAGAUCCACUAGUCAUUCCGGCGGCUCUUCGACAUCGUGGCCGAAUCCUUUAUUUUUCGGCAUCGUGCCCGAAACCCCUAUUUUUCGUCAUCGUGUUGGAUUUUCUUUUAUCUUUCUCGGCAUCGCAUACUGAUUUCCUUUGUUUUCUCCGGCAUCAUGCCCGGAUCCACUAGUCAUUCCGGUAGGUCUUCGACAUCGUGCCCAAAUCCUCUAUUUUCCGGCAUCGUGUCCGGUUUCCUUUUAUCUUUCCCGGCAUCGCGCCCGGAUUUCCUUUGUUUUCUCCAGCAUUGUGCCCGGAUCCCCUAGUCAUUCCGGUGGCUCUUUGGCAUCGUGCCCGAAUCCCCUAUUUUCCGGCAUCGUGUCUGGUUUCCUUUUAUCUUUCUCGGCAUUGUGCCCGAAUUUCCUUUGUUUUCUUCGGCAUUGCGCCUGGAUCUUAUAUCUCUCCCGAAAACGCGUCCGAUUUUCUCCUAUCUUUUCUGGCACCGUGUCCAAAUUCCUUUAGCUUUCUCCUGCAGUGUGCCUGGGUCCUUUAGUCCUUCGGUCAUCAUGGCUCAUUCCCUUAGCCUCUUUAUGGUUGUGUGGGGACAAAAUUGUUGGUCAUUGGAAUUCUUCACUAGAGUUCAUUUCACUCAUUCAUUCUUGCACUUUGCAUUCGUGACUCACUCGUUCAUUCACUCUACUAAAGAGGGGCAUAUUUGUAAACCCUCAAUUUUGUCCCUUGACACUUGCAUUUUAUCUUAUGGGUGCCACAUGCACCCAUGUUUUCAUAUGACCCCGCCAUGGCCCCUUUUUGGCCUUGAUCGAUUUCUGAGCCUUGUGUAGGUUCAUUUGCGGUCCAAUGUAGUGCGGGUGUGUAGUUCAUUUUGGAGUUCCGUCAUGGCCAAUUUCCCUAGUUGUUCACAUCAUGCUAUAGGGAAGGAAGUGCAGCCCCCCAAAAAUUUCAGUUCAGUUGGAAUUCAUAAGAGCAGGUUCGAAUUCGGAGCACUUAGGCUUGUUUUGAUCAUAUCUCCCUCAUCCGAACUCGGAAUCACGCACCGUUUUUUUUUAUGGACUCCUUAUUCAUCAAGGAACAUUCUGUAAAAAUUUCAAUUUUUUUUCUCAACUGGCUCGACUGGUUCCCAAAGUUUCAGAUUUUUUCUCAAUCGGAUGAAUUGGUUGGGCACCGGUUCAACAGGUGGCUUGGUGGCAGCCCAGUUUUAUAAAUGCUUUGCAUUGUUUCGAUCAAGUCUCUCUCAUCCAAGAUCAAAAUUGAGCUCUGUUUGUUUUUUUGGAUUCCUUAUUCUCUGAGGAAUCUUCUGGUAAAUUUUCAGAUUUUUUUCUCAAUCGGAUGAACUAGUUAGGAACCGGUUCAACAGGUGGCUUGGUGGCAGCCCCAUUUUAUAAACGCUUUGCAUUGUUUUGGCCGGUUCUCCCUCAUCCAGAAUCAGAAUUGAGCACCAUUUGUUUUUUUAGAUUCUUUAUUCUUUGAGAAAUCUUCUGGUAAAUUUUCAAAUUUUUUCUCAAUCGGAUGAAUCAGUUGGGAACCGGUUCAACAGGUGGCUUGGUGGUAGCCCCAUUUUAUAAAUGCUCUGUAUUGUUUCGGUCGGUUCUUCCUCGUCCGGGCUCAGAAUUGAGCGCCGUUUGUUUUGUUGGAUUCAUUAUUCUCCAAGGAAUCUUUUGGUAAAGUUUUAGAUUUCUUUUCUCAAAUGGUUGAGCUGGUUGGGAACCGGUUCAAUCGGUUUUGCUAGGUAGCUCUAGUUUCAGCGUGUUUUGACCCCCAUUUUUGUUAUGGCUUGGGCCCUUAGGCUCCAAGGCACUUGUAGGCCACCUUUAGGGUCUGAAUCCAGAUUUGGUUUGAAUUAAUGUGGGCCCACCUAUGAGUUGAGGGUAUUAUUGGCUAGGAAGGUCGGGGGGUUAUUGUGAAUGUUUGGCUUGGGCACAUUUUGAUGUUUGAUUAAAAAUGCUUGUGUCUAUUGAUUUGCCCCUGUUUGUAACGCUUGGCUGGGGACCCGAGGUACAUACUUGACUUGUUGGGAAUUGGAUUCAUUUGCAUGCAUGGGACUUGGAUAUGUUUGCUUGUUGUGUGUUGAAUUGAAGCCCCAUUUUAGAUGAAGUGGCACACUAAAACCCAGUGAACAUGAGCUCUAAAAUGCAUACAUUCAAUUUCUUUCCAAACAACCAGCGAUAAGCAGAGCCCCAUGCAAUUCGUAGAGUUCUCCUCAUGCAAUUUAUAUCAGCAAUGUAGUCUCAAGUACAUUCUCGGACCUCACUCUAGCAUUGGCUACCUUGGUGCACCUUACCCUCAUAAUUUUUUUUCUUUUCUUUGUGAUCUUACACAUCUUAAAUCUGGAUUUCAAAACCUUUUUCCAUCAAAAUAACUCUACUUUUCUUUAAAAUUCAUUCCUUAGGAGUUUCUAGGCAUAAAAUCCAAAUUUUAACAUACUAUUUGCUGCAAUUUUCCUUCUAGCACGCGUUCUCACUAUUUUCUACUAAUUUUCUUGAUUUUCUUGUUUUUCCUAAACAAGCAUGAAUAAACUUCAUGAUUCCAAAUAAUGGAACUCAUUAAACCAAUUCAUGCAAAAGUAAUUUGGACCUUGGUGGGUGGCGCGACAUCCAUGAAUUUUUUUUUAGAUAUUGAUUCAAAUGAGGUGUUUGCUUGAUAUUUAAUUGAAAUUGAUCCUCUUCAUGAUACAUGAGUUUGUUUUAUAGUUAUUUUUGAACUAACCAUGCUCCCCAUUAAAGCGCUUAGCUUGCUACUCUUGUACGCUAUCUAUCACCUAAUUUUCAGAAUUCUAUGAAUAUGCAUAUUAUUAUGAGCUAUAUCUAUGUUCAAUUCUAUCAUUGGAUGCCUAAAUGUUUGUUUUAUUUGCUCUAACAAAAUGCAUGUUGUGUGUCAUAUUUGUAAGCUAACUUUGAUGUCUUAUGAUAGUGCUUGAGGAGCAAUCUAGGUACACACCCUAACUCUCCUUUAUGAUUAUGAUUUGAUUUAUUAUUGGGCAUGCUUGUUUUGAAAUCACCUUAGCCUACCUAGGCAUUCAUAAUCAACUUAUUAAUUGCCACAUUUACCUCAAUUUAGUCAAUAGAGACCUUUUUAUGGCUUAGAGAGGUACUACCUCUUUGAGGUACCUUCCCAAAAGGUAACUUGAUCGCCGAACCUCCUUUUAAAAUAAAAUAAAAUAAGCAAUGACUCUAACUUUGACCAAAAUUAAUUUUUCACCAAUAAAAGCAAGUAUCGCUGAUGAGUGGGGACACACGUGAAAAUUGCAGGUCCACAGCAUGCACCUAGUCAAAUUGUGUAUUGUUUGCAAGAGAUGCUUGUAUUUAUUUCCUAAUGAGUUUAUUCUAAUUCUUUGAUUAGGAUUUCUUCAAUCACAUUGCUUGCUAUUGAAUUUCCAAUGGCUUAAUAUAAAUUAUUAGAAAAAUGUUGUUUAAUUAUUUCAGCAACUUAUCCUUUAUAAUUUUUUUUAACAAAUAUUAUCUCUGAUGUUCAUUUGUAAUAAAUAGCUAGAGAAAGGGCCCAAUGUGAACACCUAUGAGACUUAGUUGUGUUUGAGAGAUUACAUGGAAAUCUUGGCAAAACAUCUCCAAGCCUUGUUGUCAAAAAGGAAACCCUACAUCUCAUGCCUUUAUACUGCAUCUUAGCUUCUCAUCUUGCAAUGGACAAUGGUACUCUUAUUGAAUCAGUUUUACCAUACCAGUCAUCAACAUUUGCACUCAUUAAGCACUAAUUUAAGCACUGAUGCUUUUGUUAAAGUUAUUUCCUUUUUUGUUUGUUCGUUUUUGUUUUCUUUUGUUUUGGAGGUAAUUGUGUUGGAUGAUUUAUGUUUGUGUUAGACAACAAAGCUUGUCUUAAUGCUAUUGUAAAACAAGACUAUGCUAAUAAGAUUUUGAUGUUUACAAUGUUUAUGCCAAAUUGAAUUUUUAGUUUUCCUAAUUGAAAAUUUGCUUGUUUUCCCCAUUAUAUCGAUGUUAUUGUUGGAUUUUUGUUUCUGUUGAUCAAGCAUGUGCUAAAAGUUUGUUUUUUUUUUUUUUUUCCGUUGCUACUUCAUGUGUGUGGAAUUCUAGCUUAAAGUUAGUGAGGAAUUCUAGGGUUUGUUAAGGCCAUUUUUGGUAUUUUGUUAUUAGUUCCUAAUUUAAUGUUUUUCCUUAUUUAGUGGAGAUUUUGUUCUCUAAUCAAUUAAGAUUGAAUCCUGGUCCUUAUGGUGACUGAUUGCACUAUUCUCUUGUAUAUAUAUACCAUGUUGUAUUCUAUAGAAAGUAAGAGAAUUAAUAAAUAAAUAAAAAUUAACUUCUCAUAAAUCUUCAUGGUAUCAAAGCCUUCCCUCUAAAACCCUAAUUUUCCACAUCACCAAAUUCGUCAUGGCUAUUGAGAGACAAAUCUCAACCUUUGAAGUGACCUUCAAUCCAGAAACGAUGCCAACGAUGAACAACCAUGGAAGAGCCGAGAACCCAUCUAUGCUCAUCACAGGUCACAAACUCAAUGGCCAUAAUUUUCUCUAGUGGUCUUAGUUAGUGAUGAUGUAUGUCUGUGGAAAGGGCAAGGAUGAAUAUCUCACCAGUGAAGUAGUUAUCCCUGAGAAGACCAAUCCCAAAUUCAGGGUGUGGAAGACCGAGAAUCACAUGGUGAUGUCUUGGUUGAUUAAUUCGAUGAAUACCGACAUAAGAAAGAAUUUUCUCCUCUAUGGAACUGCCAAAGAAUUAUGGGAUGUAGCAAGGGAGACAUACUCAAAUUCUGAAAACACUUCAAAAAUAUUUGAGAUAGAAGCCACUUUACACAACCCUACGGCAGGGAGAUCUCUCUGUUACCCAAUACUUCAACAUUCUUUCUCGUCAUUGGCAGCACCUAGACAUGUUUGAAGUUCACACCUGGAAGUGCCCUGAAGACACUGCAUUGUACCGAAAAAUUGUGGAGCAAAAGCGAACAUUCAAGUUUCUCCUUGGCCUCAACAAGAAUUUGGACGAGGUUAGGGGGAGAGUGAUGGGGACCAAACCUCUUCCAAGUAUUAGAGAGACAUUCUCAGAAGUUCGCCGUGAGGAAAACAUGAAAAAGGUUAUGAUGGGAUCUCAGAAUUCUGCCCUAUCAAUUGAAGGAUCUACCUUUGUAGCACGAGGACUUCCAUCAAACACCAACAGUGAAAAUCGCCAGAAAAUGGGAAACCUUAGUGUGACCACUACCGAAAACUAUGACAUUCCAGAGAAAAUUGCUGGAAGAUUCAUGGCAAACCAGCUAAUUGGAAGCCAUCCAAACCAUUCAAUGAUAGAGAAAGUAGUGUCCAUAAUGUUGCUACCUCAGAAGACAAGCCAACCUCAACCAAGACCAGUCCUUUCAGCAAAGAGCAGCUUGAGAUGCUUCAACAACUCAUAAGUCAAAACUCCCUAUCUCAAUCCAGUAACUCAGCAUCUGGUAUAGGCAUGUUGGCACAAAAAGGUGAUUUUUCAAAUGCCUUUGCAGUAAAUAAACAACACUUGAAUCCUGGAUUAUUGACUCUGGAGCAUCAGAUCACAUGACAAGAGAAGGAACCAUAUUUCAUGAGUACAACCCUUCUAAAGAGAAAUAUACAGUUUGGAUUGUUGAUGGAUCUCUAUCCAAAGUUGCUGGAACAGGCUCAAUCAGGGUUACAAACGACCUUAAUCUAAACCCUAUUCUCCAUGUCCCUAAUUUGGAAUGUAAUUUACUCUCAAUCAGCAAAUUAACUCGUGAUCUUCAUCGUGAAGCUAAAUUUUUCUCAAACUUGUGUAAAUUUCAGGAACUGGAUUCGAGGAGGAUGAUUGGCAAUGUUGAGAUGUGCUCUAGACUCUAUCUUCUCAAGGGUGAUACUCCUCUAAGAAGACGAACUCAAAAUGCAAGUUGUGUGUCGCUUAAGAGUCGGUCAAUUUUAGAUUUUUGUGUCAAUAAAGAUAAUGAGGUCAUGUUAUGGCAUUAUCGUCUGGGUCAUCCAAAUUUUAUAUAUCUUGAAAAAUUGUUUUCAUCUUUAUUCAUCAAUAAAAGUCCAAAAUUUUUCAGUUGUGAAAUCUACCAGCUUCCAAAACAUACUCACAGUAGUUACCCUAGUCUUUCAUAUACACCAUCUCACCCAUUUGCCAUGAUUCAUAGUGAUGUGUAGGGUCCUUCGAGGAAAAACAAUAUAACAGGAGCACGGUGGUUUGUCUCGUCUGUUGAUGAUCACACUAGAUUGACCUGGGUAUUCCUGAUGAAAGAAAAAUCUGAAGUUGGAAAAUUUUUUCAAAUUUUCAAUUCCAUGAUCUAAACUCAAUUCCAGACCAAAAUCCAAGUUCUAAAAACUGAUAAUGCCAAAGAGUACUUCAAGUUUGUUCUAGGUAGUUACCUCAUGAGUCAAGGAAUAGUCCACCUAAGUUCUUGUGUUGUCACCCCUUAAUAAAAUGGGAUUGCAGAAAGAAAAAACCAACAUUUGUUAGAGGUAGCUAGGUUCCUCAUGUUUUCCACUCACGUUCCUAAACAUUUUUGGGGGGAGGUAGUACUUAUAGCCACGUAUCUCAUCAAUAGAAUGCCAUCCAGAAUUCUUAAAUUUAAAACGCCUUGUCAAUCCCUUCUCUAGAUCUUUCCACAUACAAAAAUCAUCUCUUCAUUAGAUCCAAAAAUAUUCGGGUGUUCAACUUUUGUCCAUAUACAUCAGCAACAUCGUAGCAAAUUAGACCCUAAAUCCAUCAAAUAUAUCUUUAUAGGGUACUCUUCACAUCAAAAGGGUUAUAAGUGUUAUUCUCCCAUCACUAAAAGGGUAUACAACUCUAUGGAUGUGACAUUUUUUGAACAUCAAGCUUACUACCACAAAACCGACAUGCACGGGAAGAACAUGAGAGCAUUCCAGUUUUGGAAGACACUUGAUCUUGGGGACACCCUACCAUUACCUCAUCUUACUUCUCAGCCAAUUUUCAGUCAACAACCAAAAGUCAUUAAUCAAAUUCCAGUUCAAAUUUCAAUGUCUUCACAACCUAAACCUGAGAGUCAUCCUCCUACUACCUCACCUCAAACUCUAGUCCAUAAUUACUCUAAAUCACCACUAACUGCAAAUAAUGAGUUUAGCGUCUACAUUAGGAGAAAAAGGCCUAAGAGAACAAUAGAGCAACCAACUCCUCUAAAAAAUGACCAAAAAUCUUAACCUAGUCCAAGUCCUACUCAAAUUCACUUGGGUAAGGGAACUACUAAUCUUGAAAAGCUAGUACCAUUUGUAGAUGAUUCAAAUAUUCCGAUUGCUUUGAGAAAGAGUGUUAGAACUUGCACAAACCAUCCUAUCUAUAGAUUUAUUUCAUAUGAUGGAUUGUCUCCCUCCUAUCAAGAUUUUGUUUUAGUUCUUGAUAGUGUGCAGGUUCCUAAUUCUAUUUAGGAGGCUCUCAAGAAUCCAAAGUGGAGAAAGGCAAUUAGCGAAGAAAUCAAAGCUUUGGAGAAGAAUGGAACAUGGGUAAUCUCUGAUCUUCCUCAUGGAAAGAAACCAAUCGGGUGUAAGUGGAUUUACCAUUAAACAUAAGGCUAAUGGAAGUAUUAAGAGAUUGAAAGCUCGCCUUGUUGCCAAAGGCUUUACUCAGUCUUAUGGAAUAGACUAUCAAGAAACAUUUGCUCCAGUGGCCAAACUCAACACUAUUCAAGUUCUUUUUUAUCUUGCAGCAAACCAAGAUUGGCCAUUACAUCAACUAGAUGUCAAAAAUGCUUUUCUGAAUGGUAACUUGGAGGAAGAAGUGUAUAUGGAGAUACCAUCAGAGUUGGAAACUUCUUUCAACAACAACAGGGUGUGCAAGCUUAAGAAAUCUCUGUAUGGACUCAAAAAAUCACCUCGAGCAUGGUUUGACAGGUUUGCAAAGUCAGUUACAAAGCAAGGAUAUACUCAAUGUCAAGCGGAUCAUACACAAUUUGUGAAGUUCUCUUCAGAAAAGAAAAUAGCAGUCCUCAUAGUGUAUGUUGAUGAUAUCAUCUUAACAGGUGAUUAUGAAGAGGAACUAUUGGGAAUGAAGAAACACUUAGCCAAAGAAUUUGAAAUCAAAGACCUUGGCUAUCUUAGAUACUUUCUCGGUAUGGAGGUGGUAAGAUCUAAGAAAGGCAUAUUUUUCUCCCAACGUAAGUAUGUUCUAGACUUACUAAAAGAGACAGGUAUGCUUGGAUGUAAACCUGCAGACACUCCAAUGGACUCAACCAAGAAAAUAGGAACUGAGAAGAACAGUGCACCAGUUGACAAGGGGAGAUACCAGAGACUUAUAGGACUUCUUAUCUACCUUUCACAUACUCGACCUGACAUUAGAUUCUCUGUUAGUGUUGUGAGUCAAUUUAUGAACAACCCAAUAGAAGAACACAUGGAAGCUGUGAAUACAAUUUUGAGGUAUCUGAAUAUGACCCUAAGAAUAGGACUGUUGUACAAAAAGAAUGAUACUAGAGAUGUUGAAGUUUUCUCAGAUGCAGACUGGGCAGGUGAUGUGUUAGAUAGGCGAUCAACAUCUGGAUAUCGUUCCUAUGUAUGGGGAAAUCUCGUGACUUGGAAAAGCAAGAAACAGUUUGUAGUCUCAAGAAGUAGUGCAGAAGCUGAAUUGAGAUCUUUGGCUCUUGGUAUUUGUGAAGGAACCUGGAUAUAGAGACUGCUGAAUGAGUUGGGAAUAUCUACUGAGAAGCCUAUUAAAAUGUUCUGUGACAACGAAGCUGCCAUAAGCAUUGCAAAGAAUCCUAUACAUCAUGAUAGGACGAAACACAUCGAGAUAAAUCGACAUUUCAUUUCAGAAAAGAUUGAGAAGGCAAUUGUACAGUUGGUCUAUACUCCUACAAAAUCCCAAAUGGCACACAUACUCACUAAAGCUUUUUCAAGAACUAACUUUGAAGAACUGAGUCACAAGCUGUGCAUGUACAAUAUCUAUGCCCCAGCUUGAGGGGAAGUGUGGAAUUCUAGCUUAAAGUUAGUGAGGAAUGCUAGGGUUUGUUAACGUUAUUUUUGGUAUUUUGUUAUUAGUUCCAAAUUUAAUAUAUUUCCUUGUUUAGUGGAGAUUUUGGUCUCUAAUCAGUUAAGAUUGAGUCCCGGUCCUUAUGGUGACUGAUUGCACCAUUCUCUUGUAUAUAUAUAUCAUGUUGUAUUAUAUAGAAAGUAAGAGAAUUAAUAAAUAAAUAAAAAUUCACUUAUCAUAAAUCUUCAAUGUGCAAAGCAUCAUUAUUCAAAUUUUUUGUUUGUUUGUUUUUGUUUUGUUUUGUUUUGUCUUGUCUUGUUUUGUUUUGGAGGUAAUUGUGUUGGAUGACUUAUGUCUGUGUUAGACAACAAAGCCUAUCUUAAUGCUACUGUAAAGCAAGACUAUGCUAAUAACCUUUUAAUGUUUACAGUGUUUAUGCCAAACUGAAUUUUUAGUUUCCCUAAUUGAAAAUUUGUUUGUUUUCCCUAUUAUAUCGAUGCUAUUGUUAGAUUUGUGUUUCUAUUGAUCAAGCAUGUGCUAAAACUUUGUUUUUUUUUUUUCCUUUGCUACUUCAUGUGCAAAGCAUUAUUAUUUGAAUUUUAAUGAUUCCAUUCAAUUCAUUAUUCAAUAUUUUCAUUUGAUAUUACAUCUAUCACAUUUGUUUUCUUUUCUUAGUUUGUUUUGUUUUGUUUUUGUUUUUUUUUUUUAAUUUGUGAAAUUUGAAUUUGAUGGAGCCACCAUUAAUUUAUUUUUCCUUAUUAUUGUGGGGUGUGCUUUAUUUUGUUCAUGUAAAUAUCAUCGUUGUGGCACUAUUAUUAUUAUGUAACCUUUUUUUUGUUUAAUCUAUUGUUCCUAUGAGCAUUAAAUUCUCCUAAAAUGUAUGGAACAGGCUAAACCCUUUCUAUAGUUAUUUUAAAAAAUUUAUUUUUCAUCUAUUUUCUUGUGCUCAAAAAAUUAUAUUUUUUAGUAAAAUUGAAAUUUUAGGGAGCGCUUAUGCCUUAAUGACUCAACCCCUUGAGGGUUUAUACCUAUCUUAGCAAGAUGUAAACCCUCAUGCCUCUUAUGCUUUUACCUUAUGAAACUAUACCCAAAAACAAACACCACAACUCCUUGCCCCGAUCAAAGGAUACUUGAAAGUUUGCUUCAAAUCAAUUUCAAGGCUAAUAAUCAUAGGCUUGUCAAAUUCAUGUUGCUAAAAUUGGUAUUGUAACCAAAGUAAUAUUAGGAAAUCUUCAAGUUUCAGCUCCUCUUUUUAUGUUGGCUCUUGUAUUGUUAGGUGGCUUCAACCUUUUGCUUUACUUAUGCUUUAUGAGCUACUCCAAUUAAAAUAAUGCUUCAAGUAGAUGUUCUUUGGAUCUUCACUCUAGCAAGAUACUUGCAUUGCAAAAAUUUUUUGUAGUCCUAGAUAGGUUAACUAGGAAGACAAUAGCUUGCUUAAGAGGAUUGCCUCCUCUUCUAUUGGGUUUGUAAAAGUUUUGCUUCUCCCUUGACUUUAGGAGUCCCGUGGUUUCAAAUUUGGGUGUGCUCUAGGUUGUAGCAUGCCUUAUGCUUUCUAAAUGGUAAUCUUCUUCUUGUUUUGGCUAGGAUUCUUUCAUUUAUUUUGCUUGUUUGCUUUCUUUGUUUCUUUAUUGUGGUUGAAGGAUCACCAAUCAACUUUUUAUUCUCUGCAAAAAUUAUUUAUGUUUCAUACCUAAAAAAGAAAAAACAAAGGCUAGUUAGCCUAGAACAUGUUUUAUCUUGUUCUUCUUUUACUAUUAGUAUGGAUUCAAACUUGGGAAGAGGCCUUGAAACAAGUUGCAUUUGUGUUUUCUUAACAUACAUCUUUAUUCGAUCAUUUUUGUUAAGUAUUUGGUGUCUUGUUUGUUCUUUUAGUUGUUUUUGUCUCUGUCAAAGUGUAUAAUUGUAAUAUCCCAUAUCAUAUAGGGAAAAAAGUUUUUCGUGCUAUAUAUAUGUAUAAACUCCACUUAAUCUUGUAAAUGUGUUUUAAAGUCACGAGGGUUUCUUAGGUUCAGAGCAGAUAAUAUCUACACAGUUGGAAGUAGGUCAUUACUAAUGGUAUCGGAACCAAUCUCCAACCUCAAUGUGAGAGAUUGUUUAGCACCGAAAGGAGUGUCUAUCUAUUUGACCCUACAAUCAUGUGGAAUAUAAUAAGGAAAUUGGGUUUGCAUGAGGAGUGUGAUUAUGAUAUCCUACAUCGAAUAUGGGAAAAAGUUUCUAAUGUUAUAUAUGUAUGGACUCCUCUUAACCUUGUAAACGUGUUUUGAAAUUGUAAAUGUCACUUAAGUUUAGAGUGGACAAUAUCUAUACAAUUGGGAGUAGGUUGUUAUAAUAAUUUUGAUUUUCCUUCCAUAUAUGUUUAAUUGCAUAACAUUAUCAUAGAAAAAUAUUCAUCUAUCAUAAUGUAGCGUCUUGUAAAGCUUAUGUUGGGUGUUAUGAUUUUAUCUCUCAUCAUUUUUAUUAUUCUGAUUCAACAUCAUCUUAGCUUAUAAUCAAAAGGCUAUAAAUUGUAGGAUUCUUUUCUCCAAUUUUUUACUUGAUAUCUUAUAAUGCCAUGAAAUGUCUAUAUUUUGAUGCAGAAAGUCGUUCAUCCUUCAUCUCUCUCACUAGUUUUGCAGAACCAUAGUCAUUAGGCACAUGCAAGCGUUAGACAUGCAGCCACUUCCAGUGUUGGAAGAGACUUUGAACUACCUCUUAAACCUAUUAGAUCCACGGAGCAUCCUUUUGAAGUGGUUCAUGAUUUCAUCUUUGAUAGGACAAGAUCAAUAAGACACGAUCUUAGCAUGGAGAAUAUUGUUAAUGAUCAAACAAUUCAUACGUAUGAAGAAAUGGUAUAAAUUUCUUGAAACAUAAUCUUAAUUACCUUUCUUUUCUUAGCAUUAAUCUCCUCAAUAUACAAUAAGUUAGCCAAUCCACUACUAAACACACUCCUAGUUGCAGAAAAUAAUCAAAAUAUACAAGAGAUGUUGUAUAAUUGAGUCAUUAUCCUCUCUUUUUGCUUUAUUGAAUAAGAAAAUUCUAUUCAGUGGAGUCCAAAUGAGGUGAAACUGUGAUCACACAACUUUUAAAGCCUACUUUAUAAUGGAUAAAUGAAUGGUCUGGUUCUGAAUCUUUCUCGGCACAUUAGUUAUUAUCCAAUCCAUUCUAAUUAAGUUAUCCACUAUUGAGUGUCUAUUUCCAAUGAAAGUUAUGAAAGGCCCAUAGAACCCAAGCAACUCACACCGCUUGCGAUGGGAAUUGGUGUUCUUUCCCGUAAUGUCAAGUUUUCUAGUACACUUGGUGACUUUGUAGAAUAUGCCUACGGAAAGGGCUGCCACCUUCUAAUUCCCAAUCAUACAAGUUUCUUAACCAUAUUUCAAAAGUUGUAUUUCUUGUUCCGUCUCUUAAAGUUUUUUAAACCUAUAUCUCUUUAUCCUUGGCAAUUCAGAAAGAUGAGGAAACUAUUUAACAAGAACUCCAUCAAUUUGUUCCUCAAAAUUUUAUAUAGUUUCUCUCUCUCACUUUCAAUUUAAACUCUUGAUUUAAAAGAACAAAUUCAUGGCCAGCAACAUUUUUAGCCAAGCAAUAGAAUGUACAACAAGCAUGCAUAUGAAUGAACUGUAUUGUUUAAUGAUAAUAGAUCAAAUAUUUUAAUCUAAUCCUAAAACCUUAGAGUUAGCUAAAAGCCUCAUCUUAUGUUCUAACUUGUGGUUUGUUUCACAAUACAGGUGAAAUUUCAUAUUAUAUCCCACCAAAAGCUUUGCAAUUGUAGCAGCAAGCCAAAUUUUUAUUUAGUUAUUACCUUAAUAUGGAGCAACUGAAAAAGUGUCUAACAUCUCUAUAUGCUCUAUACAAAGAAAAUUGCAAUUCAAAUUUUAUUUACAAGAAUGAACCUGAGUUUUGCUCAUUUCACGUUCUUCUUCACCUUGGCUCUAACAGCCAACCACUGGUGGAUAUCUGCUUUCAUUGUUUGUUUGAGUUCAUCUUUUUCAGUAUUUGUACUAGUUUCUGAAGGUGUUACUAUUUUUGUUCUGAGGGGAGAGUCACUCUCUUUGUGGUUGGGUCUUGUACCUUCUGUCAUUUUGAAGUCAAAGGAAAAAUGUUUUGCCCAAGACUUUUAUAGUACGUUUGGUAGUGAUUUUAGGAAGUGUUUCUAGUCUUUUUUAUGCUUGAAAGAUAAAAAAAAAAAAUUAAGUGGUAAAAAGACUAGAAACACUUUAUAAAAUAACUGCCAAACGCACUCUUAAGAUGACCAUAAAGCUGUUGUAGAUUCCACUUGCAUUUAAAUUGUUUUUAUUCCCUUUACAUUUAACUCAAUGUAGAGUGGUUAUGUUUUUCCGUUGAUUUUUUUCUCUUUUUUAGUACCCAAUGUUAAAGUUUUGUUUCACGAACUGAAAGGUCCGUCUUUUCUAGUGACAGUGGAUGGGCAAUUAUAAGUGUUUCCUUUGUACUACAACAAUUGAGGCAUCAUAUUUGCAAUAUUACAUUAUUAUUAUUUUUUAUAAAUGAGCACAAAAUAUAUAAUAAAGGGCGGAAAGCCACAAAGCAUACAGGGAGUAUACAAAGCAGCUAAAAAGCAAAAAACUCAUAAACAGAACAAACUCACCAGCCCUUAAAGAGCCGCUAACCACUCUAAGAAGCCUAAAAUCAAAGAUGACUCCUCUCCCAUAUACAUCCUAGUCCAACUCCAUAAAUUACAUGCAAAAGAAUUCUUGAGUUUCUGAAUAGCUAAAGAACCCCAUCUAAAAGCUAACCUAUUUCUUUCCUUCCAAACCGUCCAAAAUAUACACAACGGGAUGGAAUUCCAAAUCUUUUUCCUCUUUUCCCCAUAAAAGGGCCCCUCCAACAAAAUAACACCUCUUUGACUGUCUCUAGGAACACCCAUUGAGCCCUAAACAAGGAAAGAACGAUCUCUCAGAGGACCCUGACCACUGUACAGUGUAAAAGAAUGUGAUUUACAUUUUCCUCUUCACAGCCACACAAAUAACAACGAUUAGGGAGCUGCCACCCUCGUUUUUGAAGCCUAUCCAAUGUGAGGAUUUUUUCCCAAGUGGCUUCCCACGCAAAGAAAGCAACUUUGGUUGGAACCUUAUCCACCCAAAUGAUUUUUUUCGGAAAGACGAGGGGAUUGGGGGUGAUUCGUGUUUUCCCAGCUGGUGUACCUUGAUUUUGGUCCCCUGAUGGGAGUAAUCAACAAAAUUUAUAACCUAUAUCACCAUGCACUAGGAUAGCCUAAGCUAGUAUAGCAUAGUGGCUCUAGGAUCGUUCACUGGGAAGGGUUUUCAACUUACAAUUGAUACCAAUUCAAAGUUGAAUUGGUGCCUUUUCAUUUCAAGGUUAGCUUCAAAAGAAAACAUAAACUUUGGUUGAAAAAGGUUUGGUUUCAAGCUAACUAAAAAGAAAGUAAUGGGAAUUACUUAUAAAGAAAAAGCGUCUCUUGGAGUUUUAGGAUCACUGGGGUCAGGCUCCUCAUGCAAAAACAGAGUUCCGGUCACUUUGGUUCUUUUCCUCGCAUUGGAGAAUUAACAUAUAGUUCAUUCUCCAACCGGUGUUGUACAGAUGCUUCCCUUUUAUAAAUUUCAGCACUAGUUCCCUCUCACUGAUUCAUCUUGCAAUGGCUCGUGCCUCUCACCUAGCAUUUGCCAUUCAAGGUGAUCAUUAACCUUGGACUUCCCUUCUCAAGCUCGCAAGAGAUAACUAAUGGAUGCCUCCUUAGAGUCCAAAAGCUUACCAAGUGUUGGCAAUUCUAGAAAAUCCUACCUUCAGGUCACCUCCCAAAAGCUCACAAGAGGUAAACUAGUGCAUCUCUGUGGACAGAGAUCACUUGCCUUACCAAGUGUUGGCUCAGGUGAAUUGAAGGCGUUUUAAGUUAACUAAAAACAUAGAAAUCAUAAACGGGUUACACUUUCUCUUCAUUAAAAGCUGAAACAUCAAAACUACCAAUUCUUGCAUUCGACACCUUCCCCGGCUACCUUAGCUCCAAGAAACAAAAAGCCUAGCCACCCAUUCUCUGAAGAAACAUCAUCAGAGCUUGUUUGGCUAGUAAAUGAAAAAUACAAUCAAAGUGAGAAGGUAAUGCAGAGCAAAGACUCUGUAUUUUACUUCCUUUCAAACUUUUACAAAAGGUUCGUCUCCUUGAUAACAGGCUCCUGAGAGCUAUUUAUAUGAAAAUUACAAUAAUAAUUAUUACCUGGAUAUUUACCCUUUUUCCUAACUUAAUAGCUAAGGAAUCCUAUAAGUGGUGGAUUACAAUGAGAGAAUUGGGAUUUAGACAUCAAAUAUCUGAAGCAAAAUAUCAAAAAUUUGUCGGUCGUAAAUAUCUGGAAGCACUCAGGAGAAUUUCGCAGGCGCACAAAAUGGCUGCGAAAUUUCGCAGACGUACAAGAUGGCUGCAAAAUCAUUUCGCAGCCAAAGGCUGAUUUCGCAGCCUUGCGAAAUUGGCCUUCAGCUUGAUGUGAUCAUCUUCCAAUGGCUCUAACUUCUUCACUUCAACUCCGAUUCGCGAACCGUUUAAAGCGUUAGAUUUUUUACUUCCCAAGCUUCGAAACAACAUAUAGUAUGCAACAAAUGGACUUCAGGAAGUACUCCAAAAGUGUCAAACAGUUGAUGUCCUCUUGGAUUCUUCAUGUUAGAUUUUUCUCUUUGUUUCAUCCUUGCAUUCAUGAUUUGUUUAUGGCAAAGGACUUUAAGGCUUCAGUUCUUCAUGUUUCUGAGCUUUCCAUUGCUUUGCCAUGGAUUCCAAAGAACUCUCCUCAAUCUCGGAUUGCUUUGGUGAUCAAAUUACUAUCAAAAACACCAAAACUUACACAAUUUGAUUAGAAACGAUUACAAAGGUCCUUAAUAUGUUAAUUGGGUUAAAAGGUAAUAACUACUACUCAAAAGUGUUUAAAAGAGUUAAUUACAAGCUAUCAAAUAGCCCUUUUUGAGUAGUAAUCAAGGGGUAGUGAUUCAUGCCCAAUUGGUGUCUUAGCUGAUUCGUGUCCAGCUGGUGUUCCUUGAUUGAGGGAGUAAUCAACAAAAUUUAUAACCUAUUACACCAUAUACUAGGGUAGCAAAGAAAAAGCUACUAUAGCAUAGUGGCUCUAGGAUCGUUCACUGGGAAGGGUUGGCAAAUUAUCAAUGAUACCAAUUCAAAGUGAAUUGGUAUUGUUUCAUUUCAAGGUUAGCUUAAGAAAUAAAACACAAACUUUGGUUGGAAAAGAUUUAGAUUUAAACUAACUGCAAAGCAAGUAAUGGAAAUUACUUAGGAAGAAAAACAUUCCUUGGAGAGUCAGGUUUACAGGGGAGGUUCCUCAUGCAAAAACAUAGCUCCGGACAGUUGGUUCAUUUCCUCGCGUUAGAGAAUUAACAUAUAGUCAAUUCUCUAACCGGUGUUGUACAGCUACAUCCUUUAAUUAGAUUUCAGCUUUGAUUCUCUCUCACUGAUGCAACUUGCAAUGGUUCGAGCCUCUCACUAAGCCUUAACCAUUCAAAGUGAUCUUUAACCUUGAACUUCCCUUCUCAAGCUCGCAAGAGAUAACUAAUGGAUGUCUCCUUGGAGUCCAAAAGCUUACCAAGUGUUGGCAAUUCCAAAAAAUCCUACCUUCAAGUCACCUCCCAGAGGCUCGCAAGAGGUAAACUAGUGCAUCUCCAUGGUCGGAAAUCACUUGCCUUACCAAGUGUUGGCCCAGGUGACUCUAAGGUGUUUUAAGUUAACUAAAAACAUAGAAAUCACUAAAAGAUUACACUUCCUCUUCAUUCAUGGCUGAAACCACAAAGCUAUUCAUUCUUGCACUUGGAACCUUUCCCGGCAACCUUAGCUCCAAGGAACUAAAGGUUUAGUUACUCAUUCUCUGGGGAAACUUCCUCAGAGAGUGCAUAACUUAGUAAAUGAAAAAUACAAUCAAAGUGAGAAGGUAAGGCAAAACAAAGGUCCUGAAUUUUACUUGCUUUCCAACUUUUUACAAAAAGGUUUCUCUCUUGGAACAGGCUCCUGAGAGCUAUUUAUAUGAAACUACCAUCAUAGCUAUUACAUGGAUAUUUUUCCUUUUUCCUAACUUAAAAGCUAAGGAAUCUUAUUAUUGGUGGCUUACAAGGAGAAUUUUGGGAUUUAGACAACAAAAAUCUGAUGAAAAAUAUCUCAUUGUGUCGGUCGUAAAUAUCGGGAAGCACUAAGGACCAUUUCGCAAGUGAAAACGAGGUCUGCGAGAUUUCUCAGAUGCACAAAAAGAGCUACGAAAUCACUUCGCAGCAAACGGUUGAUUUCGCACCGCUGCGAAGUGAUCUUUCAGCUUGCGGCAUUCGGCUUCCAACGUGUCGGGAAACUUCAGGGGGAAUUCCUCAGCACUGUGCAAAAAGGCUGCGAAAUCAUUUCGCAACAAAAGGGUGAUUUCGCAACGCUGUGCAAAAUUCUUCCUUCAGCUUGGAGUGAUCGGCUUGCAAUGGCUGUAACUCCUUCAUUUCAACUCCAAAUUGCAAACCUCUUGAAGCAUUGGAUUGUUGACUUCCUGAGCUUCGAGACGACAUAUAGCAUGCAUCAAUUGGACUUCAGAAAGUGCUCCAAAAGUGGCUGACAUGACUGUCAUCAAGAAUAUGCUUCAUGGCAGAUUUCUCUUUGCUUCCUCUCCUUGCAUUCCGGAUUUGCUUAUGGAAAAGGUCUUCAAAGCUUUGGUUCUUCAUGUUUCUGAGCUUUCCAUUGCUUUGCCAAGGAUUCCAAAUAACUCUCCUCAAUCUCGGAUUGCUUUGGUGAUUAAAAAGCUAUCAAAACACCAAAACUUAACACAAUUUGAUUAGAAGUGAUUGCAAGGGUCCUUAACAUGUUAAUUGGGUUAAAAGGCAAUAACUACUACUCAAAAGUGUUUAAAAGAGUUAAUUACAAGCUAUGAAAUAGCACUUUUUGAGUAGUAAUCAGGUAGCCAUCAAAUUAUAAGCAUCCCGAAUCCGAAAAAUAUCAAGACCCCCUCCUUUCCAUAACACUGAGUCCUCUUCCAUAUCAAGCCUUUUUACAACUAACUUGGGCAUUCGAAAAAGGGAUAAUUGGUAGAUGGGUAUACUGGCCAAUGUACUUUUAAUGAGGGUAAUUCUCACACCCUUAGACAUGUAUUGCAUUUUCCAAAUAGCUAAUCUUCUUCUUAUUCUUUCCUCCACCCCAUCCCAUAUAGACAAGGCCUUGUGAUGGGCUCCAAGGGGCAGCCCCAAAUACUUAGUAGGAAAAGCCCCCACUCUGCACCCUAACUUCUCAGCCAUAUCCUCAAUAUCUUCAACCUCCUCAACAGAAAUUAAUUCACUCUUAGCUAGAUUAAUCCUAAGACCAGAAGCUGCCUCAAACCACCCCAAAAUCCAGCCAAGAUGAGUUAGAUGCUCCUUCCUUGCUUCAUAGAAGAUGAUUGUGUCAUCAACAAAGAGCAAGUGGGACACAUUCAUCUCCAUCCCCCAUUUUCCUCGAAGUUUGCAACCAGAAAUGAAGCCUCCAUCAAUAGCCUUUCUUAUAAGUGCACUCAGCACUUCCAUACCCAAAACAAAAAGGUAAGGAGAAAUGGGAUCUACUUGACAUAGCCCCUUGGAACUGGAAAAGAAGCCUACUGGCACCCUGUUGACAAUAAUAGAAAAUUUUGCAGUUGAGAUGCACCACCAAAUCCACUCCAUCCAACGAGACCCAAAGCCCAUCUUGUGCAAAACCUUCAUGAGAAAGUUCCAAUUAAUACUAUCAUAAGCUUUUUCAAUAUCCAAUUUGCAAACCAGUCCUUUCUCUUUAUGUUUCUGCCAAUAAUCAACCACCUCAUCAGUUAUGAGAGAGACGUCUAGAAUCUGUCUUCCCCUCAUAAACACAUUUUGAUCCACCGAGACCAUCUUACCUAACACUUUCUUCAACCUAUGGGCUAGCACUUUGGCCAGAAGCUUGUAUAGCCCCCCUAAAAGGCUGAUAGACCGAAAAUCCCCGAGGUCCACAGCCCCACCUUUUUUUAGGAUGAGGACCAAGAAGAUAGUAUUUAGACUUUUGGCAAAAUAUUUUUGGUCAUAAAAUUCCUUAAACAGCUCUACAACCUCCUCCUUCACAAAAUCCCAACAAGAUUGCCAAAAGGCCACAGUAAACCCAUUCGGCCAUUCAUUUCCAACAGAGUUAAGUGAAUUUCUUCCUCAGUAAAGGGCAUCUCCAGAGCUUCAACUUCACCGUGGUUUAGACGUUGAAGGUGCAACCCCUCAAUGUCAGCUCUCCAUCCUGGCUCUUCUGAGAGCUAUUGUUGAAAAGCAUUCACAAUCCCCUCCCUCACCUCCUGCUCCUCAUCCAACUCCACCCCAUUGAUCUUGAUUUUAUCCAAGGAGUUGUUUCUUCAGUGGGCAUUGGCCAUUCGGUGGAAAAAUCCUAUGUUCUUAUCCCCUUCCUUUAGCCACAGCUCCCUUGACAAUUGUCUCCAAUGGGUUUCUUCUAAAAGCACCCACUUUUUAAAGGUUUCCUUAGCUUCAUUUUUCAACUCCGUUUCUCCUUCUGGCGGGCCCCUUUCACAUUCCACCCCAUCCCAAAAUUCAACUUGCUGGAGAGCUGAGCUUUUAUUAAUUUCCAACCUACCAAACACAUCCUUGUUCCAAACUUUGAUUUUUUUCCUUCAACACCUUUAGCUUAGCAGCCAGUCUAAAGUUGGUCCUCUCUCGCCUCCCCGCUCCCUACCACCAAUCCCGAAUGAGAUCCUUAAAACCAUCAACUUUAAGCCACAUGUUUUCAAACCUGAACGGGGAGGGUCCUCGUCUUAACCCGCCACCCUUCAAUAGAAUGGGAAAAUGAUCUGAAGUGGGCCUGGGAAGCCUACUUUGGACAACCUCCCUAAACAAGUCAAGCUAGUUUUGGGUCACCAGGAAACAAUCCAGUCUAGCCCAGGACUGAUUGUUCCUAUCUCCACUCCAGGAAAACACAACCCCUUGCAAAGGAAGAUCUAGGAGCUCUAGUUCAUCAACCACCUGAGCAAACCUUCUCAUUGCACCAUUUAAACUAUCCUGACUGCUCCUUUCCCUUUGGAAAAGGGUGACAUUAAAGUCGCUCCCUAAACACCAGGGAUCAUCCCAGAUGCCCCUUAUUGGCCUUAGCUCAUCCCACAAAGUCUCCAUUUCAUUCCUAGUGAACGGUCCGUACACUCUUGUGAAGAUCCAAACAAGCCCAUCUUCAACAUUCCUGAGCCUACAGGAAAUAGAAAAUUGUCCCACCUCCAUCUUUAGCAUUUCCAGGGACCUUUUAUCCCAGCAAAUCAAAAUCCCACCCGCAAAGCCUUGAGCACCCAUGGCUCCCCAAUCUAGAAACCUCCCAGAGCCCAAAGUCCUCACCACACCCACUAACAUUGACUGAAUUUUCAUCUCCUAAAUACAGAACAAAUUCACCCUCUGACUUCCAAUCAUAGCCUUGAUCACCUUUCUUUUAGAGCUAUCGUUAGCUCUACACAUGUUCUAGUUCAACAACCUUAACUUCAUUAGACAACCAAAAUCUGGCACCCUCUUCCUUGCAUGGUACCUUUUUAUUUCCUCCCCCCUUCAUAAUUAAUGGAUCAUUCAAGUCUCUUCAAUUCCCUUUCAAAUUUCGAUUUUUCUAGAAGAGUUUCACUAUGAACUCUUUCCCUUCUUUUUUUUAUUUUGACCAGAAACUCCAAAAUGUCCUUCAAUCUCUCUGUCAAAAACCCCAAAAACCUGCUGAACCUCACUAGAUCGCUUUCCUCCCAACUAGUUUCCUCUCAUCCUCUAACUUCGAGUGGCAUAGCACUAGCUAAGCAAAGUUCCUCUCCACUUUCUUCAAUACUACCAUUAUUAACUUUCAUUAGCUCCCAACGAGUAACAGUCUCCAUCAUUGAAGACUCCGUACCAUUAACCAUGCAGCCCGGUCAUUCCCUCUGGAAUUUUUCCAAUCUGGCCCUAGAACAGUCGUAAUACUCCCCCAAUUGAGUCCGACCAGAAAAAGAAGAGGGGGGAGAUGAGAAAUCACAAAGCAACGUUCCACAAGGGUUAGAGGUGUUCUCAUACCUCGAAGCUUCCUCCAUUAGAGCACAGUUAGUCUUCAAACUCUUCUCUAAAAGUUGUUCCUUAGUCGAAGGUCUUCGCAGACCUUCGUGCACCCAAAAGGAAAAGAUGGAAUGGUCUGGAGCCCCCAAAAGUCUUAGGCCAAAAAGAUUGUAAAGACGGGAUGCUCCCAGCUGGGCUCUUCCCUCAGCUAAGGGCAAGGUCAGGCCUCGGCAAACCAGCCCAAGCACCACAAUAGGCUCCUUUUCCUUGGCCCACCUAGAACCCUUAAUAAACGACAACCCAAAAUGAGAUGGCCCAGUCUCGCAGAGAAAGGCCACAAGAGGAGCAGGCCCAGUAAUCACAAUGGGCUCUGCUCAACACGGUGACGAAGACCAACCCGAACCUUGGGACCCAACUGACAGCCCAACAAAGCACCAACCAUGACCCAUGGCCUGUCCCGACCCACUAGUCUGCCCCCUCGUCCCAUCAGCAGGUAGUAGCAAGUCCUCAAGCCUCGAGGCAUCGUCCUCCACCCGCACGCGCUCGAUUGUGCAUGCGAUGGCCUCACCCCCAACCUCGCCUUCUGUACCGAUAAUGUUUCCACUCUUUCUUGCCAUCGUCAUUCUCAGGAUUGGCCUGACCUCCCACCGGAGGGUUACCUCGUAGUAGAAUUCCUCAGCCCAAACCUCCACCACGUUGGGAAGCUUCUCGUCGUUGAGCUUCAUCAGGAUCCUUGCCCACUGCAAAUCCUCCAGCUUCUCCAUUUGGGAAUCGACUGCGAUGAAGCCCCCGCACUCCUCCCCUAUCCUUCUCAUAAUGGCUCGAUCCCAUAAGGAAAUGGGUAAUCCCAUAAUACGCACCCAAGCCUUGCUCUUUUUCACCCCAUCCAUCAGGCAUCCCAUCUCGGGCCUCCAUUUCUCCAAACGAAUGAGAGACCCCCCAACCGAAAUACCCCCGAUUUUUAAGGUUUUCUCUGCUUCUACCAAAAACUCAAAUUCAAGUAAAACUUUGCCCCUUUCCAAUUUCGCUAGCCCUAGAUUACCCUUCAGUCUCCAAAUAUUCUCCAAAUGGGUCCUUCUACUUCUUAGGUCAUCCCCUCUCACAGAGCUAGGAUUCCAAAUCCCAACUAAACAGUGAGCCAGCUUGUUUAAGUUUCGGCUCAGCUCCUUCUUUCUUAUCUCCACCCUAAUCAUUGUUUUUUCUUUUCCUCUUGGCUAUUUAGCCACUUCCGCGUAGGUUUUCCCCAUGCUAGAUUUCGACAACAACGCUUCUUUUUUUUGGCAUCCCUCUUCUCCGUUAGUAAAACCCAAUCGCCAUAGCGUCUCCACCAUUGAAACCCAGCCACCCUUAGCUCUUCUUCCUUUUGGAAUAAAGAUGCAAAACCUUUUGUUUUCCAGGUCCGCAACCUCUAAUCGAAGAAAAUACCCCCCUUAUUUUGAUCCCGCACCAGAGAAUAGGCUCUCCCACUUUCCUUCCACUUUCUUUCCCUUUUACCAGUUCCCGCGUCCUUAAUACAAAGAACUAGACCAUCGAAAAAAAACCCAAUGAUCUUCGGUCCCAACCUAAUCCACGAGAAGAUCCCUCAUUUCAGUUCCACAAUUGUAGCUUGCACUUUACCUUUCUGCUCCUCCACCUCGACCUCGAACGACUUCAACUCCACUCCAAAACUACCCUUUCUAAAGCUUUUCCUAGUCCCCACGAAGACAACACCCUCUGCACCCUCGCUCGCUCCACCAUCUACACUUUCUCUCGCUCGCCGCACGCCUCACUCUCCAUCGGAGCUCUCGCUCGUUCUCUCUCUAGCCCUCUCUCCUCCAUUUCUCAUCUGUCUACUAUAUUAUUGAACCUUACAUCAAUGAGGUUGCUUAAAUAUGUUGAUUUUGCUAGGUUUCUCAAUUUGAAAAAUAUAUUAUUCUCUGUUCAUUUAUUGUUUUCCAGAUUCAUCUCUGAGAAUAUAUCUAAAAUCUAGAGUUGAGUAUUUGUGCUUUUAGGUUUUAUUUUCCUUUCAUUUUUGUUGGUAAUUGUAUUUCAUUAUUCUUAAAUUUCUCACCAGCUAUUUCUUUAUAUGGUUUAUUGUCCCUCACUUUCUUCAUCCAUCUAAAGUGUUCAGAUUCAAUUAGCUUGUUUCGUAAUCUAGGUCUUAUUUAGGAGUUUCUUCUCAACUGCCUUUUUUAGUGCUUCUAAAAGACAUGCCUGAUUUAUAUACAUUUUUAUUGGUUUUUUUUUUUUACCAUAAAAGGUUCAAGCAUUGGCAUUGUCAUGUGUUAAUUAGUGGCUAUAAACUUCAUCCGUAUCCAAUUGCACACUUGUCCAAACUCUUGAUGAUGAAGGUAUGGUUGCAUUUACUAGUAUGAAAUUGCUAAAAUUUGUCAUCCAAAGUUUCAAUUUCUUUUGAAUCUUGAAGACUUAAUUUGCAUUCUUGUAGGAAUUAGAUGUGGAAUAAUUUUGCAAUGUUUGUUGUCUUAAGACCAGCACUGAUGAACGGGGAAAUAAGUUCUUAUCAACCAAGCAAACAAACUUCCAUUAUCCCAAGGAAGUCUUUCCAAGCUACUGCCUUUUAGGUUUGGAACACUUUUAGAGGUAACAAUCAAUAGGAAUUAGUUAUUCUUUCAAACUUCUUAUUGUACAAAUAUAACCUGCAUGUGCAACCAUUUAUGAUCCCAUAAUUUCAAGAAUUUAUGACACCUUCUAGUGGUUAGUUUUUCUAGGAAUAGAGUGAGACAAUCUAUUCACCCCCAAAAACCAUCGUCAGAGGAACAGUAGAUAACCCGCAAGACCAAAUUUAUGUGUGUGAAUGGAGAUGCAUGUUUUUUACAUCCCAGUCAUGUAGUGUUGUGUCAAAGGGAAUAAUAGCAGGUGAUGAUAAGUGGUAUUUCUAAAAUGUUCGAAGAAUAUUCCAUCUGUCAUGUAAUAUUGCUUUCUCAAAACUGUUUUUGAAGUCUUAUUUUUAAAUAUUAGAGUUGACCUCUUGUACACUAUCAACUGAUGUUGUAACUUAACUAGAAAGAGAAAUUAUAUAAACUUAGCCUUGGUUUGGAUCUUGAAAGAUAGCAAGCAAAGAAAAAUUAGGUUAAUAGUGAGUUGAUUUAUUCUCUUCCCAUGGAUGUAAGCACAUUCUUGAAUCACUUAAAUUAUUUUUUUCUUGUCUAUUAUUCAAUUGUCUCUGAAAAAAAAAGUGGUAUCAGCGUUUUUUCCAACACAACAAAUGAUUCAUGUGACAACUGCCAAUAAAGGAAGCACUUAAGAAGGAGUUUGUAAGGUGUUACAUGGCAGGUUGAACAAAACCAAUAGCUAGAGAGAUAUAUGAAAUAUUUGGGGGCCAUUGAUCCAACAAUAGUAGAGAAUAACAUAAGAAGAGACCCUCUAAUCACCAUUUUUGCUUUCGAUUCUUCUCUACAAAACAUCAUCUCUUUAUACAAAAAGACACCCCAUGGCUGAGCUCGUAUUAUUCUCUGCAUAUCCCAAAACUGCUCUCCAAAUUUUAGGGCAUGGUACUCUUUUGAGUGGUAUUUUUGGUACUAAAUUUAAGUAUUCUCUCAAAUACCUAAAAUGCCCUCUAGAUUUUAGGGCAUGACCCACUCUUUGAGGUGGUAUUUUGGGUACUAAGUUUUGUUAUGAGAGGUUUUGGUGUGGAAAUCGGAGGGCCUCUUGGGAAUAUGAAAUUAGAAAUGUUACACACGUUGCAUGUAUUUUCUUUUGCGUGCAUUACACUUAGAUUGGAGUUUAUGCAGUUACUCACUUUUUGUGUGUCCAACAGUACUGUAUGUCACAUCACCAUAUGAUGGGCCCUUUAGCCUUUUUUUAACCCCCUCCCCCCAAGAAAAAAAAAACCUAAUACUAAAAAUAAAAAAAUAAAAAAAAACCUAAUACUAAAAGGACCUUAGCUUGCAAACUAUGUGGAGGUAGGCCUCCACAUCCAACUUCUUAGAGGGACCAUGAUCACUUAGGCCAAGGAAGUUUGAGGCAAUAAUACGUCUACGAUGCCCUUAGAUGUUUUGGGCACAUGCACGCUACACUAAUGUAUUCAACGAGUCUGUAACCUUGACUAACAAGCUUAGGUAAUCUUUGAAAUUUCAUUAUGAUGGGGAAGGUUCCACAUGAACGACACUUGCACAUGGGUUAGUUAAUCCUAAGAGAUGGGGGAAGCUCGUCAGACAACGCGUGACACUCGAGCUUUGAAAGGUAAUUGAGUUAACAUUCCUAAACCGGGACAUGACGGUCUACAACAAUGUUAGGUAGUCUGAAGAGUCAUGUUAAUUGUUAUCGGUAUUUUUAUUUAUUCAAUAGAAAUUGAGGAUUUAAAAAAUACCACAAAAAUUAGAAAAAAAAAUUAAUUAUAUGAAUAACAUUUCAAAUAUUUAACAAAAUGUAUGAAAGUUGAAUAUCAUACACGAUUAAAUGGCUAGAUCAUCUUCUUUAGUUUUUCCAUGAUCUCAUCCUAUUAAAUGACUCAUCCAAUAUUAAUUUAUUUUAAAGGUAAAAUUAAUUAUAUUAUAAUACUUAAAUACUUUACCAUGCUAUAAUCCUCUAGCUAAUAAAUGAAAUCAAAACUUAAAAAUCAUUUUUAUAUAUAGAUAUAUAUUAUUAAGUUUAGGUAGUGAAGCAAUUAAUGUGGGUAUAAAAUUAAUGCCAAAACUUUUGAUUGUUCCUUCACAUUCUCCACAGCAAAGGAAAUAAGAAAAAUAAAGAAAGAAAUUUAGGGUAGUUUUAUUUUUUGUUCUCAUCUCAUGGUGAAAUUAAUAGAGGAAUGCUUGGGUUGGUGCUCAACAAUCAAGUGACAUCCGAUAUAAUGAUUCUUCCAAUCCUGUAAAUAUUGUCCGCUUUAAUUUUAAUGGAUCAUCAUCACUUUAAAUUGCAUUCACAUUGUUAAGAGCAAUUCAUACGUACAUAAUAUUAAGAACUUUUUCUUAUUCGAUAUGGAAUAUAAAAUUGGGUAUCUUUCUGAUUACUACCAAAAAGUGCUAUUUUGUAGACCUAAUUAUAAUGGUUUUAAGCACCUUUGAGUAGUAAUCAUAUUCAUUUAACCCAAUUAAUUCAUUAAGGUCCUUAGUAAUUGGUUUUAACCAUUUUGUGGCAAGUUUACAUGUUUAUAUCAGCUUAUGAAUCAAUUCAAGCAUGCCAAAUGAUGGAGGAGCUACUUGGACAAGUUAAAUCAAGCUUUUAGCUACACCAAAGCAAGCCAACAAAAGGAGAAAAGCAAAGAAAAGCAAAGAAAAGCAAGGAGGAAAACAGAGGACAGCAGCUGCAGUCUUCGUUGGCACUUUUGGAGCACUUCCCGAAGUCCAUUCUCUACAUGCUAUAUACCAUUUCAAAGCUCAGGAAGUCAAGAAUCCAACGCUUCAAACCGUGCAUGAUUUGGAGCUGAAACGAGGAAGAUAUGGCCUUCGGAAGACAACUGCUCCAGGUGUGCGAGAAUUUCGCACACCCCCCUUUAGCUGUGCGAAUGGUGUGCGAAGUUCGCACACCUUCUUCAGGUGUGCGAAAAUUUCGCACACCCCAUGCGUGGUGCGAAUUUUCCCCUGUUUCUGCCGACUCCACUUUAGAUCUUUUCUUUUAGAUAUUUUUGUAUAAAUUUCCAUUCUUCUCCUUGUAAUCCACCAAUCAUAAGAUUUAUUAGCUAGGAAAGUUGGAAAAACUUCUCUAUUUAUAUCCCCUUGCAUCCGUUGUAACAAAUAAUUGAUAUAUAGAUAUAUAAUACAUAUUACGUUUUACACUCUCUCGUUUUCUCUUUUCUCUUCACUAUUUUAUUUUCUUGGUAGCCAAACAGCCUCUAAGGGCUUUUCCUCAGAGGAUGAUUGGCUAAAACUUUUAGUUUCUCAAAGUAUGGAUGUUAUGUGAUGACUUGGAUGCAAUCCCAUGGAAAUUUCUCACACCCGGAAGGUAAGGUAGUCGUUUUUCAUUAAAGGUUCAUUAAUGCAAAGUUUGGUUUUUAUUUCCUUUGGACAACUUCCAACGGCCAAUACUUGAUAAGCUUUUGGAUUUCUAUCCAUUAGUUAUCUCCUACGAGCUAUUGGAAGGUGAGGUUUUCAAUUCCAAGUUUUGUAUUAAUCCGUUAGAACCAAUUUCAAUGGCCAUUGAAAGGUGAGUUUAUCACCUGGAAUGACUUUGAGUUGCCAAUAUUUGGUAAGCUUUUGGCUUUAGACCAUUAGUUAUCUCUUACGAGCCAUUCAAAGGAAGUCUAAGGUGAAUAACCAUUGAUGAAAUUCACUACCAUCUGUUUUGCCAUUUUAAAGGAUUAAAACGUGAUUUGCUAAAUCCAUACCGGUUCGGGAAGCAAGCAUCACCAUAGUUGCAACCCCAACGCGAGGAGCCUAUCCUGAGAUUUCCAAUUUGCAUAAGAGCCAGAGCAUAGCUAUCCUAUCUUUGAGAAACUUGUUUUUACACCCUUUCAUUUUAGUCUUUAAUGUUAGCUUAGAUUAGUUUAAAUCUUUCUAAAACAUUUACAUCUUCUUUUAAAGCUAACAUCCAUAAGAAAAUCACCUAUUUUCCUAACUUGAAUAUCACUUGUGUUUGCGAAAACCCUUCCCAGUGAACGAUCCUAGAACCACUAUGCUAUAGUAGCUUGGCUACUUUAGUAAUAGUAUUCAAGGUAUAAAUUUUGUUGAUACGCCUUUAAAGCUAAGCUACCAUGAGUCGCAUCACUUUCAAUUUUAGAUGUUGCAUAAGCAUUCCAACUCCUAUAUAGACACAUUGCGUAAAUAUUCUUAUUUAAUAAAAGUUUAUAUGUCAUUAAAUAAAUAUAGAAUUUUAACAUUAAUUGCAGUGCUAAGUGCAAGAGAUCUCAUGUUUAAGUCAUUGAUUAAGAUUUAUUUGAAAACUUAACAUUUGUUACUUAAAUAACUUAAGUUGACUUUAAAUUAUAUUAUAUUUAAAUUAUUUGCUUAAAAUUUAUUGUUUAAUAUUUAUUUUAAGUAUUAAAGUUAUUUGAUAAAGUUAAUUUAAAAAAUAUUUUAAAUCACAAAUUGUCAUAUUUACCUUCAUUAAUUUGAAUUAGUAUUUACAUUCAUUAAUUUUAUUUAAUAUUUAUUUUUAUUAAUCUUAAAUAAUAAAUUUGUUUAUUAAACAUUUAACAGAUUCAUAAAAUAACUACACAAUAUUCACAAUAAUAAAUGAGUCAUGAAUUUGAAGUCAUGAUUUUAAAAUGUACGCUAACAAGAUAUGAACAAAUGAGACAAAAAAAAAUGAGAUUAAAAAUAAGUUAAUUAUUUUGAUUUAACACUUAAAAUUAAAAGUAACUUUAAAUUAUAAUAUUAAGUUAUUUUAGCAAAUAUAUUUAAUCUAUUUAAUGAAUUAAAUUAAGUUAUUAAGUCAAAUGAUUACCAAACACCCUAUUAAGACCCAGAAAAUGGAAUGAGUUUUAAUAGUAUUCAGGAUGGGCAUGACUAGGUGGUGGUUCAAUGCUGAUUAAUCAUAAUUUAAUCUAAGCAAAAUAUGUAACGAAACUCAAACUGCACUAUCCAAAUGGGCGCCAAGAACGUUACAUUUGACAAAUGCCAGUAAACCUCUACAGCUAGAAAUUAAAAGAUCACUCUCUUGUUGUAUCUCUCUUUUUCUCCAAGCCCCGGAAGGAAAAACUCGAACCCCAUUAUUUUGAUCACAGAAAAAGUGGCAAAAAAGUGUGUUGUAGUUCAUCUUGAAGCUCAUUAACUUCAUCUUAAUUUGAUCCAAAUUGCAGAAACAUGGGAAACUCCAUGAAUCUAUGGUGCUAUGGUGGCCUACAUUCAUAUAACUGGGGACACUUUGGUUUAAACUACAAUGACCCCAAACAGGGUUUGUAGAGACUUCAUCGAGAUCACUAGCUUCAAAAGACUGAGGAAGAAAGAUGUUCUCAAUGAAAACUUGGUGUCAAAUUGCAGAUAAAGACCUAAAAAUCCCACUUAAUGUGUUCUAGGAAUUGUUGUUUGAUAGGGAGUAAGAACAGAGUGCACGAGUUUUGGGGUGGGGUGAUACCUAAAGCACUAGAGUAGCACGUGAUCAAGCCUCACUUAGUGAAAAGCUGUUUGGUUUGUACAUGUCUGCUUAGUGAUACUUAGGAUUGGCGAAGUAUACAUCUCCUUUGUGAUCAGGUUUGUAUAUGGGCAGAUGAAUGUUCAUGUGAGGUUCAUAUAUGUUUCUGAUACAUAUCACCCUGGAAGAAUCUAGAUCAAGGGGAUGAGUUUCUAAGCUUGACUAGGUUUGAGAUGUUUGAGAAUUGGUGAGCAUGAUAUAUAUCAUGAUAUUGCAGAAGACAACAGAGCUUCUGAAAUAUGUCAGGUUCAAUAGUAGGAAAUCUUAUCAGCUGUCACUUACUUUAAUCCUAUGAUCUCAAUAUUCAUUUGUUGAAGAAGAAAGAGGUAUCUUGAAAAAAAUUUGCUUUCACACUAUUCAAUUACAAGAGGAUGUUCAAUUAUAGAAGAAAAUAAUAUUCACUAGACUCUUUCAACUUAAUCAACAUGCAGGGAAAACCAGUCGGGUGACCAAUUAUUCACAUAAUAACUUAGGUGGUGUUUGUUUUUUUGGCUUUUUGCUGAAAACCAUUUAGUUUUAGAAUUUAGGUAGUUUGUUUUUUUACUUUUUCAUAACUUAUCAUAAACUUUUUACUAAAUAGAAAAAGCCAAAAUAUGUGGCUUUUUCUAAAUAGAAAAAAUAACACAAUGGUUUUUUUUACUUUUUAAUACUUAAUAGAAAUAAAAUACUACAAAAACAAACAACCUAAUAUUUAAUACUAUUAAGUAUUAAGGUUCUAUUUAGAAUUAAGUAAAAAAACAAACACCACCUUACUGUCUUUCUACCUCUACUUGUUAAUCAUCAGCCAAGCUUAUAGUAAUAUAAGCUUGGGUUCAUCUCUCUAUGCCACUGAUGACAACUCCACAUGGGCUUCCCCUUCUGGUGAUUUUGCAUUUGGAUUCCGACCGUCUCCAAGUGAAAAGGAUCUAUUCCUUCUUGCUCUCUGGACUGCAAAUGGAAGUUAACCGGCGCCAAGAGGAUCAAAAGUCGAGCUUGCUACCAAUGGACAGCUUGUUCUCCAGAGGCUAAGAGAUAUGGAAGACAAAGACUGGUAAUGUGAGCAGCAAAGCAGUGCAUGGUGCCAUGCUUGGAGAUGGAAAUUGUAUACCUGUAUAUGGGAGAGCUUCAAGCACCCAACUAAUACCAUAUUGCCAACUCAGGGAUUGGUGUUGGAGCCUACUGUGCAGUUGCCAUUUUUGAGAACCUGAGGUUUGCAAAUGGAACUGGUGUAUGAGUUUAUGCACAAUGGUUCUUUAUCAAGCUUCCUUUUUGGAGGCGCCCAAGGACUGGUGUACCUACAUAAAGAAUACAGUAAACAGAUCAUCCAUUGCGACAUAAAGCCCUCAGAACGUAACUCUUGGAUGAUUCUUUUACAGCCAAAGUUGCAAACUUGGACUGGGAAAGCUUCUGAUAAGCAACCAGACUAGAACACUCACAGGCAUCAGAGGGACUAUGGGGUAUAUUCAGACAACUCGGGCAGCCUAUGUCUCUUAUAAUAACACGUUAUGAAGCAUCAGCUCAAUGCCGGGGUUCAAUCUGCAAAGCAAGGGAUUCAUCAAUGUUUCCUUCAAACUAAAUGAUAAGGAACAGAAAUGGAUCAUUCUGCAUUUUCAGUGGUGUUUGUUAUAGCAUUUAUACAAGAACUCUAGGGGUUUCUAUGUAUAACUUCAUUCCCAUUUUGUAUAAUCCAAAUCUCUUCAAUCGAUUAAAUGUAUAAAUGAAUCCUAUUCAUUGUUUGGAGUAACAACAAAAUUCUGGAAGACUGGGAAAGUUUCAACACUGGAGAGAAGACAAAAUGACCAGACCAUAAAUUCUGGAAGAGGGCUUUGCUUUCUAACCAUUACCAUAAUUUUAGAGCUCAACCCGGAUGAGUAAAUUAUAUUUCAGAAUGUUCAGGAGAUAAUUCUAAAGUGAUGAACCUUCUACUCACAGUUUUUUGUUCUUCUUGAACAGAGCAAUGAACAUCAAUAGUUCAGCACCCAGGAAUCUCCCCUUCCUCCAAUUCCCCCACUGGGAAAAGUCACCUUUCCAGUUAAGAAAAUCAUCAGGAUUAAUUUGAGCAAAACAUCAGAGUAUACAUCAAGAAAGCCUUGAUCAAAAUCAAAAUACAUCAAGAGCUGCCAUUUUCUUCUAUUUCCUCUUCCCUGAAUGGAAUGCCUUUUGGACUGAGGUGAUCAAUGGUAACAGUCUAACACACUCCUUAAGCUCUGAUUGAGGUCAACGGGGAUUGGCACAUUUAAUGACUUUGAAAUCAUAGCUGUGUGAAGGGAGGCAAACAUGAAUCUCAGGAUAAUCAACAAGUCAACAACUAUCAAUCAGUAAGGAAAAGGAAAUACCUUUGGAUAUUUACAAAUCAAAAAAUUGAGAGUCCAGCUUCUCUGUACAGAAAGGCUUGAGCUUAUUCCAUGGCCAGUCUGAAUUACGGAUGAGAGGGUUGAGUUUUCUUUCAUUCUGCAAUAAGAUUAAAAACAUCAAUGAAACGCUAAAAGUUUAUAUAUAGAAGCCCUUUAAAGAUGAGAAUUGGUCAGAGAGCUCACCCAUGGUCUAGUAAAACAACAUCUGUUAGAUAAGUAACCACCAUUCUAUUGUCCAGCUAAUGCAUUUAGAUCUAAGAUAAGCUAUGGAAAAAUAGUCAAAAAUAGCUAAAGACAGUCCAAAAACUCAUUUGACUAAUAAUUUUCUAAAAACAGUAACAUAAAACCUGGAUGAAGAAUCCACCCCUCUACCUCACACCACUGCAAUGCCAAAUAAAAUGUUACAAUGACCAUAUAUGGUCUUAAGAGACAAUGGGUGUUGUUUGGGCUCAAGACCUAAGACAAGCCAAAAAACAAGAAGAAAACAACAUCAAAAAUAGAUGGCAAAAUAGAAGGAUAAGGUCACAGACAGGACAAUAUUAAAAGAAAUUAUUAUUUUUCCGACCUGAAAAUCAAGGCAUUCAGAAGAGUACAAGUUUGUAAGUAGUCCAUGGAAACCAGGGAACAUAUGCAGAUGUUGUACUCUAUUGCAUAAGGCAAACACUCAAUACUUACAAGCAUAAUCAUGCCCAGAAAGCCGUGAAUCCCUUUUUGUUUUGCUUUUUUACCUAUUCCCAUCUCUUAUGGCCAGAAGUUCCUUCUGUGGCUGGUUUGUUGUGAUGGCCAUUUCGGGUCCUAACAGACUUGCUAUUGUUGUCUGGGCACCUGCCUCAGAGAAAGCCUGCCAAAGAUCGGAGUCUGGGCCAGGGGAAACGGAUUUUCUUUGCUGGAGUUCCCAGUCUGUUGCUUCAAUCUUUUCUCUGUGCUGUUAUGAGAAGAAAACCUAUCAGACACAUGAAUGGGUACAAAAAGGUAAACUUCAGGUUUUGGUUGUAUUGAAAAGCACAGGAAACUUCACAAGAGGCAAAUUAUACCCCAGACUUAUUGAAGAAAAAUAAAGUACAAUUGACUUACCCAAAUGUCUACUUUCUCAUUUAUAGGUUUCCUCCUAAACAAAUCCCCACAUCUAGGACAGGAAAAGGAAGAAACUGGGAGUCGACAUUUUUUCAACCAAAAGCACUAACUUAUCAAAAAACAUAGUUUUCCAUUCAAUGCCCAUUUCUUCAGGCUUCUUAAAGUGCUUAUGAUUGGUGGAGGUUCUUCCAAAAUCACACAACUUCCAUAAUCCAUUAGGGCCCAAUAGAAGAUUCUCAGCAUUUAUAUAAGAACUUCAGGGUUUAUACAUAUGAUCAUGUUACAGUAUAAAUCAUAGUGAACUGGUGGAAUUUGAUCAUUAGCCAACCUCAUCAAAAACUGUUUCACAGUUGAGGGGAUUGUUAACCUUGCCAUGGGCCAAGCAGCAAUUUCUGAAGAAGCUGGGUGACAAAGAGUACCAUCAUUUGGACUAGUUUCAAUGGAAAUUCCUCUGUUUCUAUACAUGAUAUCUUCAGCUUCAGCUUUUCCUUUUGCUUUGACAUGGCUGAAACUGAUCCUGAAAUCAAAAAUCCCAUGCAAGUAGAUAUUUAACAGAAGAGGAUCCGAAUCUCUUCAAUUGAUUAAUGUAUAAAUGAAAUAAUCAAAAUUUUUAGAGAUAAUUAUAGGGAGAUGAACCUUGUACCUCUGAGUUUCUUAGUCUUCUUGAACAGAGCAAUGAGCAUCAAGUGUUGAGC
rnacentral:lncRNA from 1 species